rnacentral:lncRNA from 1 species
UUUUAACAAAUUAAUCAUUACCAUUCGUGGGAUUUGACAUAUUGAUAUAUAAGAAUACUAUUUUUUAACAGAUUGAUCAUAAUGAGAUAUUUUUUUAACAAACUGAUUAUAACCGUUCGUAGGGAAUAUUCGUUUAUUCCUUUUUGGAUUCCGUCUGUCGUUGUCGGAAUUCCUAUACGCUUUUAUAUAUAGUAUAGACAUAUAUAUAAAAUUGAGCUGUUAUACUUUUAAAAGUAUCAAGUUAUAGUGCUUAUAGUUUUCGGCUCUUGGAUGUGCAAUUAGGAUGUUGGUCGGUCCCUAGAGUUGAGUAAGUGGUUGGUUAAAUCGUACAAUCUAAUGGGUGAAAAUAGUUAACGGGAUAGCUCUAACGGCGGAAAACUUAUAAGCAUCGUGUGCUUGGUGCUUUUAAAAGCACUAUAGCCAGACUCUCUCUUUCUAUAUAUAUAUAUAUAGAGAGAGAGAGAGAGUUCGCCUAGGGUGUUUUCGGAAGUAUAAAGUAGUUCGUGCUUCUAACUUUUUUAGUUCUUAGAUCAACCCGCUUGUCCAUUUUUAGUCCUUGAAUUAAUAUUAUUUUUCUAGGAAAACUACUAAUCUUUAGGAGGACUACUCAACCCUUGGGGGACUACUAUCAUCCCAACUUUAUAAUCCUUGAUCUAAGGGCGAAAGUCAAAAGCACUAAUUCCUAUGUUUCCGAAAGUAUAGUAACUCUACAAUAUAUAUAUAUAUAGUUGGACUGGGCUACUAUUAGUAGCAAAAUUUUAUUGUUGCUACCAGUUUUUUAGCUUUUGGAUCAACUAUUUUCAUCAUUUCUAACAAUUGGAUUAAAUACUAUAACCCAGUGGGGACCACUCAACCCUAGGGGGACUACUCAACUCUAACUGCGUAAUAUCAUCCUAACCCUACAAUUUUUCAUCCAAGGGUUAAAAACUUGAUAGCAAAAAGAGGGUUUUACUAUUAAUAGUAUUCCAGUCUAAUUCUCUCUCUCUCUUCUCCUCUCCCCCCUCUCUCACUCUGUCGUCUCGCUCCGUUCUCCGGUCUCUCUCUAUAUAUAUAUAUAUAUAUAUAUAUAUUAUAGAGUGAGGCUACUAUGCUAUCGGAAGCACGGCGCCUUCUGUGCUCCACUCAUUUUCGAUGUUUGUGACUUUCGAAUCGUCGAUCGGCUCCGUUAAAUUUGACCUAGAGUAUUGAAGUAUCUAGAAAAUAAAUUUUAUGAUUUUACGAUAUCAUUUGCCUAGUGAACGAGAGGGCUUAAAGAUCAACGGCUGAAAUAAAAUCUUAUAAAAUUGUAAUAAUAUGACAUUAAAAUUUUAAAUCAAAGAUAUUGAUCUUGUUUUUAGAUAUUUAAAGAAUUUCUAUCAAAAUUUCACGUGAUUUGGAUUAUUCUACACCGUUAACUUGCAAACGGCUCACUACCACCAUUGCAAUUUUGAUUUUGAGCCCUACGAUCACUAGGCAAAUGAUAUCGAAAAAUAUAAAAUUAUUUUCUAGGUGCUUCAAAUACUCUAGAUCAAGUUUAACGGAGCCGAUCGACGAUUCGAAAGUCGCAACAUCGAAAACGACUGGAAGCACGGAAGGCUCCGUGCUUCCGAUAGCAUAGAGCCUCACUCUAUAUAUAUAUAUAUAUAUAUAUAAUAUUAAUAUAUAUAUAUAUAAAGAGAGAGGAGAGAGAGAGAGAAGAGAGAGAUGCGCCCGGCGCGCGUAUCUGGCUGGUAUACUAUCGGUAGCACGGAGGUCUCCGUGCUACCAAGUUGUUUUCAAUGAUGCGGCUUCCAAAUUAACGAUCAGCUCCGUAGAUCUACACUAUUAAAAAUAUUUGGAAACUAAAUUUUAUAAUUUUUCGACAUCAUUUGGCUAAUGAUCAAAAGAUUUCAAAAUUGACAAUUUUAAUGGUAGAUGUGAUGCAUUUGUGAAUUUAACGGUAUAAAAUAAUUCAAAUCUGAUGAAAUUUUUAUAGAAAUUUUUUUUUAUUAUUUAGAGUAAGAUCAAUAUCUCUGAUCUUAAAUUUAAGUUUUUUAUCAUUAUUUUUAGUUUGCAAAUAUUUUCAAUAGUGUAGAUUAAGUCUAACGGAACCAAUCGUCGAUUUGAAAACUUCAUCAUUGAAAAUAAUUUGGUAGUACGGAGGCUUCCGUGUUACCGAUAGUAUACCAGCCUAGCUCUUGUAUCGCAUCUACCAUUAAUUUUCUCUCUCUCUCUAGAUAUAUAUAGAGAGAAAGUCCAACUGUGGUACUUCCAGUAGAAUAAAGAAGUUGAUACUUCCAAUUUUUUUAACCCUUAGAUUAAUCCCAUUUCUAGCUAAGCUUAUUUUUAACUAAGUUUAUUUCCAAAUGAAAUAAACGAAGCGGGUAGCAUGCUACCUAUCUCUAAAAAAAAAAAAAAAAAAAACCCUUAGAAUAAUCCUUUUCAUCGUUUCUAUUCAUUGAAUUAAUAUCAUUCCGUUAGAAGAACCACCAAACCCUAAGGUAUCGUUUGGUUUGGAAAUAAGGAAAAGGUGGCUAUGAUUAUAUAUCCGCAUUUUACUUUCUCAUUAAUAAUUCAAUAUGAAACAAUCUACAUAUUAAGUAAUAUAAUUUGUUACUUUAACAAAAAGAAACAGUACUCAACAGGCCAACUAAUAAAAAGUGAAAAUGAUCCGGUUCAUCGAUACGAUAAAUAUCAAAAAAGAGUCGAGAAAAAGAAAAAAAAUAAAGCAUGCAAAUGCUAACGUGGUUUAGCCAUUUGCCUAAGUCCGUACGAUCCAAAAUUAAAUUAGAAUUUUCUAGAGAGAUGCCAUGAAUUGUAAUUAUUUUAACUCUAUUAGAAAUAGAUUACAAUUUAAAGUUGGUCUAAACAAAAUGGGUCGGCUUGAUUUAGUGCACAUGUUUAGAGCCGGGUCGGACUGAAUCUUCUAAGCCUCCGGCCCAGCACGGCCCUCCUACCCGAAGGCAUGGGCCGUGCCCGGGACUUGCCCCUUAAUAUUUUUUUGUUAUUUUUAAUUUUUUUAAAAAUAUUAUAAAAUUUAAAGAUAUGAAAAAUUAAGAGUCCGGCCGGAAUGAUUUUAAUAGCAGCAAGUGCUUGAUGCUACUAAAUUUUUCACCGUUAGAUUUAUUUCUUUGACCAUUUCUAUUCAUUAAAUCAUACGAUUAAACUAACCAGACACUCGAUCUCAGGAGAUCGCUACCAUCUUAACUGUACAUUUCUUUAUCCAAGAACCGAAACUUAAUAGCAUCAAUUACUUUGUGCUAUUAAAAGCAUUCCAGCCUAAUUCGAAAGAUUAAAAUAUUUAUAUUUUAAACUGAUAUUUUGAUCAGAAAACUUAAAAUUUAUUAAAAAAAUAUUAUAAGAUAACAAAUAGUAUAAUUUUUUUAAAAAUAAAAAUUUUUAUUUUUGUCACGCCCCGGAUGUCUCGUUCCCCGGGCACGCCGACAAAUCCGCCGUAUACAAAAAAAAUUUUCUGUAUACGAAGCGUCAACAGUACCUAUAGAUAUGCAAUACUACAAACAGUAGCAUAGAGCUGCUAAAUAAACAAAAGCUAAACCAACUGAGCUUCAUGUACAUAGUUCAGAAACCAAAAUACAACGUUACUCGCACUGGCGAGUUAAGUACUAUGUACAUAAGCUCGAAGUAAAACAACUACCUGCUGUGGGGUGCCUCUAGCUCUGUCAGUCGGGUAGGGCUCUAGCUCGCGACGCCCUUGCCUCGAUCCUGAUCCGCGGAAGGCGCAGCAGCCAAAACCUGUGGCUCUGCAAAAACAUAGGUAACAACUGGGCGUGAGAACUACUGUUAAAACAAGUAGUCAUCAGUGGGUACCGCCCAAAACAACAUCGGUCCACCCACUAAGUCUACAGAAGGGAGUAAGAGUAGUCAGAAAAGCAGGAAAUAAACUCUACCGCUAUCGAUCACUACACUAUCAUGCUCUACACUAACCAACUGUAGGAAAUGUCAAAUCUGACCCAAUCCAAUCGGGACUGUAAGCAUACCCGUCCCCGGGACUGUGAAUACACCCGUCCCUGCCCCGUUGCGACUAUCGGGCUCUAUCCACACUAACUGGUCCGUGGAGAGCAAGUCCAACUGGCAUGAGCGACACCAACGCGAAAGCACAAAGCCUGACUCCGGAGUGGCACUCGUGGGCGCUACCCAACCGAGUAUGCAGCGUAUCUCUGUCGAGCUCAAUCAGGCUCCAACUAGCCAAAGUCAAGUGAACAGGGUCAAAACAGGUCUACAAACCAAACCCACGUGCCCUCGGCACAAUCUGUGACCAAAACAAGAAUCUGGGUCCACCGCUAACCCGAACGGCACCCAACGACCCGAAACAGCCUAAACUCUGCUGAAAAAUAAGCUCGGCAUCCCAGCACGAGCGUAAAUGCCUUCUAAACUACCCCAGGUAUCCAUCGCAACGAUACUGCAACGAUACAAUCGAAUCACGGCUCCUAGAGCUAAAUCUGGUAGUUUAAGCAUAUGACGAUUCCAAUCGUGUUUUCUCCUAAGUCAAAUCCCAGUCCAACAUGUACAUUUAAGAUUUACUAGUCAUGUUCUCAAUACUGAUUAUAUCCAGGAUAGCAUCACGAAUAUCAAGCUACAACAUGAUUACCGAAACUAAAAAUCAUACAUGUCGACAAUUACGGUACUUAGGAAUAAACCGAUGUAAACCCACCUCGAAAGCUAUCCCCUGGCAGCGGUACACUCUCACAGCUGUGGCGCCACCUGCUGGGUCGAUCGUAGCCCUUCGAACCCAAGGAUCGCGCUAACUCCAAGCUCUACACCAAACAAUUCACCGUUUCAGUCUAGUUUUCGCAGCAGUGGAGUACAACAAGAAUUCGACCAAGCUAACCUUCACCAAAAUUCACAAGUAAGGGCUUCGUAGAUUUCUCUCGAAGUUCCGAAUCCAACGAACCAAGUCUCGUCGCAAUCCGAUACUCCUACGUCGAGAACGAGCUGAAAUACUAACAGUCGACGGUGGAUUUCAGCAAACAAUAAUUUACCGAGUUGAAGUAGUAAAAACUUGCCCAAAAUCCAGGAAAAUGCUGAAUUACUCACCUCGACAACACCGGGCACCGCUGCGACAGAAAAACGGCGAAAACUUCUGCUCGCCCGGCCUUCUCGCGCUACCGGGCGUCAAACACGAGCUCGAACGACUCCGCGGCGCGAUGUCGACGAUGAAAUCCGAACUCCACCCGAGCUCCACCGUGCACAAGAACCCAGCUAGAGAGAGAGAGGAGAAUAAGAAAAGCUUCCUCUCUCUGCUCUACACCACACUAUAAAGAAGGAGAGAAAGGGGUGAUACAAACGAGGUGGAGAAAUUACCUAAUUACCCUGUCACCUACCCCCUUGUACCGGUACACGGGCUCCUGUACCGGUACAAGAGCCAACCCGAGAGCAGUUGAGCCAUUGCGCGAUGGUUGUACCGGUACAGCCACGCUGGUUGUACCGGUACAGCAAGCAGAGAAUGCUGCUGUUUUGCAGAAUUCUUCGCGAUAAGCUGCCCUCGCAUCGCACGGAGUCCGUUUUACGUCUAUUUGACGCCAACGCGACUCGGACUUGUCCCGACACUCUCCAGAGUUGUCGACAAGCCUCCACAGCCAUACACCAGGGAUUUCACAAUUUUUAUUUUAAAAUUUUGAAUUGGGAGGAGUUCUUAUCUGUUGGACCGAAACAUUUCUGGUCUGUUGAACCAAAACCCACUCUCCUCGCCAGGUUCGUGCUGGCCCGGUUGGCAUGGCCCAAUCGGGUUGUGCUGUGUUAGGCUAGGGGCCGCACCCCUAGUCUGACUCAGCACAACCCGACCCGCAAUCGGUCAGGCCGUAGUAGCCAACAGGCCCAAGGGCAAAGGCGUAGCACGACCUUCACUAAUGGGCCGGACUGGCACAAGUACUGUAGCAUCUGUGCCGUGCUCCACGGCCAGUAAUCAUGCCCAGUCAGGUGGCCUGGCUCUUUUGAAUGAGAGAGUGUUGAGCCGAGCGCGCACGCGCGCGCGCCAGAGAGAGAGAGACGAGUUGAAAUUUUUGGUAUAUAAUUUUUUAAAUUUUCUUUUGGUAUUUUUACACCCGACAAUUUAGAUUUUUUUUUUUUUGUUUUUGUCAUGAAUAAUUAGUAUUAGAGUAAAUUUGAUGUCAGAGCAAAUCACAAAUUCAUAAUAUAUAUAUUUAUUAUUCUUAAUAAUUACUCAUAAUAAUAAUAAUGUAUGCAACACCAUACAUAUAUAACUUCCUAAGUACAGUAAUUCGGAGUUAUCGAUUACAUACGAAGGUCAGGAAAGGCUACCUUUAACAUACCUGCAUACACGACCCUAAAUACUAAAAGCUAUAUAUGUUAUACGUAGGAAAUACACACAUAGUACGUAGCUAAUAGGUAUACAUCACAUCACCCGCAACGUACAUUACUCGGUCGGCGGUUUACACAAGCAGAGGAGCUUCAGGAUGCUCUUCAUGACGCCACCGCAUUUUGGCCCUCCUUUCGGAUUCUCAUUGGCGGCGCAAAACCCCUCCAUGGAGAUCGAUCGCGUAGUAUAUAUAUCUGUAUUUAUUUAUUUUGCGACGACAAUUCACAAGCUAGCCACUGCAAUGCAAUAUAUUGGUAGAGAAUAACUGAACAUAUUUAUAUUUAUCCUAUCAUGAACUAAGGAGGAAGGUGGAAUGUUCGUUUCCAGGAAAAGAAUUGAGCAGUGCAUGGGAAUUGGGUUAGCAUGUAAGUUUAUUUACCAUCCACUUUCCAGUAAAGAUCCACUGCAACAAAUCUUGCUCUCAAAGACACUUUAGACAAUAACUAGUGACGUUUUAAAAUAUCGGUAAGAAUAAUCCUGACGUUUGUAAAAAUGUCGAGCAAAAAAUCGUUAAGUAAACAUGUCGGAAUAAAUAUAUCAACGCUAGCUUUAAUAUAGUAUAGAAAACUUUUUAUCUGUAUAUAAAAAAAAUAUGUUUAUUAGUAACGCAUAAUUAUAAUGUCGGUACAUGCCAAAUGUUGAAGACGCUAAAAUAGAGCGUUAUCAAAAAAAAAUAUCGUCUAAAAUAUAUUUUGUUGUAGUAUGAAUUUGUUUAUGCAUCUCAACAUGCAUAUGCUUCCAAAGUCCAAACAGGACUCCUGUGGUUUUACCUAAGAUUAAUCUAAUUGUGGGUUAACCAAAUGUUGCCAUGCAGGCCAUGUUGGGGUUUUGAUUCUAGGUUAAACUUUGUUGAAUUGAUUAAAUUCAGUUAAUAAAUUUAUUUGUCUAUAUAAAAAUUAACUUAAAUUACGUACGAUAAUCUUAUUCUUAGCUUAAUGGUACAUUAUAUAUAGUUAAUAAUAGAAUGGGACCGUUUAAGCAUAUACCUGCAUCUUGUUUUUACAUAAAAAAUGAGAGAACCAAUCACAAUCCAAAAUAGUAAAAUUUAUUUGUUUUAUAUAUGUUGUUGUCAACGAGUAACUUUUCUAUGAACAUCGAAAAUAUAUCAAGUAUAAUUUAAUACGGCUAAGUUUCAAUUAAAUUGAACUGUUAUUAUCUGUACAUCCAUAUAUAUAUAUAUAUAUAUAUAUAUUUUUAUAUAUAUAUAUAUAUAUAUAUAUAUAUAUAUAUAUAUAUAUAUAUAUAUAUAUAUAUAUAUAUAUAUAUAUAUAACCUAAUCCAAAUUUAAGAUUUGAAAAUCCAAAUACAAGAUAUAUAAAAUUUAAAAUUAUGAAUUACGAAUUUUAAAUUUUAAUCGAGAAUCAAAGAGAAAAAAAAUUUUAGUUCAAAAUAGGAAUCGUAGUUUAUUCUUUCCUUGAUUCUUUUCUGACUAUUGCAUUUUCUUUCAGCCAACUUUUACAGUCUUUUUUCGACUUCUACAACUCUAAAUUCCAGUGUUUCUAUGGUUGAUUCUGCUACUGUUGCAUUAACUGCAUAUACUUUGAUUUGUUUGUUAUUAAAAAUUUUUUAAUAUUUCUCAUGUAUUUACUAUUUUGUUUUUUUUAGCUUUUUUUUUUUUACGAGAUUUUAAAUAUUUUUUCAGUUUAACUAUCCAUCAAAUUUUCUUCUCUUAUAGUUCUAUUUUUUUUUCUCUUUAUCUGUUCUCUAUGUUGGAAAUAUGAUAUAUUAUUUACAUUGUGAUGACUAUUAUAACUUAAAGAGAAUGAAGAAUAAAUUUUAGUACAAAAACUAAAAUUAGAUAUCGAAUAUUAUCUACCGUCACAUUACGCGGCUUGCUACACUAGUAAAAUAUAAUAUGCCAUGUAUUGAAGUGCACGUGUGCACACGGGACGCGUGCAAUAAUUUCGCUUUAUCAAUUGAAUCUUACUUAAUUAAGAGUGCACUUCUCUUCGAAACAGUAAAGUGUGAAGUUUCUAUAUAUUCCUAGUAAUUUUAUACUAUUCCUAGUAAUUUUACAGUUCCCUUCGAAGAACGUACGUGGCUGCAGACAUGGAGAAGUCGGAAAAACGAAAUAACAUUGGACCCCCCCUCCUCACAAAAUUCAAGCUAUUCGAUUAAUUCCCACUUUCCACAAAAUUCAAGCUAUUUGAUUCCCACUUUCCAUUAAUGAUCGGUUACUACAUGACGUUUAGGGCACGUUUGGUUCGCACUAUGAAAGAUUACUAGGAGUAAAAAGAUAUCCGAGAAUCUUAUUUCUAUUCAUUCUAUUACUAAGAAUGUGGCAUUCAUGUGUUUGGUUCGCACGGUCAUAUUAUUUAGUCAUGUUAUUUAAGUUUACAAAAAAUAUACAAUUUAUUUAUUUAUUUCUUUAAUUAAUUUUAGAUAAUGCUACCAAAAAUUUCAACAUCUUUUUAGAAAAAAUAGAAAGAAAAUAUAGGUUAGAGAGAGAGAGCAUAAUUAAAUAAUAGGAAGAAAAAUAGAAUCGACAUUAGAGGGAGUGAGGGAGUUGAAAUUUUAGAAAAAGAGAGGGAGAGAGAGCUUAGUUUAGAGAGAGAAAAAGAGUUGAAUUUUAGAGAGAAAAAGAUAAGUUUAGAGAGAGAUAUGAGGUUAGAGUGUAAAGGAUAAUAAUACUAACUAGCCGGCGGGUAGAGAGAAAAAAAGAGAUUAUACAUAUUAUGAUUACCCAAUUUAUUAAUAUGAGGAUACCCACUCUCCCGCAAGGGAAUGAGAUUAGUACUUUGAGAUGAAUCUUAUUUCCAAGUGAAUCUAAUAUUACCAACUAGAUUACUUAGUGCCUUUAGCCAAACACCGUCAUAUUUUUUUAUUCUCAUUGCAUUAUUAGGAAUCUUAAAAAGAUAGCGCGAACCAAACGCACCCUUAGUUCAUUUCACUUUGUUAUUUUGUGAUUCGUAUCCAAAUAUCAAAAUCGGAUCGAGUUUGCUUAUUUUACUGGUUUUUCGAAUUAUUCUUAUCUUGUUGCUUCUAUGUACGUAUCUCGCAUUUUCCCACUGAGUUCUCGCCUUCUCCCAUGCAUCCACACUCCACACACUUCAAAACCCCUCAUCUUCUACCGCACGUCACACUCCAAAACUUCGAAAACAUAAGUGAAAAUUCUAGAGAGAAAACGGAGAGAGAGGAUGAAGAAAUUUUUGUUUUCUCGUACGUUUAAAAUUCGAAAGAAAAGGAUAGUAUUUAUAGAUUACCCUAACGUAGACGCACCAUAGGGCAACAUGAUUUAACUAUCACUAAAUAAAAUAUUAAAACAAUAAUUUUUGCAAACUAGAAAAUAGUUAAUUUUUGAAUUAAUAAAAAUACACAUAACCUCUAGAAGACAAAUUAAAAUGAAAAAUGUCAGCAACACACCCCAUAUAGGGGUAUUACACCCUUGCAUCCAAGGGUAUAUUUUUUAUAUCUUCAAAUUUUUAAUAUUAAAAAAAAUGUUAAUAAAAUACUAACAAAUAUAAAUGAAACAUAAUUUUUUAAAAAUUAGGUUUUAUAUAUAUAUAUAUAAAACAAAUAAAUUUUACUAUUUUGGAUUGUGAUUGGUUCUCUCAUUUUUUAUGUAAAAACAAGAUGCAGGUAUAUUCUUAAACGGUCCCAUUCUAUUAUUAACUAUAUAUAAUGUACCAUUAAGCUAAGAAUAAGAUUAUCGUACGUAAUUUAAGUUAAUUUUUAUAUAGACAAAUAAAUUUAUUAACUGAAUUUAAUCAAUUCAACAAAGUUUAACCUAGAAUCAAAACCCCAACAUGGCCUGCAUGGCAACAUUUGGUUAACCAACAAUUAGAUUAAUCUUAGGUAAAACCACAGGAGUCCUGUUUGGACUUUGGAAGCAUAUGCAUGUUGAGAUGCAUAAACAAAUUCAUACUACAACAAAAUAUAUUUUAGACGAUAUUUUUUUUGAUAACGCUCUAUUUUAGCGUCUUCAACAUUUGGCAUGUACCGACACCAUAAUUAUGCGUUACUAAUAAACAUAUUUUUUUUCAUAUACAGAUAAAAAGUUUUCUAUACUAUAUUAAAGCGUUGAGAUAUUUAUUCCGACAUGUUUACUUAACGACUUUUUGCUCGACAUUUUUACAAACGUCAGGAUUAUUCUUACCGAUACUUUAAAACGUCGCUAGUUAUAUAUUGUCUAAAAUGUCUUCGAGAGCAAGAUUUGUUGCAGUGGAUCUUUGCUGGAAAGUGGAUGGUAAAUAAACUUACAUGCUAACCCAAUUCCCAUGCACUGCUCAAUUCUUUUCCUGGAAAAGAACAUUCCACCUUCCUCCUUAGUUCAUGAUAGGAAAAUAUAAAUAUGUUCAGUUAUUCUCUACCAAUAUAUUGCAUUGCAGUGGCUAGCUUGUGAAUCGUCGUCGUAAAAUAAAUAAAUACAGAUAUAUAUACUACCCGAUCGAUCUCCAUGGAGGGGUUUUGCGCCGCCAAUGAGAAUCCGAAAGGAGGGCCAAAAUGCGGUGGCGUCAUGAAGAGCAUCCUGAAGCUCCUCUGCUUGUGUAAACCGCCGACCGAGUAAUGUACGUUGCGGGUGAUGUGAUGUAUACCUAUUAGCUACUAUGUUUGUAUUUCCUACAUAUAACAUAUAUAGCUUUUAGUAUUUAGAGUCGUGUAUGCAUGUAUGUUGAAGGUAUAGCCUUUCCUAACCUUCGUAUGUAAUCGAUAACUCCGAAUUACUGUACUUAGGAAGUUAUAUAUGUAUGGUGUUGCAUACAUUAUUAUUAUGAGUAAUUAUUAAGAAUAAUAAAUAUAUAUAUUAUGAAUUUGUGAUUUGUUUUGACAUCAAAUUUACUCUAAUACUAAUUAUUCAUGACAAAAACAAAAAAAAAAUCUAGAUUGUCGGGUGUAAAAAUAUCAAAAGAAAAUUUAAAAAAAUUUCAACUCGUCUCUCUCUCUCUCUCUUUCGCGCACGCGCGCGCGCGCGCUCGGCUCAACACUCUCAUUCAAAAGAGCCAGGCCACCUGACUGGGCAUGACUGCUGGCCGUGGAGCACGGCACGGAUCCUGGCCGUUAGUGAAGGUCGUGCAACGCCUUUGCCCUUGGGCCUGUUGGCUACUACGGCCUGACCGAUUGCGGGUCGGGCUGUGCUGAGUCAGACUAGGGGUGCGGCCCCUAGCCUAACACAGCACAACCCCAUUGGGUCAUGCCAACCGGGCCAGCACGAACCUGGCGAGGAGAGUGGGUUUUGGUUCAACAGACCAGAAAUGUUUCGGUCCAACGGAUAAGAACUCCUCCCAAUUCAAAAUUUUUUUUAAAAAAAUAAAAAUUCUUAUUUUAAAAAAAAUUAUACUAUUUGUUAUCUUUUAAUAUUUUUUUAAUAAAUUUUAAGUUUUCUGAUCAAAAUAUCAGUUUAAAAUAUAAAUAUUUUAAUCUUUCGAAUUAGGCUGGAAUGCUUUUAAUAGCACCAAAUCAUUGGUGCUAUUAGGUUUUGGCCCUUAGAUAAAGAAAUGCACGGUUAAGAUGAUAGCGAUCUCCUGAGAUCGAGUGUCUGGUUAGUUUAAUGGUAUGAUCUAAUGAAUAGAAAUGGUCAAAGAAAUAAAUCUAACGGUGAAAAAUUUGGUAGCAUCAAGUACUUGCUGCUAUUAAAAUCAUUCUGGCCGGACUCUUAAUUUUUUAUAUCUUUAAAUUUUUAUAAUAUUUUUAAAAAAAUUAAAAAUAACAAAAAAAUAUUAAGGGGCAAGUCCUGGGCACGGCCCAUGCCUUCGGCUAGGAGGGCCGUGCUGGGCCGGAGGCUUAGAAGAUUCAGUCCGACCCGGCUCUAAACAUGUGCACUAAGGGGCUGUUUGGUUGUACGCAUUUGCAACUGCAGUGCAGUUGCAAAUGCGUGCAGCCACAAUUCCUUUGUUUGGUUUAGUGUAGUUGAGUUCAACUGCUGCAGUUCCAACUGCACAAGAAGGCCCAAAUGCUGCAGUUGGAACUACAUCCAAAUUGGUCGUAGUUCCAACUGCAGCAGUUGGUGAGGGAUAGGAUCACCCACAAAUUAAUAAUAAUAAAUAAAUAAAUAAAUAGCUAAAUAAAUAAAUAAUAUAUGUAUAUAGGUAAAUAAAAAUACUUAUAAAUAAACUCAUACUAAUAAAAUUUUUUAGACAAUACAAGCUUUGUGCAAAAAAUUAAUUUUUUUAAAUUUAUUUUAUUUAAAAUAUAAAUAUAGUUUUUUUUUCUAAAUUUUUAUAGAAUGUGAUCGUGUAUGUUAAUUUAAUAAGUUUUAAUUAAUUAUAAUUAUUAAAAUUGAUAAAAAAAAAGAGAGAAUCGCUUAAAUUUUUAAAGUUUGAUUUACAUAUUAAAAUUAAAUAAAUUAAAAAUUUUAAAUGUGUCGAUUAAUAAGUUGAAGAAUUAUUGAAAAAUAUAAAAAUAUUAUAUAUAUCUACUUAUUUAUUUAUAAAUAGUAAAUUUAAAUAAUUAAUAAAUUUAUACAAUUAUUUUAUGUUUAGUGAAGGUAACCUCACCACUCUAUCUGAAGAGGUGACAAAAUUCAUAAAUACAACUAUCAGCUUCAUAUUACCAAACAGAAGAAAUGUAACUGCAGCAGUUGCAACUGUGUAAAACCAAACAGACUAGGUGUAGUUAUAACUGCAGCAUUUGCAACUGAAUGUAUUUACAAGUACACUGUUUCUGCAACUACAUCCAACUAAACGGCCCCUAAAUCAAGCCGACCCAUUUUGUUUAGACCAACUUUAAAUUGUAAUCUAUUUCUAAUAGAGUUAAAAUAAUUACAAUUCAUGGCAUCUCUCUAGAAAAUUCUAAUUUAAUUUUGGAUCGUACGGACUUAGGCAAAUGGCUAAACCACUUUAGCAUUUGCAUGCUUUAUUUUUUUUCUUUUUCUCAACUAUUUUUUGAUAUUUAUCGUAUCGAUGAACUAGAUCAUUUUCACUUUUUAUUAGUUGGCCUGUUGAGUACUAUUUCUUUUUGUUAAAGUAACAAAUUAUAUUACUUAAUAUGUAGAUAGUUUCAUAUUAAAUUGUUAAUGAGAAAGUAAAAUGCGGAUAUAUACUAAUGGCGGCAUAGAUUUGGCUGAAACUUUUUAACAACUUAUUUCAAUAAAAGAAAAUUAUGAAAAAUAAGAAAAUAAAAAAUAACUAUAAAAUUGGGCACGUUAGUGAAUCUUAAAGCAGCAUGAACGACAAAUUAAACCUUUACACAUAUUGUGGCUCCCAUACAAUUUUCGUUCCGAAGGAGGUUUCUACCUUGCGAUAUGAAUCAUAUAAUAUAACACAACCAAAUAUUUGUUUCUUUGGUGUUUGUUGUGUGAUUGAUUCCCAAUUAAUUAGAAAAUAUGCAUGUUCUACGGAUUUAACUUGAUAAGCGGAAAGAUUUGAUUUAAUUCUAUAAAUGGUAUUUUAUAAGAUAUACUGAUUAUGAUUACUACUAAGUUAUUUUUGAUGAAUGAAGCAUUUGAGGUUUGCUUGUUUAAACAAAGGAUUUGUAAAUAAUUUUGAACGCUAGUGAGCUAUGCUAAUUAAGGUAUGCAAAAGAGCAGUUCAUUUAAGAGUUUGCCUAAGGAAAACAUAAUAAUAUUAGCUAAAGUUAAUUUCUAAUUUAGGAUUAAUUAUAUAUAGCAGCUAUUUAAUCCUUGUACUUUUGACUUUGAUAUUGGAGAUCUUAAACUGUUGACAAUGUUUUGCUUUAGCGUUUAUGCAUAUUAAUUAGUGCUAUAAAUUAUUGCUUAAUUAUACCUAGUACAUUUAUGCAUUUGCUAAUCAUAGAUUUAAUCAUUGCUUAUACCUAGUACAUUUAUGCAUUUGCUAAUCAUACAUUUACAUCGAUUAUUUACCCUUUAUCAUAUUUGGCUCGAUCAUCCGUUGCUUUAUAGUUUUUCUCUCUCUCUUUUUUUUUUUUUCUUUUUUUACAAUUAAGUUAUCGUAUGAAACUGAUGAAAGAUCGACGAACUUGUAAUGUACUAAAAUUUUAAUAAAUCAUACCCAAGCAACAAAAGUUUGAAAUCUAAAAUGAAACAAUACUUGUGAAAGUUCAACCAAACACAAUGAAUGGUGUGGAAAAUCAAAUCGAGUCAAACCGAAAUUUUUCGGCUUGAUUUGGACAAAAUAUUUGGACUUUUACAUAGAGUUUGCAUAAUAUACUAGUUAAUUUAACUUUUCAUUUAUCAAGCUAAUUUAUCUAAAUUAAAUUUCAUAAAUUUUUUUAUAUAAUUUAUCUAGUAAUCAAGCAGUCUCAAACACAUGUUAUAUAUAUCGUUGAAAUUUGUUGAUUUUGAGACCACUUAAACAGUAAAUAAAUAAUAUGAAAAAAUUAUGAAAUUUGCUCUAAAAAGUUCAUGAGAGGUUGAUUUUGCUUAACGGUGUCAAUCGUUGACUCGGAUGCUUCACUAUGGGAUAUGGCGCAAAAGUAUUCUAGCGCAAUUCUACAUAUAUUUAUAAAUACGUACUUAUGCACAUACGCAUAGAUACAUACACGUAUACGAUUGAAAAAAUACAAAAGGGUGUUUUUGGUUUGAUAAGUUUCAAUUUGCAACCCAAAAUCAAGUAAAUAUAUUUUAAAGUUAAAACUAAACUAUUUACAACUAAAACCAGACAGAGCCAAAUGAAUCAAUUAAAAAUUUAAAUCAAGCCAAACUUUCCAUGCUUUCGACAAAUUUUUGGCGGAUUAGGACGGAUCAAGGGAAGAAAAAGAUCUCCCUUUGUUUUCUGCUCUAUUUCUUUAACGAUUUGAAACAAAUUCAGAAAAAUUAUUUUUAUUUUUAUUUUUAACCCUUAGGGUUAUUUAUUCGUAACGAAUCGGAGCGAGAGCUCUACUAAUCCCGAUACAUUUGCAUGGCACCGGUGCUUAUUCUCCAUUAGUUAAGUGGCACGUGACCAUCUCACGUGCUCGACAAAUACCCCUUUUUCAUCCUAAGAUUUCUCUUUCUCAUCAAAGGAUCUUUGUCCCCCUUAAUACAAAACGUCAAACCUCGUGCCAUCCAACUAGGGGUGUAAAACGGGCCGGGCGGCACGUGGGCCGCCCGGCCCGGCACGGCCUCGGGCCGGGCUACAACACGGCACGGGUACUGUAGCAUCCGUGCCGGGCCGGGCCGGCCCGAGCCUUCGGGUCGUGCUGGGCCGCUCAUAUGUGGCCCGACCCCGGCACGGCACGGCCUCGAUACGGCCUCGGGCCGUGCGGCCCGAGGUCGGCGGGCGGCCCGGCACGGCGGCCCGUUUGGGGCCGUGCACGCGGGCCAGCACGGCCCGGGCCUCAAGGGCCACCGAGGCAAAUGCAUUUUUUUUUUUUUUUUUUUUUUUUUUUUUUUUUUUUUUUUUUUUUUUUUUUUUUUUUUUUUUUUUUUUUUUUUUUUUUUUUUUUUUUUUUUUUUUUUUUUGGGCCUUGAGGCCUAGCUCCUGGAAGGAAGGAAGGAAGUCCCUCCUCCCCAGGAACUCUCUCCCAAGGUCCAACCUUCGGGAGAGAGGCGCCAUAGCACUCCUCCCGCAGCAGCUCCCCCACGGCCCCACGGCGCCGAACCCCGAAAGCCCUCGCCCGCCCUGUCGCCCCGCUCCGGCACCCGGCCCCAAAUCCAAGGCCCCACCCGUUCCGGCGUCCCUCCGCCUCCGACCUCUCCCCCCGGCUCCCCGACCUCUCCUCGCCACCUCCUCCGAGAUCCCCUCCACCGAGCCCCCUCCUCCCCCGAAAGCCCGACCGCCCUCGAAAACCUCCGCGCCUCCGUUAAUUUUUUUUAAAAAAAAUAAUAAAAUUUUUUAAAAUAAAUAAAUAAUAAAUAUUUAACUACAUCAAAUUUUUUUUAUAAAGUUUUAAAUAAUUUAAUCAAAUUUUUUUAAAAAUUUAAAAAGGGGCCGGCCCGAAGCACGGCCCCGCCCGGCACGGCCCAUGCCUUCCGUGCCGAGGGGCCGUGCCAGGCCGAAGGGUAGGAGUUCGGGCCCGGCACGGCCCGGCCCGGAUUUGGUCACGGGCCGGGACGGGCCAGGCCCUAGCCCGUUUCGGCCCGAAAAAUGUGGACCGUGCCUGCCCGGCACGGCCCACAUUACACCCCUAUCAUCCAACUUGGUGUACAACACGUGUAUAAAUUCUCUGCAGAUUCAGUGCACAAAGAAACAUUAUAUUUAGCGAUGAACUAUACUUUUUAUUUUGAAAAUCGGUGCCCUACACUUUUCGUUUGUAAGCCAGUACAGCACUCGCUUUCCUCUGAUAAUGAGCAAGCUACCUUUAACUUGCUAACGGAAAGACUAAGGGAGCGUUUGGCCUAACUUUUAAAAAACUUUUUUGGACUGAAAAGUGAUUUUCGGCUCAAUAGAACGUUUGGCAACUCACUUUUAAAAUCUGAUUUUUCUUUUUAGAAUCAGAAAACAGAUUUUGAAGACCUCAAAAUCAGAAGCAGAAAAAAGCUGCUUCUUGAAGACUGAUUCUGAUUUUGGAUUUAAACUUCAAAAUUUUAUUUUUAUUUUAGUUUUAAUAUUUAAAUUUAAUUUUAAUUUUAAAUUUUGAAUUUUAAUUUUCAGAUUCAUUUUCAAAUUUUUAAAUUUUAAAUUUUGAAUUUUAAAUUUUGAAAUAUAGAUUUUAAAUUUCAAAUUUUAAUUUUAAAUUUUAAAUCUCAAAUUUUAGAUUUUAAAAUUUCAAAUUUUAUUUCAAAUUUCAGAUUUUAAAAUUUCAAAUUUCAAAUUUCAAAUUUCAGAUUUUAAAAUUUUAAAUUUCAAAUUUCAAAUUUUAAAUUUUAAAUUUAAAAUUUAAAUUUCAAAUUUUAAAUUUCAAAUUUGACAAUUUAGAUUUUAAAAUUUAAAUGUAAAAAUUUAAAAUUUUUAAAUUUUAAAUUAUAAAUUUUAAUCUUCAAAUUAUAAAUUUCAAAUUUUUAAAAUUAAAAAUUUAUAAAUUUUAAUCUUCAAAUUAUAAAUUUAAAAUUUUAUAAUUUAAAAUUUAAAAUUUUAAUUUUUAAAUUUUAAAUAUUCAAAUUUUAAAUUUUAAAUUUUAAAUAUUCAAAUUUUAAAUUUUAUAUUUUAAAUAUUCAAAUUUUAAAUUUUAUAUUUUAAAUUUCAUAAUUAUUUUAAAUUUUAAAUUUUAAAUUUAAAUUUUAAAUUUAAAUUUUAAAUUUAAAUUUUAAAUUUAAAUUUUAAAUUUUAAAGUUUAAAAUUUAAAUAUAUUUUUAAAAUUAAAUCGCUUUUCAAACAGCUUUUCAAAAUUUUUAAUUUGCCAAACAACUUUUUAAAAUCACUUCAGAAAAAAUCACUUUUAUCUAAACUCUGCCAAACGCUCUAUACCUUUUCCGCAAAAUCACUUCUCCAAACCAAAAUCACUUUUCAGAAAUUACUUUUUCAGAAGCUAGGCCAAACAGGUCCUAAAUUGCAAUGAAAAGUGAGAGAGAAAGAGCUUUCCAAAAUCAAAAUGUAAAAUUUUCAAUCUUGGUUCUCUCCCUACCGAAUUCCUAAAAAUAAGAUUCAUUAUUUUAGAGAUAUAAAAAGAAGAAAAAAAAAAUAUUUUGUCUAUUCGAUCCGAAAAAAGCAGCGGGGAAUGCACAUUUUCUUGAAACAUUUUCAAAACUUCAACUCAUUGUUUUCCAACAUUGAAAGGAUUUUUUUUUUUUUUUCACCGACCGUCCCUAGAGUAAGUAACAAAGGGCUUGGUGGUUGGUAUUUGAGACCCAAGUUCGAAUCUUAGUUGAUUCACAUUUCUAGCUAAAUUUAUUUUUAAAUAAAAUAAACGAAGCGGGUAGUGUGCUAUCUAUCUCUAAAAAAAAAAAAAAGAAAAUAAAAAGAAAAAAAUAAUAAUUUUUUUUUUGAGAAAAAGUUAGCUUGCUAUCCGCUUCAUUCAUUAAAAUUAUGAACUAAACAACAUGGGUGAGGUAAUAGAUCUCAGUCGAGACGAAAAAAAAAAAGGUUUAACAAAAUACUAAGUAGCUACUUUGCUGAGGUGAAUUCGUCCCACAAGUUUUUCAAGUACCUGAUCUUAUUAACUGCUAGAAAAGGAUCCGCGUUAAUCUUUUGAAAAAUCGUAUCAUUUCCGACCUUCCAAAUAACCCACCAGCAGGCUAUCAGUCCAAUCAGCUUAGAGCAAGUAGGUUGAUUUCUACAUCUUAAAAUUCACUUAUCCUAGAUGGGGGACACUUCGACACCUAGGCCUAUCGAUUGAACAACCUCCAAUGCUAUUACUAUUAGGAAUUUACUAAAUACGCAUUGGGUGAAUAAAUGGUCCAUAGUUUCAUCUUCAAAUAUGCACAGUACACAAGCUAUAUAGUUCCCAACCAUCCUCUUUUAAGUAGGUUGUCCGCCGUAAGAUAUCUCUUCUUAAGGACAAGCCAGGUAAAGGUUUUAACUUUUAAGGAUAUUCCAAGACUCCGAAAUUUACUAACAUCCUACAUAUCUCUCUCAAAAAAAAAAAAAGUACCGAUAAGAAGAGUGUAUUUAUUUAUCGCACUUAAGGGCUCAAUCAUAGUACUUACAGAUUUCGAUCUAUUUUAGCCAAUAAUAAAUAGCGAAUUUAGCAUAAAAAUUUAUAGAAAAACAUAACUUAAUCAAAUUGGGCGAAAAAUCUUGUUGAGUUUGACAAUUUUAAAUCGCCAUGAAAAAUUUUUCAAAUAAGCAUAAUUUUUUGUUGGAGUGUCCGGCAUGUUUGUUUCAUCGAAACUGGACUUUGGGUUGAAGUGGACUUUGGGUUAAACUGGAGUUCGGUGAAAACUAUUUCUUUCUUGCUGUUUGUUUCGUAGUUAUGGAAGUGAAGUUCCAUUAGUUCUGCUGUUUGUUUGGUAGGAAGUGUAUAAUAUAAAACUAUAAUUUAUAUAUAAAUAAUAAAUAUUUUAAUAAUAAAAAUAAUAUAAUUAUAUUUUUAUAUAAUUAAAACUUAAUUUAAAACAACUAAAUUAUUUUUUUAUAUAUAAAUUAUAGUAAUACAAUAAUAAAAUUAUAAAGUAAAAAAAUAUUAAUACUUAAUUAAUUAAUUUUUAUCAUAUCUUAAAUGUACAAGCUAAAUAAACAAAAUAUUAAAAUUUAACUAAUCAAUUUUUAUCAUAUUUUAGAUAUAUUAACUAAAUAAAAAAAUAAUUAGUAACAUAAUUAAAUAUAUUUAAAUAUAACUAGCUUUAUCUAUUAUAUUAUUUUAUUAUCUUUUUUUUCAUCUUUCUUCAUCGUAAUUGACUUCGGCUCAUGAUGGGGUGAAGUCAAUUACGCCGUUUGAGGUUAACUCGAAUUUCGACCGUAAUUUUUUUACGGCGAACCAAACAACGGAAAUGAUCGUUUAGGGCGAAAACGACUUCUCUCCUCUCCACUUCCGCCCCACUUCCACCCAAACAAACAAGUCCUUAGCGUGCAAAUUCAAGUUCAGAAAAUAUUUUUUAAAAGCUACUCUUCGAACUGAGGAACCAUUUCGUCAAGUUUGGCAUCCAAAUUCAACUGUUUAGACAACUGAAUUUGCAUAUUUUAGAUUAUUUUUUAAAAAAAUUUAUAUAUUUUUUUUAUUUAAAGUCCGGUUAUUUAAUAUUUCUGAUCGAUUUAAAUUUAAAGACAUAUUAGAGUUUACUAUCUCUUGUCAUAGAAGGGUUCAGAUAUUGUCUUUAUUUAUACGUGGUGUUUUCGAUUAUUGUAAUUAGUUUUCAGAGUUAAUUAAUAAUAUUUUUUUUGUUAAAAAAAUUAUAUUUUUCGUAUAUUCUUUCACGUCCCUGCACUCCGUACGGCUUAACAAUAACAUAUAGAUUUACAUAAUCUAUAUGUUAUAAGAUUCAAUAAAUCAAAUAUUACCAACCAUCAUAUAUAUUAUAUUUUUUAUUGAAUCUUAUAGAUUUACAUAACAUCAUAUAUGUCGCAAAAGGAAGUAAUGCAAUUUCUUAUUAACCUGAGAUAUUGUAUAGCAAAAUCAAGCCCCUAACUUGUAAUCUCGAUGCGUACUUGCGGAAGUUACAGAGUAAAAAAAAAAAACUUCAAAAAUUUGCGAAUCCUCACUUUUGUUCGAAUCAAACAUUAACAAUAGCCUUUACCCACUGGUUCAUUAGCCAAUAAUUCUAUGGUCAUUAAUUUAUUAGGUUACAUAUGAAAGAGAUCAAUAAAUAUGAUAAAUAAAGCACUGGAUAUAUAUAUAUACAAUCAUAUAUAGAGUGAGGCUACUAUGCUAUCGGAAAGCACGGAGCCUUCCGUGCUUUCAGCUCGUUUUCGAUGUUGUGACUUUCGAAUCGUCGAUCGGCUCCGUUAAACUUGAUCUAGAGUAUUUGGAGUACCUAGAAAAUAAAUUUUAUUAUUUUUUGAUAUCAUUUGCCUAGUGAUCGAAUGGGCUCAAAAUCAACAAAUUUCAAUGGUCGUAGUGAGCCGUUUGCAAGUUUAACGGUGUAGAAAUAUCCAAAUCACGUGAAAUUUUGAUAGAAAAUUCUUUAUAAUAUAUAAAACAAGAUCAAUAUCUUUGAUUUAAAAUUUUAAUGUCAUAUUAUUACAUUUUGUAAGAUUUUUAUUUUCAGCCGUUGAUUUUGAGCCCCUUCGUUCACUAGGCAAAUGAUAUCAUAAAAUCAUAAAAUUUAUUUUUCAGGUACUUCAAAUACUCUAGAUCAAAUUUAACGGAGCCGAUCGACGAUUCGAAAGUCAUAACAUCGAAAAGAAAGCACGGAAGGCUCCAUGCUUCCGAUAGCAUAGUAGCCUCACUCACUACUCCCAAGUUUAGCUCAAAAACGACCUAUUUUAACUUAUAAUGAAUUUUUCUAAUUAAGGUCAAUUAUAAAUCAGAGUUUGUUUACUCUUAAUCCUUCUAGGAUCUCAAGUCUUCUAGAAGAUCGAAUUAGAGUCAAACCAAAUCUAUAUCACAUCUCAAGUACUAUAAUUGAAUAUAAAUACGUUCACAUGAGAAUCUCUUUAAUUCCUCGUAUUAGAGUCAAAAGAAGGAAAAAAAAAAAUGGAAAUUAUUUUUUUCUUUUCCUUAUAGCAAAUGCAUCGCCUAAUUAAUUGUUUCGAUCCCAUUUGAAAUUGCCCGAUAGAUUGCGUCAUGUGUAUAAUAAGAAAAUAUGAUUAAAAAAUAUUUUAUUAUUGUCGUUCGUAACAUCACGUUGCCUAUUUCGUAAUAAAUAAUUUAAAUAUAAAUUUUACAAGGCUCAUGGGAUAACCAAAAAACAUAUUCUACAUGUUUUUGUGUAACUAUUUUUGACUUUGUACUUCAACAAAAAAUGACUUCACUACAAACUAAGUUCUUGGAUGGAACAAAUAAAUUAUAAAUUUAAAGGCUCGUGGAGUUUCUAUCCCACCAUUAAUUAAUUAUGUUACUUGUACAAUAUCUCGAAACCGCUUUUACUUUUUUAUACCACUAUUUACUACAAAUCAAAACUAACCAUAGUGCCAAACAUUUUGUCCAAAACUAUGGCUAAAUAUCCCUUUUACUCCUUAAAGUUUAGACUUUAUACUUUAUCAAAUAGGUAAGUACUGUAUACUAAACAAUAUGAUGACAUAAUUUGAACUAAAAACAAUAUUCAAAUUAUAAACUGAAUAGAAACAAAUUGUCCUGUGUAAUAUAAACUGAAUCAAAGAGUACAAGUUAUCUGAUAGUCUACUAUAAUAAAGGGAAAAUAAAUUAUUUUAUAUUCUAGAUUUAAUAAAAUUCUAACGGAAAAUAAUGUGGCUAAUGCAAAAGAUUGACUUUUGGAUGGGCAGGUUGUUUUUUUGUUUUUUUUUUUUUUGAGAGAGAUAGGUAACACGCUAACCGCUUCGUUUAUUUCAUUUAGAAAUAAAUUUAGCUAUAAAUGUAAAUCAACUAGAAUUCGAACUUGGGUCUCGGGUACUAACCACCAAACCCUUUGCCACUUGCUCUAGGGACGGUCGGUUGGAUGGGCAGAAAGUGAUUGUAGAUCUAGUAUUGCUCUUUACAAUAUUAUAUAUUUAUAAAUUUUUAAGCUUUGAAGGAUAGGUUAAAAAUUGCCCUAAAACAAUAUGACACAAUUUGGGAUUAUAGAAAGACCAUGUUAGAUACGAUGAGAAAGUAAAAUAACAAAAUAAUAUUAUAUUUUAUAUAUUAUAAUGAGUUAAUUAUAAUAUAUAUUUUGCAGUUACACCAAAAAAGCACAGAAAUAUAUCCACAUAUUCAUUUUCACCCAAACUAUAUUUUGCUUAUUAAAUGUAGAUAGGCCUCAAUACCAAAGGAGUCAUAAAUACUUGACGCAAAAUAGGUCUUUACUUAUAUACCCUUAAAACUUUUAAAAAAUUUUAAAUUUAUUUCUCAGUCCCAAACAAUGCCCUUCUAAAAUUCAAUCCCAUUAGCAAACCCUAUAGAGGGAAAAAGAGAAUUUUUUAAAAAAUCAAUAAGAAUAUUUUGAUCAUCCAAGGCGAAUAAGAUAUUUUUAAAUUUUGAAAGAUAUAUUAAAUAUUAUGCCAUAGAUUAAUUACAAUUUUAUUUGAGAAAUUCUUUUUGAAACCACCAUGGCAUUUUGGUUGUCCAAACAUUUUGUCCAAAAAUUUGAGGAAAGAUUCUUUUUACCUCUUACUUUUAAACUUUAUACAUUAUCAUUUUAGGACCUAAGUUGGAAUACUAUCUAUAGUGGUGCUAUUAGUGUUUUAGUCUUUGGAUUGAGAAAUAUGCGGUUAGGAUGAUGUGGGCCCCCUACGGUUGAAUGGGUGGUUGGUUGAAUAGUAUAAUCUAAUAGAUAAAAAUAAUCAAAGAAUUAAAUCUAACGGUGGAAAACUCGAUAACACCAAGUUCUUGAUGCUAUCGAUAGUAUCCCAGCCGGACUCAUCAUUUUAGUACUAUACUAUUAAAAAAAUGGGAAAACUUCAAAAACCCCCCUUGUGGUCUUAAUUUUUUUCACUUUAGUACCCUGUGGUUUAAAAUGUAUCAAGUUAGUACAUUGUGGUUUCUCACUUUAUCACUUUAGUACCCUGUGGUUUAAAGUGUAUCAAGUUAGUACCAUGUGGUUUUGCAUUUUAUCACUUUAGUACCCUGUGGUUUUGAUUUUGUAUCAAAUUAGUACCCUGUGGUUUUUUAAACUAUAGGGUACUAAAGUGAUAAAGUGUGAAACCACAUGGUACUAAAGUGAUAAAGUGCAAAACCACAGGGUACUAACUUGAUACACUUUAAACCACAGGAUACUAAAGUGAUAAAGUGAGAAACCACAGGGUACUAACUUGAUACACUUUAAACCACAGGGUACUAAAGUGAUAAAGUGAGAAACCACAGGGUACUAACUUGAUACACUUUAAACCACAGGGUACAAAAAUGAAAAAGUGUGGAACCACAGAGGGGGUUUUUGAAGUUUUCCCUAAAAAAAUAUUCAAAUUAUAAACAAGUUGUUCUAUGUAAUAUAAAUUGAACCAAAAGGUACAAGUUAUAUUAUAGUUAGCUAGAGCAACGCUUGUGUACUUUUAGAAGUACAUUGCUCUCGUUACUAUCAAAUCGAUUUUGAUUUUGAGACUUUUUAAUAAACGAUCUACUUUAUUAAAUUUAAUUUAAAAUAUUUAAAGUAUUUUAAAAAUAAUUCAUAAUUUUUUUAUAUUAUUUAUCUAGUGAUCGAAUGGGCCCAAAAUUAACAAUUUUAAUGAUCGUGGUGAACUGUUUGCAAGUUUAACAGUACAAGAAUAUUCAAAUCAUGUAAAAUUUUAAGAAAAAAACUUUAUACCAUGUAAAAAAGAUUAAUAUAUUUGAUCUAAAAUUUUAUUAUCAUAUUAUCACUUUUUGUAAGAUUUUUAUUUUUAGCUGUUGAUUUUGAGUCAUUUCAAUCACUAAUUAAAUAAUAUCGAAAAAUUUAAAAAUUUAGUUUUUAGAUGUUUUAAAUACUUUAAAUCAAGCCUAUUGAAACCGUUCAUUGAUUCAAAAGUCUCAGAAUCGAAAAUAACGGUAAGGAGGCUAUUGUACUUUUAAAAGCACACAAGUCAAACUCUAAUUAGCUAUAAUAAAGGGCAAAUAGGUCAUUUUAUAUACUAUUUCUAAUAAAAUUCUAACAGAAAAUAAUGUAAGUAGUGCAAAAAGUUGACUUUGAAUGGCCAAAUUAAAAAAGUUGGUUUUAAAUCUAGCAUUGCUCUUUACAAAAUUAUUUAUAGAUUUAAGUUUGGAAGGGAAGGUCAAAAUUUGCCCUAAUAAUACUGUUUAAAAUUACGGAGAAUUAGUGUUAGGUAUUGUAAGAAAGUACAAUUAAAAAAUAUCAUAUUUGUUUCAAUACAUAAUAUCGCAUUUCACAUAUUGCAAUAAGUCGAUUAUAAUAUAAUUUUUACGGUUGUACAGGAAAACACAAAAAUAUAUCUACAUAUGCAUACUUUUGCCUCAAUUUUAUUUUGACUAUUAUAGAGUUCCAUUCGCCGCAAUACCAAACAUGCCCUAAAUUAAUGUUUGAUACAAAGUAAGACUUUUGCUUAUAUAGCCAUCACUACUAUUAAAAAUUUUCAAAGUUACCCCCUCAAUACCCAAAAUACCUUUUGAAAUCUCAAUUCCAACAGUAAACCCUAGAGAAAAAAAAGUAAUAUUUGAAGAAUUUUUUCUAAAUUAAUAAAGAUAUUUUUGUCAUCCAAAAAUAAUAAAAUAUUUUUGAUGUUUUGAAGAAUAUAUUAGCUAUUAUCUCAUAAGUUAACCGUAACUUUAUUGUAUCAAUGUAUAUAUUCUUCAUCUAAGCCGUAUUGAAAAACCUAGUAUAAAAUAGGCAAGGCUAGAUACGCAAUCCAAAAGUGGUUGACAUCAUGAUUAAAGUGUCACUACAACAGAAAUAGGUUAUAGGGACAUAUGUUUGGGACAUUUUUGAGUAAGUGUCCCAUUUAUCCUAAAACUUAAAAAAAUAUCUACUAAUGCCUAAAUAUAAAGCUCAAUCCAACCAAAAAUAAAAUAUUACUCUACUCAACUCACCACACCCGAUCCAUUUGGCCCGAUUACAAACAAAAAAGAAAAAAAAGAAAAAUUAAUUACCAUCUUUUCUUCUCUCUUCACUCAAUCUACUGAAAUUUUAGACGAAGAGCCUUUCCUAUCGUCCUCCUCUGCCACCGCAGCCAACGAGAUAGAGUUUCGGCGGUUGCUAAAUACUUAAAUAAGUGUUGGUAAAUUAGCAGCACUUUUCUAGAUUAUAGCGACACUCUUUAACUGUCACUAUAUACCUAGCGACCCCACAUUCAGCAACACUUUUUAAAAGUGUAGGUAAUUUUAGCUAGCAGCACUUUUUUGACAUGUACCUACAUUUAAAAGUGUCGCUAUAGACUAUUUUUAUUGUAGUGUGUCCAUCGAUACGGGUCGUAUCCAUCGUAUCGUAUUGUGCAAUCAAGAUAUCAGCAUGAUACAACUCCCGUAUCGAUGGCACAGCUCAAAACUCUUAUUCUUAAAAUUAGUAUUUCUCAUUAAAGUUCAAAAGAUUUGAUAAAAAUACAAAAUAAAUAAUUAGCAUAUUUUGUUACUAAAAAAAAAUAAAUAUUUCAUACCAUUACAUAUCAGUAUAUAUAUAUUUUUUGUGAGUAGCACGCAUCGGCAGUGCCCGGCAUACACCACAUGCCGUACCAUGUCGGCAAAUUUUCGAUACUGCUCCGUGGCAUAGCACUUAAAUCCUUGGUUGCCAUCAUACAAUUUCAUGAUGCAAGUGCAAGCCACUUUUAGAAGAAAGAAAAACCUAAGAACAAAAAUAAAGAUACACAUAAAAAAUAAUUUUUUGAAAAUAUAUUGUAAAUUAAAACAUUAGGCCGCUGCAGUAAUCAAACACCACACGUAUAUAAUAGGCGAUACCCGACUCUUACUAGAAAAGAAAAUAACAUAAUCUAAAACAUCUUUAAAUCUAAAUUAACUAAAAGUAAUCAUAACUGGCUAAACAAUUCGAUUCAAAAAAAAAAAAUACAAAUUUUUUUUCAAAAGAAGUCUAAAAAUAUAAAUUCAAAGAUCUAAAUAUAUAAUUAAAUUUAGAUUCUAAACUGCGUCCCAAACUGGGCCGAAACAAUAAAAUGAUUCAACACGUAGAUCUCGAAAAUUUGUUUCUGAAUUAGGACAGUAUUCCUUAGCGAACUAAAGGCCAAGUUUUAUAUACUAAUCUUAAAAAUAUUUUUCUAUUUUUUUUAUAAUACUCUAUUCCCAGGGUGUGGAAUAGUGUUUCGUACUCCCUUAAAUAAAUAUAUCCCAUUGACUAAAGAAAAAGACAAAUUCGUCUUCUCCAACCAGUUUUUGAACGAGGACAAAACAAGGGAAAGAAAUACAAGGCGCGAAUCACAUUUUUUGCAUUUUUUUUAUCGAUAGGCCCAUUGACUUGACUUGGACUAAUUGAAUGUUCUUGGAAUUUAAAUUAAUUUAUGGAAAAGAGCUCCAAAUUUUGAAGCUUCCGAGAUGCUUGGAUAUGCAAUUGUAGAGACAAAUUAUUGCGCACACUUAGUCCACCAUGUUAGCCGUAGACCGCGAAGGUAUCCAUGCUAUAUCAAUUACCUUAAUUCUUUUUAUCUCCACCACACUUCAAAAACAAAUGUUUAAAAUGAGAAGUGAUUGAAAAAUACAUAGGGCGACUUCUAUUAUGGAUGCAGGCUCCAAGAGCUAAAUAAAAUUUCAGUGGAGAGCUCCACGAUCGAGCAGAGUGCAAAUAGGUUGCACUUAAUCCGUUUUAAGAUUCACAAAGAUUACAGCCAUAUAUAGCUUCUAUGUAUAGUAAGUUAAAAAGUAAUAAUAAGCCAGUCUCAACAGCAUUGAGUUAAUGUGAGUUUAAAAUAGGUCUAUAUAUAAGAUAUAAUUUGACUAAACCUUUUAACUCAGUUAUAACAUUUUGAGUAAUAAUUAGACCCAAGAGGCUCAGAGCUAGAGUAGUUCUAGAAUUGAUGAUCCACCUGAGAAAUAGGGCAUUACAGUUGAUAUUAGAGCCAAUCACCAAACGAAAGUGUAAGAUAAAUUUCGAUUGAGUUAGGAUCUGAAUGACAUGUUAAAAUAGAGUCUGAAAAUGACGAGUUAACUCAGGAUCUGAAUGACAAUGCUAGCGAGAUGAAUCUCACAUCAUCUGUUGCUUGUGAGUGUCUUGAGCCUGACGAGAACAUCAAGACUUAAAAGGAGGAAGAAUGUGACACUCCUAAAAUUUGGAAUAGCCAUAUAUUUAAGAUAUAACUGGAUGAAAAUUUCUUAAUCUAGCUAGAGUAUUUUAGACGGUGGCUAGAUUCAAAAAAGUUAAAAGAGUUAAGCGUGCUAGAAUUAGAAUAGUUUUAUAAUGAAUGACCUUCGUAGGAAGCGGGGUGUCACAGAUAAUUUCUACUUUAAUUAUACGAAGAAAUGAGUUUUGCAUGGGCUAAUAGGAGAAUAUAUAUUCCACUAAUACUCUAUUCCAUUAUUGCUCAAGAGUCGAAACUGAAGGCUAAUUAAUAGCUUCUUUAGGGCUUUUCAUCAAAUAUAGAAAAAGGAAAGAAACUAAAAUAAUAACAAAAAUGACUACGAGCACAUGCGUAUCAUUAUAUCAACCAUUAUUUGUACGAACUAAGACUAAUAAGAAGCCAUUUGUAAAUAAUGGGCCCAAAAUUAAUUAAGAGGAUAUAUCUUCCCUCAGCGGAAGCAAAAAAAGGUCCAAAAUAUGAUCUCGGACUUUAGUGUAAUACAUAUAUUAGAAUAAAAAGUCGGCAAUAAACGCGUCUGCAUUCGAGGGGCGAAUUUUCGUCAAGAAAUGUGUUGCGAUCGCGACCUGAUUUGGUGGAUUGUGCAAGCCGAUCGAUCAAAGGAUUAAGAUCUUCGCGCGUUGCAAGAUGAUUAUUUGAUUUGCGAAAGUGUUUUUUUUUAAAAAAAAUUUUACCGUGUGGGUAUAGUUUAUUUGAUUUGCUAAAGAAUUCAAGGGGAAUAGGAACUCCCAUUUGAUUAUGAUUUGGAUUAUGAGUUCAAUUAAUUAAUGGUGUUGAAGGACUCAUUUCUUCGCAAUAAGCUCUCCAGAAUCUGUACAAAAAUCAUUAUACUCAGUUCAUAUGAGGGUGGACCUUUUUUAUAGAUUUUUUUUUUUUCAAAUUUUCUUUUGUACUGUAUGUAGGUUUUCGACGUUGGUACCUAAACCGCGGGGACUCCAAAUUAAGCUCGAAUUUUUGAUCUCCUUGACGUUGAAUAAAUCUGUGACACACUAAUAUUUUUUACAUCAGAUAAUACAAGGAGUGUGAGGGUCUUAUAUACGUCCAGCGCUAGCUCUAAUAUUAAUAACUAAACUUAAAUAAUUUGAAUCGAUAAUUUGAGCCAAAAAAACUUACUUGUAUUAAUGAACUGGAUCAUUAAUUCUAACAGGGGUAAUAAGCUUCUUUAUAAGCCUAAUGAAAUUUUUGCAUGAAAGAGAUGCAUGGCUAAUUCUUACUUAAAAAAGAAUUUAAGAUGGCUAAUUAAUCAAAGAGCAACUACUACGUGAGCAGAGAGAAGAUAUUAAUUUAUAUACGUUCUUCAAAUUUAGAGUACUCUCUUUUCACAUGUUUUAUGCUCUGAAACCGGUUUUUGUUAUUUCAUGGUUGUUGUGUGUGUAAUAUUUUAAGCAUCAUAUAUAUACUAGCGUUUCCACUAGAACAACUAGUGAUGUCGAAAGCACCAUUUGCUCGUUUUCUUUCCCACGCGCCAAAGAAAAAUAAAGAUUCUUUUUUUGCAUUAAAAAUGUACUGAUUUUAUAUUUUUACAAAAUUAAAUUAUUUCUUAUUUGUUUAUUUUCCUAAAAUUGACGAAAAUAUUAUUAUUUUUUGUUUUUGGUCUCUCUCAUUCUUUUCUUUUUCCUCUCGCUUAUUUUUUGUUCUCUUCAUCCACCAACCGCACGCUGCCGCUAUGCUCCUCCUCCUACCUCACCGACAUCUCUGUCGCCACUGCCGCCGAGGGCUUGAACACGGCACAGACUAAGGAGGUGAGGGCAUGGUAAUAGCGUAGUUCGAGGCGGUAGGGUAAUGGAGCCAGAGGUGGUGGAGGAGGAAGAAAGAGAAAAGAAAUAUUAUAAACUAGUUCAUUUUUUUUGUCUUUUUUAUUAAAUAUAUAAAAUAGUACACUAUUUGACUAUAUAUUAGAUUAUUUCAUUAUUAGUAUACAAAUAGUACACCAUUUGUAUCUUAUUUUAUAAAAAAUAAAAAAAAUCUUAACCGUUGAUCAAUAAAGGGUAAAGAUGUUAUUUUAAUAUGUAGUAGGUCAAAAGGUUACUUCAUGUCGAGAGUAUUUUUGUAAUUAAAUAUCGCAAAAUUUAAAGAAAAUUUUAAUUUAUAUCCCAAAUUUAGAUAUUAAUUUUGCACUAAUUUAAACAUUAAUUUAAGAAAUUGAUUGAUAUCCAAAUUUAGGCAUUAAUUUUGCACUAAUUUAGACAUUAAUUUUAGAAAUUUUAGAAUUUCUAUAAUUUAUGCAUUAAUUUAAAUUUUAGGAAUUUUAGAUAUAAUACUAUUUCUAAAUAUGUUGAAUUUAAAUAUUAAAUAUUUAAAUUUUAAAAAUUAAAUUUAAAUUAGAGAAAUUUUGUAUUACUAUUUUUUAACAAAAUCGGUAAAUGUUUAAAUUUAACAUAUUUAGUAUGUUUAAGAAAUUUUUAAAUUUCUCUAGUUUAGACAUUAAUUUUGUAUCACUAAUUUUAAAAAAAAUUGAAUGUAGAUAAAUAUUUAAAUUCAACAUAGUUAAUAUGUUUAAAAAAUUUUAGGAUUUUUUAAAUUUAGACAAUAAUUUUGUAUAACUAUUUAAUUUUUUUUAAUAUUGGUAAAUAUUUAAAUUCUUCGUAUUUAAUAUGUUGGGGCAAUUGCUUAUAUAUUUCAUAGGUUUAGUUUGGUAUUGAGCUCUAUCUAACACCACUAGAUAAAAUGGAGUUGAGGAAAAAGCAUAUAGAGAUAUGCUUCUGCGUUCUCCGAUGGGACUGCAGAAAAUAUAUCGUAAACGACUUAUCGCGAUAUGCAGAACGCAAUAUACCGCACGUAACGCAAUCUCCUCGUAAUCCCAAACGAAGCCUUAAAAUUUUUCAACUUUUUGAUUUGCCCCUCUUAGAGGGCUAAUAUUAAAAAUACUCUUUUAACAUUCCAAAUUAUUUCAAAUAUAUUCCGAGAGUUAAAUUCUAUUAGUAAACUAUUAGCAACAACCGUUAUCUCUGUCAAAUUACUAUUUUGCCCUUUUGAAUAUAUCCUUCUACCGUCACCUACUUUUCUAUUUGUCCUUAAUAUAGUGGCAAAAGUAGUAUUUAAACUUAACAAGUACUAACAGUAGGGAUAUUUUUGAAUAACGGGGAACUAUACGAGGGGCAUAUUUGAAACAAAAAAAAAGUAGAGGUAAAUUGGAUAUUUCAAAAGUUUUCAGGGAUGUAUUAGAUAUUAUCCCUAAUAUGUUUAAGAAAAUUUGAAUUACUUUAGCUUAGACAUUAAUUUUGUAUUACUAAUUUAAAAAAAUUAAAUGUGGGGUAAAUAUGUAAAUUCAAUAUAUUUAAUAUGUUUAAAAAAAAUUUAAAUUUUUUUAAUUUAGACAACUAUUUAAAAAAAAUUGAAUGUGGAUAAAUGAUUAGGAAUAUAGGGUAUAGGUGAAAUUUAUUCUUAGACUAGAAUUGUACAUGCUAAAUUAAUUUAAAUUUUAAUAAUAAAAAUUAAUCUUUUAAAAUAAUGAGAUCAUGUAUUAUACUUUAAAAUAUAAGUUGAAAAUAAAUUUGAAGUUUAGAAACUAAAAAUAAUUUGAAAUAUCCAUGGAUGAAGAGGAAAAAUAGAGAGCAAAAGGAAUAAAGAAAGAAGAGAGAUUUUGAUAAUAUAAUAAAAGAUAAAAUUAUUUAAUUAUCCACGUAUUAAAAUAAUUUUUUUUGGGAUAUUUGGUAACCGGUAUCUCUCUCAAAGUGAUCUAUUAUUGCGAGUCACAACUUAAAAAAAUUUAAAAUUGAGCCGUAAAAUAGAAAUAAAUAAACGGUAUAAAAAAAAAACAAGUAUAGAAUUAUUACUCUAAAAAUAGUACAGCAUAUAGUCCAGUAAUAUAAAAUUUUUUAAUAUUACAGUAUUUAAUCAUCCGCUACGCUAUUUUGCUAUAUAUUAAAUAGCCAUAUAUUACACCAUUUUACGAUCUGUCAUACUAUUGUAUCUCUAAUUUUUAAAAAAUUUAUUUUUUACGAAACAAACAAGUAGAACUAAAAAACUUUGGAUUUCACAACUAUAUAAAUAAACAGCAAAAUAUAUAAAUAAAAUUAAGAGUUAACUUCAAAUACCACUCUUGUGGUUCCGCACUUUCUCACUUUAAUACUUUAUGGUUUAAAAUGUAUCAAGUUAAUGUCAUUUGGUUUCAUUUUUAUCUUUUCGUAAGCUUCUCCGUUAAUAUCUCGUUAAAUUAUAUAUGAAAAAACUUCAGACACCCACAUAAAUUUAUCGAAUAUUCACUUUAAUACCAUUUAGUUUUAAUUUUAUCACUGAUUUAACAAAAAAAAUAAAUAAAAUUAAUAAUAAAAAAAUAAUUAUAAAAUUAUAAGAUAUUAAAUUAUAAUAUACUUUAAAUUAUAGAAUACUAAUUUUUGGUUGAAAUCAAGGUGGUCCAAAAGUCUAGACGAAACAAAGAAACACGCCCAUUUUCAGUGUUCUCGCUCCAAACCUCCCAUUCCUGGGUGGGGGACCACCACCGUGCGGAUGCGCGGAAGAUCUCUCUACUAUGAAUCCCCCUUCCAAUGCAGGGGACUCAUUGCAGCUUCCUCCUAGUCGUUGCUCAGUCCCCUCUCUCUCUCUCGCUAUCUCUCUCCCCCUUCGUUUUCCCUCUCCUCUUCCGCCUCUUCUCCCUCGCUCUCUCUCUCUCUCUCUCUCUCUCUCUUCUCCACCCCAACAAUGGAUAGAGAGAUAGCCCCCACCCUCCCCCGCAACGGCGACGCCUCUUCCAGUAACAAAUAUGUGAGUUGCGAUCCACUUUCUCAAUUUUUUUCUUUUAAAUUUCUCUUGAUUUUUUUUUUCUCACUCAUAUCCUAACCGUCGAUUAAAAUUAAUGAAUGAUUAGAAAGUUAGGAGCAUAAGAGCUGCUGUACAUUUAAUAGCGUGAAUUUCCUUGCUGUUGGAUCCGUGCCUCCAGACAGUAGCCCUAGUCUAUAUAUAUAUAUAUAUAUAUAUAUAUAGAGUCUGGCUGGGAUAUUAUCGAUAGCACCAAGCAUUUAGUGCUAUUAAAAUUUUCGUUGUUAGAUUUAACUAUUUGAUUAUUUUUAUCCGUUAGAUUAUAUUAUUAAACUAAUAAUUCACUCAACCCUAGAACCCUAGAAGGCCCAUAUCAUUUUAACUGUACAUUUUUUUCAUCCAAGAGUCAAAAAUCUAAUAGCACCAAUAGCUUGGUGCUAUUGAUAGUAUUUAUAACAGUUUUAUCGAUGAAUUUUUGUAUUUUUUUUAAUUUUUGUAAUUUGUUCUUUUCAUUUCUUAGUUGCAUUUUGGUUAAAAUGCAUAGACACUCCCUAAACUUUAGUCUAUUCUGAAACUAACCCUCUGAACUUUUUUUUAAAAAAAUUUAAUUUUUAUCUACCCUACUUACUAAACCUUUGAUUUUUUUGUUAAAAAAAGGAUAUUUGAUGAUAACACAAGUUGUUAAUCCAAGAAGCUAAAUUAAACAGCUAGUAAGUAGAAAAGUGUAAAUCAUAUAGAAAAAAAUAAGUUUGGAGUGUUAAUUUCAAAACGAGUUAAGGUUUAGGGAGGUGUCUAUGCAUUUUAAGCUUGCAUUCUCAUGGUUAGAGCAAAAGUGGACUCCGUUCUAUUUUGACCAAAUGGAAUGAAUAUAUUUGAUGGUUUGUGCGUUUCUUAGAACUUCUGUAAAUGUAUUAAAUUGGCUCAUUUUUUUUUUUUUAUUUACUCACUAGUAAGCAUGCAUAUUCUGAACCACAUAUGCACCAAAGGCACGGUUCAGAAUACUAAUAGACAGACAAUUUCGGCAGAUGCUUUUCACAGAUGAAAAGGAAUUUUUUUUAUCUAUCUAUAAAUUAACUUAAUAUUUAAUAAUGGAAUGAGCCGAUUUGGCAUAUUUAUAGAAGUUCGGGAGAUAUUAAAGCAAAACUUUCAUAAAAAUUCUGGAGGUCUGCGAUUUAUCUGAUUUUUUUUUUUUUAUCUGCUAUUUAAAACUGGUAGAGGGGUGGUUGGUGGAGAGAUAUAAUGCUCGCUUACAGGACGCUAGGAGUUGUUUUCGGUGGCCUUGUUACUUCACCUCUCUAUGUCUACCCUUCCAUGAACUUGAAUUCUCCCACGGAAGAAGACUACUUGGGCAUAUUUAGCAUCAUGUUUUGGACUCUUACGCUGAUUGGCGUUGUUAAGUACGUGUGCAUUGCUCUUAAUGCUGAUGAUCAAGGAGAAGGUAUGUUUCAUACUUCUCUGUAUAUGGAGAAGUUGGUUUUUAGUCUUAUUUUCAAGUACUCUGAUUUUGACUUUCUAUUGCGUGGUUCUUUCACCUCAUUAAAUAGUUAAAUGGCGGGCUGAAGGGGUUUGAGACUGGCUCUGAUACCAUGUUGCCCAAAGAUUAAUCCAAUUGGCUGAUAGUAAAUUUUUUUUUAUUUUCAUUGAUUCAACUAAUGUUACCGGAAGAGGGAAGCCUAAAAAAGAGCCAACUAUCUUGAGAUUCAACUUAAAAAAAGAUUGUCUAUUGCUUUAAUUAUGAAACACUCUAGGCAAAUGCAUUAACUUUUAAGGUAAUUUCGUCACUACCACAUAACUUUCAGGUUGCAAUUGUUAGGUUUUGAACUAGCAUAUGCAUAUUUGGCUUAUUCAACUAUAGUUAACAAAGGAAGCUCGUGUAGUUUAGGUAAUGUAAUCAUGGAAAUAUCACCAUUUACUCAAGUAGUUGUAUUUCUUAUCCAGUCCUUGCUUAUAUUAUUUAAAUACAAGGAUUCGCCUGUACUGCAGACUGCUGUGCUUUCAUGACUUGCUUCUUAUUAGAAUUCAUUGUCUGGAUAUUAACUGAAAUCAUAUACUUGAUGAGAUUUCUUUUUUUUUAAUUUUGUCUCUUUAGAUGAGAUUUCAUUCUUUUUAAUUUUGUCUAUUUAGCCAACAAGGCUUGUAGCCUUGUAGGCAUGCCAUCCAGGUAUGCUAUUAUUCUUACCAGCAUAAUCAUGCUUAAGUGACCAUAGUGAUGUUGAAACUGUAUCAUGUCUUAGUCCAUCACCUUCUUGUAAUCAAUCCUUGACAGAGUUUAAUCUAAUCUAAACAUAAGAUAACAUCAACUUGUCCAUGAAGUUAUAUUGCUGCUAUUCAAUUUGGGAGAAUGUGGGCUUGGAGUUUUCAUAUUCUCCAGCCAAAACUUUAGAACUUGGGGAAAAACAAUAAGAACUAUAUCAGCAUUCUCAGAUUUGGGUUGCACUUUUACUUAUGGUGCAAUAUUGUUGCCUCUAGUCAAAAUUUGUAUUAAAUGUUCAAAUUAAGUGCAGCCUAAGUUGGUGUGAUUGAUAUGCUUCUAAGAUGUUGAUUUUUCUAUUUUAAAAAAAAAUUCCUUCAUUUCAUUACCCCUGUUAUGAACUUUAGCAUCAAUUAUGGUAGUGAAAAUUAUUGGCUAAACUUUACAUGAUAUGGAAGAUACUUUUCAAGUUGUUUAUUGAAGUGAUUAAGUAACAUUGUAGAGUUUUCCUAUUUUAAGAAAAUGCAAAAACAUAUUAAAUUUUCCUAAUUUACGUGUCAAAUAGCUUUUUUUGAAGGUGAUAUGAACCAAAUACAAUUCUGUCAUUUUGCUUAUUUUGUAAAACGCUCUUUUGUGCACAUUAUCGAGCUUUACCUCCUUGAAGAUGGAUCACAAACUAGUAUAGAUUAAGAUUUUAGUGUAUCUUUGUAAAAUGACUCUAAGCUACUUCAAUCUCUUUAAGAACUUAAUAAUUUGACAGAGAUUUUGCUUCUGACUUAUUUUUGAUCUUGCAGCAUUGUGUUUUUCUAUUAAAGAAGCACAAUGACUUCUUUUAUAUUUAUUUGUUGGUGAAGUAACAUAGUUCCUGUUUUUUUUUCUAAAAAAAGACUAUCUUUAAUGGAUUUUCUGAUGAGUAUCUGGCAUAAUUAAUUGCAGGUGGAACUUUUGCUUUGUAUUCUUUACUCUGUAGGCAAACCAAUAUUGGCUUCCUUCCCACAAAACGGAUGAGUUCGAGUGGAGAUCCCUCACUUAUUAACCAGUCUACGUUAGCUGAAAAGGAAAGUAAGCUGGCAACAUUUCUGGAGAAAAGUAUAACUGCACGAAGAAUAUUGCUGUUCAUUGCUAUGUUGGGUAUGUGUAUGCUUAUAGGUGACGGCAUCCUUACGCCUGCUAUUUCAGGUAAAUUGUGCAUAAAAUUUCUUGCUAGUUUUGCUUGUAUGGAGAUUCGACAUGCCAAAAUAUUUACCUUCUGAAUUUGUUGAUUGUGCAGUGUUAUCGGCAAUGGAUGGUCUACAAGUACCCUUCCCUUCAGUUGGUAAAUGUAAGUCUCUGAUGCUGCCUUUUUUCCUUUAGGGCUUUUUACAUAUAUGUUUCCCUGCAAAUUUAUCUAAAUAUAUAGCCAGCUAUAAUCCGAAUAUUCAUAUUCCCCUGAAGUUGCAUUUUUAUUAUAAAGAUGCACGCAUCUUAACUUGCGGAAUCAUCCAAUUUAUGGGGAUGAGUUGGUUGUGUUAGAUAAGGUUUCGCUGAAAGAGGGGCUUUUGAUGUAAGUACAAGGAUGUACGUAUAUGCGAACUAACGUAUUGAAGGGAAUUAUAUAAAAUGUGGAUUUUUACAGGAGUAUAUGAUGUAAACAGAUGAUUUUACUGGUGGAUGUGUGUGUAGGUGUAUAUCGAGCUGUCUGUUUUGUGUUCUUUUUCUCAUUCCAGUUUCACUUUCCGUCCUCUAGCUGCUGUGGAAGCUUUGUCUGCCGUGAUCCUGCUCGCUUUAUUCCUACUACAAAAAAAGGGCACUUCUCGAGUCAGCUUUCUCUUCUCUCCCAUUAUGGCUUCUUGGACCUUUACUACUCCUAUGAUCGGCAUAUACAGCUUUCUUCGAUACUACCCAAGUAUAUUCAAAACUGUUUCACCCCAUUAUAUUGUCGGUUUCUUUCUGAGAAAUGGAAAGAGAGGUUGGCAGUUGCUCGGUGGAACUGUUCUUUGCAUUACAGGUAUUGACAAACUUAUUUGUUUGUUUAGUGAUUUAUCUUUUCACGUCACUGGCACAUAUAUAUCCAUCUACUUCCUUUACAGGUGCAGAAGCAAUGUUUGCUGAUCUUGGCCAUUUCAACAAGAGGUCUAUUCAGGUUACACUAAACAUCUAGUGAAAAAUUAUGAUAUAUUUGAACGCUAAGUAGUGCUUGUUUGGCAUUUUUUACAUUCUUUUUAUUUUGGUUUUCCCUCAAAUUCUACAUAGUAAAAGGCACGUAAGGGACAAGCCUUUUUAGUUUUCUUUUUAUUUUUGUGCUUAAACUAUGUUUUUUUUUUGGUCUUUUGUUGUCAAAUAAAACCUAUAAAUAUAAACCUUGUGAGCAAUUUGAUCGCAGGAAACAUUGAAGAAUGUAGACCCCAAAAUGCUUUUAACCACGUAGAGCUUGAGGGGAAAAUGAAAUGGGAAACUGCAAAUAAAUGUUAAAAGCAUACAAGCACACAAUUGUUCAACUAUUUGAGUAAUCACUUUUGCAUGCAGAUGGCAUUUCUUUUUACCAUAUAUCCUUCUCUGGUGCUCACAUAUGCGGGGCAAACAGCAUACCUGAUCAAGAAUCCUAAUGACCACAGUGAUGGUUUUUACAAAUUCGUACCUAACCCAGUUUAUUGGCCUAUGUUUGUCAUUGCAACCCUAGCAGCUAUUGUUGCUAGCCAAUCCUUAAUAUCGGCAACCUUUUCUGUCAUCAAGCAAUCAGUAGUCCUUGAUUAUUUCCCUCGCGUUAAAGUGGUUCACACAUCGCAGCACAAAGAGGGCGAGGUUUACUCUCCAGAAAUCAAUUAUAUUCUCAUGUGUCUGUGUGUUGGUGUUGUAUUGGGCUUCGGCGAUGGAGAAGAUAUUGGAAAUGCUUUUGGUAAAAGCCAAACUUGUUGUACACUCUCAUCUUAUAUUAGUUUUUGGGGUAAACUGCAAUAUUGGUCACUAAACAUAUAAAAAAAAUUCAAUUAGAUUAUCAAUCUUUAAUUUGUUGCAGUUGAUGCACCAAAUUUCAGUAUGUGUUUCAAUUGGGUCAUUCCAUCGAAUGUCGUGUAAUUACUCAACAGAAGCUGCAGUAGCUGACUGAGCUGUCAUGUUAUCUCGUAUAAUUACUCAACAGAAGCUGCAGUAGCUAGCUGGGUUGUCGUGUUUUCUCCUGGAGAUGAUCUGGCAGCUGAAUCAAUAGCCUUGUCAUCCCUUUGUAGGAGAAAUUAAAUCGCACUCGACAAAAGGGCCCAAUUGCAGCAGAAAUGUGAAUAUAGUGCAUCAAUUGCAUCGAACUACAAUUCUAUGGUUUAAAUGAAAUUUUGCGAGUCUCAACAACUGAUGCUGACAUUAUGGAUAAACAAUUUCAUGCCGCAGGUGUUGUUGUUAUACUUGUCAUGUUUAUAACUACGAUCUUAUUAACCUUGGUUAUGAUCAUUAUCUGGAGGACCCCUAUCAUCCUUGCUGGAUUAUACUUUGUGUCGUUCUCGAUCCUGGAAGGGGCCUACGUAAGUGCCGUCAUGACCAAGUUUAUCAAAGGAGGUUGGCUUCCUUUCGCCGUCUCUAUUAUCCUUGCAUUCAUAAUGUUCGGUUGGUACUACGGGAGACAAAAAAAAGUAGAAUACGAAAUGAGUAACAAAAUCACUUUAGAAUGCCUCGCGGAGCUCUUAUCAAGGUCGGAAAUCCAAAGAGUCCCCGGUUUAUGCUUCUUUUACAGCAAUAUACAGGAUGGGCUGACUCCUAUACUCGGACACUACAUCCAAAACGUGCGCUCUCUCCAUAAAGUCACAAUCUUCACCACUCUUCAGUACUUGUUGGUGGCCAAGGUUGCUCCGAACGAGAGGAUAAUAGUAAAGAGGUUAGGAAUUCAUGGUGUAUAUAGUUGUAUUGUCCAGUACGGAUAUGCCGACUCUUUUACUCUCGAGGGUGAUGACUUUGUAGCUCAAAUUACUAGUAGUUUGAGAGCAUACAUCGAGAGGAACCUCGACGAGCAAUUGCAUAUUUCCGACGAAGAGGAGAUUUCAGACUUGGAGGAAGCUAAAUCGGCGGGAGUUGUUCAUGUUCGGGGUAAGACGAGGUUUCAUAUAGGUAAGGAAGCUGGCUGGUCUGACAAGAUAUUGCUCAGAUUCUACGAGUUUCUUCACAGCAAUUGUCGGUCUGCGUUACCGACAUUGGGAGUACCCCUUCAACAGAGAAUGGAGAUUGGAAUGCUGUACAAAGCUUGACGCGAUUGUAAACUGUAUUAGUCUGACUACAUGUUUGUACCAGAUUUAGAGCCAAUCUUAGGAAUGAUGCUGUACUCUCUGUGAUCACAUAUCUGCCGGUAACGUAUGCCACUGCGCGUCACGACGUCACUGGUGGGAGCAGAUUGAGGUUAUUUCUUAUUUUUGCGACAGAAGCUGUCGUAAAAUUAUAUGAUUUUGAACUCUUGUUAAAGUUUUCAUAUUUCAGCUCCAACAUUAUAGCUCAAUGUACAAGAUUAUUGUCAUUAUACACUAUAGGAGGUUGAAUUAAGAGUUGAUAUCAUCUUUUUAUUGUCUUGGUCAUGUUGUGAAUGUUUGAUAAACUGCAAGUUCGGCCUCCUACUUUUCAUUCAAACAUCUUAGUCCCUGGAAAUUCGCAUAUUUUGCACGUCUAGUUCUUAUUCCGUAAUAAAUAAAUAAAUAUAUUUAUCUAUAUAUUCUCCUUUUUGUUUUCCUCUAACAUUUUGGGUGCAUGGAUAUCUUAUUCAACAUGCCCCUUCUAUUUUAUGUAAAGAAUUAUAUAAUAUUAGUAGAUGAGAAAUGAAAUCAAAUGUUCAAUGAAUACCAUAUUUGGCUAGCAAUUUUCUUUUUUUUAGAAUGAGAUAAAUUAUUUCGUACUUGAAGUAUACUAUUCUACCAAAUUUUAGAUGCCAAGAUUUUUUACGAAACAAAAAUCAAACUCUGUUUUUUUUUUUUUUUUUUUUUUUUUUUUUUUUUUUUUUUUUUUUUUUUUUUUUUUUUUUUUUUUUUUUUUUUUCUGAAAAAGGGUUAUUGGUUGGGCUUAGUGGGCUUUAAUCAAGUGAGAUAUUUAACAGCCCAUUGAAACAGUCCUGGUUAAUUUCCCGGUCCGCAAUUGAAAUGGCAAAAUAUUGUGAAGGUCUCAGCACGAUUUUAUUGAGGAGCUCCUUAACGAAACUUCGUUGAAACAGCUUAAUGAGCUCAGUGAUUGGCUUUAUCAGGCCUUUCUUUUGAAAAUUAAACAUGUAGCAGAGGGCUUAAUUAAUUGGAUAAUGUUUAUCUUUUUUAUAUUAAUUUGGCUUUUUGAACUUGAUUAACCUAGCAAAUUUUAAAUCCUGCAAUAAAUUGUCACAACCCUUCUACAUAAAAAUCAUGAUGACUACAUAUGAAAGUGCAAUCCCAUCAUGUGAUCCAGUAGAGCUUUUUCCUCUUUUUGACCUGCGAAAUUAAACCUCUUUUCUUUUGCAGCUACAAAUGAUUUUGUCUUCCAAUCAAACCAACAAAAUUUUGAGCAUGCAUGCAAAGAAAAUUAGAAUUAUUAUGAGUUCUUUAUUUUUCAGAAUGCUUCGUAGUUUAUAUACAUACACGCACAUGUUUUGCUCAAAGCGGGAAUCUAAUUCGGAUCAUAAAACACCGUUCUUUGAUAUCUUAUGUGGUUGGAGAACAACCGUUAAACAUUAUAAUAUUAAAUAAUAGCCGUUUAUCUUCAAAAACUUAAGAUUUGAGAGAAUAAUAUUUUAACAUUGUACAUUCAACAUUGCCUAGCUACCAACUAAGUUAUAAAGCGAGACGUACAUAAGCGACUACUUAGCUCUGAACUCUACCGUCGAUGCUUAUUUUAGCUUCUUAUCUUCGGUAAAAAUUCUAUUAUAUUAAUUAGCCAAGUGUGCUACGUACCGUUUUGAAAAUAGAAAAAUUGUUUCAGAAACUAAAAUCCAUUAUGAAACUUAAUCGCGCACAUAGCUUAUAUGAUUCGACACAUAUUUAGACCCAAAUGCUAAGUAUCAUACUUAAGAGGUUACUCUCCAACAUAAAUAAGUAAACGGAGAAUCCAUCUGAAAAAAAAGAGAAAAAAAAAGAAGAAAAAAAAUCAACUAAACACAAAACAAUAUUUAUGUGUUAUCAUUUUCCACCGAGCCAAAAGAGGCUUUGAAGUACACAUUUCAACGACUUUGUUGGCAAAAGAGCAUGGACCGAUAUGGAGUCUUCGACAUUACUCAUUCUUUUUUGGUUUUUUCCUUUCAUUCUCUCUCUCUCUCUCUAUGUGUAAAGUUUGGAUCCUUCGGACAAAUCUUUUCCUCAUGAUAAUGUCGCUUUAUUUCUUUUUUUUUUUCUUUAAAUUUACUAGCUUUUGAAUUAAUAAUUAGGUCAAAUGAAAAGAUGGUUUUCAAAAUUUUGACCAAUUUUAGUUGAUCUUUAAUUCUUUCGUUGUAGGGUUGUAUGAAUAGGCUAAUAUGUUAUUCAGCAUAUCUUUUUAUUUACUGAAUAAAUUUAUAAUAUUUAAUUGAUAAACCGUGUAAAAUUAAGUUAAUGUCUAAAAUACGUAGAGACUAUAUUCACUUUUCGUGCUUUUUUUAAAAAACACAUAAAAUAAGUUAUGUUGUGGAUGAAAUAUGCUACGCAACCAAAUUAAUUAUGAAAGAUGUUAAGGCCACUCACUAAGCAAAAUUCAAACUCUUUAAUUUUUUUUGAUGCAAGAAAUUCUCGUACAGAAUAAACUAUUAUUUUUUUAUAAAUUCAAAUAAAUUAUUAUUGUAUAUCUUAUUCUGAAACCUCUCUCUCUCUCUAUAUAUAGCGUCGAGUGUUGUGCUUUUAAAAGUACAGGAGCAUCUGUGUUUAUAAAUUUUUAGCAGUCGGAUCGUCUCAAGAUCCGUACAGUACUAAUAAAGAUGAUGUAAUUAACCAAACACAUCGUUAAUAGUGUUGCAUGAAUCUUGAGGGGAUCCGACGGCUAAAAAAUAACAAGCACAAUUGCACAUACUCUCAUGUGCUUUUAAAAGCAUAGAAAUUCAACUCUCUCUCUCUCUCUCUCUCUCUCUCUCUAUAUAUAUAUAUAUAUAUAUAAAUUAAAUUUCAAUUUGUACAUCUUUGGUUUAGCUCAUAUUCACUUUAUCACUCUGGUUCAAAAAAUUAUGUUGAACUACAUUAUAGUUUUAUUUUAUUUUUAUCAAAAAGAAUAUUAUUAAAUAGGAUAUAUAAAUAGCAAAAUAAAAGUUUUUAUAACCCCAAAAUAUAUAAUUAAGUGUAAAUUUUGAACUGAAUAGUAAUGGAGUUAAAAUAUGCUGAACUACAGAAUAAUUAAAUAUAUUUUUUUAAUUAUAGAGUGGCAAAAUAAAAAUGAAUUAAACCACAAGGGACAAAUUAAGUUUCUCCCAAAAAUAAAAAAAAUGGCAAAACCUUUAUAAUAGUGAAUAUGAAGUUGGAGAGAUAAAAUAACUUUCACCCAAUACACUUUAUAUACAAUUCAAUUGCUUUCCAAUCUAUCCAAAUUAUGUAUAUGUUUCUAGCAACAUUUUAAAAUUCAAAUCAAACAAUAAUUCAAAAAUAUUAUUGGGAGUCGCUAGUUCAACCAGUGGGUCAACCACCAAUCAAACUAGCGACGUCAGUAUAACAUCAUAAAAAUAUUUAUUUUAAUUUUAUUAUAUAAAAAUAUACUUAUAUUAUUAUUCUAGUAUAAUACUUAAUUAUAAAAUAUUAAUUUCAAAAUCAAAUUAAAUAAAUAUAAAUUUGCAAAUUUUACUUUUUAUAAAUUAAUUUAUAUUAAUAGAAAAUAAAAUCAGCUAGUUUACUUUUAAACAUGUGAAUUUUAAUAUGAUUUAACCAAAAAAUUCAGGCCGAUUUGACUAAGACCGAAACAGCAAUUCUCAAAUAGAUAGAUAGUUAAAUUGUCAGUUCAAACGAUUCAAAAUGAUAUUUUGAUCAAUCUGAUUUAAAAAGUUGAAUCCAAUAAGUCCCAUCGAACUGAUUUGGUUGGAUUCAAAUUUUAACUUAAAAAGAAAAAAAAAAAAAAAAAAAAAAAGGGGCGGUUUUAGUGAAAGAAACAUGACCCACCGCAGGGGAACAAAAGAGAGAUUAGAAACCAAAAAAGAGAGAAAAAAAAAAAAAAGAAAAGAAAAAAAAGCGGUGCAGAAUAAAGCGCAUGCAUGUAAUACGCGUUCCAUCCGUCCGUCCAUUUUGCCUCGGUGUUCGCGCCUAUUUCACGACUCCCGAGGAUUCUCCGAGAUAGGUCUUGCCACGUCAGCCGUACACCGUGGCACGUCGCUAGCCCUGCACCGGGCGUAUGCAUGCGUACUCUCUUUGUACAGCAAAAACCUAAUAGGGGUCCUCCUUUGAAACAAUCAAGUACAAAAGGCCGAUAUUUCAAAUUUAGUACAUAAACUUUGAAAUUCGCAAAUUUAAAAGAUUCUUAAUUGUAUAAAUAUGAUAUGUCAUACCUAAAAGAGGUUAUAUAUAUAUAUAUAUAUAUCGGCUACUAUACUAUUAUGAGUACGAUCGCCCUCGUACUCUUAAGUUGUUUUCGAUGAUAGAGCUUCCGAAUCGACGAUCCACAUCGUUAAACGUUACUUACAGUAUUUAAAACUUCUAAAAAUCAAAUUUUAUAAUUUUUCAACAUCAUUUACCUUACGAUCAAAAGGUCACAAAUUUGACAAUUUUUAACGGCCGGUAUGNAAUUUUGAUAGAAAAUUCUUUAUACUAUAUAAAACAAGAUCAAUAUCUUUGAUUUAAAAUUUUAAUGUCAUAUUAUCACAUUUUAUAAGAUUUUUAUUUUCAGCCGUUGAUUUUGAGCCCCUUCGUUCACUAGGCAAAUGAUAUCGAAAAAUAAUAAAAUUUAUUUUCUAGGUACUCCAAAUACUCUAGAUCAAGUUUAACGGAGCCAAUCGACGAUUUGAAAGUCGCAACAUCGAAAACGAGCUGGAAGCACGGAAGGCUCUAUGCUUCUGAUAGCAUAAUAGCCUCACUCUAUAUAUAUAUAUAUAUAUAUAAAGGAGGUUGUUGUAUAUUUUAAAAUUUAGUAUUAAGAUUUUAAACAAUCUUAAAAAUCGACGAUUGCCAUAUGACUAUUGUUUGAUUUUUGUAUAUAGAUCUUUGGGGUGUUAGAGAGUAAAUGUAAGGAGCUAGAUUUUGAUUUUAAAAGCUCUGCCACUGAUUAUUUUGUUUGCUUUGUAUGAGGCAUAUUUAUACACUCGGUGCAGGGAAAAAUUUCCACAGUACACAACCGUCUCAUCUAAUAGGUGAUCUAUGAUCAGGUGGACCAACCUAUCCUCCACUGUCUGAUCACGAUCGAGCGGUGGACAGUGGCCGACAACAAAAGUAAAAUUAGUUGAAAAUGUUAAGUAAUUAGAUUUCAAACUUAAAAUUUCGGGUAUUACUUAUCAAGUUCUUUGUCACCUGCGUUCGAGAUGGUGUGUGAAGGAAUGUGGUUUGUUGGGAGAAACUAUAAUAUAUUUCUGCGCACCUGGUGUUUGAGUAUAUAUCAAUACGCGCAUAUUUUAAAUAAACUUAAAAUCAGUAUGUAAUUUAUUAAACGUGUUCUGUCACAUUUAGGGAUGUACAUAAUUAUAGAUAUAUCAUAAUAAAAGAUGCAUGUAACUGAGAAUACAGUAUCUUAAUUAUAAUUUUAUUUGAUUUUGCAUGGUUAAAAUUAUUGCAGAUAUAAUUACACUACUGGAAUGAAUAUAAUUGAAGACGCAUUUUGAGACCUUGCCACUUUUUUUUUUCCUUAAGGAAUGGUGAUAUAUAUUAUCCUUAAUAGAUCUAUAUAGGGAUAAUACUCUUAUAUUAUCUGUAUAUAUAAAUUUUUGAAAUGAGUUAUAUUAAUUAUCAUCAUUAAAAACUAUUUCAAUAUAAACAAGUAGUUUAUGAAUGAUUUACAACUGUAAAAUAAUAAAAUAUAUGUUGGCUUGAGAAGGAAAAUAUUUAAUUAUGUAGAGGGCUUUAAUAUUCCAUUAUUAAUUGUAAAUAAUAUAUAUAGCCGUGAUUGACGCUCAAUUUUCUUUGAUUGUACUGAAGGAAAAGUACUCCUUUUAUAAUUUUCACUAGUAAAGUUUUAGGUGUACUUUUUUUCAUAACUCACAUUUAAUAGCUAUAAUAAUAAUAAGAGUUCCUUAUUCUAGUUAAUUAAUUAUAACCCUGAAAAAGUGUGAACUGAUCAAUCACAUGAGAAAUUGCUUAAUUUGGUUUAAAAAGUGCAUUAAUUUUCAAAGAAAAUACUAGAUAAACUUACAAUUAAUAUAAUAUCAUAAUCAAGAUUAAACUGCAGCAUAUGUACAACUGCAAUAAUUAGAUACAAUUAUAGCAAAAAGAAUAAUAAAUUAAAAUUAGUCCAACUAUAGUUAGACCUGUAUUGUGACUCCCCAUGUAAAUACCCAAAAAAAAAACAAAAUUAUAAACUUUUAGAGCUAUUUAACACGUAGGUACGUAAUAAGUUUUAGAAAUUUAUGAAUCUUUUUAUAAAGCUAAAUAGAUCGUCACCCUCUUCGGACUCAAACCUCUUUUUUAUAUCCGGACACGCUUAACUUUUUUUUUUCAGUUUUUUUUUCAGCAAUUGUUUCAUUACUGCUCGGACCUAACUUAGGGAGUGCUCUGGGAAGUUGGGUCGUUGGUUUGAGCCUAAUGAUUCGGUGGUCCACCAAAAAAAACUUUACACUUGGCACAUUGGGAUUUUGCCACGUCUUUGUAUUAGGAGAUAAAGUAUACAACAUAUGGUCCACCGAUACACUAGGAAAAAAACAUAGUGCAAAAGGAAAAGGGAGAUGUGAAAUGGACGUUUGGGCCAUCUGAUGCGUUCCUGUUGUUUCCGUACUUUGUCGGGAUUCGGGACUGCCGAAUCGAACGGUCCACUUUGCGUGGUCCUCAAUGAACUUCGAUAGGCGAAAGACGCACUAAUGAACGGGCUGGUCGGAAUUUGGGACCGCCAAAUCGAAAGUUCCACAAUGCGUGGUCCUCAAUGAACUUGGAUAGGCGAAAGGCGCACUAAUAAACUGGCUAAAUCUCGAUUUUGAAUAUGUAUAUCGUCAGUUUGCUACCGUGCCCUUCGCCUGGGUGAGAAUUGGCCGUCGUCUGGAGUCGAAAUCUAAAUCUCGAUCUACAAAAUCCCAAGUCGAACUGAUCUGGCAAAUUAAAGCUUUGUAUUCUUUCGAAUAAUGCGCGCUGUGGCAAAUAAUGCAUUUCAUCGUCUAUUUGAUGGUCGAACCAGCGAGGAAAAUGCACCCUAUCAGCAAAUGAGCGGCGUGAUCAUCCUUUGUAAGUAAGAAACAAAUUGGGUCACAAGCUCAAAUUUUGAUCAAAUAUGGUGUACAUUAAUUGGGCUUUGUGCGGACUCAAAAGGGCUCAUGGCCCAUUAACAUUAAUAAAGCAAAUUGCUUCGGAUAAUAUACAUGAGUAAUGUUACUUAUACAUCAAAAAGCAUGAUACAAAUAUUACACUCAUCCAUUCAAAAAAUUUAAUUAUUUUUUUAAAAUUUUAUUUAUGAUUUAAAACAAAUUGAUAAGACUAAGGUUAGCAUAUUGAUGCUUAAAUACAUAGAAUGCGAAAUUUAUACCCCUUUUUUGGAACGUACACAUAACAUUUAUUGCUUUAUAAACAUAUCCCUACAUUAUAGCUUUCUUUUGAAAAUAUCUAUUUUCUCUUUUUAGUAGCUUAUCAAAGUUUGUGUUCUCUUUUCCUUUCUUAUUUUUUGAAACCAAAAAAUAUAUAAAAAAAAAAGAAGUUUGUGUUCUCAAUCAUUAGCUGCAACCUCUUUCUCUCUGUGUCUACGCGAAUCUAGUUAAUUUCUUAAUCACUUGAUUGAUUAUUGGGAUGCGACUAAACGAAAUCUAGGUUGCUACGAUUUACGUAUGAUAAUAAUAAUUAGGGUGAUGAUUAAUCAACGCUAACUAAUAGCGUGCACAUGCAAUACACGUCGCACACACACAAAUUAGCAAUUACGCAUAUAAAUGGAGUGCGAGAGAAACACAGUGCUCGAGGAGACGGCGUAUUAAUUAAUUAAUUAAUUAAUUAAUUAAGAAGGGCGCAUGCAAAAGUUGCGAACAGCAAAGUGAGUAUAAAAUUGUGGAUUCCAACAUUUUCUUUAAAGCCAAUUAUUGAAAGAAUAAACAUACGACAAAGCUCUUUUUAUCUUUAAGCAAUUAAAGCAUAUGUAUGUCUAUUUUGUUUGUAAGGACGUCGUACGUAGCACAGGGAGUGAGCAAAAUUACAUUUUUCUCCCCCCAUCCCCCAAACUAAUUAGACUUUCAUUUGAGAUUGUGGGAAUAUUACGUUACAUGCGGUGAGAAAAUACGAUUAGAAAAAUACUAUAUUUGUUUCCGUACGUAAUAUUACGUUCUGCAUAUCGAGAUAAGUCAGUUAUGAUAUAUAUUUUGCGAUUCCACCAAAGAAUACAGAAGUAUAUCCCUAUAUAUUUUUACCCUAACUCCAUUUUAUCUAGCCUCAAUCGCCAAACUAAGCUUUAAACGUGUAGAUAUAUAAGGUUAAAUACUUUUGUUUUGUUUCUAAAGGGAAUUAAUACAAAAACUAGUAUUUAUUGUUUGUUGUGAUUUUUUUUUUUUUUGUUGAGAGAGAAAAGUGGUAUACAUCUGCUUCAUUUUUUUUUCAAUAAAUAAUUUAAAUAAAAAUAUAAAAAACUAGAAAAACAGCCAAUAAUCUUUUUCAACACUCGCAUCAUUAAUAAUGCAAUAUGUGGUAAUUAACCCAAGUCACUAGUUACGAUAUCAUGACUUAUGAAUCGCAAGCGCUAUAACCAAUUAUUCCAUCCCCUCGAAUCGACCUAAGUCAACUUAUCUGAAUGUUAAUUAGUUGAUCUACUAUUGGAUAUCUUGCCGUUAAGUCUCUAUUGUGGACCGUAGCUCUACUUAGCUUAUUGGACUCAUCUAACUUGACUUAUUAGUCUCUUGAGUAUAUUAUCAUGAGACAGAAGAUUAGAUCUAUCUUAACUAAUAAUAAAUAACCAAUACUUUUUGUUACCUAAGUUAGGAAUGAUUGGUAUUGUGAUGAAUUUAUAUUAGUUCUCUUUAUACUUAUUUAUUUCAAACAUUACCAAUUUAUUAAUUUCAAGUAUUACCCUACUCAUUAAUUACACAACCAUUUUUUCGAAAUGCACCAGCUAUUUAAUUAAAACUUUUCUAAUCAUGUUAGUAAACUAUUGUAGAAAAUGAGAGGUUAAGUAUCUCUUAAGCUUAAUUAAGUGGGAAGGAGAAAUCAAAUUAUAAGAGUACUAGGCUAUAGUUAUAUAUAUUUUUAGGCCGUUUCUUAAUAGAUAGACCUUUUAGGUACCGUAAUAUAUAUCGAAACCAUUUCUAAUUAAGCUCUUGUCCUUUCAUGAGAUCGUGGAUUUGAUGUUUUUUAUCUUUAACAUUUCUUAGACUUUAUAUAAUUCAUAUAUCUUUUAUAUUUAUCAUAUAUACGAGUGGAGAAAAAUAUAGCAAUGUGUAGAUCCCGAAAAGACAAUAUAUGUAAGGGGGGUUAAUUAGCCUUUGGUGAACAACACCACUCUUCAACCUAACAUAUAUAUCGCCAACAACAUAAUUACCAUUUAUACAAUAACGACUAAAAUCACCACCGAAUAUAUAACAUGUCACCACUUUAUUUUUACCAUCUUAUAUUCAAAAUCAUUAACCUAAGAUAAUAAUAAUUAAUAUCUUUAAUUAUUUAAUUUUUUUUUUUUUGAGGGACAACAUGCCGUGAGGCAAUUUUAUUUAAUUAAUAAGUGGAUACAGACCGAGAAUAUUCAUCAAUAGAAGACCAGAAAGAAAACUUUUUACUUGCGAGUCCCUAAGUGGCUAGGCGAUACGCAACUAUAGCAUAUUUAGAAAAUCUUGAAUUUCAUCCGAAACUGACGUAAUUGAAUCUCUCUGUAAAAGUCCAUAAUUCCAUGAUUCUUAUCCGAGCUUCAGGUGUUAGCGAAUUUGAGUGAUAAUUCCUAGGGUGCAAAGCUUUGAUACUGGAUGCUGAAUCUGAGAAGAUAUGAAAAGUUUCUCCAUGAUACAUUUGCAAAAGAAGCUUUGCCACUCGGAUGAUUGCUCCAAUUUCGGCCGAGCAGGCAUCUGGAUCACCUUUAUUGCGUCAGAUAUACAUGCGAUGGUGCCAUGCUGAUUAGUAAUCAGGCAUCCUACACCACCUUCAGUAUUGCCUUUCCAACUCCCAUCUAUCCACACAUGAAAGGAAGAGAUUAUAGGUUCUUGAAUCAAAGUUGGGUCCUGUAUGUUGAUUCGCGUCAUGUUAUUGUUGGAGUAUAAGGCCGUACAGCGAGUGAGAAAUUCUUCUCCUUAAAGAUCAUCCAUUCCUUUUCUUCUACAAGCUCUAUAACAAAUGAACACACAGAAGGCCUUAUGAGUCUUCAUAACUUUGUUGGUUAGGAUGAAAAAUAUCCAUAACAAUUAAUAUAUUUCUUUAGUUUAAGACUAAUAUAUAUUAAAUUAUUAAAAUUUCAAUUUAAUUAAUUUUUUGAUUUGAUUUGUUAUUUUUAAAAUCAGAUCGAAUUGAAUUAUAUAUAAAACCACAACGAACCGACUGAUUUCGACCGAUUCAAUUUGAUAAUUCAGUUUGAAUCGAAUAAUGGUCACCUUGGUUAAAAAUUUAUUGAGUGGAGCCCAUAUAUAUAUUUUUUUAUCAUGAACUGCGCAAAGCAAAGAUAACUUGCAUUUACACUCCCCAGUCCCAAAACAAGUAAGCACAUUUAACCACUGCAGAAAAAAAACUGAGCUUCAAAAAAAAUAAAAUAAAAAAGUUUUUUUACCACCCUAAAAUGUUUUUACAAACAAUAAUUAAAAAAAAAAAGAGCAUAAAAAAAACCCCCCCAAAAGCAAGUUUUUUUUUAAAAAAAACAUAUCGAAUCACGAGAAAGAACCGUAACCACCACCUUUUACUUUCGUGUUAUUAUUAUUAUUAUUAUUAUUAUUAUUAUUAUUAUUAUUGGUUUUUAACCUCUUUGUCCAUUGACUGAGUGCUUCUAAUCAUAUUCCUAGUGGCCAGCGCUUUUUCCAAAGAGCCCCCUCCUAUUUAAGAGCAUUACCACCCCACCCCCCCCUCGCACACAAUUAAAGCAUGUGAAUUGGAGAGAGUGCUUGCUCCUUAGUCCUCAGACAUGAUGUCUCUGGAAAACUAUUCUCUCCGCCCCCUACAACAACACCACCACUCCUUAGAUUGGGAUCUACACAGCAACAUUAAUGGAGUCGAGUAUUUCCAUGAACUCAUUCCUUUGGGUAUGAUCACAAACUCAAUUACUUCUAUAUAAAGAUUUUCUUUUUUUUUUUUUGAUAUUGUAAGUUUUCGCUGCUCUUUAAUUCCAACAAUACUAUAUACGUACUCUAAGUGUGUAGUUUAGGUGUCAUUUGCUUUGCAUGGUGGGUUUAUGUGAUUGUGUUUGUGUAGAUUGGGAGUCUCCGAUGUCGUCGGAGGCGUCCACCGGGUACCUGCAAGACGCGGUGGCCGAAUGGGAGGACCGGUGCAAGCGGCGGAGAACGACGGCGGCGGUGGCGGUCGCAGCGGCGGUGCCGCAUCGCGAUUGCACUUCGGUUGGGAUGAAUGAAGAGCUCCUGGAUCUUCUUCAAGUAAAUAUUUCCCUGCUUUGAGAUUCAUAAUUUGAAUUUAAAUUGAGGAGGGAGAUUUUUGAAUUUGAUAUACAUUUUCUUUCCUUUUCUAUUUUUCCUUUUUUUGCAGAAUUUUUGGGAUUCUAGCAACCAUGAUGAUCAUCAUCCUUUGGAUGGUUUGAAUUGUGUGAGCCAAGAGAAAUUUGCUGGUACAGGUAAAUUUUUGAAUUAAUUUAGAAUUUUUUUUCCCCUCAUUUUCCUUUUCUUUUUCUUUUUCUUUACUUUUUUUAUUCACUUUUCUACUCUUCAGUAGUUUUGGCUGAUUUUUUAAUUUUUCCUUAUAUAUAUAUAGUAUGGAUUAGUAAUAAGACAACGUAAUUAUUAAUGUUUGAAUUAUAAGAAAUGUGUCUCAUAGCUGUCACAUGUGAGGCCCACCAAUUUAAUUAUAUAUGUACAUAUAAAUAAGGGCCAGGCCAAAACCAAAUUGUCAAUGGUUGAACAUAUAUAGCUAACUAAGCCAUAAUUAGUGCAUAAUUUUAGCAAGUUAAUUAACUAGCUAGCUAGCUAGGAGUCAAACUAUACAUUCUUAAUGUUUUUUAAUUAGUUCUUUAAUUUUCAUUAACAAAUCCAUAUGAAAAGCAGGUGAUUAAAGUAUGCAGUUGUUUUAUUUGCCACAACUUUUGCUUAAAUAUUGUUAAUUAUCAGAUCAUGAUGCUGCAAAUCCCAAGCUUUUAUCAUUGAAGGGCCACACCAUGCAACAAGUGUCAGGGAAAAAGCUCCAAGAAGAGAGAGGAGGAGCUUCACCACCAAAUCCCAAAGAAAAAGAUACCAACUAUGCUUCUGUAGAGUCAAAUUCUACUCAUCCCUCCACACUCAAAUAUUUGGCACCAAGAGGUAAAACAAUAAUUGUUGAUUACUUAUAAUUAAAACACCGUUCUAUGAUAGAAGAAAUAUUGCCUACACUCGGUGCGUGCGUAGCUGAUCUAUGUGGUGCACUAGGGGUAGGCAACUGGAUAAUGACAUUAGAGCAGGAGGUUCUGAAUUUGAAUUUCUUUAUGUUUGUCUCGGCUCUCUCGGCAGGGAGCGAGAGCCAGAGGUGUAAGAAAAAGAAAGGCACGGGGGUGGCGUAUCCGUUCGCGGUGGUGAAGCCCGGCGGGCUGGAGGGGGACGUGACGCUGCACGACAUCAACGAGAGGAUCCUCAUGCGGCCCGCCCGACCCGUCCGGCACCCGGUCGGGGAGUUUGCGCCCGGCCCGUGCGUGUCGGCCCGCGGGCCGGGUUUGUCCGGCAAAGCUGUAGUGAGCCUCACCAGGAUCCAUACAAGAGGGAGGGGCACUAUUACAAUUAUCAGAACAAGAGGAUAAACCUUUUCCCCUUUUUUUCCCCCUUUUUGCAUUGAUAUAUACAUGUAUAUUUAAGAUAUAUAUAUAUAUAUAUAUAUAUAUAUAUAUAUAUAUAUAUAUANAUGUAAAUACUACCUCUUAUAUAUUUCCCUCUUGCAAUAAUAUAUAUUGCUAUUUCAUACGUACACUAUUCUUUCUUUUUAUUUCCUUUACUUUUAUUAAGAAUAUAUCGCGAGAGCCAAAUUUUACACACAUUAAUUAACACUUAAAAGUCUCUCCAAAUAUACGCGCUAAAUUUAUAUUGAAAAAAUAACAAUAAUACCUAAAUUCAUAUGACAAUGCUAAUAAACUAUGAUUCGUAUAGUUAUAAACCAACUAAGAUUUAAGUGGUGGACCUUUUUUGCGAAUUUGCUUAAGAAGGGAAGUUAAUCAAUUAUUUGCAGUACGUAAUUGAUAUUAUUAGCAGAGAAAAAUAAGCCCAUGCAUGUUAUUUGCUUCUAAUAAUCGCUUUUUCCUUGAAAAAUAAAAUCUUAUAUAUAAAUAAUUAAAAAAAAGAUGAAAUGAGUUUUAAAAUAUCAAAGCAGGACUAAAUUGAAAUAAUCUCUUGCUAGCUUUAGAGCAAACUUGAGGCAAUUCAAAUUAAAGGGCUCUGGAUACCAUGAUUUCUUUUUCUCUUUUUUUGCACUAUACUCCCUGUAGGAUAUUACAAUUACAUUGCAAGGAUUACUUUUUCUUUUCUUAGUUUUUUUUUUUUUAUUUGCAUGUUAUUUCAUGAGAAAGAAAAUAAAAAAGCAAAGGAAAUGAGAGAAUGACAACACGAACCCUAUACUGUCAUUGGCUCCAAAGAGGCCGAAAUACUUUGCUGUGUGAUUUGACUAGAAAAUAGAAUCUAGCUAGUCAAAAAAAAAAAAAAAAAAAAAAAAGAACUUUAUUUUUUGGAAAUUAGUGUAAAAUUGCUCGUUGUUUAGCACUUGAAUAAUUAUUAAUUUUCAUCUAAUUUAUGUCAAAAUAUUUAUGAGCUUCUAUUUUGUGUAUAUGUGUUUUAAUCUAUUUAAUGAACCGCACAGAAAAUUAAUCAUCUUAUGUUUUAGAAUCAAAAAUAAUUUUGAAUACCAGUGGAAUGAAUUUUUAAUCCAUUUAAUGAACUGCACUGGAGAUGCACAGACAGAAAAGAAGUGAAAGUUUAACCUUCGUCGUUUAUCAAAUUUCUAAAUUGAGAUAUCAAAUGAUGCUGGUGAAUAACAGGGGAAUAAAUUUUGAAUCUUACGACACAAUAAAAUAAAUAAUAGUUUUUGAAAUUUAUGGGAUUCUAAUCAUUUUUGGUUGGUGUGAUCUUUUCAACUAUGGUCAAAUUAUUAGGAAACAUUAAUAUAUAUAUACACACACACAAGUGAACAUAGGAACCACGCACACUUUAUAAAAGCAUGCUUUAACAAAGAGUGGAUCGAGAUGAUCAUCAGUAGAAGUGGAUUUGACUCAAUUGGAUUUAAAUUAAUAAAUUAGCAAUUCAAAUCCCAACAAAGAACAAUUUGCAUAGCACGUUUUAGUCAGUGCAAGGACAUACUAAUUCCUUUUCUUUUUUUUUCUUUUUUAUUAUAUUAUAUGGUUUUGAGCCAAAUUUUAAAAAAAAAAUAGUUUAUACCUAGUAAAGUUUCGGGUGUACCGUUUCCUUUUAGAUUCUAUGACAAAAAUAAUUGUGUGAGCACCUCAUUAGGGGUAGCCCCAACUCCCAAAGUGUGAAAUAUGUCCCAUGCAUGUUGUCGCACCUGCACAAACUAAUAUAAAAGUAAGGGUUAAUUUUAUAUAACUUUAUGUAAACAUAUCAAAUAGUAAAAAUAUAUAUUUCUAUAAAAUUUAAUAUUUCAUACAAAUAUUUACUAAUAUUUAUAUUUGUCUCUUUGUUUUGUUAUAGUUAGAGUAGUGUUUAUUUUUUAAUAGAAGAUAAGUAAAAUAACAUUUUUGUAAUCACACAAAUAUGUCGCCCCAAAAAUCGCAACUGACGGCCGUUUUUCUUCCUUUCUAACAUCACAAAUAAUAUAAGAGAAAGUAAAAAGGUCAAUUUACCUCAUUUACUAAUCAGGGUUUAAUAUUUUAUCUAUUGUUUACUAUAAUUUUCUAAUGGAUCCUAACAACUGAGAUAUAUUUAAAAACAUUAAGACUUUUGAAAAGAUAAAUAUGAAAAAUUGAACUUUAUAAGGAUAUAUCUGCUAUUUGAUAUGUUUAAAGAGAGUUAUAUAUAAUUAACCCUAAAAAUAAUAUAUAAUAUAUUUUUUAAAAUUUAAAAAUAUUUAAUUUAUUUCUAAAGGACCAAAAUAUUUUUAUUGAUUUUAAUAAUUUUCUUCAAAUAUCCACAUUUUUUUUGCAAGGGCUUACUAAUGGAAUUAAAUUUUAGAAUAAAUUUGAAAAUUUUGAAUAGCAAUAAAAGGAUAAACAAGCAAAAGCUUUGAUUGAUAUAUGGUGUAAAUUUGCUCUUUCCUUUUGAAAAGCCAAAGUACAUUAAAAGUCUAUUUAGUCCAACUGGAGCUUAAUCAGAAGUACUCUCUUUCAAAUUAAUAAUAAUUCUACUUUGGAAAUAUAUAAUUUUUUUUACUAAUUUAAAUGUUGUUUGAUUAAACAGGUUAGGUACUGAUUCAAAUUAUGAGCCAUGAAGAGUUAGGAGCCCAAUAAAAUUGAGAAGAAAAAAAAAAAGGCAAGAUCACUAGAUCAGAUCACACCAACUACACAUGCAAUUAAUCAAUUAGGAAGGAAAUCAAUAGCCACAUAUAUAUAAUAAAUGGUCCAAUCAAGGCAUCAACUUUUUAGGAAGGGAAAAGAGAUGGGGGCCAUCAUCUACCAAAGAAAAUUAAUUGACAUGAACAGGAGAGCACAGCAAACAUUUUGCCUUGCCUGCUGCCCCACAGAUGGGAAUAGAUAUCAAAAGCAGGUUGCUGUCUGCUCUCCCCCAAAGUCAAGCUGGUUUGAACUUACCAGGCAAGGGAUGGGUCCCAGGAUUAAGUGUCAUUAUACAUUUGAUAUUUUGGAUUCGUUAUCCAUGAUUGAAUUGAAUAAGAUAUGAAAAAUAAUAAUAACAAUAAUAAUAAUACUGUAUUUUGUUGGACGGGAGCAAACAGGUCCAACAAUUAACUUGAGUAAAAGUUUAGUGACGUGUCUCGACAAGACUUAGAUACGAGCGGUUAUAUAUAUAUAGCACUCAGCUUUACUUUGAGAUGCGCAACGAGUUUUACCUGACGCAUAUAUCUGAUCGGUCACUGAAUUUUUGUUCAAACUUGAGUAAGAAAUCACUCAAUUCGAAGCUCUAACGAUCGGCUGAAAGUUUAGUGAGAUGUGUCUUAUUGAAACGCUCAAGUUUAUUGGAUAGUAUUCAAUCCUGCUUUGAGAUUUGCACAAAGUGUCAUAAGAUAAUUUUGAUAUGAGUGAGAUAGUUUAUAUUAAGUUUUGUUCCAACAACUUGGAGGAAUCAGAAACCCCAUAAAGCAUAUAUUAGAUCAAACCAAAUUAUCCCAUCACAUGGAACUCCAAGUUGUGGUUGCAAUGCCUAAAAUGCCUUGAAUACUAAAUUUGUCAAAUAACGAAACUUUUUAUUUUUAUGUUUUUAUUUUCUAGACUUUUAAGCAAACUUUUAAUUUUAAAAGGACAUUGAAUAUUUAAUAAUAUUUUAUUUCAGUCCCUAAAAUUGUAAAGUAUUUUAUUUUAGUCCUUGUCAUAAAGUAAACAAUUAUUUCUUGCACCCAGUUUUCUUGUAUAUUUGUACAAUAUAAAUUUAUUGCUUCUUUAUCUCUAUCAUAUACAUACUUUUAAAUUCAAUGAUAGAAUUUGUAAUAGAAUAGAGAUUAUAUCUCGAAUUUGUAGUAAUUCUAUCAUAACUUUAUGGUCUAGCUAGGAUCAUUCUAAACUUAAAAGUUUAAACUACAUGGUUCAAAUUUAGACUUUCAAACUUUGAUAAUUAAUUAGAUCUUCUAUUUUAUAAAAUAGCUCAAUUGGUUGUUUGGUACACAUGAUAUGAGUUUGCAAAUUAAAAAGGAAGAAAUAUAGGGAUUUUUUUUUUUUUUGAGAGAUAGGUAGUACACUACCCGCUUCGUUUAUUUCAUUUAGAAAUAAACUUAGCUGGAAAUGUGAAUCAACUAGGAUUCGAACUUGGAACCUCGAGUACCAAUCACCAAACCCUUUGCCACUUGCUCUAAGGACGGUCGGUGAUAUAUAUGGAGCAUUGCCUAAGAUACACUACCAACAAGGAAGGGAAAUUCAACUCUCUUUUUUACAUUUAUAACCAAUUAUUAACCUAUUCAAUGGUUAAGAUUUGUAAAGACGUUUUUGUCUCCUGUCGAUCCACGAUCCAAAUUGACUUAUUUGCGAAAAAAAUCAAGUACAAGAGUAAAUGUGAUACCGUCCUUGAAAUUAAUGAAUAAAUUCAUUACUCAUUCAAUAAAUAUUAGUUUUGAAAUAAGCGUAUCUCCUAAUUUUUCUAUAAAUUAUUUUUUUAUUUUCUUAAAAUGAGUUAUGAUAAUGUGUAUCUUUUAGCCUCUCUAAAAGUGUCUUUUAGUAUCUUUAUGAAAUUAAUGAGUGAGUUAAUAUCUAGUAAAGUGGAAAGAUCACUAAAGAGCCUGUAAAUGUGUAAUAAUUAAUUUCAUGAUGAAAAAAAUAAAUGAAGUUGACUUGCUUCUUCUAUCUCUUAGAUGGAUUUUUUGUGAGAGAAAAAUGUUGAUCAACUUUCGCGUUGACGGAUUCCGUGUUGUGGUUGCUCGAGUUCGACGUGGUUGCUAGAUUCUACGACGGAUGGAGUGUUUAUCGAGUCGUGUUUGUUCUAUCUCCGGAUUCUCUCUAAGUUCCAACGUCAAAAUGUCUUCUUUUUUUAAUCAUCAUUUUUGUUGAUCCACAUAGCAUAUUUCAAACAAUAUCCAUUAUACUCGUGAACAGAAGUUAUUAACACAAAUUAUUAAUCGAUUAGUACUAUUAGAUAUAGAUUUUUUACAUAACAUUAUUUUUUUUUUCCAUUCUUAGCCUAUCUAGAGAGGCCUUUCAUCAUACUAUCCUCUUCCUACUCUCUUUCUCUCCCAUGUGGCACCAAGAUACUUUAUAAGUGGAUGUUAUUAUCCUCUGGGUACUACCCCUCUCUCUCUCUCUCUCUAUCUCUCUCUCUAGAGAGAGAGAGGUAGGAUGUAAUUGGCAUUGUUUUUUUUAGAGAAUAAUAGCAUGGCAUCAUUUAUUUAAAAAAAAAAAAAAAAAUUUAGCUAAAGAUAUAAAGCAACUAAAAUUUGAACUUGAAAUCUUGAGUAUCACAAUUAGUAAGACAAACUAGUUUAAUAAUGUAGCAGCUAAAAGUACUAGUUUCAUAUUAUAAAAGAUUCAAAAAAUUCAAACAUACUUAUAAUUUUUUCUCCUUCAAUAUAAUUUUUAUAAUAUAAAAAAAUUAAAAAUGCUCCUGAAAUUUUUAAUUAUAAUAUAAAAAUAAUACUUUUAGUCACUAUAUUUAUAUAUCAAGGCUAGAUUAUAGAAAAUUCCUUUAUAAAUAACGUUGCAUUUAGCCCCCUCCCCUAUUCAAGAUUCAUUACUAUUCUGUUAAUUUCUUAUAAUUUAUACCGAAAAUAUCCUUUAAAAUAAUAUAAAUAUAUUAAAUAAUUAUUUUUUUUCCUUAUAUAAGAAAUAAGGAUAAUUUGAUUGUUUUACCUUCUCUAUUAACACUCUAUUUUUCUGAAUGCAAAAUAUAAAUUUUAAAAAAUAAAAAAUAAUAAAAGAAAAUAUUAGAUCUGAUUUUUUUUUGUCGCUUGUGCCGGUAACAGUCGGUGUUUAUGCGAUCGGGCAUUGUUACUGCAUCUGCAAGGGGUGGAGUAGCUAGUAGUACUAAAAAAAGAGUUAUAUCGAGAUGUAGUUUAGGAAAAAUUUGGAAUGCAUCGGAUAUAUUGGUGACCUGGCGUAAUAAAUCAAUCAAAUCUCUCCUUUUAGAGAUAUAUGUCCUAUUAUGAUUAAAAAAAAUAAUUUUAUUAUAUUUUUAUUUGAAAAGAAGAAAUAUAAUUGAGUUGUUAUUAACGACGUGGUGCGAGUAUGACAGUGUAGAAUUCCUUGUAGUUUAGGCCCCAGCAACGAUGCGAUGGUGCUGGUGUGGAAGGGUACUGUCAGUUUGGUGGUGUUUCGCGGAAAAAGCGAUCAUGAUGCGUCCCCCCACGCUGCAUGUGGGGCGCAUGCAACCAACCCAAAUUAUGUCGAUCGUACGUGUUCCCUCUCCUGCGUUACGUACGCGCGCGGGCCCAACCAGCUCACCUAUCUAGCUCAGGCCACCAAUAACAAUAAUAGUAAUAAUCAUCAUCAUCAUCAUCAUCAUCAUCAUCAACAUUCACCAUCAGAUCAGUAAAAACCAUCGUUAGUUUAUAUAUAUUAUUACCAUUUCAAAAAUAUUAAUUUCUUUUAUUUGGAUAUAUAUAUAUAUAUAUAUAUAUAUAUAUAUAUAUAUAUAUNUGUGUAUUUUUAACUAUUGGAUCUACUUUUUGAUUACUAAUAGUCCUUGGAUCAAACACUAUUCUACCUACCACCACCUACGACCACCUACCACCAUCAUCUCAACCUCACAUCUCUCCAUCUAAGGGCUAAAAACACAAAAGUAUCACUUGGGUGAUACUUUUACAAGUAUUCUAGCUCUACUCAUAUAUAUAUAUCAGUACCACGCACGAAUUAUUUGUUAUUCGUAAGCUGGUUGUAGCUAGGUGAGAUCUAGCUAGCUAUGUUCCAAAAUAUAUAUAUAAGUUGAAUGAAACUGCAGUCUAUAAUAAAUCUAAUGACAAGAGAUUCAAUAAUAGACUUAGGGAUUUCAAUAUUUACGAAUACCCGAAAUUUUAUCCGAAUCCGAAUCCGAACGGAACAAAUUUAUUCAAUGCUAAACGGCUAUUGUUUCAAAUAUAGAUAUUAAAAACAAAAACCCGUCGGGUUCGAAUUUUUGAAAAUUCUUCUCGAAUCCGAUCCGUUGAUAUCCCUAAAUAGAUAUAAUUUUCAAAUGAAUUGAAUCAAGUCGAAACUGGUGAGUUUGGCAACAGAGUACUUGCAACAGAGUACUUAAACGUAAUCGGCGCGUUUUUUUUAUUAGCACAUGUUUUCGAAAUUGUUGAUUAGUACCUACUGUACAUUUGUUACUUAUGUUAGGACAGUGGGCAUUAUUACCUUGAUAGUUAAAGCAGCAGAUGUGACGCUUGAUGGACGUGGGUUCACUAUGCAGGUUGCGCCAAAAAAAAAAGGAGGUCUUAAAGAAACUAGGAAAGAUUUCAUAGGAGUAAUUUCACAUGUACUCCUACAGGAGACUAAAAUUUCAUCAAUAAUCCUCUAAAAUUAAAAGUAUAAUAAAUAUUUUUUAAAUUUAAAAAAUACUCAUAAAUGUUCCUAUAGAUAAUGUGCCGUCAAAAUUUAACCGAACAAGUUUUAAAUGUCAUUUCUACCGUGUACGGUUCAUUAAGUAUAGGAAACCGUAAUUGGCAUAUUAACACUAUUCGCUAGCGCCCUCUUAUUCUCUCCACAUAAUAACGAGCCUACUAAGUAGUUGAUAUUUUACAGCAGCCCGCUAAGUAGUUGGUGUUUUACAACACUUCGUAAUCCAACUCCUAAUUAUGAUUGUGGUAAACCGUACUGAAUUUAGAUGUCAAAAUAACCGCAUAGUAAAAAUUGAUGAUUUUAUCGAGGCUCAAAUUAGAAGGUAAAUUGAUAUGAUACUUUAGUGUGCAUAUAAUUAUUAAUUAAAUAUCAAAUAUAUAAUGCAGUAUAUUUUCUACAGGUUGAGAAAUAAAUAUGAUACAACUAUUUUGCUUGCGUAGAUUAUGUUGGCUUAAAUGGGCCAGCAUCCUGCUCUGUGGUGGGAGGUCAUGUUGGGUUGAGUAAUGUUCGACGUGGCGUAAGGCUGGGUGGGCCGAGUCAUAUUCGAAGUGGCGUAAGGCUAAUUUGGUCGAGUCAAAAUUGAGAUCCGUAGGCGCUGUAUCUCUACGCUUUAAGUGAAUUAGUUGUAUCUUUCUGACAGUUCGAGCUUUUGGGAUUAAUGGUUAGCGUCAACGAUUCUACAGAUAAUUUUCAACACAACACAGUUAACCUUAAAUACCAAAUACAGAUGCUGAAAAAAAGCAUAGGCUGAAGAAUUAAAAAGUUGGAGGAGAAAAUCCUAUUGUGUAUUUUAUAUACUGGUUUCUGAAAUUUUUUACCUUAACAUUAAUUAGUCAUUUCCGGCCAAAUAUAUCAUUCUAACUUUUGGGGAAAAAUUUGUCAUUUUAUAUUUUAACUCUCAUUUAACUAUAUUUUAAUCCUGGUAGAGUGACACGUCCUUAACGGCAAGGGUAGUUAUGAUAAUUUUAUGCGUUUAAAAAGAUAUUUAAGAUAUUUUAAAGUUUAAAGGAGUAUUCACGAAAUUUACAAGUUUGAUAAGGUUACUGAUGAAAUUGUCAUUUUUCUUUAUAACAAUAAUUGCAUAUAAUUUAGGGUAAACUUCAAAUAUCAAUUAUAUAGUUUAACACUUUUUUACUUUAGUAUCGUGUAGUUUAAAAGGUAUUACUUUAGUACCCUAUGAUUUUAUUUUUCUCUUUCCGUCAGCACCUCCAUUAACUCUCCGUUAAAUUAUAUACAAAAAAACUUCAUAUACCCCCCCUAUAGUUCAUUGAAUAUUCACUUUAUUAUUCUGUGGUUUACUAAAUAUUUAUUUUAGCACCCUAUGGUCUUAACUUUAUCACUGAUAUAAUAAAAAAAUUAAUAGAAAGAAUAACGGAAAGAAAAUUUUAUUAAAUUUAUUAAAAUUAAUAAUAAAAUAAAUAUAAAAACUCAAAUAAAAAAAAAUAGAGGUUAAAAGGGUGUUGAUGGGCCAAUAUCAAAAUCGUCCAUAGUUGAGGGGGUCUCCAUACAUUUUACCUAUUGAAAUUAGACUAUUUUAGUUAUUUUAGCUAAAAAGUUGUGUUAAAUUUAACAAAUUUUUUUUAAUACUAAAUCUCUUAACUUUAAAAAACUAAAAGUUAAAGGAUCUUAAUAAAAAACUGCAUAGUUAAAGAAAUUAUUUCGAACUAGCAUAUAGUUGAGAAAUCUCCGGUACAUUUCUCAAAUAGUAUCAAGCAAUUAGAGGUAAAUUCAUCAUUUCAUUACUUAACCCCUAAUUAAUCAGGAUAAACUAACGGUAUUUUAAUUAUAAGGAUAUUUAUGAUAAUUUUUUAUAUUUUAAGGAAUAUGUAUUAACUUUUGUAGGAAUAUCUACGAAAUUUAUAAAUUUUAGAAUGGUAGGGAUGAAAUUGCCCAAGAAACUAUUAGUUCGCUAGUUGAGGCUGCCGACACCAUCUUUUCUUCUACAGUGCAGUUAAAAACAAAAACAAAAACAAAAACAAAAACAAAGGAAAAAAGAAAUCCAAGAUUACAAAAUUAAACAUUAAUUUCCUUGUGGUGGCAAAAUUUUGGGAACGAAUUAUUUAAAGAAUUUAAUCGAAGACACAACACUUUUUUUUUCUUUUUUUUCUUUUUUUUUUUUUUUUACACCUAAAAACAGAUACUGAAGCUUUUAUUUUGGCGCAUAUUGAAGCUAUGUGGCAUGCGAGACUGAAAAUACAAUUUAGUUAUUAAAAAUAAAAAUUAAUUUAAUCCUAAAUAGAUUGGAUUUAUCGACUAUGGUCGAAUUCACUUAAUAAGUCUGAUAAAAUAAUACUUUUAUUAAAAAAGAUUAGAUUUAAACCUGGUCAAAUUCAUUCAGUGAAUAAUAAUCGGAUUGAAACCUACAUUUCAAUAUCAAAAUCAAAAUUAGUUCCGAUUUGCAAAUAUUUGAACUCUGUCCCCUCGGCAGUGCCCAACCUUUACGGGCUAACGUAGAGUUUAAUUUGAUUGUGUGAAUAUAUAUAUAUACACCUAAACUAUGUAGUUUAAAAGGAGAAAAAAAAAGAAAUGAUUUGAUUGUGUGAAUAUAUAUAUAUAUACACACACGUAAACUAUGUAGUUUAAAAGAAAAAAAAAAAGAAAUAGUUGGUGGGUGGGAACAGUUUUCUGAGGUGUAAAUUAUGCACUCUAUCUAUUAUAUAAAUAAAAAUUUUUUUAAUAAUCACAUUGAGAUGACUAGUAAAAAACACUUUACUCAUAAAAUGAGGAGUAAUGUUAUCGAUACAUUCCCAAAUGGAGUGUAUAUUUUACAUUCUCUUCAUCCAAAAGCUAUUUUUUUUACUUCUCGCAUCAACUUCUUUCAACUAAAAAUCAUUUCAGUUUUUGUGAAUUUUAGGAUACGGGUGUAAGAUUUGCAUUCCCUUUCGAGUGUACAAGUAAAAUUUUUCUAAAAUGGGCGGAGUACAAAAUAGGUUUUUUUUUUUCUGUAUGAUAGUUUUUUUUUUUUUUUAAAGAAUGUUGUUUAAGCAUAAAAUUACUAUCAUUAUCCUUAAUUAAUUCUUUUGCUUAAUAUAUCUUAUCUUUUAUUAAUAUAACUACCACAAAAGAGAGUUAUUAUUUUCUAUAGAGCAAUGCUAUCCACACACUCAAAUAUGACUGCAAAUUAAUCUUUCACCCUUGGCAUCCAAGAGCUCAUUUAAUCAAGCUAGUCCCAGAGGUAUCUAGAUUCUUGAAUGAGUUGAGCUCUUAAAAUUUAUAUUCUAUUUUUCAAAAUGUGUACAAGGAGCAUGGAGUGAAUGAUUAACUAAGCAGUACAACUCACAUAGCAGUUAAAAAGCAAAAAGGAAAGAAAAAUUAUAUAUACAUAUAUAUAUAUAUAUAUAUAUAUAUAUAUAUAUAUAUAUAUAUAUAUAUAUAUAUAUAUAGUACACUAAAACAGAGCACAAAGGAGAGGGGCUAUGUCUGUGUUAUAGACCAGCAUGGGAAUAAGAGAGAAGCUAUUGUGGAAGUCACCUUCUUCCCCCAUUUAUGCUUGGGGAGAUUCCUUCCUUCUCUUCUCACCCCAAUUAUUAUUAUUUUUUAAAUAAAAUAUUAUAUAAAAUUUAAUAGUAUAUUUAAUAAAUAAGAAGUAUGAUUAAAUAUGUAAUAAAAUAGAGUUAGUUUGUUAUGCUUUUGCAAGCACUAAUUUUCAACUUUUAGGUCCUUGGAUUCAUACUAUUACCACCAGCUACUUUUAAACCACUAAUAGAUCUAAGGUUUAAAAGUUAGAAGAAUAGGACUGACGGUCCCUAAUACAAGUGAUAAAAAACUUGAUGGUUAGUAUCCGAGGUUUCAAGUUCGAAUCCUAAUUGAUUCAUAUUUCCAGCUAAAUUUAUUUUUAAAUAAAAUAAAUGAAACCGAUACCAUGCUACCUAUCUCUCAAAAAAAUAAAUAAAUUUUCGGAUAAAUUAGAAUUUAGUUGUAAAGUUUUUUUAAUUCUAAAAAAUAAAAUAUUUUAAUGAGCAAAAAAUCAGACUCUUGAUUUUCAAUUACAACAAACAAUAUUCAUAUUGUAGAAAUUGUUAGAAUAACUUAUUUUAACAUUCCAACGGACUAAAUGCUUUUACGCGAGAGAAAAAAAACAUGCUAUCGGUUUCACUUAUUUUUUAAAAAAAUAAAUUUAGCUGAAAAUAUGAAACAAUUAAGUUUCAAACUUUAAAUUUUAGGUAUUAAUUACAAAACCUUUCGCCACUUGCGUCAGUGACAGUCAAUGAGUGAUGAAAUUGUUAUUAUGCAUAUAUCAUAUUCGAAUAAUUUCGUAAAAUACAAUCAGAGUAGUGAUAAAAUACAAUAAACCUCCCAUUCAUAUGUUGCCAUUAUAACUUUUUAUAAAAUUACUGCCGUAUUAACUAUAGCGUUUUAGUACACGCACCUCCAAUUACACCCUACAAUGCUACUAGCAAUGUACCGUGCUUUGCAAUGAGUGCGAAUUUUAAUUUUAUAAUUAUUAUAUUAUACAUUAUAUAAAGUCACUUAAUAGAAUCAAAUAAAAAUACUAAAUUUUAUACAUAUCUUUUAUUUGAAAAGAGAAAAGAACAUUAAAUAAAAAUUAAAAUCAGAGAGAGCACUUUCAAAUUUCACCCAUAAUGUAAAAAAAAUAAAAAUUAAAAAUUUUUAAAAAUGUAUAAUUAUUAAAUUCAAAUAUAAAUCUUUCCAAAUACUUGAAACAGGAUCUCCUUGGGAAAAACAUUGUGAUUUUCUGUUUUAGGGUUGUUUUCCAUUUUGUUUUUCUGAGAAAUCAUUGGAGAGGUAUAUUUACAAGAAGAACCUAACAAGAGAAAAACAACAAUAGUGUAGGUUCCCAGAUAGGCCUGGAUUAAAGCCAAGCCACCCCUUUGCCCAAUAAUGGACAAAAGCAAAAAUGGAAGAAAAUGGGUGGUCCUUGCACAAAAGAAUUAAAAUAGUACAAGCCUUCAUGUACAAGAAAUAAAAUUUAGAAAUCAUUGGUUGAAUAUAAAUAAUAAAUACAGUAAACCUAGACAUACAUAUAACUAAGUAUACAACAGUUAUAACUACAAAAAAAAAAAAUACUUGUUUGCUUUUGUACAAAUACAACCUAAGUAGUAAUUACAUUUCGCCCGUUAGGUAAUAUAAAGCAGGUAAUAUAAAGCUGAUAGUUCUAUUUAUGAAUUUUAUCACUUUUCCAAAUAGAAUUAGGGGAUUAGCCCCAUUAUAUGUAAAAUAAUCAUAUGAUUUUAAUAAUCAUUUAAAAUUUCUAUCUACAAAUAAAUAAGUGGGUAUGUAUAAUAUUUUUAUAUUUGUCAAUAAUUUUUCAUCAUAUAAAUCUGUCAAUUUAAAAUGCUCAAUCUAUUUAACCUUAAGGAAUAAGCCACACUUAAAAAUCAACUAUAUUCUUUCUUUUUUUUAUCCAAUUGAAUAAUUAUAAGUAAUUAAAAUUUAUUUAGUUAACAUACACAAUCAAAUUCUAUAAAAAUUUAUAAACAAGGCCAUUUUUAAUAUUUUUAAAUAAAACUAUUUCUCAAAAACUUUAUUUUUUUACACAAAGCUUACUCAAACUUUUAUUAGCAUUUAUUUAUUUACAAAUAUUUUUAUUUAUUUAUCUCUAUAUACAAGUAUUUUUUUUUUAAUUUUUUUAUUCAUUUCUGUUAAUUAGUGAGUGAUUUGACCUUUCACCAACUACAGCAGUUGGAACUACAAGCAAUUUGAAUGCAGUUCUAAAUGCAACAUCUAGACUUUCUUAUGCAACUGUAACUACAUCAGUUGAACUCAAUUACACCAAAACCAAAUAUAAAAUUUAAAUCUGCAUGUAUUUGUAACUAUAUUGUAAUUACAAAUGCAUACAACCAGACAGUCUCUCGAUGACAAGCACCGAACAUGCUUAAUGCAAUCGUUUAAGGACUCAAUGGUUAACACUAGAGGUCCCAAAGUUUGAAGCCUAAUUGGUUUAUAUUUCUAGCUCAAUUUAUUUUUUCAAAAAAACUCUCAAAAGCAAGAAGAAGAAAUUUAAUGAAAGGCUUUAAAAAGGCUAUGAGGCUAAUAUCAAUUAUAUAGAAAAAAAAAAAAAAAAAACAAAUAAGACACAACAAUGGCAUAUCGUAGUAAACAUUUCAAGCAAAACUAUGCACAUCACAUAAUGAGGAAAAAUAAAUUCUGCAAACCUCGUAGGGAGCUCGCUGGGCCUUCUAUUAGAAGUGUUUGUUAGAAUAAUGCUGCGAGAAGAAACACAAACAAUUCAAGAAACUUCAAGUUGCGCCGCCGUUGAUUGCACCGGUUGGUCUCCUAACUUAAACAUGAGUUUUCACUUGAAUCCUGAACCCCACAAUUUUUGCAAUUCGAUCACUGAUGUGUUGUUUCAAUCUGAGUCGUCUGCAAAAGUUAGGAUUGGGAACCCAAUUAACAGCUGCACAGGAAUGGCCAAAUUUAACCCUUUAGCACCACUUGCAUUUUGCGAUCCAAUACCUCACCACAGAUAAAAUCACAAUCGCAACCAAGAUACAACCGGCUCUGACCAUUCAGAAAUUUUCUGCAGAAAGAGAACUGAUACAGGGGUGCCGACAUCUUCGCUUAUUGCACAAAGCAUGUUACAGAAAAUUUUAUAGUACAGAUACAUGCGUAUGAAAUAUUUCUCAUGCCUCAGUCUCAUCCUGGAGGAGGAUUUCGUAUAUAUCUGUGCGGAUGUUCAAUUCUUUGUCUCGCAUGACUUCCUGAAGAUCUGAUAGCUCCUUUAGUGUCAAAAUUGAACUCAGUUUCUGGAAUCCGUCGAGCCAUAACCUUUUAGACCUACAAACGAAUAUGAAGUAUGAAAUACAUAGCGGCUGUACAAAUAUGCAUUACUAAAGAAAUUAAGAUUGACAAUUGCAGAAUAUAAAGUGAUGAACAAUUUGGCAUUUUCUAAAAGAAUACCAUGGACAUGCGUGAAUAGCUCUGAAAAAGACUCGUCUCGCAGCAGAAGGAUUGCGGACGAUGUCGGCCUCGUAUGCAAGGUAGCAGCGCCACAACAGCACCGACUUCUGCAACUUAUUGUUUGCUAGAGCUCUCUCAAACAACCCAUGAAUCCUACUGCUAGAUCCAGGCUUAUCCCAUUCAAACGACAAUGCAAAAAGCCAGGCAAUCACAGAUGGAUUCCUAGAAAACAUGAAGAAAGGUCGUUACAGUUUGAGUGUUUUCGAUUAUGAUACAUGCAAAAAGAAAUGUAUAAUUAUAUUAAAUAAUGGAGAACUUUUGACAGUGCGUGCUAACUUGUGGAGACAUGAUUAGAUUUGAUCACAAUCAAAUAGAAUUUCUCACUGUUUGACUUAAUCCUAGAGAAAGAGCUGCUGCUUAAAUUUUUUUUUUUUUUUUUUUAAAAAAAAAGCUAGUUGUACGCAAAAAAAGGGGUGCACACCUUACACCCCCAAUCCUAGAGUUUAAAAAUCCAUGGCUUUUAAAAAAUAUGACAAGACAAGUGUGGAAUAUUGGCCCUUUGACGAAAGGGCGUAAAAUUUACAUCCACUUUUUGGGAGUACAGGUAGCAUUGCCCUUAAGUCAAUUUCUUAGAAUAUCAACUGGAAUGCCAACGAGUGUAGAGUUCAGCCAUUGACCUGACAAUUAACAUAUCUAAUCUGGUUAAUUUCACGCAACAUAUCCACUGAAGUUAAAUUAAGCAAGAUUUCCAUGGCAUUAUUAUUAGAAGACAGCAUAUAAGACCAUCGUUUUAGGUUUUAACUUUUCUAAAAGUGAAGCAAAACCUUUCGUUAAACAAUUUAAUUCAAGUUACUGGGUGUUAUCAGCUAGUUCAAGAAGCAGAAAUAGGAGGAGACAAAGAAACUUAUUAGCAAAGAAACAAGAUGAGUGAAUACAAUGGAAUUGACAACAACAUACACAGUAUCAAAAUUCAAACAAAAAGAACUCAAAAGGAAAUGUGACAGCAAAGAGUGGAAUUUCUACUUAUCCCAAAGGAAUUAUAGGGAGUAUAAUAAGAAUUAAUGCUUAGCUAAAGGUGCAUAUAGGCAAGGUCAUUCAAGAAAAGAAAGAUCACCUCUCUAUACAUUUGUCUAGUAGAAGUCGCACUUUGUUGGAAACCAUAUAGCGACAGCUUAGUCCUAACAUGGCUGCAUAUGUUUUUGAAUUGUUAGGAUAUAUUUGCAGCCCUUCUGUUAUGCUUCCCCGCACCUUUGAGAACUUCAAUUGCUUGCUAUGUUUCUGAAGCAGUCCAACAUAAUAGAUCCACAAAGUUUCAAGUUCCAAGCUGGAGCUUCUCCUUCCUGAGGAAAUGAAUCUUACUCAGCAGAGAAAUGAGAGGCAUGUGAUGAUACAACGGAACUCUAUAAAGGAAAAGUAACGGCCACAGACCAUAUUAUAUGCCAAGUAGUCAAACUGAAUGGGCACAUGAUAACAAGCAAGGAAAUAUAUAUGUAGAAUAAGUAACAAUAUAAAUUAUAUAAAUUGUGCUCACUGGCAAUAUUUAACUUUCUGAAUCCAAGCUAAUUAGUCAUUCAUAAGUAGAGAUUUAUCCACUUGCAUUGGUGGAGAAUCUGACUUGAUUUAAUACAAUUUGAUAUAGUUCAAGCUCCAAUUGACCACAUUGAGUUAAUUCCAGAUUGAGCUGGGUUGAUUCUACUUUAACUAUAACCAUUUUUGGACCUACCAACAAAGUAUGAGCUCACAGUAUUAAAAGCAAUAAUCGAAAGAAUAAACCAAUUUAUCACUUAUCUUCUGCUACUCUGCUAGAUGCUUCAGUGCUGCAGGGCACACACCCAUGUGGAUUAGUUAAUGUUUCCAGAUUAUCCAGAUUGUCUCUUAGAGCUAAACAGUACAGGUAGACAUGACAUGCAUGAUUGUUAUGAUGCAGAAGUCAGUACUAGUACAGAAGUAGCUUAACCAAAGCUAACUGUUUUCUACUCAUGCUUUGGAUCGUGUUAUAGAAGCUGGUCUAUUGCAGAGAUGGAGCUGGCUGCUAAUCCCCUCAGAUCGACCAGAAUUGCUCUCAAGUAUGAGUGAAGACAAUAUGCGUUCCUGAUCAUAGAUCUGAGUCAUUUGACACCAACAAGGGAACAAAUAAUUCACUUAAAGGACAUGUGGUUCUCCACGAAGUGCAAGAAAUUCAAUGGCUAUAAUAUUUUUUCUAUUAUAAAUUGUGAUCUAAUAUUUUAAACAUAAAGUUUGGGCCAACAGAACUUGCUAACCACUCUCAAUCACCCUUCAUAAUAGCACUCAUUAAAUGAUGAUCUUGCAUAAUUAUGCAAUGAACUAUAUUUACUUAUACAACAUAGACACUAAAAGGCCGACAAUUAAUUAAACAAUGAAAAGAAAUAAACAUGACUGACCUGAAAGUGUCGCUGAAAAGGUUUCUUCAAUAACUUCAAGACCAGCAGACCAGCCGGAUGUCAAGGUCUCAAAUAAAGAAGCAGAACAGACGAGAGCAACAGAACCUUUUGUUAUGGAACCACGUGCCCAUAAGUAUCUUAAGCUUUUAAUCUGUUCUCUAAAUCCUUGACGUGCUCUCAAGACCUGGGGACCAGAAAUUGGAUUUUUAAAGGGGGUGUACUUAAGUUUGCUUCCUAAGCAUGACAGUAUGUAGACGGCUCGCUGCAAGGACGACUCAGCUAUGUUGCAGCUCGAAGUAGAUGUCUCCAACUCCAUUUCAGCAUACCAUAAAUAAAGAAGAGGAACAUUUUCCUGAAGGUCCUGGCCCACCAUUUCGAACAAAGAAAUAUCAAACAUCUAAAUAAUUAAAACAAGUAGAGUAUAUUAGGAAGAAAAUAACAAGCUAGAAUAAAACCAUCUUUUGAGUCAACAUUAAAUAUGAGAAUUAACUCUUGAGAAAGGAAGUGGAAAGAAGAAAGAACCAUUCUGUCUAAUCCACAUUUAUUUAUUUAAAAAAAAAAAAAUGGAAAGUGUUAUAUGAGUAGGCUACUAAGAGAAGCACUACACUAAAAAAAGCUCCAAACUGGAUCUUUUGCUUCUGGAGCUCAGGAUCCAAUUUAUGCGUCCUGCCACAGUAAAAGCUGUGGACUUUUUUUUUUUUUUAUAUAGUGGAAAUUGCUGAGCUGAACACAGAAGCAGAAGCUGGGCCAAGCAGGCACCAUGUAAGUACUAUGGCAAAGUCUAACCCUUGUUCAGGGUCAAUAUAUCUGUAAACAAAUAAAGUGAAGUUCGAAACUGAAACAGAGAAGGCGAAUUGCCAUCACUAACAACAGAGAGGCAACAAAUGUCAUAUUCUGAACACCAAAAACGAUAGGCUUUUUUUUAUGAUAUGGAGAAUAUUGCAAUCAGCAAAACUGGGAACAUUGUAUUUGUGGGACAGAUAUCAGUUGAAUCGAAAGAAAAAAAUUACUUCAAUAUGACAAGAUUAAGACUCUUACCUGUGCAACUCCAUCAACAGAUAACAAUGCCAUAUCCAAUAUCUUCCUUCCAAGAUCAAUAUUUCCAUGGCUGGCCUCUCUUCGUGCAUAUAUACCGCAAAGUAACAAAUCCUUUUGAAUAACAUGUGACACAAAUGUCAGUGAUUAUCAUAGAAUUAUGAACUUGAAAUUGACAGUGACACUCCAUUAUAUGAUUGGCACAAACAGAACCAGCAAUUUCUAAAAGUUCAACUUCGGCAAAUAUGAAGCCUGAGGAAUGAUAUAUCCAUUCAAAAUUCUACAGGGCAUAAAAGCCUCAAAAUUCACAAAAGACUUGUUGUUGUCAUUUGUACCCACAAAAGAAUAAAAUACAAUAAAAUAAUUAGAAAUAAAAAUCAUUGCACAAGUAAACUAUGCAAUUACAAACAUAUCAAGUACCUGUCGAUCUUUUUUCAGUAGGUUUUUGGCCAAAGCUCGUGAGGCAUUGGCUGAAGAAGAUGACAAAUUCCUUUUAGCUGAAAGUAUCUCUUCAGUUACAAGUAGAGCUUCUUCUAAUAUAUCAUUACGAGGAAAGACAUCAAGCGAAAGCAAUAUUGCAUUCCGCAGAAAUUUCAUCAUUGCAGUGCUUGUUGAAGAAUCACUUUUGCUGCCCAUCAGGGAUUCCAAGCUAAGAUGAUCUGAAGAAGCUUGAAUCUUGUUUACUAGUUCCCAGACACCUCUCAGAUCUUUCAAAAUAUCAUCUGGCACAGUCUCCAAGCUUAGAAUCCGGUCAAGCCAACUCGAUUUGUUCGUAGACGUCCUGAAGGUUAGAAGUCAAAGCAAAAACUGAGCAUACGGAAACACCAGAACACCGAGAAACUCAUGUAUAACUUUUAAUGUUAUUGCUUCUAUAAAGUACAAACAUUAAGAGAUAUGGUGAUAAUAUUCUAAACUAAAUUACACGUAAGAGCUGAUCUGUCCAUCUCUUCACCGUAAGCAAUGUAUUUGACACGGUUAUUCCCAGCAAAUUACACCUAACGGGCUAACAAUUUUAGAAAAUUGAAAUAUAUGUCCAAUUGAAAAAAUAAUAAAAAAAUAAACGCCAUUGAUAUUUGAACAUCACUAGUUACUUUAUUAUCACACAAGAACAAACAAAGCAGUGAAAUCUAUCAAACAGAAGAAAACUGAGAUUACCAUUGAGAAAUUUUACCACCAUAGAAGUCAACAAAUUGGCACAGCAAGGACAAACGAGCCUCCUCUGAUGACAAAGAGAACAAGUAGUCACUGACAUCGUCAAACAAGAUCACCCUUGAAAGCUGUUCAUCACCAUCCUGCGCUGGGUUGUCAGGAUGAGCAGAUUCUGAUUUUCAAAGGCCAGCGUCAUCAUCCAAAGAUGAAAAGUCAAAUGAAAAUGAAGAUUAACAAGCAAAAAGAAGUUAUCAAUAAGAUCAGGAUAAAUAUAUCAGCAAAUGAUCCAAAAGGCAACAUCAAAGAAAAAGCUAGAGAGUCACAAGUACCAGAACUUUCAUAAACAGGCAUCCACUGCUCAUUGUCCCUUGAUAAUUCCUCAAGGGACCAUUUUUUCCAUGUAUUGACAUCUUUAACCUCGCUAUUAGACUCGGCAUCUAUAUCAAUUCCUAGUUUUUUUAACAACGAUUCAACAUCUUCUUGCAAUGGAGCAUCUUCAGUAUCAGGGUGCUCUUCCUCAUUUCCAUCAGCUAGGGUAGGCCCUAUUAAAUUAUCUAGCUCUUCAUUCAUUUCACUUUUCAUCGAUAAAGGGUCAAACCAACCACUCCAGCCUCCUACUUCAGCCUCUUGCGAACUUUCCGGCAUAAUCACAUUCUUCCUGUUCUCCUCAUCUUUUGCUAACCAUUUAGACCACCCAGCUGCACCCUCUUCUCCAAUCCUUGCACCACCACUAUUCCAGAAGUGCUCAAAGAGCCUUUUCUUACUAUAUGGUGUGAGAAGUAAGGUUGGGCACAACAAGCUAUACUCUAUUUGAGCUUGAAACAACCCAGUUGUUAAUUCCCGGUAACCUGUCUGCCACUCGAAUCUGCAUAGACUCACAAAGAUAUCCACCAAACCAAGUUCUAGCUGAACUAAGGAAGAAUUCGAUGAAUGGACAUCAGCAAUUUGACAAUCCUGCAUAUAGAUUGAAUUGAUUAACAGAAAAAAGAACCUGACAUCUCGAAAAUAAAAAAAUGCAACAAGAGAACAAGUAAAUGAAGACCUAAAAGUAGAAACAAAUUAACUAUGGAAUCAAAUUCAAGAAGCUCAAUCAGUAAUAUGUACAAAUAAAAUCUCCUUGUAAGUUUGCUUUCGAAUUCUUUCACAUCCGGAUGAGUAGAUAUAUAAAAGGAAAUUGUUAAAUGUUAUAUUUGAUAUAUUGAUACAAAUAAAAUGCAAGGCACUAAACUAGACAUCCAGUAACCCUUUAAGUGAUUAAUAUCAAGAACAAAUACACGAUAAUUAUUCAUGCAUUGAUGGAAAACUAAAAAAGAAGUAGAAACCCAGCGUACAUGUUUUUUAGUAGUAGAAAACAUGUGAAGAAGUGACUAUCAAAUAAGACGAAACGGACAAUAUAAAAGUGAAUAAUAGGGUCAAUAUCUGUAAGAAUAGAUAGAGAAAAAAAAAAAGGAACCUGCCUACAAAGCUUGUCGCAAGACGAAGAUAAAGCUUGAAUGGCAUGAGAAUAACUUUUCCUUAUUUCAGAGACCUUAAACCGAGAGAACUCGCUUUGGCAGAAAAGCAAAUACUCUUUCCAUAAUCUACAACUAUCCAAAUGCUGCAUCAGUAUUUUUUCCCAUUUGCCCAAGAUAUUACCACCAGUGUCCCUGUCAUGAUAAGAUCUCAAAAGACAAAGCAUCAGUUCUUCACUAUCCGGAUUGAGCUCCACAGCCUUCUCAAGUAUGCUAAUCUUCUUCUCAAUUGUCUGCAGGCGAGCAGCUUUUUGUGGCUGAGUACUCGCAAUUUUAUCCUGAAAUUUGUAAAUAGUAGUUUUGAAAAAGUUAAGUUUUACCUGAAUGAAAGGCCUACGAAUAGCAAAUAGACUGUUAGAGAGAUUGCUACAUGUGAUACCCAAGGAUUGCCUGUACCACCCAUGUCAUACUGUACCAAGGCCCUACCUGCACGUGGCACAGGAUCGUGUCGAUAUUGUAUCUACAAAAUGUUUUUUUUUUUUUUUUUUGCAUUUUUUGAGAUCCUUUUGAGUUUGAUGUAAAAGUUUUACAAUAGUUUUUUCAUACUUAAAAUAUACAGAUCUUGUAAAUCUACUAACAUUUUGAGGAAUUAGUAAGUUCCAUUGCAUACUAUAACCAACUUUUAGUGAAAAAAUACAAAUAAAAAGAUUUUCUUCAAUUUCUUUUAUCAUUUUAUAUCUAGUGAAUUUACCUAUGGAAGUGUUUUCCUAUAAAUUUUCAUCCAAUUAUGACUUUGGUUUUGGUUUCAUGCGUAUACUUUCGUAACAUAUAUAAAAUGAUUUUUUGCAGUUUUUAAGAUAUUUAUUACUUUAUUCUUACUAAAUUGUGGAAGAUAUAAUACAUAAAAUAUUUUUAUAUCCAUUAGAGAUAUUAAAACAAAAAACUAGGUUUUCUUAAAUUUACUAAAAAGCCCGAGCCAAUGUGCCAACGUGCUAAUGGUGUGCCACUAACACGGGGGCAUACCACCGCCGCUAUGCCAUGCCAUGCCGCUAUCACAGCGCAAAGGCGGUGCCAUUGGCAUGGCAAUCCUCAGUGAUACCUAAAUUCAUUAUAAUAUGAUCAUGAAACAAUUGAUUCUUAAUGUACAUCUGUAUAUACAUACAAAAUUACAAAUGUAGCAAACAUAAGCCAAAGAUCUAGCAAGAUGGUGGAAAACGCAACUCUAAACACUAGCUAGUAUAUACCUGAAAUUCUGCAAAGGCCAACCAGACAUUUUCAUCAUGAGGAAAAUCUCUGGACUUUUUGUUGAAGUCUCUUGUCUUCCGAAUCAAUUCAUCAUCCCAUGAUGCUUCAAGCUCCCCCUUUGGUAUAGACAUAUCACCACCGUUUUCAGAAGACAAAUUCGAUCCCAAAGGUAUAUAAUCCUCGGGCACCAUUGAAGGCAUCUUUUUCUCAAUAAUUUUCACGUGCUUGAAACCCUUGUUUUUCUCGACAGUUGCAUACUUCGCUGAAUAGUAGCGACCUCCUGAUCUCAGUUUAUGGUCUAGUCCAUCUUGAUCUGCAUCUACAUCCAUGUGCGAAGCUGAAGACCUCCAGCGAUAACGAACUUGGAAAUUGAGCCCAGAAAGUUCCAUAAGACUAUGAAGCUUGUAACGAGCAAUAUCCAUUCUGUAGUUUUUACUCUAUCAUUAGAAAAAUCAAUUAAGGUUCAUCAACAUAUUACAAUGACUAGCGAGCCUGUCUAAUUUGGUAAACUAAGAGAGGUUUUUUUCUCAAAGCUCGCACCAUUCGCCAAAUACUCAAAAUAAUUAGUAAAGCCAGUCAGUUUCAAUUAGUCAAAAUAAUAGGUUGCGUAAACAAUUUUGCAAGAGAAAGAUUCAAGCAACUUAGGUGAUGACACUGAACAUCCAUAACAUAGAACUUAUUCAGUAGAACCAGAUGCAUACACAAUUGACAAUAUUCACAGAGCUCUGGUGCCACUGAAUUAAAGCACAACCAUCAUCACCAAAUUUGCUACUUUUCGACAAUAAAAACAUCAAUUACAUGAAGGAAGUAAAAAAGAACUAGGUGUGGAAGUAGAAUAAGACACCGAUAAAGAUAAAAUCAAUAUAAUAUAGAUUUUGAAGGUCAUAUGCUGUAAUAGUUGCAGAAGUAAGUGAAGCUCGAAACAAGAGAAAUGUACCUGUAGAUGCACCCGAAUGCCAAAUUAUCCCUAUCACCACAAGCAUCAAAGUAGUAAUCUUUCGAGGGUUUCCUCUCAGACCCCGCCCACGCUCGAACCCCCGACUUCCUCGAAGCUCCCUCUCCAACACCCUCCUUCCCCCGCUCUCUUUUCCUCUUCUUCUUCCUCCUCCUCUCCCUCCUCCUAGAGCUCCUCUCCUCUUCCUCCGACGAAGGAGACGGAGAGGAAGGGGAAGGGACUAGAUCGUAGGACUUCGCCCGCGCCUCGGCGGCGGCAGAAGGGGCCUCGUCGUCGGAGGAGGAGAUCGCCAGCUCCGGGGGAAGCGCAGCGCCGGCGCCGCCGCUCGCCGGGAUGGCUGAGACGUCGAAGGUGAAGCUGGGAUUGGAGAGCCAUUGGACGGCGCCAGAGGAGGAGAUGGAGGAGGCGGUGGGGUUAGGGUUUGGAGGGUUCGACGAGAGGGGAAAGAGGGGGAAUAACGAAGGGGUCGAGGGUUUCGGGAUCGCUUCUCGCUCUCCUCCCCCUUCCUCCGCAGCCAUGUUCGGGUUCAGGGACGACGACGACGACGUUUUCGGGCUCGAUGGGCUUCGGCGUGGCAUUUUAGUCCACCGCUCAUGCGAGUGUCACGUGUUGUGCACGUGAUUAGAGAGUGGUAAAGCCCACAUUGUAGCCGUGGCCCAGCCCAAUUGGGCUGCGCGUAACUGGGCCGGAUUCGGGGGAUCCGACCAUGCCCACCUCGAAUCCGGCCCAAAAUAUUUAAUAAAUUUUGGGUAUUUUGUUCGGCCAUGUUCAGAUUAAAGAUAAUAUAUUCAAUUGAAAUGAAAUUUUACGUGAAAUAUUUUUAUUUUCCACGUUGUACUUUAACGGGAACUCAAUGGCUUUCGAACUGUAGUUGUUCUCCUUUUUUUAUUUAUUUUACUUAAAAAUUUUCACACCAACACAGAGAAAGUUGAAUACAAUUCCAAUACUUAAUUUUUUAUUAUUUUUCAAUCUAAUGUUCUUCUACAGUUGGCUUUUUAGAGGCGUGAAGUUAUGGACAAAUUUAAUUUACGGUGAACUAAUCAACAAAAGAGUAUUUAAGGCCGAAAAUAACUCCGCGCUCCUUUCACUUUCGGUGAAGGGAAAAUCCACAAACUCAAAUAAGGUUCUGAUUUGCGAUUUUCAAAAUCACUAUCAUAGUUAAUAAUAUAGAUAGCUAGAGUUUAGAAUCUAAAUAAUCAACUGCUCUGCUAAAAUUUCUAUCAAGUUCUCUAAUUGUUCACAGCACACAACGAGAAAUUUGACAACGAAAAAUGUUCUUCGAUUUUAUAAUUUAUGAUCGUGCUAUUGAAUCUUGCCAAAGUUGAGAGGAGGCCAUGCAUGUUUUUGAACAAUUACGAGAGAACAAUUACGAGAGUACUAAAUUGAUAUAUUUUGCAAACUCUUAGUAGUUAUAUAAAAAUAUGGAUUAGUAAAAUACUACAAUACGUUAUCCUGUGAUUCGUAGAAUAUAUUAAUUUACUAAUUUAUGGUUUAUAAAUUCGAGGAAAAACUUUAAAUCCCCCCUUGUGGUUUCGUACUUUCUCACUUUAGUACCCUGUGGCUUAAAGUGUAUUAAGUUAGUACCCUGUGGUUUCGCAUUUUCUCACUUGAGUACCCUGUGGUUUAAUAUUUCGUUAAAUUAUAUACAAAAAAAAUUUAGAUACCCUAACUAGAUUUAUCGAAUAUUCAUUUUAGUACCUUUUAGUUUUAACUUUGUCACUGAUUUAACAAAAAAUGCUCUGAAAUGAAUAAUAAAAAGUGAAAAAUGAAACCACAUGGUACUAAUUUGAUACAAAAAUAAAACCACAGAGUACUAACUUGAUACACUUUAAAAUGUAGGGUACUAAAGUGAAAAAGUGCGAAACCACAGGGUACAAACUUGAUACACUUUAAACCAUAGGGUACUAAAGCGAGAAAGUGUGAAACUACAGGGGGUAUUUGAAGCUUUCCCUAAAUUUUAUCACUUUGGCAUCCUACUUAAUGAUAUAUCUUAACAGUAAGAUUGAUAAAAGUAAAACUAUAUAUUGCAUAGUAAAGUAAUUAAAACACUUCAAACUGUAGGGUAUUAAACUAAAAAUGUGCUAAACCACAUGAGAGCAAAUUGAAGUUAUCUUCUUCUUUCUUUUUUUAUGAUAUACCAUCCGAAUCGAUGAUUCACUUUACUUUGUGGGGUGUAAAAAAUGGCAAGUAUUUAUAAAUCAAAUUUCACAAUUUAACUAAUGGUUAUUAGGUUUCACAAUUACCAAUUUUAAUGGCUAAUGUGAAGCGCUAUUUGAUAGAUAUAGGUUUCACCUUAAUCUUCAAUUGCAUAAUAAUCUUGUUCUUUUUUUUUUUUUGAGAGAGAGAUAGGUAGCUCGCUACCUGCUUCGUUUAUUUCAUUUAGAAAUAAACUUAGCUGGAAAUGUGAAUCAACUAGGAUUCAAACUUGGGUCUUGGAUACCAACCAUCAAAUCCUUUGCCACUUGCAUAAUAAUCUUGUUCUUUGUUUUUAGCAAAUGGUUUGAUUUUGAAUAAUUUAUUUUCUUUCAGUUAGAUAGUAGAUGCACUAGAAAAGAAGUUUUCAUUUCAUUUUAAUUUUGUGGUGUUGGCUCAAGCUACCAGAGAAUAUUACUUUAAUAUUUUAUUUCUAAUACUCCCACUUUUUAGUCUCAAACCUUUAACUCUGAAACUAUAUUAAAUAAUAUAAAAUUAAUAUAGUAAUCCGUGCAAUGUGGCGAAUAGAUAAUUAGAGAAAAAAUAAAAAAUUACUACAAAGGAAAAGAAAACAGUAAUGAAAGAAACGAUAAUAAAGGGUGAGAUUUAUUUUGUUAAUGAAUAAAGGUAUCAGGCAAAGGAAGAGAAAGAGAAACAGUUCGGCCUAAUGUAGAAAUAUANAGAAACGAUAAUAAAGGGUGAGAUUUAUUUUGUUAAUGAAUAAAGGUAUCAGGCAAAGGAAGAGAAAGAGAAACAGUUCGGCCUAAAAAAAAAAGGAAAUCCGGUUCAGUUCAAACAAAAAAAGAGAAAAAUUAAAGCAAGUUCGGGGUGAAGUCCACACUCAAAGUGAUCGGAUCGGUUCAAGCAAAAAAAGAGAAAAUUUCGAUUCAAAGAUGAAAACAUGUGGAGCAGUUGAGUCAAUUCGGCACAAUGCAAUAGGUUGACAUGGUUCGGUUCAAACAAAGAAAGAGAAAAAUCGGGCUCAGUUCAAAUAAAAAAGAAAAAAACAUAUGGAAGACUUGAGCUGGUUCGGGGGAGGCCAUACUCAACAAGAAAAAGAAAAUUUUGGUUUGCUUCAAACAAAGAAAAAAAUAUAUAUAUGAAGGACUUGAACAAGUGGAGCCUACACUAAAAAAUGAAGAGAACGUUACACUGUAGCAAAUUUAAAAAAAAUUUAUUUUUUUCUAUUACAUUAAAGGAGGGUUGGGGGAACCUCAGGUUGACACCUGCCCCAACCCCGCCACUCAUUCAUCUCUCUCUCUCCUCUCUACUCUCUCCACCACACACACAACACACCGACAACACCAUAUAUAUAUUAUUAUAUAUUAUAUAUAUAUAUAUAAUAUAUAUAUAUAUAUAUAAUAUAGGUAAUAUAUAUAUAAUAUAAUUUUAUUAAUAAAUUGUAAUAACAGCUAUUAGUAAUAAAUUUUGAAUAUGAAAAUUUAAAAGUUUGAUACUUUCAAAUUUUAAAAUUUUAAAAUUUAAAUUGCUAAAUUCUUAAUUUUAAUUUAACUUAUAAUAUUCCAUUAAUUUUAAUUUAAAUUCUAAAUUAAUAUUAAUUAAUUAAUUAUAAUAUAAUAAUUAAAAUUUAUAAAUACGCUGGACAUAAUAAUUACGUAAUAAAAUCUAACACUGAUAGAUAUAAUUUAAAUCACGUAAAUAUCGUUGUUAAUUAAAAAAAUAGUAUUUAAAUUUUAGGAGUAAAAAUUUAAGAAAAAUAGUGUAUCAUCUGUGUAUAUAUAUAUUAAUUUUAUUAAACAAUUUCAUUUACAAUUUAUAUUUUGCCUUCUUUUAUUGACUUUUAAAAUUAUUUUGAUAGAUGUAUCUCAAAUUCUUUUUAUAUCUUUAUAAAAAUAAAUUAUUAAUUAAAUUUAUUUGCGUAUUUAUCAAUUUAUGAACUUUAUUUAAAUAUAGAUUUACUAUUAAAUUAUUUUAUAACUUUUUUUAAUUAAUAAUUAGACUUAUAAAUUAUAUAAAAAUAUUAAAAAAUAAAAUUUAUUAUAAAAAUAAUUUUAUAUCCGCAGCAUCUGUGCGGUAAUUCACUAUAAUGUAUAAAAAUAGAGAUAUAAACAAUCAUUUAUCUCUAAAAUUCUAAGCUAUUAGAGAACGAUAUUUUAAUAUUGCAUUGUUCAAUAUCUGAGCUCGAAUUCAAUCUACAAUCCAACCAGCCAGUCGAAGUUUCUUCCAACUUAUUUCCUAUGACAUAAUUUGUUAUAUCUAAUUUUACUCUAAUCAAAAUUCUAUACCUCUAUCAUUUAUUUGGUUGAAGAUGCAUAAAUUGAAAAUACAGUAAUUAUAGUAUAUGCAUUCUUGUUUAUUUAUUUAUAUGUAGUAAAACAUACUGUAAUUAUAAAUAAUUUAUUUGGUUGUACGCAGUUGAAAAGUGCAUUUCAAAAUUUUGCCACUUAUAAUAUAUAAUAUUAUAAUUAUAUAUAUAUAUAUAUAUAAUAUAUUAUUAUAUUAUAAUAUAGUUAUAUAUAUAAUAGUAGGACUAAUGUGCUAUGAGGAGCACAUCAAAUUUAUGAUUUUAACUUUCUAACCAUUUAUCUAUUUGAUGGAUGGUUAGGAUAAGAGGAGAAGAGAAAUUGAGGAGAAAUUUAAAAAAGAGAAAUUAAGAUACGUAAUUUUUCUUUAAUUUCUCUUCUCCCUCUUAUCCUAACCGGCCCAUCAAAAUUAAUAGACGUUUAGAAGUUAGGAGCACAAGAACUGUUGUGCUCUAGGAGCAUAGUAACCCUAUCUCUCUCUUCUUUCUCUCUCUUCUAUUAUAUAUAUAUGUCGUGGUGAAAUUACCUUUAAUAUUAAAAAAAAAAUUCCCUUCGAAAAAGAUUAGGAAGGUAAAAUUACUCCCUCCAACUGCUAUAAUGGGAACUGCGUCUAACUUGAGCAUGGUUCAAGCUGCAGUAAGUAAAUUUAAUGUAUCAAAUCAAAAAACUAAAUUUAAAUUUGUUAUAUGUUACUAUUUCAGUAUAGUUAAAUUAUAUGCAGUUAACAAUUUCUAAUGUACCGUUUGGAUUAGGUACAAGGGAUUUUUGUUUUAAUUAAAAUUUAAAUUUUUAAAAUUUAAAAUUGUAAUCUCAAAAUUAAAUUUAAUUCUAAAUUUUAAAGUUUAAAUUUUAAAUUUGAUUAUUUUUUUAUUUAAUUUAAUUUGAUAUUUUUAGUUUAAAUUUUAAUUUGUAUUUAUAUCUUCAAAUUUAAUUUGAUCUUAAUUAAAAUUUGAUAUUUAAAAUUUGAAGUUUAAAAUUUUAAUUUUAAUUUCAAUUUUAAAUUUAAAAGUUUAAAAUUUUAAAUUUGAAUUUAAAAUUUAAAUUCAAUCAAUAUUAUGAGAGGGUAAUACCAUUAUUUUCUAUUUAUAAUUAUCAACUAUUCUUCUUAUUUUAACUAUUUAUGCAAACGUUACUUCUAUUCUCGGAAACAAUCAAAUUUUCAUCAAACAAAAAUUGGUCUAGUUUCUCGCUUAUACCUUAACUUGUACUAUCAUGGUAUAAACUAGUUCUUACUUAUACCUGAACCAAACGAAGCUUUAAGUAUUUUUACAACACAGUGAUCUUUAUUGAUUUUUCUUAUUUUUAAUCAAUUUUUUGCUUGUUAUUUAAAUUUUUCCACAAAACCAAGGACUAGUUCAAAUAAUAAUUUGGUUUGCUUUUAUUUCAGUUUUGAACAACUUAGCUUUCAUUUUUGGCACAUUGAAGAUUCCAAUUAACGGAGUUGUACUAAUGAAAAGCACUAUAUGCCUACUAACUUUAACCUUAUUGUUUGGUUCGAGAAUAAGUCGUUUCUUAUUUGUUUCCUAUACACGUAUAAUUUUUAAAAUAAGAACGAAUAAGAGAGAUUUUUGUUUUGGCUAUGCUAUUUUGAAGAAUAAAGAGAAUAUUGGUUUAGCAUUGUUAGUGUACAAUAGUGAGAAUAUGAUACUUAUAAAUUUUAAAAUUAUUUCUUUUAGUUAACAAAUGUCCAAAUAUAAUCUCGUAAUAACUUAAUAAUAUUAAUUAUUUAGCUAUAAAUAUUAAUAAUGUGAAAAGUUAAGUGAAUAUAUUAAUUAUAAAAUAAAAGGUUGCUAAGUUAAUUAAUAAAUUAUAAAAAUAAUGAUUUAUAUUAAUUAAUUAAGUUACUUAACUAUUAAUCAAUAGAUAAUGAUCAAUACAUUAGUUAAAAUAAAUAAAUUGUCAAUAAUAUUAAUUAGUUAAAAAAAAUCCUAAGCUUGUUUCUCCCUAGAAACAAGCUUAUUUCUGGGAGGCUUAAAAAGUAUUCCCAAAAUACCAAGAUUGGGGAUAAGUUAAACAAAAUACUACCUUAAAGGCAUUUAAAAUGUUCAUAAGAAUUAAACUACUAGGAAUUAGUAUUCUAAAAUUAAAUUCGAACAUUGUAGGAAUUUUUGUUUGGUUAGUAUGUACAGCCCGGGUCCCUUUGAGUUUAAGAGAUAGCGGAAAAGCGUCUGAAUUUUUUUUUUUUUUUUUUUUUUUUUUUGAAAUCCUGACCCCAGAGUAUGCAGACCCGCCACAAAUACAGAAGAUUCCACUUCACACGGACAGAGUCUCCCCUGUAUUUGCACGGCGUCGCACAAGUACAACAGUACAAACAGGAUACAACCACAAAUAUAUGAAUAUAGAAAUUACCGUACAUUCAUACAUUCACCAUUCACAUCACAGAUAUGCAUUCAAUGUAUAAAUCCAUAGAAAAUCUUUUGAAACUGUUCCCUACACAGGAACUUUAUUCUUUAAAAACGCUACCACGAGUAGACAACCUUUUUUUUACAAAAAUCCAGAAUCCACAUUUCAAAUGUAAAUUAACACUGAACCACAUAAACCAACUAAACUAUUCACUAGCAAAUAGAAGGUAAGAAGUAAACCGAAUUAACCUGGGUCGAAAGCUCUAUCGACGCGUACAUCCGUACCUCACGUCGUCCCACUACUCAUCGCCCGCGAUACCUGAAAAAUGGUGGGGAGGUGAAACAUGUAAACAUGUCUCCCUCCCAUGGGUACCGCAAGCCGAUGAAGGCGAGGAAGUACUCACCGGAUCAGGAAGAGCUAAAUAACAACAAGGGUCAGUGGAAAUAUAGUAGCCACAAUAGUAAGUAAAGGGCAGAUAUACCGAAUACAGUAGCAAUAAACUGAAAGAAGUAAGAACUAGAUGAAUAACGGCUACCGCUACUGUAACUGAAACUGAAAGGAUACAUGAACAUCUACUAUAGCAGCAAGAAACUAUAAAGUAAGAACUGUAAAGUUGCAUGCAAUGACUGCUGCUAUAAACAUAUGCGUCAACCCGUCAAGAAGUCCAAAAGUACCCAAUCUGAAACCAAUGCUCUCUUGGUCAGCACCGCAGACCUCAACCAAUGCCCUGGAGGUCCGCACCGCAACACCUCCGACAUACUACUGCCGCUCUAACAUGCAUAUAACCCCUCUAGGGCUCACGGGUUGUCACCAUUAACCACUUUUCGAAAAGAACACUCCUUGCGGUGGAUCAGACGCCCAGUGUUCGUGAAUGCGACGAGUAUCGGGCAAUCAAUGCAAUAUGCUCAAUGAUCAACCGUCGGCAACCGGCCGACAAUCCUGCCCACAGGGCUCCACCGACCGUAUAGGUCAUCGACUGUAAAGAAGCACAAGAAACGACUCAACUCAGGUCAAAUAGGAUGGAACGACUCUACAUCCUCAUACUGUAUGCAAGUACUGACUAAUCAAGUCACUGGGAUGGAACAACUCAACAUCCUACCAAAAGUAUGAAGAUACUGAUCAAUAAGUCAACUGAGUAUAUAAUAUAGAACUAGCCGUCGGCCACUAGCCGACAAUUCCUACCCGCAGGUAACCCGACCUCAAGGUCAAUCAAACGACAAGAAUCCAGAACGACAGACUAGGUCACAAGGUCAAGAUGACGGAUCUGUGAAGACUAUAAUCAUUCCGUCGACAACUAGCCGACAAUCCCACUCUCAGGAUAUACCGACCUCAAGGGUCAUCGAAACAACAGAAUCAAGGAACCGAUCGAGUAGAUCAGAUUACAGGAACUAGAAAUCGACCGACUAGGUCACUAAUUUCACAGAUGGUCACGGAACCUCUACUAUAAACAUGAUAUAAGAUAUGAAGAACAGCAAGUAGAAGCAACAAGAAAAUUUGGUAUAAAACUACUCUACUCCUACACAGAUACUAAUCAUUGCAAACAACGAAGUAGAGUAAGAUGUAGACGAUAGAGGUGCAAAGGCUCAUAAGCUACACUAGCAUAGUAAUAACAGAGAACAGGGAUAGAAGAAUAUCACGAGCGGUGCACCACUGUACGACGUCGGAUCGAAGUACCCACCUGUACAACUGUCGGUCUGUCUCCUGACUGCAAAAGACGUCAACCGACUAAGGAGGUCCACUGGGUUAGUGUCUAACCCACAACUAAAAAACACCUAAAAGCAUAACCCACAACUAUCCACGGAGAUCGUUUCCCAAUUACCGAUUAUCUAACUCGCCGGAAGUCCCGAAAACCACACCGGACGCCGUCGGACCACUAAGUGUCCCGAAACUCACCGACUCAUGUCACGAGUCACCUGCUGCCCCAAAACACUCCAAUUUGGAUGUUUUGGCAGUAAACACAAGAUCACAACACUACACAACUAUCACCGGAUGAUUGUACGAAUCGCGGUUCCGGAAGUGUCUAUUUCGACACCGGAACCCAAGUCGCUACACCAUCAUCACCGAACCCACAAUGUGAUGAUGGUGACCAGCAACAAGGCUCACGGACUACACAAAUAGCUACGAAGCAUGUCGGAAUAUUCCCAACCAAACCGCGUUCCGUCGGGGAUUUUGCGACCAACGCCGAAAAUACAUAUUACGAUCUUCUCAAAGGUCUGGGCCUUGGACAAUCAGUCGAGGAUCACCCACAGCUCACCCAUGCUGCAACAGCGCCACGACAAGUCAAAUUGUCAUAAAAGCCCAUCCGAUUCCAAGAAAUCACAUUAUUUCAUGUGUUUUUCGGGCUUUUAUGGUCCGUCUAUGCAAACCAGAGGUCAAUCGGUCGAUAGACACUACUACAGGUUCGAUGUGCGGAGGCCGUGCUCAUCCUUUCGGAGCAAUUCCGCUACUGUACGGAGCGCACGAGCGGCGCGAAGUUCAGCGAAUAAGCCCGCACAGCGCGAAGAUCUACCUAAAACCUGCUAACCGGGCAUCCCUAAUCCUCGCAGAGGUGAGCAUCGUGUUCGGCACGAACCAGGAUCACCGUGCUCACCUCCUGGGUGUCGGGAGUCGUCGGUUCACCCGAAAGUGACCGGAAAGUGCAAUCACAGUGCAGGAAAGCUAAACUAAGCUUACCGGAGCUAGCAGGGACGGGUGGCGGCGGCGCCGACGGCGGCAGCGGCCAGGGGUUGGUUGCGGAUAAGGUUCCGAGGUGCCGGGGCUCGCGUCACAGGCACGGAAGGAGCGGCGACGACGAUCAAUGAUUGCCCUAGCACCAAACCCGUGGGAGCACGGGUCCAUUCCGGCGGACGGCGAGCUCCGGCCGCGGUGUCUCCGGCGAUUGACGGGUGCGGGCGGCCAGGCGGAGCCGGUGCUCACGCCGGCCGGGGCGAGAGGCGGCCGCAGCGGCGCUGGACAUCCCGAGCCCGCGCGGUUCACCUCGGGCUCCAAAGGCAGCGGAGCCACGGCGGCGACCGGAGGACGGUCGGGGCGUGCGGGGUCCCCUGGAGCCGGAGGGGAGGAGGACGGCGGGAGUAGUCCCAGGGGCCUGCUGAGUGAGGAUGAAAGCCGCACACUCAGCUCGGCCUGGCUCGGUCUGGGAGGCAGCAAGCAGCAGCGGCGGCGAUGGCGCUGGCGGGCGGGCGAUCAGUCGGGAGGUGCGUGAAGACACGGGCGACAGCCGAGCAAGGUGUCUAGAUGGAAAAGUAGCCUCGGUCGGCUCUAACCCGAGAGAAAGAGGUUUGGAGAGGGAGAUGGAGAAUAGGGAAGAAGAAAGUGGCUGCCCGCGGUGCCCGGCCGAGCAACGGUCCGCGGCGAGCCGAGGGAUGCGCUGGCCAGGUCAGCGGUGACAAGGAAGGUGGCUAGGGGUGGCUUAGGUCUAGGUUAGGUUUCAUGCUAGAAAACCUAGAUACCAUAAAUAAUAAGGUGAACUUUGCAACUAAGUCCACCAACUCAGUUUUUUACUAAGUCUUCACAGCGCGUGUAAAACACGGAACACCCCUCCACGAUGCGAUUCCACGCGAACGGUUUACAAAAAUAUCCGCGACUUUUGCGAAAUUACCGUUUGCCAUCGCCGACCUCUCAGCGAAACUUCGUAAUUUCCGGAGAUCCGUCAGUCGGAUUUUCGAUUCCGACGUACCAAUUGCGUUCAGCACGUCGGGACACGAAUCUGCAUUUCGUUUCAUCGAUUUGACCCCGAUUCACGACGAAAUCCGUCCGCUCUCAAUUUUCAGAAACCACAACAUAAUACCAAUGUAGUAAUCUCGCUAAACCUUUAAUUCAAAUUCAAAUUCCAAAUUUGGCUCCUACCACCAGUAGGUACUAGAAACGUCUCACUCAACUCUAGGUCACAUGCACAGAGUACGAGGAGCUUUAAACUGCACGAAUAGCACAGAACAAAAACCCUCUUUUUGAUAAAACUCCUUUUUCUCGAUAACCGUGCAUCAGAAUCCGAUUCUGUCAGCGCCAGUGGUUCCAGUAUAGUCGAGAGGUUCGAAACGAGCUAUUGGACCGCUAGGAACGGAGUCCGAUACGAGUCAGAAGCCAACUUCACACCGUGGCUUCUCCGGAAAAUCGAGUUACUAUUCACUUUAAGUGAAACUUGGAAAUCCUAUAACUUCUCCGUUUUAACUCGAUUUCUCCCAAAACUUGACGAGUGCUUUUGUUAUUAAAUUACACACAUAAACAUCGUCAACAGAGAGUUUAGUUGCACUGUAAAAAUCUCAGUCCUUACAUAGUACCUUAAGAUAUCUUAUAUUGAUACAAUCUCAAUGUUUGGUUCAACAUAAAAAUAAAUAAGGCAUAUCAAUAAGUUUAUCAUAAUAUCCUUAUUAAUAUGGGUUAGUGUUAUAUGUAUUUUACAUAGAAUAUAAUAAUAAUAAAUAAAUAUCAAAAUUCAAAUUAAGGAUGUAUUCUAGUUCAUUAAAAUCAAUUUUUCAUGAAAAAAAAAAUUACCACGAAAGGAGGCGGGUUUUGAAUUUUCCACGUUUUGUGGAAUUAGGAGAUGCUAUGAAAAUUAUAUAUUUAUCUCGAAUUAGGUUACCAUACUAUUAACAGCACUAAGUUAUUGAUGUUAUUAAAUUUUUCGCUCUUGGAUAAAGGGACGUGCGGUUAGGAAGAUAGUAGUCCUUAGGAUUGAGUGGAUGGUUGGUUAAAUAGUAUAAUCUAACAGAUGAAAAAGGUCAAAGGGAUAAAUCUAAUGGCAGAAAGUUUAGUAGCACCAAGCGCUUGGGGAUAUUGAUAGUGGUGUCAACGAGCCGAACACGAGUGAGCUGAGGAUGGCUCGUGCUCAGCUUGUUUAAUAAAUAAGCCGAACACGAGCUGACUCAUUAAAGUAUUGAACCAAAAAAUUCAAUUCAUAUUCAGCUGUUUAUUAACGAGUCGAAUACCAGCCGAACACGAGCUAGCUCAUGAACAACAAGUUAAAAGAAUUAUAAAUGAAGCGUAUAGAAAAUAAAUUUAAGAGAUCUUAUCUAUUUGACUUUAAUCUAAUAGUUGAAAAUUUAUAUAUAAAUGAUCUUUUUAUAAUUAAGUUGAAUUUUAUAUUUAGGUUAAGUUAAAAACCAAUUAUUUAUUUAUAUAUAUAAGUAUAAAAUUAUAUAUAUAUAUAUAUAUAUAUAUAUAUAUAUAUAUAUAUAUAUAUAUAUAUAUAUAUAUAUAUAUAUAUAUAUAUAUAUAUUCGAGUUAUUAUCGAGCUGAACACGAGCGGACUGACCCGAGCUCAUGUUCGGAUCAUUUAUUAAACGAGCAAUUCGAUCUUGAGCUUAUUUUAAGUCGAACACGAACUAACUCGCGAACUGAAGUGCCACCUCUAGAUAUUGAUAGCAUAAUGGACGGACUCUUAUUUCUGCCAUGUGAGAUUCUCGUCACAAACUAAAUAUAUGAAUUCUCAAUUUUUAAUCUAUAUUCCUAAAAUUGUAUAAAAUAUCGUGAAUCAUGCUGACCUUCAAAAGCACUCUAGCUUAUUGCCUUUUUCUUCAAUAGCCAAAAAAAAAAAAAAAAAAAAAAAAAAAAAAAAAAAAAAAAAAAAAAAAGAAGGUAUGCAGGAUCGUAACUUCAAAGCUGUGGCUUGAAAUUAAAGUUUACAAAGUCGGGAAUUUAGCCUCAGCUAAGAUACCAAACUAUCUUUCUCUCUCUUUCUGUGAGAUUCCUGAUGUUCUGUUGUGGAGGCUUAUCGGCAGCUCUGAAGAGUGUCGGGACAAAUCCGAGUCACGUUGGCGUCAAAUAGACGCAAAACGGACUCCGUGCGGCGCGAGAGUAGCUUAUAGCGAAGAAAUCUGCAAAACAGUAGAUUUUUCUGCUUACUGUACCGGUACAACCAGCACGCUGUACCGGUACAACCAACGCGCACCAACUUAUCUGCUCUCCGGUUGGCUCUUGUACCGGUACAGGAGCCCGUGUACCGGUACAAGAGGGUAGGUGUGAGGGUAAUUGUGUAAAUCUCCAUCUCGUUUGUAUCUUCUACCAGCUCCCUCUCUACAAAAGUUGCUGUGAACUGAGAGAGAGAGGUUUCCUUGUGCUCUUUCUUCCCCUCUCACUCUCCUGUCCGGUUGAAGGCAAGGAAGAAGCUCGAUUGGAAGGUUUGUCGCUGACGUCGUGCCGCGGGACCGUUCGAGCACACUUUUGACGUCGGGGUAGCGCGAGGGAGCCGGGCGAGCGUUGGUUUUCGCCGUUCUUGCUGUCGCAUCGGUGCUUGGCGUUGUCGAGGUGGGUAAUUCAGCAUUUCCAUUUGUUUUGGGCAAGUUCUUACUACUUCGAACUCAAGUGAUGCUGUUUUGCUGAAAUUCAUCGUCGACUGUUAGUAUUCAGCUCGUACUCAACGCUGGAGCAUCGGAUUUCGACGAGACUUGGUUCGCUGAAUUCAGGACUUCGAGAAGAAUCCACGAAGCCCUUACUUGCGGGAUUUGGUGAAGGUUAGCUUGGUCGAAACUCUGUUUUACUCUGCUGCUGUGGAUUUUGGACUGAAUUGAGGAUUUUCGAUGUUUAUAGUUGGAGAUAGCUUGAUUUCAGGACUUUGACAUUUUCAGUCGAUCCAGCAGGUUGUUUCGCAGCCGAGGGAGUUCCGUGCUGCCAGGGAUUAGCGACCGAGGUGGGUUACAUCGGUUUUGAUUUCUAAGUUCUAAUCGUUGACAUGUAUAAAUUUCGAUUUUGGUAUAGUAUAUUUUAGCUCGAAUUUAUGGAUUUUAUUAUAGAUUGCAAAUCUGAAUUUGGAGUAUGUGGUAAUAAAUUGAGUAGUUUAUACAUGUUGGAUUUGAAAUUGGAAUUAGAAGAAAACCUGCGUUUUGGACCUGUCACUUGUGUAAAUUGCCUGAUUUAGCUCUAGAAGCCGUUAUGAAAUUGUACUGUCGCAGUAUCCUCGAGACGAGUACUCCAGAUAGUUUAGCAUGCAUUUACACUCGUGCUGGUACGCCGAGUGGAUUUUUAUAGGGUCGUUUGGAUUGUUUCGAACUUUUGGGCGCCGUUGGGGUUGACGGUGGGCCCGGUUCGCCGUUUUGGCGUCAGAUUGUGCCGAGAGCACGUUACUUGUUGGUUAUUAGACCAGUUAGAGUCGGUUACUUAGAGUUUGGCUUGACAGAGCCUGAUUGAGCUCGACAGAGAUACGCUGCAUAUUCGGUUGGGUAGCGCCCACGAGUGCCACUCCGGAGACGGGUUUUGUGCUUUUGUGUUGGUAUCGCUCAUGCCGGUUGGACUUGCUCUCCACGGACCAGUUAGUGUGGAGAUAGCUGGAUAGUUGCAACUGAACCGGGACGGGUGUGUUCACGGUCCCAUGGACGGGUAUGUUACAGUCCCGAUUGGAUUGGGUUAGAUUGAAUAUUUUCCUACAGUUGGUUAGCGUAGAGCAUGAUAGUGUAGUGAUUCAUAGCGGUAGAGUUCAUUCCUGCAUUUACUACUACCUUUGCUCCCUACUGUAGACUUAGUGGGUGGACCGAUAUUGUUUUGGGCGGCACCCACUAAGGACUACUUGUUUUUACAGUAGUUCUCACGCCCAGUUGUUACCCCUGUUUGGUAGAGCCACAGGUUUCGGCUGCUGCGCCUUCUGCGGAUCAGGAUCGAGGCAAGGGUGUCGCGAGUUAGAGCCCUACCCGCCGAGCAGAGCUAGAGCCACCCUACUGCAGGUAGUUGUUUUAUUUUGAGCUUAUGUACAUAGUACUUAAUUCGCCAGUGCGAGUAACUCUAUAUUUUGAUUUUUGAACUAUGUAUAUGAAGCUCAGUUUGUUUAGCUUUUCUUUGCUCGAGCAGUUUUAUACUACUGUUUGUAGUAUUGUAUGUUUACAGAUACAGCUGUCACUUCAUAUACAGGAAAAAUUUCUUUGUAUACGACGGAUUUGUCGGCGUGCCCGAGAAACAAGACAUCCGGGGCGUGACACUUUCGCUCCAAAUAAAUUAAAAAAAAAAAAACAGAUUGAAUCCGUCCAAACUCUAACCCAUAUGUUUUGGGUCUAUUUAUUUUUGUGAAUUUCAAAGGUUGAAUUUGUGACUUUAAAAAUAAUCGUUGGCAUCAGCGCUUGUUUCAACCUCGAAGUCAGAAGAUUAUUCGAACUCUCACUUAUAAUCGUACAAAAAAUCGAGUUCUUCCGAACCCCCAUCUUAGACUCAAAACUUCGACCCUCCAAAUUUUACUCUCGUGUUUUACUAGAUAAGUUUGGCCACAUACCAUUGUGAUUACACUACAACAAAUUUUACAUUUAAGGACGCUUUAAAUUAUAAUUAGCGACGCUUUAAAGCGUCGGGAAAAAUAACGCCGACGCUUUUAAAAGCGUCGGAUAAAGAGUCGUUAAAUAAACAUGUCGGGACAUAUAUACCGACGCUUUAACAUAGCGUCGGGGAAUUUUUUUUCGACUCUUUUUAGAGUCGGUAAUGUGUUAAGUGCCGACUCUAAAAAGAGUCGUUAAUUUAAACAAUUGCCGACACUCCAAAGUGUCGGUAUAUUAAGAAAUACCAACAUAUUACCGACUCUAAAAAGAGUCGUUAAUUUAAACAAUUGCCGACACUCCAAAGCAUCGGUAAAUUAUAAAAUUCCAACAUAUUACCAACUCUAAAAGAGUCGUUAAUUUAAACAAAUACCGACACUCCAAAGCACCGGUAAAUUAUGAAAUAUCAAAUAAACACGUCAAUACGAAAACUUUGUAAUAAUGAACAAAAAUAUUAAAAUGUUUCAACAUUAAUAAACUUCAAUCAACAAUGCUAAUCCUAAUCAAGAAAUCAAAAAUUCUCUACUAUUGUAUAAGCAGGGAAUAAUAGGAACAAACAAAAAUUUCAUCACUUUUUUAUUCACAAUGAAUUAUUAAUCGUAUAGCGUAUAUAGUGUUUUCAGUUUAAACGAAUGCCCUCCGGUAAUGUAUAUGUAGCCGUAGACAAAAUGUGAUGAAAAGAGUUAUAUGAGCAGAGCUCAACUGCUUUAGGAUUCCCACCAAAAUAGUAUAUGUCAGACAAUAUUCAUCCUGCAAUAGCAAACAAAAAUUAAAGUUAGUACAAAUACUCAAUUCACCAAUCUUAUCGUUGUAGAUAGAAUGUGAGGAAAAAAGAAUUUGUGAUUAAAGCUCUAGAUAGUUAGGUUACGAUACAAAUAGACGCAUAUCUUUAAUUGUAGGAUCAUCAAAUUUCUUUUCAAAAACUCAAACCCAAAGCUUAUUAACAAUCUCAUAGUGCAAGGUUUAGAUAAUCAAGCUUAAGGAAUAGUACAUCAGAGAAGUUUCAGAACCAUUAAGAAGAAGCUACACCGACGAAUCUGAAAUGAUGCUAACUGCUGCAUGCAUUACCGAAAAUCUUGUAUUAUCUAUUUACUUUAAAACGCAUGAAGAAGGGAAUAACAACAAAUCAGAUACUUUGUUGCUUAAUUGGGGCUGUCGGAUGAGAUAUGUUCGUUUCUUAAUACUGAAAACAGAGGAACUAAUUGAAAAGGAAAAAUAUUUCGUGCAACAACAAGGUUGGCUUGCAUAUUGUUUUAAGGAAAAUUUUUGUGCUCAAUUUCACAAGAACAUGCAGAAAAAUAAAAAUAAUACUAAUAGCUUCAAUAUGCACUAUCCAAACAAUCAUUACUCUCGAAAAGGAGGGAAAAAAAAUAGACAUUAAUUAGAUGUACCAAGGCUAACAUAAUCUUUAUCAAUAUUCUAAGCAGAAGCUGAAUGUUAGGCAGCACCUACUUGAACUUGCAUUAAACUAAAAAUAAAGGCAGAUUCUCAUGUGACUAGGACCACAGCUCCAUAAAAGAUGUGCUCUCAACAGUAUUUGCUCAGGACCCACCUCUUAAAUUCUUCUUUAAAAGACAAAGAUAUUGUAAUGCACUCAACGAAAAGAAUGGAAGCUCAAUUAACUUCUGAAGCAUCAAUGCAGUAACAAUUGACACAUAAAAUCAGAAAGUUGGGCCAAUCAAUACACUACAAAGAAGAUGUUAGAAAGAAAAUCAUGUGUAGAUUUUCCAAACCCUUGUUGCCCGGUCGAGAUGGACCAAAAAAUCGCUUCCAUUUCUAGAAUGUGAAAUUAAGAAUACUUCACACAAGGAGAUUCGUAGAUAAAUAGAAAGUAAUAGAUAAAAUUAAAAGCUCCUCACAUCUCCCUGGAAAUGCACUUUCAAAACUACUUACAGAUCAAAACUAAAUUAGCCAUACUUUUAUACAUACAUACAUUAACAUACAUAUUCUACGGAAGUUUGUAAGCAUGCACCUGAUGAUGCUCACGUCGUUGGAACGUUGCCCUAGGUAAAAUUGUCUGAGAGCCCCUUCAAUUAAAAAGAAAAGAAUCUUAGAAUACUUAAUCAAAUGCUAGCUUUGUUCAAUAAAAAUUCAUUUACCUCAUUGCAGUUUUGAGGCGAUUUGAACUAAUAGCUGCUUCAUAUCUUCCAACUGUGAUUUAUAAUUCUUUUGCAUCCCUUGUAAUUUCUGCUCAUAAUUUUGCUGCAUCUCUAGCAACUUAGAGUCAUAGUUACUUUACAAUUAGGCCCAAACCUAUGAACUUAAGCUGUUAAUAUAAAUGGGUUCCGGCAAAAAUACCGUAUCAUUUAAAAAUUUUCUAGACCAGUAUUUGAAUUUGAAUCCUAGCCGAAUAGCGAAAUCUCAAACCCAAAUCCAACCUAUUUCUACGUCCGUUAACAGCUAAUAAAUAAUAAUCAUGAAUUUAGAACACUUAAUUAGAUAAAUUUUCUUUUAAUUGUAUAUAUACAUAUGUAGGAGUAAGUAGGAGAAAAAAAACCUUUUGCUAUCGGAUAAUUAUCCUGGGAGAGAGUAAACACACUUGGGGCCACAACUUGAAUAAGUGUUUUUCUUUUAUUAAAACUUAAAUAAGCUCACACUUCUCACUAGUUGCUAUGACAGGAUCACUUCUUGUAUAUAUGCUGAGCUCCACUAUAGUUGCUCUCCUAUUGUUCUAUAGGAUUUAUCAUAAUGAGCAUCUUUUGAGGAAUCUAAAAAUAUAUUAUCAGCACUUCCAUCUUUAAUCCCCUUUUUCGCAGAUUUGCCUUGCAAAAUCAUUCAAACACCCCAUCUCAUCUACUAAUUUAUCCUUGUAAAUUUCAUAAUGAAUAUGCAAUUCAAAGAUAAAGCUAUAGUAAAAGAAUAACAAAACCUAUUCAGUGUGACAUCCAUCUAACUUUUAUUCCAUUAGAAAGUAUAUAUUCUUCAAAUUUGCAUACACAAAACCUAUUACUUUUGAGUGAGCAAACAUUUUGCACCAGUUAAAUAGUUGUUAUUCACUGAAUUACCACUUGAUGAUCAUCUCAACUAAGGAUUAAAGAAUGAAUGUGAUCUCAUCUAGCCAUCAAAGCAAUAAUGCGAUUACAGAAAACAAGGGAAUGCAAUUACAAAAAACCACAAAAGCCUUAAUUGUAAUUCCAAUGCCAUUUUACCUAAACUGUAGGGAGCAAAAGCCCUGAUAAUGGGGAAAUUUUGAAACAACCUGCAGGCCAGUUUUCUAAAUGUACUAGAUAGAUAAUUUGGUACCAUUAGUCAAAUAUACAGGGACUGCAUAUGUUUUCCAGUAUUUCAAUAUAGCAGCCUAAAGUUCAAGUACGUAUCAGCUGGAACUUGGAUCUCUCCCAGUUAAUUGAUCUGAACUAUGAAAACUAAUUAAGAUGUAUAAUUAUAUCCUAGUACUCCUAUAUAUAUAUAUAAUAGCAACAGAUCUAAACUAUGAAAUUUUCCAACAGAGGCACAAUCAAAUAGCAAAAAAAUAGAUAAAAAUACUUAAAUUGGCAUAAAUCCAAACAUAAUUAUUGAAAAAGAUAACGAUCAACGCACCUAAGGAAGCUUUGAAGCAAUGCGAUCAAAUCCAAGCGACCAAAUAGGGAAUCGCAGUUUAACUCGAUCGGCUCAACAGAUCACUUCGAAAUUAUUCAUAAACCGGAGAUUCCUAUAUUUUUCUGAAAAUCGAGAUUGUAUAUGAGAGUUACAACAUUAUUAUAUUGACAGGAAGUAUAAGAUAUCAUUCAACUGACUUGUGACUGUCACAAAGGAGAUUAACAGCAAUUAGCAAGGACCUCACUAAUGAAGAAUAGAAUCUUACGAAGAAGCUUUAGCUUCCUCGAAGGAAUGCAAGAAAGAGCACAAGAGAACAAACAGGACAAAAAAUUACUAUUGUGUUCAGUAUUCACUAACAAUCGUUACUAUGUUUGGACAUCACAAACAGUCUUCGAGAUACUUACCUUCUUUUAUUAAUAUUCGGGGUUUUAAUCUCUCCAGGUAAUAUAAUCACUAUCUAAAGAUACCUUGGUUAAAGUCUAGAGACAGGCAUACCUCACUCCAUCACCAGUUCUGACUAGCAUAAACCCUUCACGUUAUAAUCAUGUCAUAGAAAUCUACUAAAGAGUCUCCUGUUUCUUCUACUUUGUCAAAAAGAAGCUCAUUGACAUGCUUUAAUGCCCUACAUAAACAUUUGCAGUCUAACCUAUUCAAAAACAUGUUGAUAAGAAUCCCUUUUUUUUUCUCUCUGUUUGAAUAAAGAGGCCCAGUGUAAGUUCCUGCUUCUGAAUAAAGAAGUUAAUAAAUACCUAUCAAGGAGUGUUGACAUUUUGUUGUGCUAACAUAUACAUUCUGAACAAGCUUAUCUUCUCAAGGUCUCUAAGCAAAUAAUCACAGAUCUGAAAUUAUUUCCCAUGGCCUAGCUGGAAUUGCAAAAAGAUAGUGGAUGGUGCUUCAAUUAAAAAACACUGGUAAGGGAUUAUACCAGUAUCGAUGGUGAUCUCUCUUGAUCCGUCGUCCGAAUUGGAGCUUAAUUUUGCCGAAAACAAGCACAAGAAGCAGCAGAGGAAGAGGAGCGAUGUGCCGCAGUUUGGGAUUGAGCUUGGAUUUGUGAAGAGGACCACCUGUGACAGAGAUGUUAACUGGGAUACAAUCAGAAAAAUCUAAAUACCUAGCUGAAAAUAACAAAUCCAGCUACAACACAACCAAGCAAAAAUUAAGAUAUAGAAUAAAAAUUUACACUCUACAAGUACAAUAUCCAAUCUAACACUAUAUAUAGAUCAAAUAAGAAGAGGAGAUCAAAAAAUUAUAUGAAAUUUUCCAACAGAGGCAAAUAGCGAAAAAGAUAGAUACAAAUACUUGGGAUGAAUCCAAACAUAAUUAUUGAAGAAUAUAAUGAUCGACGCACCUAAGGAAGCUUUGGAGCAGUGCGAUCAAAUCCACGCGAUCAAAUAGGAAAAUCGCAGUUUAACUCGAUCGGCUCAAUCACUUCGAAAUCACUCAGAUCUUCGAAAUUUGAUCGCAGCAACAGAUCGAAGAGAGGGCGAGGGAGAUGAAGAACAUUUCGGAGCCCUAAAUGAUCAAUCGGAUCUCCGGAGGACAUCGAAAAAUUAGGGAGAAUUAAAAGGAAAAAAAAAAAGAAGAACCACGUAGCUGAGAAUUCGAUUUGAAACUUUGAACAGGACAACAUAGCGAGUAGGAUUAACUCUAAUUUCGCAAAAAUAAAUUAUACAGAUCGCAACAACUUCAUUUGGAUCAAGAAAUAGUAGCAGAAACUCAAGAGCCGUCAAACUAAAAAAUCACUAAAAUUUUUUCCCAAAUUUUAACUUAAAAUCCCCAGAUUCUUCAGGAUCGGCGUUCUUCGCACUCAAAAAGCCUAAAAAAGGACGAUAAAUUGAGGAAAAAAAGAGCCCAAUCAUCGAAUGAGAUUGAGAAACUGAAUCGAGAGAAACAAGCGAAAUCAUAUGCAAAAUUGAACCUAUCAGAUCGUCGAAUCACUGUGGAAUCACCCUCGAUUCGAAUGGCUUCGCGACAUUUGGACGCAGAUAGAAAAAUCGAACUCUCUCUCUCUCUCUAGUUCGCUUGAUCGUUCGCUCUCACUCGAUCUCCGAAAUAGGAAAAUCGCAGUUUUUCGCCUCGAUCGAGCGCCGGGUUGAUGAAGCUGGGGCGUGCGAUGAAGAGGAUCGAGCUCCGGGUUGAUGAAGUGCGUGGGUUUACAUGGGAGUGGAGAGAGAGAGGGCGUGGGUUUACAUGGGAGUGGAGAGAGAGAGAGGGCGUGGGUUAAUUGAUGAAGCUGGGGCGCUGGGUUGAUGAAGAGGAUCAGACAUGUGAACCUCUUCAUUGUGAGAGCACUCAUGGUUGCUAAUUAAUUGGAAUAAUUAAAAAAUAAUUUAAUAUUAAUUUAAUUAUUAUAUUUGUUGAGAGCUUGUAAUAUUCUCUCGUGUUAAGAUCUAAAUACUUUUUUAAUUAUCUUGGAUUUUAAUUAUCUUAUUUCUAAAUUAAAAAAGCUAACUAAAAUUAGCUUCCUGUUAGCCAUUUACAUUUGUUGAGAGCUUGUAAUAAUUUAAUAUUAAUGAAGUUCAGACGGAAAAAUUUAAAAAUAAGCUAAUUAAAUCAUAAUUAAAAUAAUUAAAAAAUAAUUUAAUUACUUACGACGCUUUGGAAGCGUCGUCAAGAUACUUGUUUAUUGGCGACGCUUAAUCAUAGCGUCGGCAUGUAUCAAGUAUUAAAGACGCUUGAAUAAAGCGUCGUCUAAAAAACGUCGGUAAAAAUAUAUUUUGUUGUAGUGUUACGAUCGUAUUUGUACUUAUAAAUAGUUUUCCAUGUUGAAAUUUCCGAAUUGAUGAUCAAUACUUUUAAACAAAAUUUUAAAGAUUUAAAUAUUUUAAAGAUCAAAUUUUAUAAUUUUUUGAUAUUAUAUAUUUUACAAUCAAAGAGCCUCAAAAUUAACAUAUUUAAUGGUCAGUAUGGGACGUCCAUAUCAAUUGUGUAGAAAAAUUGUAAUCGGUUGAAUUUUGAUAGAAAAUUUUAUUCACUGUAUAGAUCAACAUUGAUAACUCUGAUCUUAAAUUUAAAAACUUCAUCUGUUAUUUUUAAGAGAUUGUUUGAUUUUAUCCGUUCAUUUUAUAUCCGUUUUAUGAAUUUUAUUAUAAAUUAAAAAAAACCAUCAAAUUUAUUUUUUAAAUAUUUCAAAUAUUUUAAAUUAUAUAUAAUGAUGUCGAUUGUCGAUUAUAAAGUUUAAUCAUAAAAAAUAAUUGGAUAAACUUCAAAUACCAUUUCUAUAGUUUCGCACUUUCUCACUUUAGUACCAUGUUGUUUAAAGUGUAUCAAAUUAGCGUCCUGUUGUUUCAUUUUUAUCUUUUCGCCAGCUUUUUCGUUAAUAUUUUGUUAAAUUAUAUACAAAAGAACUUCAAAUGCCCCACCUAGAUUUACCGAAUAUUUACUUUAGUACUCUUUAGUUUUAACUUUGUCAGUGAUCUAACGAAAAAAAUUAGUGGAAUCAAUACUAAAAAAAUAAAAAUAAAAAUAAAAUCACGGCGCACUAAAUUGAUACACUUUAAAUCACAGAGUACUAAAGUGAGAAAAUUUGAAAUCAUGAGGGUGGUAUUUGAAGUUUUUUCAAAAUAAUUUAUAAAUAAAACAAAAGCCUACGUACUUGUAAUAGGAGUACACUAAUUACCCUACUCCAUUUAAGAUUUAGGUGGAAUAUCACUUCCGAACGAAGCACGGUGAAGUGACUUUACGGUCCACGAACCCAAAGUGUGGAGUUUUUGUCUGGACCAGGUCUAUGGACCAGACAACUAAAUCGGUCAAAUGGGACUAGGGGUGGCAAUCCAGCUCGCUAUUCGCGAGCCAGCUCGUGUUCGGCUCGAAAUGAGCUCGAGAUCGAAGCGCUGCGUUAGUAAACGAGCGCCGAACACGAGCUGAAUUUUUCGACUCAUUUAAUAAACGAACCGAACAUGAGCUGGGGUCAGUUCGCUCGGUGUUCGGCUCGAUAACAGCUCGAAAUUAAUAUUUUUAAUUUAUUAUAAUUAUUUUAAUUAUAUUUAUAUAUAUAAUAUAUAUUUAUAUAUAAUAUAUAUUUUUAUUAUUUAAUUUUUAGCAAAAGAAAAAUAUAAAUGCGGAGCUUAAUUAUAAAAAGACUCAUUUAUAUGUAAAUUUUCAAUUAUUAGAUAAGUUAAGAAUAAGAAUUUUAUAAAUUUAUUUUUUAUAUAUAUUCAAUCUAAUCAUUUUUAACUUAUUGUUUGUUGGCCAGCUCGUGAGCCAGUUCAUGUUCGGCUCGUUUAUUAACGAGCCGAACACGAGCUGAAUUUUUUGACUCGAUCCUUUAACGAGCCGGCUCAUGUUUGGCUCAUUUAUUUAAACGAGCCGAACACGAGCCGGCCCUAGCUCGCUCGUGUUCAGCUCGUUUACACCCCUAAAUGGGACCAGAGAAAAUGGCGCAUGCGAACAAUUUUAGCGCCUAACUUCCGUGUAUAUUUUGUCCGGUCUACAGGACCAGAUCCAGACAGAAAUGUAUCCGGCCUAACACCAACGAGUUGGUUCGUGCUCCACUUGAACCCUCAACAAAGCAAAGUGCUAGGGAUAUCCCAAAAUGCACCCCUUGUUUUCCCAUUACUAUGGCAAAAUCAGCUUUAUCAGAUCUAGCGCCUGGAAAAAUAAUUUCUGCAGAAUUAAUUUUGAUUUGCAUAAAUAAUUUUGGUUAAAAACUAUAGAGUAUUUAGCGGAGUCUAAAAAAAUAAAUUUUUAAAAAUAAUUUUGUAAAGCUGUUUGGUAAUUUUUUUUGCUGUUUACAAAUAAUAGUUUUUAAAAUUUUAAAAUUUAAAACUUAAAAUUUGAUUUUAAAAUUAGAAUUGGAUUUUAAGAAGUAGAUUUUAACUUCUUUUAACUUUGGAUCUCUAAAAUUAGAAAAUUAAUUCUAAAAAUUAAAAUCGGAUUUAAAAAAGGAGCUACCAAGUGCUCUAUUAAAAAAAAAAAAAAAUUUUGGCUCUAAAAUUACUUUCUAAAAUUUAGGCUAAACACCUACCUAUUUUGAGUUUUGAUAAUUUGCGAGCAUUAUUCAAAUUUUAAAAGUAACAAAAAAUCGUAUAAAUUAUUCAUCAUUGUUCCAAAUAAUAUCCUCUAUAAUUGAUUUUUUGCCCAAAAAAUAUGUUUUGUGCGAAUUUUUGUUAUUUUAAAAAAUGGGAAAACUUCAAAAACUCCCAUUGUGGUUUUGCAUUUUUUCAUUUUAGUACCCUGUGGUUUAAAGUGUAUCAAGUUAGUACCCUGUGGUUUUGCACUUUCUCACUUUAGUACCUUGUGGUUUAAAGUGUAUCAAGUUAGUAUUCUGUGAUUUUAUUUUUGUAUCAAGUUAGUACCAUAUGGUUUUAUUUUUAUAUUAAGUUAGUACCCUGUGGUUUUAUUUUUCUCUUAAUAAAAUAUUGAAUCACGGGGUACUAAAGCGAGAGAGUGCGAAACAUCAGAAUACUAACUUGAUACACUUUAAACCACAAGGUACUAAACUGAGAACGUGUAAAACCACAGGGUACUAACUUGAUACACUUUAAACCACAUGGUACUAAAGUAAAAAAAAAAAGAAACCACAAGAGGGGUAUUUGAAGUUUUUCCUUACAAAAUUUGGACAGUAAUAUGAAGUACAGUAACCUUAAGAUGGGUCUAAGAUUUGUUUUUUUUAUUUUAUUUUAUUUUUAUUUUUUUAUUUUAGUAUUAAAACUCCAGAGGCAUGAUGAUAAGUUUAGAACAAAUGUUGUUUUGCUACUGUCUUUAUUUCUAGCGGCAACAUUUUUUAUAUAGAGUACUUCAUAAAAGAAAAAAAUUAAAUUUUUUGCUGCAACAAAAAAUAAAAGACUUAAUUACACUCUAUUAUGUUAUACUUUACAUAUUUUUUUAAAAAUUCUUAUAUCAUACUAGUAGUUUUUUUCAAAUGUACCACUUAAUUAUUCUUUUUUUAAAAUUUCUAUACUAGAAGCAAUAAAUCUCUAAUUUUAUAUAAAAGCGGUUAAAAAUAUUGGUUAAAAGUAGUAGAAUAUAUAUUUAGGUUAUUUUGACAUGAAAAAAUAAUAAAAUACAUAAAAUAAGAAAAAAAUAAAAAGCAACUUGAUAGAAACUUUUAAUGAGUCUAUUUAUAGAGAUUUAUGUUACAAUUUUUCUUAAUAAAAUUAUUAGAUUUUGUCUAAAGCAAUAGAUGUAUAAGCAGUAGUAAUAUAGAGAUCGGUAAGAAAAAAUAGUUUAAUAACAUCUGUGAGAAAAAAAAUAGUAUAAGUUAGAAAUAUAAAAAUAAAUUUAUAAUAUAGUGUAGAUAUUUAUAAAAGAGUCAUAUUUCAACACACCAUGUAAAUCUUGACCAAUUAUUUUUCUAAAUAAGUGAUUGAGAUGUCGUGACCAACUAUUAAAGCAUAGGUACCAUUCUCCAUUUAUCUAUCUGAAGAGUAUUUUAAUCUUUGCAGAAUGUUUUGGUUCAUAAAAAAGGUUUUAUCCAAUUAAGGACAUUACAAACUUUUCCAAUAGCUAAAACAAUAAUUAAAAUUCAAACUUACAUCCAAACCGUAAAUUCAAUUUGGAAACAACAUAAGAAACUUAAUUAUAAGUCAAAUUCAAAAUUUCAAAUAUAAAACACAACUUUAAGAUAAAACUUUCAGUUCAAAUUCAAAAAUUCAAUUUAAAUCAAAAAUUAGAAUUUAGCUUUAAAGUUAAAAGUACAAUUUAGAUUCAAAAUUUAAAAGUUUGAAUUUAAAUUUCAAAAUUAAAAUUUUACAUUACAAUACCAAAUUCAAAAAUUAAAUUUAAAUUCAAUACUUUUUUUGAGUUGGAUACUUAAUAUAUUGGGUACUCUCUAAUUUGGUAAGUGAACAAAUUAAAUAAAAAAAAUUAAAAUUUGUAGGGCACUAACAAAUUUGGUAUAUAAUACUAAUCCUUUUCCAAUAUUGUGGUGUUAACUAAUCUAAACUGGUAACAUGUUUAGCAAGUUACAUUAUGUAAAACCAAUCAUACCUUUUAUUAAUUAACAAUUAGAUUUAAUAUAUAUGAUGUAUUGAAUCCAUAGUUAGUUAAUUCGGAUUCAGCAAAAAUUCGGUACGGAUAUAAUACGCAUAAAAUUCAUUUUCUAAAUUUUAAAUUUGUUGAAAAAUUCGGCUUAAAAAACGGAUUCGGUAUAAAAUAUAAAAUAUAAGAUAUAAAAUAUAAGAUAAUCUAUAUUUAAAUAUAAAAAUUAUAUAUUUUUUUAUUCAUAUUUUUAAUAAUUCGGGAAUAAUUUGCGAAUAAUUCGCGAAUUUUUCGGCUGGCCCAAAAUUCGCGAAUAAUUCUCGAUCUUUGAAAAAAAUUUGUAAAUGGACCGUUUAAUUUGGAUUUUCAAUAAUUCACGAAUAAUUCGUGAAUUAACUAACAUAGAUUGAAUCUUGCUAAAAUAUAAUAAUAUAAUGGUGUGUUUGAAAAAAAAUUAUAUAAUAUAGUAAAUAAAAAUAAUACUAAAGUACAGUACAGUAAAAUAUAAUUAAGUGGGAAAUGAAAACUAUAUUCCAAGCCUUAAAAAGUAGCUCUUAGGAGAAAAGUGACAAGAAUAUACCAAUGCAAUUUUUUUUUUUAAUAAUAUUUAUAAAUAAUAAUUUACCAAAUAAUACUAGUAAGUGGGUACACUUCGGAGUACCCAAAGCAAAACGCAUCCUCAAAAUUCUAUUAUUAAGGUUUUUUUUUUUAAAUUUUUAAUUUUUAUAUAUCCUACCAUUUUUGCGCUCUCACCAAACUCCAAGCUCGUACUAAAAAUUCAUAUAAAAAAAGCUCUCUCGCGUCAAAAGGUAGGAGAAAGAGCGCGAGAGAGGGCGAGAGAGCGCGAGAGAGGGCGAAAUGGGCGCGAUGCGUUUCGUAGCGGCGGCGAUGUCACUUUGGAUCUGUUUCGGGAUCGUCGGAGUCGCAUCGGACGCGUCGGAUCACCGCUACAACGCGGGCGAUCCCGUUCCCCUCUACGCCAACAAGGUCGGCCCCUUUCAUAACCCUAGGUAAGUGUUUUUCCCACUUAUUUUGGUAAUUUUUUGGUUGCAUCAAGUGCUUGAGAUCCCCCUUUACUAGAUCUGUUGAUGUGCUCCUCGGAUCUGGGGUUUUCGUUUGGUUGUUGUAAUUUGGGGUAAUUGUAGGAGAUCUGGCGAAAAAAUCAAUAUUUUGUUAUGAUUCUUUUGUUAAAAAGGGAUUUUUACAGUAAUUUUAGCUGUAGAAGCAUCAAACCUGGCAGUUACAGACGACCUGGUGCUCGAAAGUUCAAGUUUGUUGAUUCUGAAGUAGUUUGAAUUUGCAAAGAAAGUUUUUUUUUUUUUUUUUUCAUGGUCUGAUGUUGGAUUAAAGAUAUUUUUAUUGUUUGUUCAAGUAGGAAGGAUUAACAUUUUGAAUUAGGGUUUUGUUUUAAGGUGCUUAUUUUGUCUUCUUUAGCUUUGACUAAGAUUGGUGAGGAGAUGUGGUAAAUUUUAGACUUUUUGAUGGUUUAUAUUGCUUUAACUCAGGCAAAUGAGAUAUUUCGAUAGCAUUUUGUGUUGCUGCUUUAGAAUUUCUUUAGUAGAGAGAUACCUUUGAAUCUCGAAGUUGGCAUUAAGUCUCCUUGUCUAAUUAUUGCGCUUGUUGCAGCGAGACGUAUCGGUACUUCGAUCUCCCAUUCUGCUCCCCAGGUGUGCUUCUGGACCUUAUUUUGUUCGAUUUUGUUUUGAUGUUUCAUUAUUUGUAGUUUUAUAAUCAAGUGAAAUUUGUUGACAGAACAUCCGAAUGAGAAAUCAGAAGCUCUCGGCGAAGUCUUAAACGGAGACCGCCUUGUUGACGCUCCCUACAAGCUCGACUUCCGUGUGGACCUCGAUUCCAAGUUGGUAUGCAAGAAGAAGCUCACUAAAGAAGAUGUAGCCAUGUUCAGAAGUGCGGUCACCAAGGACUACUACUUCCAAAUGUACUAUGAUGACCUGCCGUUAUGGGGAUUUCUUGGGAAGGUCAGUAGGGAGGGAAAAACCGACCCUAGCGAGUAUAAGUACUAUCUUUUCAAGCAUAUCCACUUUGAUAUCCUCUAUAACAAUGAUCGGGUGAUCGAGAUCAACGCCAACGCUGAUCCCAAUGCUUUGGAGGAUAUCACCGAGGAUAAGGAUAUUGAGGUCGAGUUCUUGUACUCGGUGAAGUGGAAGGAGACGAAUACGCCCUUUGAGAAGAGGAUGGAGAAGUACUCGCAGUCUUCCUCGCUACCACACCACUUGGAGGUCCAUUGGUUCUCGAUAAUAAACUCAUGCGUCACGGUUCUGUUACUGACAGGAUUCCUCGCCACGAUUCUCAUGCGGGUUUUGAAGAAUGAUUUUGUCAAGUAAGAAUUCUCUUCGUUGUCCUGAAAAUUGAUCUUGAUCUCGUAUUGGAAUGCAGUAGUCCCAACAGUAAUAUUAUAGCGAUAACUGUGGAACAAUUACUUGAUGAAUUACUUUGUCUGCUUUUGAUUCUUCACAUUUUAUCUCAGUCAGCAACGCUCAUAUGUUCGCAAAAAUUUACUAAGCUUCAGGUACUUGAACAUUGAACCAUUCGUAUAGUGUGAUGGGUGAUGGCUUGAAUUACUCUUGAGGCAAACACCGAGUUUGCUUAUUUAUGGCAUCUAAUCUUAUCUUGUGGCAAUAUGAGUCGAUUUAUUAUGUAAGAGAGAGGAUUUUGUUUUUCCUGAAAUAACUGCCUAUUUAACAUUACUAAAUUACUUACAUAAGAACGCCGAGUCUGCUUAUUUAUGGCAUCUAGUCUUAUCUUGUGGCAAUAUGAAUCGAUUUGUUAUGUAAGAGAGAGGAUUUUGUUUUUCCUGAAGUAACUGCCUAUUUAGCAUAACUAAAUGACUUAGGUAAGAGAGAAAUGUCUUAGGUUUUUUCGUGCUGUUCUUUUGAAAUUUGAUGUCUAAUUUAGAAGCAGACUUUUGGAACUGCCACAUAUUUUUAGAUCUACUUUUGUUGGUGGCGAAGUCAUCUGCUUUGAGUGAAAUUUAUAUUGUUUGUUUGUCUUCUUUAUGUUUUUUUUUUUUGAUCAACACAUGCUUUUAGUUACUUGUACAGGUGAAUUUUUAUUCACAUUCCCUUCAUUUUUCCUAUAAUGCUACAGGUACGCUCACGAUGAGGAAUCCGCAGAAGAUCAAGAAGAGACUGGAUGGAAAUAUAUACAUGGAGAUGUCUUCAGAUAUCCGAAGAACAAAUCGCUCUUCGCUGCUUGCAUUGGAUCUGGCACUCAGCUAUUUGCUCUGUAAGCUUCUUGGACUUUUUUUUUUACUGUAUAUAAUAUGGAAAUAUUGAUCUCUGCAUAUAUUGGCACAGAAUGCUUUCUCAAAAUAUGCUUUGUUGUCACUGGUCUUUCUUACAUUGCCUUUUUUCAUUGCAGCACAAUUUUCAUCUUUCUUUUAGCUUUAGUUGGCGUGUUCUACCCAUACAACCGAGGAGCUCUUUUUACUGCGUUGGUUGUAAUAUAUGCACUUACAUCUGGCAUUGCUGGUUAUGUUGCAACCAAUUUCUAUUGUCAACUUGAAGGAACAAAUUGGGUGCGUGCUUACUCCACUUAAAUCUACUGUUAAUGAUUUAGGAUCCAUUUGGCCUAGAUGGAGCUUCUACAGAAGUGAAUUGUUUGAACAAUUAAAUGUCAAUUUGUUCAGUAAAUUUCCUCAAAAGUCUUCUGCUGCAGCAACAAAGAAAAAAUUGGAGUUUUUGCUUUUGGGGUCCAGAAGCUCAUUUUUGCUUUUAUGCAGAGCAAAAGCUCUGGAUAUUUUUGUUUGCUGAAUGCUUGGGAUGCUGCUCCUGGAAGUAGAAGUAGAUAGUCUAUUUUAAAAACCAGGCCUAACAUAUUACUUACAUUGUUUCUUUGUCAUGCAACUUGUAUCACUGUUUCUUUAUUUUUCUCCCUCUCUCUCUUAACACCCUUGUUGUUUUGCAGGUAAGGAAUUUGCUUUUGACAGGAUUUCUGUUUUGUGGGCCUCUCUUCCUGACAUUCAGCUUUCUCAACACUGUCGCCAUUGUAUACAGUGCUACAGCAGCACUGCCAUUUGGCACCAUCCUCGUUAUUCUCCUCAUCUGGGCACUUGUGACUUCUCCUCUGCUUAUUCUGGGCGGGAUUGCUGGCAAAAACAGCAAGGUGGAAUUUCAAGCACCUUGUCGGACAACUAAAUAUCCUAGAGAGAUCCCGCCACUGCCAUGGUAUCGCACAACUGCUCCACAGAUGGUGAUGGCUGGUUUUCUUCCGUUUAGUGCUAUCUACAUCGAGCUUUACUAUAUAUUUGCCAGUGUAUGGGGUCACAAGAUCUACACUAUAUACAGCAUCCUCUUCAUAGUCUUCAUCAUUCUCCUCAUCGUCACUGCCUUCAUUACGGUGGCGUUGACCUAUUUUCAGCUUGCUGCUGAAGAUCAUGAAUGGUGGUGGAGGUAAGCCAUGAAUCCAGUUGCAAAUAUCAAGCUUAGGUGUAUAAGUUAUUUUGUUUCAUUUAUUAUGUUUUCCCCUAAGUUUUAGUGGCUGGUUACCUUAACUUUUUCCUGGUGUCUCAAGCCUUUAAAUGAGUUAUUUUGCCUUUUAUUAUAGACCAUGGUACACCACUAUAUGGAGGCAAACAUACAAAUAGUAAAUUAUUAGGACAUGUUCCCUGGAGGUUUGCAGUUUACGCAUUCCAAAAUAUAAAUUGUUGUCUUUUAGAAAAUAAUCAGACCAUAUGACUUGGAGUUUGAUAGGUAGUAGUAGUAGGUUAGGUGGUAUUGAAACACUAGAUUCCAAUGGCAAAUCUCAAAGUAUAAAGUUUUGUUUGUAUAUCAAACAUGCUUGUCAAUGACCUAAAUUCUCUCUGCAAAAUCUUUGACAGUUGUACAGCUUCCUCGACAUGUUUCCCAUUUACUUACUCUCUAGGAAGGUGAUUAAAUCUAUGGACAUCUGAAAUUCUGUUUUAGGACAGAUGAGAAAGACUUUUUGAUAGUUUGAGCUUUUUGUGAGAGUUGAAACAGAAUGCAUGAAUCAGUAGAAUGAAAUUUGGUACUUCUGUUUGAUUGUAAUUGUAUUGGAAGCGCGAUCCCUACAAAUAUGAGUUUGGAGAUGUCCCAUAGGUAAUUGCAAUGAGAAUAAGCUUGUUGCCUUUAAUUUUUCCUAGUUCUGAAUGACAUGGCAAUUUUGGUGAGUUAAUCAAGCGGGCAUCAAGAUAGAGCUUAAUGCAUUAUCUUCGAGAGAAACAGCUUUCUAUAAGAUUGUAACUGGCUAUAUGCUCUAGCUGCCACGCAAUCAAUGGACAAAUUUAUACUCAAUAGGUGUUUUUAAUUUCUUGAUAAAUUAGGGAGUAUUUAUUUUUAACCCUUGUCAUGUAGAUUUUUGAUGCAUUCUCCUCGUGUUUCUGAUUCUCUACUUGUAGAAAGAACCAACUGCUUUUAUGCCAGCCAUAUUUCAACCCUUGAAGUUCCAUAGACUUUCCCAAUUAAUCUGAUAUUUUAUCAUUUUAUGAGUGAGUGUUAGUUUCAUAUAGUCAACUUCUUUUUUUAUGAUUAUCUGUAUACCUGAGUUUAAUGCCCCCUAAUGGUCAUUAUUAGUUUUCUGAUAAAAGAAAUUAAACUUAGGGCAAAGAGUAUUAAGUAUCAUAGUUGUGAUAUUAUCAAUGCAGACUUUGUGAUUGUUGUUACAUUUCAUAUACAUCAUAAUCAUAAUAUACGCCCGUUUACUUAAAAUAAUUUGUAGAAGUGUUAUUUUCAUAUAGCGUCGGGAUAGGCACUAGCCUAUUAGUUGAAAACCCUCAACUAGCCUCCUACCGAAGCAGAAGUUCAAAGUUGAAGCUUUUGCUUUUGAUACGCCCAAAGCUAAACUAAGGUAACUGCCUGUGAAGAAGAUAUGGGCUUUCUGCUUGUGUUAGGUCUGGCAUCUUAAAAUAGAGCAACUGUUCUAGAAGCUGGACCAAAUGGGCGUUGUGGGCCUGCGUUAACGUUUUGUUUAGAAUUUCUUUUUUGUUUACUCAAGGAUAGUGGUGAUUUGUUGAUGGGAAGAACUAGAUAUGUUUAAAUGCAAAAAUAUCUGCAGUCCACAAAAUAUCUAUAGUUUCUUACUCAUUUUCUCUGAAUAUGACAAAUCACCUCAUAGGUGGAAUGCACCAUCGUCAGAAACCAUUAUUACGAGGGCCUCGCAAUGGACUGAAACUUCCAUGUUGCCAUCACUAAAGAAAAUUCUCGUACUACAAAAUUUUACCACUUGAAAAACUUGUUCUGACAUUAAACUUUUUGGGGCCAUAUCUGAGUCCUCAAUGUAGCAGCAUUGCCGUGUUUUACGGAUGUGUAAAGAUUUAUAAUUGUGAUUUAAAACUGUAGUGCUGGCUCUGUUGCAGGUCAUUCCUCUGUGGUGGAUCAACAGGCUUAUUCAUAUACGGUUACUGUUGGUACUACUACUAUGCGCGGUCGGACAUGUCAGGUUUCAUGCAGACCUCUUUCUUUUACGGGUACAUGGCCUGCGUCUGCUAUGGCUUCUUCCUCAUGCUCGGGACCAUCGGCUUCCGUGCUGCCUUGUUCUUUGUCCGUCACAUAUAUGGAUCUAUCAAAUGCGAAUAAUCUGUUCCCGUAUAAUGCCUGGUAUUAAUCUUAUUCUUGUGCUUAAUCUAACCUUCUACUAUAGCGAGAGAGAUAGAGAGAGAGAGAGAUAGUAUACUUUUCGUAGAAGGUGAUUGGAACUCAAAAAGAUGCGAAACAACUGAUAGAGUUAAAAGGAUCAACUUUUUCUUUUGUCGAAAGCCGAAGCUCGUAUUGCUGCAAUCAAGGGAUUUUUUCUGGUUCAUUUUUUCUUCUAUUUCCUGGGUAACUCUAUGGAGAAGUUUGUACCAUUACAUAUACCUGCAUAAUUUUAGGUUGUUGUAUGUUCCUUCACACCUUAAAUUGACAGUGGAAAUCAACAUCACCUUUUAAGUUGGGGGUUGUGAACUCAUAUUGACUUGUUUUAUAAUUUUUUCUAAAACUAAAUCAGCCAUGUAAACUGGCAAAAUAAUCUAUUUACUUAUAUGCAUUUUUUUUUUAAAUUUAAAUUUUCGAAUUUUGAUUGAUACUCUCCAUUGCCAGGCAAAAUCUGUUCGCUUUUUAUUUUUUAAAAUAUAUUAUUGGUGUGUGUAAAAUGACCUGUUGGGUUAACAUAACAAUUACCUUGUCAUGCUUGAUUGGAUGUCUUUCUACUCAGAUUAUGUAGUCUUUUGACUCAUCUAAUGUGUAGAAUUUUUUCCUCUCUUUUCUUUUUGUUUUUUUUUGCUUUCUAUUCGUAUAUGUACGAUCAAUCUAACAACUGUAUUUAACUAUAGAAUCUCAGUGAAAUUGCAUGGAAUGAAAUGGAAAUAAAAAUAUGAGAGUUCAUACUUAUAAAAAUUCAAAUUAUCCAUAAAAUGAAAAGAGUGAAAAAGAAAAAGAUACAUUGCACCUAUUAAGAAAUUACGAGGCUAAUGGAUCAAUUGGCCUAGAAAGGUAUACCACAAUAAGAAGCUAAUUAAUUGCACAAAGUUGCAGUAACAUAUGAAGAAAUAAAUAGUGCUUUCCACAUGAGGGAAAAGACAUCAUAAGCAGCAAAGCCUUCGAAAGUAGAAGCUUCAACUUGAGGCUUCUGCAAGCAGGAUUACGCUUUAUAAGCAAGCAAUUGUUCGUGUACUGCAGUUUGCAAAAGCUUCGGUAGAGCAAGCCUAAAGCAACUGGACUUACAGGCUCCGGGCCAUUUGGUACGCAAAAUUGAAUAUGAAUAAGAUUAGAUAAGAUUAGAUAAGAUGAGAGAGAGAGAGGGAGAGGGAGAGGGCGCAAGUCACAACAACUAUAUGAUUGUCUCGUGGUUUAUAAUAGAAUUCUCGUCUCCAAUCCUAUCCAAUCUCAACCUCUUAGGUGGGAGUUGAUGCCCUAAUCUCAGCAUCAUUUUUUGGUUCAAUCAAAUUCAAAAGUUAUGAAAAGCCAAAUCUUGGACAACUCCUCUUGAUGUCUCUCUCUCUCUCGCGCGCGCGCUUUUACUCCUUCUCCGGCAUCUCUCUCCUCUCUUAUUCUAUUCAAUCCAAACAGAACUGUCUGCACAGGGACAGGAGAAUUCAUCUUUUGACGUCAGUAGGUGUUAAGACUUAAAGAGUGGAACAUUCAAUUUGUUGGCAAAGGGCUCUUACUUUCGGCCAACAAACCACAUGCAUCCACUAGCCAUUUGGUCCUCAAAUCCUAUUUUCUGAAACCUUUUUAUCUUCUUUUCCUAUUGAUAAUUAAAGGUUCCUAGAACCUAUAUGGGGACAUCUACUGAUCUACGCAAGCUUGGGAAUAAUUUUCUUGUUUCUUUUGUUACACUAAUCAGAAAAAAAAAAAAGAAGUGUAAAGGCAACAAAUACAAAAAAGAAAAAGCCACUGAAUUUAAAGCUUUCUACAAUUUCUUAAUAUGUUUGGCUAUUUCCAUAUAUAUAUAUACUUUGUCCACUCUUAUUUACUUGUGCAUAAACUGAAUAAUACGUGCGAUGCUAAUCGGCCAAUUUCAUUUAAUUGUAAGUAAACGGAAUUGAAAAGUUACGUAAAACAUACUCUUUUAUUAGUUUUGGCAUUUCCAAACGUGACGAACAUUUUUUAUACACUCAUUGCAUUCCAUGUGACUCAAGUUCCCAUGAAAUUUUUGUUUUUGUUUUCCCCUUUUGAGUAGAGACUCAGCUUCCCAUACUUUAUGGAAAGGAUGAGUGCUCUUUCCUUCUUUUUCAUUGAUAAUUUGUUUGAUGAACUGUUAAAGCUACAAGAGAGAAAUUCCCCUCUCAAAAGUGCAAAGAUUGAAAGAGAAGAGAUGAGUACAAGUUACUAUUAUAUAUACUUAGUGAGAGAAGAAUAAAUUCAAAUUACAAGAUGCACGACUACACAAUAUAGUUUUUAACUGCUAACAGUUAUUAAGAACAUUUUUUUUUUUUUAUCUCUGCACAAUAUACUAAUAGAUUAUCAUACAUACAUUUCAUUUUUUUUUUUAAUAAGUGCUUUUGUUGUCUUGUAGCAAAAUGGAGGUUUGAGUCUUGGUUUCUUGUUAUAGAAACAAGAAACAAGAAAGUACAGCAUAAAGCAUGGCCAAGAGAAUCUAAGUAGAAAAUAGCAUGCAUGUAUGCACAAAAUGACAUUUCAAAGACCAAAAAUGUCCCACAAUAGAACUGUAAUUAGAAGCCAUUAUAUAUAUAUAUAUAUACACACAUACAUGCAAGUUUACAGAGUUUGGAUAGGAUCCAAGUCACCAAAAUAUAUAGUACACACCAAGUUACACUAAUUGUUUGGAGUAAUCCACAAGCUAUUACACACUACUUAACUAAAAUGGUGGGGUUUAAUUACUUUACAAAAAGGAAGAGGGUCAUUCCAAAGAUCCCAUACAUAUAUAUUUAUAUAUAUAUUGUUUGACCUUUUCCAAUUCUAUAGUUUGAGCCCUCACAUGGCUUGUUUUGUGCCUAGCUCCUUCGGGGGCCUCACAAAAAAAGUGCUCUUUGGAAAAGCAGCUCCUAGCUACCAAAUAAGCUUUUGGAAUAUAUAUAUAUAGUCCAACUAUGGUAUUUGUAAAAGCACCAAGCAUUUGGUGUUUGUAAAUUUUUUACCGUUAGAUUUAUACCUUUGAUCAUUUUUAUCCGUUAGAUUAUACUAUUCAACCAACCACUCACUCAACCUUAGGGGGCAUACAUCAUCCUAACUGCACAUCCCUUAAUCCAAGGGUCGAAAACUUACAAGCACCAAUAAUUUGGUACUUUUAAAAACAUAGGAGUUCAAUUUUAUAUAUAUAUAUAUAUAUAUAUAUAUAUAUAUAUAUAAAAUUGAGCUAGAAUACUUUUACAAGUAUCACCCCUUUAGUGUUAUUAGGUUUUUAGCCCUUGGAUCUACUCCUUGAUUACUAAUAGCCCUUGGAUUAAACACUAUUCCACCUACCACCACCUACCACCAUCAUCCUAACCCUACAUUUCUCUAUCCAAGGGUUAAAAACUCACAAGCACCAUCCUCUUGAUGCUUUUAGAAGUAUUCUAGCUCAACUAUAUAUAUAUAUAUAUAUAUAGAGUGAGGCUACUAUGCUAUCGGAAGCACGGAGCCUUCCGUGCUUCUAGCUCGUUUUCGAUGUUGCGACUUUCGAAUCGUCGAUCGGCUCCGUUAAACUUGAUCUAGAGUAUUUGGAGUACCUAGAAAAUAAAUUUUAUUAUUUUUCGAUAUCAUUUGCCUAGUGAUGACAUGAUCUCAAAAUACAACACAUUUUAAAGGGUGCCGUAUGAGGCCGUUGCAAAUUUAAACGGUAGAAUAUUCAAAUCACGUGAAAUUUUAUAGAAAUAUUCUUUAUACUAUAUAAAACAGAUCACAAUUUUGAUUAAAAUUUUAAUGUCAUAUUAUUACAGACAUGUUUGUAAGAUCUUUUAUUUUCACCGUUGAUUUAAGUCCUUCUUCACUACACACACCACACACGAAACAUAAUCAAUUUUAUUUCUAUGUACUAAUAUGCAACAAAUACCUAAAAUAGUUUAAACAGAAGCCUCGCACGAUGUACGAGGGGAACGCAGACAUCUGGGAAAACCUGAAGCUGGAAGCACGGAGCAGGCUCCGUAUUCCGAUGGCAUAUGUAGGCCUCACUGCACUAAUAUAAUAUAUAGGUAGUGAAUAGUGAUAUAUAUAUAUAUAUUCAAUAUAUAAUUGAUAUAUAUAGAGUAAUGGUGUACAGAUAUUUAGCACAUAUAUAUACGUAACGAGUAGGGCUAACGUGGCAUUGAGACACAGCAACCCUUAUGCUUUAAACUUCUAACGCAGCGACAGCAGUGCACAGUUUGAUGUGUAAUGAAGAGACGAGAGGCUAUAGGUGACAAAAGAAACUUGGGUGUUUCAAUUAUUCUACCUCCUUUAGAAUUCUCUCAAUAGUCUCUUCCUCUCUCAUUCUAACCACCCCAUUCAAACUUGAAUGAUGGUUAGAAUUUUAGGUAUCACAAUGCUACGCUUUGCUCUAAUAGCACACAGUAGGCCCUAACUCUCCGUUCUCUCUCUCUAUAAAUAAUAAUAAUAUAUAGUGUAUAAUAUAUAUAAUAUACUGUAUAUAUAUAAUAUAUAUAUUACUAUAUAAGUAUAUAUUAUAGUUAUGGAAGGUCAGGGCCUGCUGAUUGACUCACAUCAGGCAGCACUGAGUGCCUCCGUCGCUGCUGAUAUGUUUCGAGAUAUGGAGAUUAUUUCGAAUCUAUGAUGCGUGCUCCGUAGACUAUAGUUCUACGCCGAUUUGAAGUUUCCUAGGGAAAAUAAUUUCGAUAUAUUCCGCAUAUUCAUAUUACCGUAUAUCGAAAGAUUCAAAAAUCUAUCCAUAUUUUUAAUGUUAAUAUCUGGCCGUUUCCAUUAACGGUGAUAGAAUAAUCAAAUUAGAUGAAAUGUUUAUAGAAAAUUUUUAUACUAUCUACAACAAAGAUCUAUAGUUUCUAUGAUCGAGAUAAAUCUUACGUGCCGGGAUAUGCCCGCCCGGACUUUUUUAUAGGAGUCUCUUUGUAUUGCAGCCGUUAAAAAUUAUGAUUUGAAUACUUAUCGAUGCUAGUAAAUAAUAUCCGAAAAAUCGCGCUAAAAAUUUAUUUUCAUAUAAAACUUUAAUAUAACCUAAGAUCAACGUUUAAACGAAGAAGGGAGACAGGACGGCCAUCGAUCGUGCGAUAGUUCGACAAGUCGCAUCCUCGAAAGAAUCCGGCUUCGACACGAGGUUCUCUCCGGUACUCGCGUGGAGUAGGCAUACAGCAUGCCCCGUGGUAUCCGUGAUAAUAUGUACAUAUAAUGACUACAUAUAUGUAAUAGCAUAUAUGUAAUAUAUACACUUAUUAUAAGUCAUAUAUAUAUUAUAAUAUUGUACAUAAAUAUGGUACAUAAUUCGUAGUUUAAGGUAUACGAGGCAUAGUGUACUCAUUAAAUAGUGUAUUAAGUUAUAUAGUUUGCAGUUAUAGUUACAUAGUAUACUUUGGUACAUUAUAGUAUCAGUAUAGUACACAAUACCCAUAUAGUUAGCAUAAAUAGUAGCCAUACAUAUAGACAUAAUAUAUACAUACAUAUAUUACAUGUUAAUAGUAUGAGAGUACAAUGUAGAGCAUUUAUAUAUAGACGUAUAUCAUAUAUGUAAAUAUAUAGAUGUAUAUAUCAUUAUACAUAUAUAAAGUAUGUAUAGUAUAUAUAAUAUAUAUUGUAUAUAUAAUUACAUAUAUUAUUGUAUAGUAGGUUAUAAUGAUAGGUUAUUAGCUAUAAUAGCUUUAAUAUACCAUAGAGGUAGCAGAAAGUAAGCAUGCUACUCAUUAUACGUAAUUGGGUGCUUUAUGACUCAUGUAAUUUGUUCAAUAGAUAGCUUUCGAUGAUCGACGAUCCAUUCUCCGUUAAUAGAUUUAGAGUAGUUAUGUGUCGACGUGGCCCCGGCGGGGCAAGAGCUAACGAAGCGCCGCGUGGCCGGGGUCACGUUGCUCUCUAUACCCCAUUGGGUGUGGGGGCUGUCUAAAAGCGCAUAGAGCGUCUAACAGUACUAAUAGCAAAUGAAUAAAAUCAAUAUCAAAAGCAUCUUAACAGAGUACAGAGCAUAUAAAUGUCUAACAAUGACUGGUACGUCAUAGAACAAUAAGGAUAAAAACUAUAAAAUCCACUAAAUAAGACAUGUAAUAAGGGGCGGGGGGGGGGGGGGAAUGGGAGCGGGGGGACUAAGAGGCAAUCGCCAGAAUACAAGGCUAAAGAGUGGUACAUUAUGGGUCUCCGCUACACAUGGAUGAGCAAAAAAUCGUAUCUCUCUGCACUGAAAAGGGAAGUAGAUAAAGCCACCAGGAGAGUGUAGUCGGGGGGGCGUCCUCGCGCUAGCGUACUGUACGGCUGAGCUCCGGGGGGGGGGGCAGCGGCGCCCGGCCUUGGCGCGCUAUCCCGGUGGUGGCCUCGCCGGAGUUCGUGUGACGAAGCUACUGAAAGGAUAAUAUAAAACAGGGUGGAGUAGCUAUAAGAUGAAACUAUCUAAGGAUAUGAGUUACCAGUGUGGCAAUUACUACAGACUUCAGUGAACACCAAAAGGAGGCCAAAGCUACAAUAGAUUCAGACUAUAACUGUUAGGAAAAUGAAAGGCAGUAAAAUAUGUAGCAUUACUACAACAAAUAUCCUACUUAUAUUAAAAUAGAUAACGAUAUGAAAAUUAAUGAGACCUCAGAAGUGAAAGAUUCCUCCACACAGCGUAUCAAUGAAUGUUAACGACGGCAGCAAUGAAACUGACAAAAUAGAAAAUUUCCGUCAUAGUUACAAUUCUAGUCAAAUGAAAUCCUAAAUAAUACUGAGGCUAAUGAAAGCGACAAGCCAAAAGACAACAUCUGCCAUCGUUCGCCAUGUCAUGAUAAGGAUACUCAAGUCAAAUCUGAGAGACACACCCGAAGCAGUCAAAUGACAGCACUGAACCCACCCGUAGGCUUCUGGCCGGCCGAGCAUAAUGGCACACGUCGUGUAUCAUCAUCCCACCCAAUAGAAUACCUAUCCCUAACGGCAAUCACUUCGGCGCCCAAUCAGCACGGCCGAAUAUGAAUCGUCUAGAUGAGCAUCUCCCAGGAUCCGCUUGAGGAGGCACAUCAUCACAACUGUGCGAAUGAUCACAAUGCAAAUAUCAAACGAUCAUCCAAGUACCAUCAAAUUUCUCAUGUCUCAGUAACUGUAUAAUAGGCAAAUGUCCUCGUCCAAGUCACUAUCUUAAUCAUAUCUCAAAUUGAAUAUAUUGAAUGUCAAUGUGGCCUAUUAUCAAUCCUAUGUUGCAUAUAGUUUAGUAAUUCUCCUAAGCCAAGUCUCAUUUAUGACACUCAUGGCUCAACUUCUUCCCAACAUGAUAAUAAGUUCAAGAUCAUAUAAUGUCUAAUCCAAAAUCGAAAGCAUAAACUUUAUUUCCUUAUAUCAUCUCAUAGAGUAAUUCAUCGUAUCAUAUAACAAAGACACAAUUUUUUUCUCUCUACUAUAUAGAAACUUUCUUAUGACAUAACAUAUGAGUUCUAGAGAUUCAAAAUAUUCCAUAAAUCUACAAACAUAUAUGCCAUGAAUUUGAAGAAGAAUAGAACAAUUUAAACACACUUAGGAGGAAUUUCCCCGAUUCAAGGAAGCCGAAACCCACCGAAAAGAAUCGACUUCUUCGUUUCGCCGAACCAAGAUAUCCACAAGAUCCCUAGAACAAGACGGACUCAAACGUGGAAAACCCCUUUUCCCAUACCUCAAAUGGAAGGUAGACGUGUCUACACAAUUAACCUAUUUAAAAAGUCAACACAUUCAAAAUGAGAUCAGAAAGCCUCAAAUCCAAAAACCCCCCAAAUAAACCCUAAAUACCAAAAUCUAGGUUCAUACUAGUACAGACCUAAAAUACAUGUAUUAAAAUGGGAUUAGUAGAGCUAUAACCUCAAGAAAGCUCCAAUCCAAGCUCAAAACCAAGUAGUGGUUAGUUUGAUCUGUCAACAACCUGAGAAGCUCCACCCGUGAAAUGAAAGCCAACCAAAGUGAGAAAUAGAAAAGUGAUGCUGUCACAAUCCUCUAUGCAAGCUCUAUCACUACUUCUUCUAUCUACCCUCUUUUUCUCAACGUCCCUUUCUCUCUCUCUAGAAAGGCAAAAUGGUGAAGUGAGAGAAUAUGAUAAGGACGCAUGCAUACUAAGCCUAUCUCUUUAAACAAUCCAGCUAGCCUUCUCAAAAAUCAAUUUAUAACACGCCGACUGGGCAUUUUCCUAGCCCAAGAGCGGUCUACUCCCAAGCAGAUCGUCUCCAAUCGCUGCGAAACGAAACCGAAAAUCCAGAUUCGAGAACCACGUCUCUCCACUGUCGAGGGACCGGUCACUCAAUCACACUAGAUCGUUGUGCGAACGCGCCGGAACCGUCUCAAGCUGCCAGCGACCGUUGCCUCACGACUCGCCAGAGCACACUGUUCAACUGGAGCAACCCGAGUCUCUCCUUUCCAAGAGAACCGUCCCAGAAGUAAAAACUCUCACGACUCGUCAAAACAUCCAUCGGUAGAUCAAACUUUGAGACCACGUAUAAUACCAUUGACGGCCUGACCCCAAGUGCUGGAACGGGUUCGGAAAUACCAUCCAAACACUCGAACCAUCGCAAUUUACAAAGGUCCAGUGCGUUACAAUUUGAAACUUCUAGAAAAUAAAUGUCCAGUAAUUUUUCGAAAUCAAAUAAUUCCAUUCAAGCAUGCAUAAAAUGAGAUGUCAAGAUCAAGACACUCUUGAAUAUAGGAUGAUCGGAUCCUUCAAUUUAAUAUCGAAUUAUGAUUAUCUGAUAUGAAUAUAAUUUUCUAUCAAAAAUUUAACCUAUUUGAUUUUCUUUUGCACCUUUAAAACUAGCAAGAAUUCAAUACCUAGGCCGCGUGCUAAAAAUUGUCAAUGUUUGUGAGCAUUUUGAAUGCUGUAAAGGUAAAUGAUGUUGAACAUUUAUGAAAUUGAUUAUUUCUAGAAGUUUUGAAAUGCUCUAAAAAAAAAUAAUUUACGUAUGGAUCCGUCGAUUCGUAAAGCUCUAGUCAUUGCAAAACUACUUAUUGAGUACAGAGCGAUCCGUACUCAUUAAAAAGGACCAAAAAAGUAUAAGUAUCGGACUAAUCAAUAUAUAAUAUAAAAUAUAUAUAUAUAUAUAUAUAUUAUAUAUUAUAUUAUUAUAUAAUAUGUUAAAAGUAGUGUGUUGCUAGGUGUUACUAUACUUUUAAUAGUAUAGACUGGUUUUUUGCUUAUAAAUUUUUGGACCGUAGAUAAUGGCAUAUACAUUAGAAUGAUAUUGGCCGCUGAAGCGUUAGAGAUAUAGUGUCUCUCUAGGGCUGACGUGAAUGGUUUGGGUUGAAUAGUAUGAAUCUAACGGUAAAAUAUGGUGAAAGGGAGAUAUAACGACUGAAAAACUUAAUGAAAAAAGAGAUUAUACUAAACAUCAGAGUAUGUAGCACGGACACGUCUAUCUCUUCUCUACAUAUAUAUAAUAUAAUAUAUAAUAUAUAUAUAUAGAUAUAUAUUAUAUAAUAAUAUACAUAUAGAUAUAUUAUAUAUAUUAGAUUAAAUAGGCCUCCGUGCUUCUAAGCCGUUUUCGAUGAUGGAGCUAUCAAAUCGACAAUCUGCUCCGUUAGACUUGAUCUAGCAUAUUUAAAGUAUCAAAAAAAUAAAUUUUGCGAUUUUUUGAUAUUAUUUACCUAGCAAUCGAAAGGGUUCAAAAUUAAUAUUUUUUAAUGAUUGAUGUAUAUCGUUUGCAAAUUUAGCGGUGUAGAAGUAUUCAAAUCAGAUAAAAUUUUAAUAGUAAAUUUUUGUACUAUUUACUACAAGAUCAAUAUCUCUAAUCGAAAAUUUUAUUGUUAUAUCACCACUUUUUAUGAAAUUUUUAUUUUCAGCCGUUGAUUUUGAAUCAUUUUAAUUGCUAGGUAAAUAAUAUCGAAAAACCGCAAAAUUCAUUGUCUAAAUACUUCAAAUACAUUAAAUCAAGUCUAAUGGAGCCGAUCGUAUAUUCGGAAGCUCCAUCAUAAAAAAUGGCUUAGGAGCACAGAGACCUCCAUACUUCUAAUAGCACACAAGACUUACUAUAUAUAUAUAUAUAUAUAUAGAACUAAGCUGGAAUACUAUUAAUAGCAAAAAUGACUUGGUGCUAUUAAGUUUUCUGCUCUUGGAUUAAAAGAUGUGCGGUUAGGAUGAUGUAGGCCCCUAGGGUUGAGUGGGUGGUUGGUUGAAUAGUAUAAUCGAAUGGAUGAAAAUGAUAAAAGAGGUAAAUUUAAUGGCAGAAAACUUGAUAGCACCAAAUGCUUUGUGCUAUCGAUAGUAUCCUAGCCGGACUAUAUAUAUAUAUAUAUAUAUAUAUAUAAGUACCAAUGACUUGGUACUUUUAAAAGCAUAGGAGCUCAAUUCUAUAUGAGUCCGGCUAUGGUGCUUGUAAAAGCACCAAGCACUUGGUACUUAUAAAUUUUUUAUCGUUAGAUCUACAUCUUUAAUUAUUUUCAACCGUUAGAUUAUACUAUUCAACCAACUACCCACUCAACCCUAGGGGGCCCAUAUUAUCCUAACCGUACAUCUCUUAAUCUAAGGGCCCAAAACUUAUAAGUACCAAUGACUUGGUACUUUUAAAAGCAUAGGAGCUCAAUUCUAUAUAUAUAUAUAUAUAUAUAUGGAGGCCCCGUCAGCUAUAAAUAUUUUGAGAUUGCCCUCUCAACUUUUUCUUUAUUUUUUAAAAAUUUUAUGGAAUUAAGUAAUUUUAGUCAAUUCUAUUGAUUAUAUCACUUUUUACCUAAUAAUUAAAACUAGACUAAUUAAUCGCUAACAACAAAUAGAGCAAUUAUAUUUAAUAAAAUUUAAUUAAAAAAACCAAAGACUAAAGCCUCAUUUGGUAUAAUAUUUAUUUUUUAUUUUUUUAAACACAGAUGCUAUAUAAUUUGAUGUAUUGGAAAAAGAAUUUUUUCGACUAAGUAAUAGAUGAUAAGUUAUUUAAAAAUUUUUUGAAAGUUAAAAAAGAAAUUAUUUUUAAAUUUUAAUUUUUUGUUAUCAAGAAAGCGGUUUGGAUGAAAAUGCUGUAAUUAAUUCACUGUCUACUCCCACACCUUUUGAUAUAUAAAAUUCUAUUUAGUAACAUAAAAAAAUAAACGUGAUGGGAGACGCGGCCUAAGAUGAUCUCAAUUAAAAAGGAAAAAAAAGUUGAGGGGACUUUUUCAAAACACCGUAUUGCUGGGGGGGGGAGUCUCCAUAUAUUUUUACCUAAGCUUUUCAUGCAACCUAGCUCCUGUAAUGAUUUGGGUCUAAAUAUUACUUAAUUUGCUAGAAAUGAAACCCCCCACAUCCUCCUCGUUAAUACAUUACUAUUUGAACCCAUGUACGUACCACAAAGCCAUCUUAAUUUAUGUAUAUAAGAUCCUUUUUUUUUUCUUUUUCCUUUUUUUGCUUUUUUUUUUUUUUUUUUUUCUUUCUCUAUNUCUCUCUCUCUCUCUCUCUCUCUCUCUCUCCCUUCUUGUCCAGCUCUUUCAUUGUGACAUGCUCCCACCCCUCUCUCUCUCUCUCUCUCUCUCUCUCUCUCUCUCUCCCUUCUUGUCCAGCUCUUUCAUUGUGACAUGCUCCCACCCCUCUCUCUCUCUCUCUCUCUCUCUCUCUCUCUCUCUCCCUUCUUGUCCAGCUCUUUCAUUGUGACAUGCUCCCACCCCUCUCUCUCUCUCUCUCUCUCUCUCUCUCUCUCUCUCCCUUCUUGUCCAGCUCUUUCAUUGUGACAUGCUCCCACCCCUCUCUCUCUCUCUCUCUCUCUCUCUCUCUCUCUCUCCCUUCUUGUCCAGCUCUUUCAUUGUGACAUGCUCCCACCCCUCUCUCUCUCUCUCUCUCUCUCUCUCUCUUUCUCAUGAAUAUGUAUACAUAUGCUUUUCCUACCUCUUUUUGUUUCAUUUAUUUGUCUUUUCAUGUGAAAUGAUCCACCACCACGAGUGAGGGUGAUGGGAGCACAUGGAUUGAUGGCUUAUCUAAAAAGAGACUCGCCAACUAACACAAUGGAACAGUGCUGUGAGAGAGAGAGAGAGAAAGAGAGUAACAAAGUUUUAGCAAAAGGGUUUCAAAGAGUAGCAAACCUUAAUUAAUCAUCUUUUCACCUUAUUAAUUGUAGGGAAACUUCAAAAAACUCCAUGUGGUUUCGCACUUUUUCAUUUUAGUACUCUAUGGUUUAAAGGUUAUCAAGUUAGUACCCUGUGGUUUCGCACUUUCUCACUUUAGUACUCUGUGGUUUAAAGUGUAUUGAGUUAGUACUCUCUGUGGUUUUAUUUUUGUAUCAAGUUAGUACCCCGUGAUUUUAUUUUUGUAUCAAGUUAGUACCCUGUAGUUUUUAAACCGCAGGGGUACUAAAGUGAGAAAGUGCGAAACCACAGGGUAUUAAAGUGAGAAAGUGCGAAACCACAAGCUACUAACGAUACACUUUAAACCACACGGUACUAAAGUGAGAAAGUGCAAAACCACAGGAUACUAAUUUGAUACACUUUAAACCACAGGGUACUAAAGUGAGAAAGAGUGAAACUACAAUGGAGGUAUUUGAAGUUUUCCCUUAAUUGUAUGAUCUUAUUAUCGACCAUACUUAUCACAGUUGGCAAAAAAUUUGAUGAUUAGGUUUACUGAAGUCCCAAGUAUGGAAUCUAGCUAGUUGCUUCACUUUUUUUGCUGAGUUCAUUUAUAAAGAAUAAAUGAAGCAAAUAACAUGAAUUAAUUUUUUUUUUUUUAACAAAAAAAAGUGUUACGACAAACGCACAAACGGAAACGAAAAUGAUGAACACGAAAUAAUCAAACCACAAACAGAAAUAAAAAAGAACACAUAGAUUUACAUGGAAAAUUCUUUGCAGGAAAAAAAUCACGGGCGAGGGAGGAGAGAACUUCACUAUCGAACGAAAAAGGAAAUACAAUGUUUAGAGAGUACAGCCGACCACGAUCUCAUGCCUCUAGGGCAAAAACAAAAAGGAAACUCUUAAAGAGUUUCGGAUCCGAUCUGUACUGCGGGGGGCCCCACCCCCCGCACCCCCCGGCAAAUGUCAGUGGUGGGCUACGUGCUCUGGCCUGUCAGCACAAGUCCUCCGCUACCCACUACAGACAUUUAUUUUUCCUUCAUAAUUUUAUUUUUCAAUUUGGUCACAUUGCGAAACUGUCGGCGAGUCAAAAAUCCAAACUUAAGUCGAUUAUCAAUUUCGAGUCACAUCUAACAAAAAGAAAUGAAGAAGAGAACUGUCUGAUCUUAUUUUUAUCGCAUCUCUUUGAUAUGAGAAGUAAAAGUUAGCUAGGGUUUUGGCAAAUGAGAAAUUUAAAGCACACUAUGAAGAAAAUUUUUGAAAAACAAAGUCAGCUAAAAAUGUAAAUUAAAGAAACUAGGCUUCGAACAUAGAACAUCGGAUAUCAAUUAUGAAGUCCUUAACCAAAGUUUUUAACCAACUAGGCUAGAUACAAUUGAUUUGUUGCUGUGGAGAGAAGUUAAAUGAACUUUCUUACCCAAAAUUUGAGACUCCAUUUUUUUUUUUUUUGAGAGAUAGGUAACACGCUAACCGUUUCGUUUGUUUCAUUUAGAAAUAAACUUAGCUGGAAAUGUGAAUCAACUAGGAUUCGAACUUGGGUCUCGGGUAUCAACUACCAAGCCCUUUACCACUUGCUCUAGGAACGGUCAGUGAGACUCCAAAUUUUUAAUUGAACGAAACGUAAGUGCUGACGAAACUCAAAGCAACUUGAAUGCCUUCCAAGUAAAAUUUUCCUUCAGUUGCUUGUUUUGAUAUAAUUAACCAAUAUUCGGAAAGUGAGUUACCAGUACUAUUAUUUGUUUUGAUGAACUUUUUAGUAUUGGUGAAACUCAUGAGUACUAACAAUUAAACUCAACAUGGUUUAUUUUGGGGUACUAAUUAUGUAAUAUUUCUUAAUAAAGGAUUAGUACAAUGUAAUGACUUUGGAGCUAUAGGCAGUAAAGUUAGUUAAUAAGAAAACUUGUCACUUAUACUAAAACAUAUUUUCUUCAUCCUCGUUUACGACAAUUCAAACAUACCCUUAUUAACGGAAAAGGUGAUAACUAAAUCAUACCCUUAUUAUUAUUAUUUUUUUCAAUCUCCUUUAUAAACUUUGGAAUUUAAUAGGCAACUUAAUUAUAGAGUUGAAAAUUUCACGUAAGCACGCCACUUCAGAUAAAAUAUUGAAUCUAUUGUGAAUAUUUUUAUACCAUAUGCUACAAUUUGUAGACAAUAUUUAUAUAUAUUCCUGAAAUUUUCAUGUAAGCUUUAAUUAGCGUCAAAAGCUAAUUAAUUUAAAAUGUUAUUAUUGUAAUUAAUUUAUUGUUCGUAAUUUUUAACUUAAUCAGUCUGUUCUCAUAUUUCUAGCUAGCUAAUUGCGAAAAUUUUAUCUUAAUUAAGUUUGUUGUUCCUAAGGUUUAAAGAUUAAUUGAUUAAUUCCUGGUUACUUAAAAAAUGAGGCUAAUGAUAGAAACUAUUAAUUUCUCUGCCAAGAGGAAUUGGACAUCCUAAAUUACUUAUUAGAGAGAGAAAACAAAUUGAAUUAAAGCAAGGAUUCGUAUUAUUAUUAGCAUUACCCAAUAAACACAACCAAAUAGAAGCCAAGAAAAGGCUUAUAAUUAAUUAAUGUAUGUACCCUCAACAGUAGGCUAUUUUUAUAUGGUCCCAUCAACUUACAACUUUUUAAUUGAGACAUUCUCAAUCUUCAUCAAUCUUUUGAGACUAAGGAAUUUAGUUAAAUAAAUUAAAAAUUUAUAAAAUAUGUGAUGAUUUUAUCAAAUUGAAUAAUUUAACUAUUUUUAGCAUAUAAAAUUGAAAUAAUUCACGGUUAACAGCUAAUAGAACUCUUAAAUAGAAUAGCUCAGUAUUUUAAAAACCAAAAUUUGAAAAAAAAAAUCUCAAUAAGGAAAAGUUAACCUUGAGGUAAAAAUUUCAAAAUGCCCUAUAAUUUUUUUUUUCUUUUUUUUUUUUUUUUAUUUUUGCGAGAAAGAUAGCAUAUAUGCUACCAAAGUUAGAAACGUGAAGCAAUUAGACUUCGAACUUGAAAUCUCAGAUACCAUCCAUCAAGCAUAAAAAAGUGUUUAGCCAACUAUGUUAGGUGGAAUCAGUUGAGCAGAGUGUCCAUAGUUUUUUUUCUAGAGAAAGACAGUAUGCUACCCACUUCGUUCAUUUUACAAAAAUAAACUCAGUUACAAAUAUAAAGCAACUAAUUUUUGAAUUUAGAAUAUCGAAUACUAAACAUCAAGUUUUUAGCCAACUGCGUUACGUUCAGUCGGUAGGAGUAUUACUCCAUAGUUGAGGAGAGUGUCCAUACAUAUAUAUAUUAACAAUGACAUAUUAAUCUGGGAACAUGAAGGACUUAGGUGCAUGAACUGACAUGUUUUGGAGAAACUAUGACAUAUUGACAUGCACCAAUCAAGUGAGCAAUAAUUAUAACCUUUUCCUAAAGGGACCAUCCUAGUCUAGAGAAGACAAUAACCUAAUUAUAUUGGUGUUUUUAGGGAGAAAGAAUAUUGUCCCUUGUUCCUAUAUGACUACAGAACUAGACCAUCUCUGACAUGCUUCCACCUUCUUGUUUGAUUUGAUCUCUAAUUCUCAUCGUAAUUAGAAUUCGGAUAUUUGAUAAAUAAAAAUUACUAAAAGAGUUUCUACUUCUAACUUCAGUAUAAAGCAGUUUAACAGCUCUUACUUUUCUAAAAAAAUAAAGUUUUUAAUAGGUUUUCAUAAUAAAUUUAUUAAUUAUCUUUGACUAAUAUUUUGCAAAAUGACAUUUUUCACUUACAGAAAACACAAGUUCAAUAUAAUUUAGAGCACACAGAUGCAUGUAUGGAGAUAUAGCCUUCGAGCGUACCAAAAUAUUGUCAACUUUAAUUUGUCUUUAUUUUGUAUAUAAAUACUUCAGAUAUUCGUCGCGUUAAAAUCUAAGUCUUCUAGAGGUCAAAAAAAAUUAUUUUUAAUUUCCACUCUAAUUAAAUGAAUUUUAUAAUUUUGUGUUCUUGGAAUAUGGUGACAAGUAUCCAUCGGAUUUUACAAGCAGUCAUAGAUCGAUGUAAAAUUUUCGCUCUUUUUUCCUUUUCCUCCUAAAAAGCAAAUUAAGGUGCUAUUGCCAAUACAUGAAUAUUAAAAAUUUUAGUACAUAUAUCAUCCAUAAAUAAUCUUCAGUUUAAUUUACAUUAUUAUAAGUUUCAAUUUCAUUGCAAUUAAUACAAAUAUAUUUGUGUCCUUAAAGGAUAAUUAUAAUUGUUUAAUUUUACGAGUCCAUCCAAAUUAAACAGGCAUGUAAUGAUAGUUCAGUAUCAAUAGCAUCAAACACCUCCUAAGUUGACCUCUAUUUUCUUGCCCCAUCGUAAGAGACAUGAACAAAGGACGAUUCUAUAUAUAUAUAUAUACACACACACAUGUACUAUAUAUUGUGGAACCAGUUAAUUAACUUAAUUGAUUGAUUAAUACUUGGCCUUAAUUCUUUGGUGUCACGUUCAAAUAUAUAUGUGGGGGUCAUUUCACUUUUGUGCAUAUCCAUCAAUUCAUCUGCCAAAUGGUGGUUUGAUAGAACUUGUUCCCUUCUUACACUAAUUAAUGAUAGGUCAAGAUCACACAUUUCUGAUCUGUUUCACACUUGAAACUGAAAAGAAUAUAAAAAAUAACAAUUAUCUUUUUUUUUUCUUGGAGAGUAAUGCUAAGGGUACCCUUAAAAGGCGUUUAAAAAUACAGUUGAAAAGUAAGAUUUUAAGGUGGUAUAUGGGUUUAGGAAUUUGAAUAGUUGGGCGACUACGUACUUUAAAUAUCUUUGGCCAUGUACAUGGAGAAGAUAAGACAGGUUGAAAGGGAAGAAGCACAAGAACGAAAGGAAAUGUUACAUGAAGAAUCAAUAAUAAAACAAAAAUAUUAUUAAUCAACUCUCAAUAUCUGAUUAUAUUAACCGAAUGCCAUAUCUAUAUACAGAGGCAUUACGGUACCUAAAUCAUACUAGACGAAGAUAAUAAAUUUUAAUAUAUCUCUAAACCUAAUUAGAUUAGAAAUAAUCAAAUAAUCGGACUAAAAAUAGAAAAAAAAAAAUACAGAGCUUUUCAGAAAUAGCCUAAAAAUGCACAAAUGGAGACAGAAACAAUUGAAUUUGAGCCCUUAUAAACUCGAUCGAAACAGCUAUUCAACGAGUAGAUCUCGAAAAGUAUUUUUCGAAUUGCGGUUGCCCACUGAAAUCGAAUACUCGAGCUAAAAGUUAUGGCCGUUUAAAUAUUUUUCGUAGUUAAAUCGCCUAUUUCCAAAAACUUUAAUGCUAAAUAAGCAGAGCGCAUCAGUAAAAAAAAAAAAAAAAAAAAAAAAAAUUAAAAUAACAAAGGUAAAAAUUUCAACCUUUGGUAUGGAGGGGUCUCUAUUAGACCUGAUACCAUGUAGUCAAACAGUACAUCUGAUCGAUAGAUGAUGUCUCAAGAAUAAUCUGAACAUUUGGGACAUUCUGAUCAUGUUAUCCAUAAGUUGGCGAAUCAAUGCGUUAAGCCCUCGAAUCAAACGGCUUAUAACGUCCGACAUACGGUGCUUCGAGGCGGUCCAUCAGAAUGGACGGUCGCAAUCGACUCGAAUCUGACAAACCUGGUUGGCACAUCCAAAAUACCACAAGUUGUAUGACUACCAGGAUACAGACCAACACAAGCUCCAAAACCCUAACCCUAAUUGUUUGUGUACGAACACAGUCGAUCGAGUCCGAUCGAUGCUACUUCUACUUGUAAUAUAUGCAGCAACAACAGUUUGUGUCCAAAUUUGAACAUCUCUGUCGACGAUGGCGACGGUCGAUCGACAAAGGGGUGUGGGCGUGGCCCAGUUUCAAUUGGAUGGUCGUGAUCCGUUUCGCGACCACAGACAAGAGCCAAGAAAAAAACCGAAGUGAAACAGUACUACAUUGUGGUCCUGAUGCUUGGAAGAUACCAGUUUUCGCCCACUUCGGAGAGAAACACAUCCAAAUAAACUGUUUGUGAUCUGUAAAAGAUAUUAUGUAUACAUUACAUAUUGAUUUGUUAAUAUAUUAACCUAUAUAAUGUUACAAUAUACGUACGUUAAAGGCUUUUAACUGAGUGAUGCAUGCAUACACUCUAAAAAUAUCAUUCUAAAAUUAAGAAAACCAAAGUAUUUUUCUUAAUAUUAUGCUUUAAAUAAAUCUUUAUUUUUAAUUAGACGUAGUCGUUUCAUGUAAAUAUAUAAACUAUUUUGAAUAUUGAUUUUUACAAUUUUUUUUUUUACUUAAAAUUUUUAUAAUAAUAAUCUUAAAGGAGAUAGCAUGCUAAAUCUUUUGUAUAGUGUGGCGAGCAUCUAAACGAACUUGGCUCACAGCUGAUGUGGUAGGCCCGGUCCACCAAGUAGUAUGCGACCCAGUGAGCCCAUUGAGGCCCAGCCUGUUAUCUAAUAAGGUGGUGGGGCCCAGCGCAUCACCCGGUGUGCCAACUAGAACCACCCCAAAGUGGUGGGCCCCACUUUGCCGCCCACUCAAGAAAAGCUCUGACACCGCCACGUGUAUCCCAGGCUUCGUUUUGGCCUUACGUGGGCAAAUGGGACAAACCCGGUCUACGGGGUUUCGAACACUGAAAAAGGCGACGAAUUAUAAAAGCGUGGACCCGGUUCACCAUAUUAGCCAAGAACCAGAACGUAAUAUUCGAUCAUGGAGCUCUUAUUAUUAUAAUAUUUAAAACAUUUAAAGGUACGGGAUGUGACCUGUAACUCCUUAAUAUUCCUCUUAUUAAAAGAUAAACGUUUUUAAGAAAUUAACGCAUAUUUACGUAUUAAUUAACUAGUCCCAAAAAUUAAUAUUAUGCUUAAUUAUUAGGUACGCGCGAAAUAGGUUGUAGACCUUUACAAGUUUUUAGAACACAUCAAAUGAAUUGAAUAUAUCGAGUAAGAAAACAUAUAUUUUCUCCCUUAGCAUAAAUAAUUAAUGAUAUCAUAUGCUAUAAUUAUUGAAUAUAAAUAUUACAAAUACUAUUCUCUAAUAAUUGAAACUAUUAAAAAUAAAUAAUUAUUUAAAAUAACUUAAUAUGAUGUCAGAUGAAAAUCUCGAGUUGAAUACGAAUAUGAAAAAAAAAAAAAAAAAAACCAUUUUCUGACACAGCUACGAAUGGAAUCUAAACCCACCAAUAUAGUUAAGUGGAACCUAGACUAAGCAUUAGAAAUUAUCAAUUUGAGAACAUUUGAAUACUAGACAGCUAACAUCAUAAAAUCAUGAAAAAACUUUAAAUAUCAUUUAUGUGGUUUCACUCGUUCUCAUUUCAUUACCUUGUGAUUUAAAGUAUAUUAAUUUAGUGCGUGUGAUUUUAUUUUUAUCUUUUUAUUAUCGAUUUUAUUAAUUUUUUUUGUUAAAUUAGUGGCAAAGUUAAAACCAAAGGGUAUUAAAAUGAAUAUUUGAUAAAUCUAAGUGGGAUAUCUGAAAUUUUUUGUACAUAAUUUAACAAAAUAUUAACAGAGAUGUUGACGAAAAGAUAAAAAUGAAACCGCAGUACACUAGCUUGAUACACUUUAAACCACAUAGUACUAAAGUGAGAAAAUGCGAAACCACAGGGGUCGUAUUUGAAGUUUACCCUAAAAUCGGUGGUAUUUGAAGUUUACCCUAAAAUCAUGAAAUUUAAAAUAGUAUAAAUCAAGCUUAACGGUACCGAUUAUCGAUUCAGAUGGUCCAAUCGCCAGAAACAAUACGAAAGUAAGCAGAAAGCCUUUUUUUUUAAAAGUAUUCUAGCUUAACUUUUGCCAUCUCACAAAAUUGAUUUAUUUAAUGUAUUUUCGUGAAACAUGGAUCAGAAGCAUAACAGAAUUGGUGCUUCCAACUUUUUGAUUCUUAGAUCAACCGCUUUGGCAAUUUUUAAUUUUUGGAUGAUCACUCAAUUCCAAAGGAACUACUCAAUCCUGAAGAAGACCAUUAUUAUCUUGACCCUACAAUUCUUGAUCCAAGGGCUAAAAGGUCAGAAGCACAAACUUCCUUAUAUUUUUGAUAACAUAGUAACUCUACAUUAUAUAUAUAUAUAUAUAUAUAUAGAGUUCGGUUACUAUGCUAUUAAUAGCACGAAGCGCUUGGUGCUACCAAGUUUUCGGCCGUUAGAUCUACCCUUUUUAUCAUUUUCACCCGUUAAAUCAUACUAUUCAACCAACACCCACUCAACCUUAAGGGGCCCAUAUCAUCCUAACCGCACAUCUCUUAAUCCAAUGGCCAAAAACUUGGUAGCACCAAUGAGUUGGUGUUAUUAAUAGUAUAUUAGCCUAGUUCUAUAUAUAUAUAUAUAUAUAUAUAUAUAUAUAUAUAUAUAUAUAUAUAUAUAUAUAUAUAUAUAUAUAGAGAGAGAGAGGAGAGAGAGAGAAGAGAGAGUAGAGCAGCAGGAGACGAGCUUGUAGAGCAGAUGGAGACCAGAGGAUGAGAGAGAGAGACACUAGGCGACUAUACUAUCGGUAGCACGGUAAGGCUCCGUACUUACCAAGUUGUUAUUCGAAUGAUAUGGCUUCCAAUGAACGACCGGCUCCGUUAGACUUGAUCUACACUAUUAAAAGUAUUUAGAAAUAAAUUUCAUUAAUUUUCAAUAUAUUUUUACCUUAUCAAAACAAGUAGUCUAAAAAUUGAAUGUUGAAAUAAAAAUCUCACAAAAAAAUGAUGAUUAAAAGAUUUCAAUUCAAGAUCAGAUAUACUGAUCUUACUCUAAAUACGUGAAAAAAAUUUUCUUAGAAAUUUUAUGCAUUCUGGAUUGUUUUACACCGUUAAACUCACAAACACAGCCACAUCGGCCAUUAACAUGCGUCAAUUUUGAGUCUUUUGGAUCACUACGUCAAAUGAUGUCGAAAAAAUCUGCAAAUUUAAUUAUCAAAUACUUUCAAUAGUGUAGUCAAGUCUAACUGACAAAACCUGAUUCAUCGAUUUGGAAGCCGCCAUCAUCGAAAUACAACUGGAUAGCACGGAAGCCCUCGUCGCUACCGAAUAGUUAUGAGUAGCCGGACAUAUAUAUAUAUAUAAAGAUAGAGAUGAGAGAGAGAGUGACACGUGAUCCGAGAGGGUUCCUAUGAGAGGAUGAGAAGAGAGAAUAGGCUGGUAUAAUUAUUGUUAAUGACGAAGGUCUCCGUGCCUACAAAGUUGUUUUUCAAUGAUGCGGCUUUUCAAAUCGAUGAUUCGGCUUUGUCAAAUUUUGAUCUAACAUAUUAAAGAUUGCGAAACUUAAAAUUUAUAAUUUUUUUAUUAUGUUGGCUUAGUGAUCAAAAGUCUCAAAUAUGACAUUUCAAUGGUAAGAUGGUGUAUGCGUUUAAAUUAAUACGCGGUUUAAAACAAUCUUUAAAUCUGAUGAAAUUUUAUAAGAAAAUUCCUUUCACUAUUUAAAGUAAGAUUAUAUAUUCUGAUUAAUUCAGUCUUUUAUUAUUACUUUUUAUGAUUUAUUUAGCGUUAUUUUAGUGACUACUUGUUUGUAGGUAAUUAAUGUCAAAAAUUAUGAAAAUUAGUUUUUCUCAUAUUUCAAUGUAUGGAUCAAGCUUAACGAACGAUCAGUCGCAUUUGAAGACCGCGAUGAUUGAUAAAACAAUGAGUAGCAACGGAGGCCCUCCUACCGGUAGUAUGCCAGACCUAGUCUCUCUCUAUCUUCUCUCUCUCUCUCUCUCUCUCUUCUCUCAUCAUUCUCUCUCUUAUAUAUAUAUAUCAAAUUAUAUAUAUAUAGUUUAUUAUAUAUAUAUAGAGCUAGGCUAGUAUAACUAUCGGUAGCACGGAGUCUUCUCGUGUACAAGUUGUUUCGAUGAUGCGGUUUUUCAAUCGUAUGAUCGGCUCCGUUAACUUGAUCUAUAUUAUUAAAAUAUUUGCGAAACUAAAUUCAUUAUUUUUCGAUAACAAUUUGACUAUGUGUCAAAAGGUCUCAAAAUUGACACCUUUUAAUGUUUGAUCUGGAUUGCGGUUUUGAAUUUAACGCGUAUAUAAAUAAUUCAAAUCUGAUGAAAUUUCCUAGAACAUUUUCUUCCACUAUUAGAAUAAUUUAGUACCUCUGAUCUUGAAUUCAGCUUCUUAUGAUCAUCAUUUUUUAUGAGUUUUUAUUUUUACACAUUUAGUUUUAGACACUGUUUGAUAGUGUAAAUAACUGUCGAAAAAUUUAUGAAAUUUAGUUGUUCAAUACUUUUCAAUUUAGUGUAAGAUCAGUCUAAAUGGAAGCGAUCAUGAUUUGAAGCUGCAUCAUCGAAACACAUUGGUAGCAGGCAGGGCCUCCAUGCCUCGGAUAGUUAUACCAGCAUCAGCUCUCUGCUCUCUCUCUCUCUCUCUCUCUCUCUCUCUCUCUCUCUCUUUAUAUAUAUAUGGCUACCAAGUUGUUUUUCAAUGAUGCGGCUUUCAAAUCGACGAUCGGCUCUAUUAGACUUGAUUUACAUUAUUGAAAGUAUCAGGAAACUAAAUUUCAUAAUUUUUUGAUAUCAAUUACCUAUCAAACGAGUAGUCUAAAAAUGAACGGCUGAAAUAAAAAACUCAUAAGAAAAUGAUGAUAAAAGAAUUGAAUUUAAGAUCAGAGAUACUGAUCUUACUCUAAAUAGUGAAAAAAAAUUUCUAUAAAAAUUUCAUCAGAUUUGGAUUGUUUUAUACCGUUAAAUUCACAAUCACAUCACAUUAACCAUUAAAAUUGUUAAUUUUGAGACCUUUUGAUCAGUAGCUAUGUAAUGUCGAAAAAUUAUGUAAUUUAGUUUUCAAAUACUUUCAAUAGUAUAGAUCAAAUCUAACGGAGUUGAUUGUCGAUUUGGAAGCCGUAUCAUUGAAAACAACUUCGUAGCACAGAGAUCUCCGUGCUAUCGAUAGUAUACCACCCUAGCUCUAUAUAUAUGUAAUUAAUAUAUAUAAAUUCGGCUACUGUACUAUCAAUAGCAUUACGCAUUUAGUGCUACUAAAAUUUUUACCUUUCGAUCUAUUUUUUUAAUUAUUUUUAUCCGUUAAAUCAUACUAUUCAACUAACCACUUUUUCAAUUCUAGAAGAUCAUUAUUAUUCUAACCUUGUAUCUUUUAAUUUGUAGACCGAAAACCAAUGUAAGCAUCAAUGACUUUAGGCUAUAUAUAUUAUUUUAUUUGAAGUAGGAGGCUUAAUUUGCAAUUACGUGGCCUCUCGCACGUGCAACAGCUCAACCGAAGUGGGGAAAGCGUUUCACUUUUUCCCGAUCUGCAUGAUCUUCUAACAUGCCUCCACUCGAUGCUGUCUCCUUAGUGGGCACGUGCGAGUGUCCCCGGAUUCGCACGUGAGCUCGGUGUAUGUGGGGGGGUGGGGGGGGUGUUGCGGGGGUGAAUAAGAUGCAUGAGAAUACGUAUAUGUAUAUAUAGAUAUAUAGAUAUAUAUCCAUCGCAUUGGGUGAAUGAGAGAGAGGGAAAAAAGAAAAGUGAAAAGAAACAAAAAACCCAUACGCAUUAUAAUUACUGAAGCACUUGUCAUUUUCUGCAUGCAAGGGUAGAGACAAAACUAAGAAGAGAGAGAUAAGAGUCAAAGGCCAUUUUGAUUUCACAUUUGAGCCAAAAAAAAAUGCAAUAUUGUGUUGAGUGUAUUAUGUAAUGAUUAUCUUUUGGGGUGGGUCAAUUUGUAGUUUAAUUUUUUUUCCUUCUUUUUUAUUGAGUUUUCACUUUCUCUUCUACACAUCAAUAAAUGUUUUUUUUUAACUUUUACUUAAUUUUAUUAUAUGAUUCAUCUGUAAAAUAGUAAUAAAUUUUACUUUUCUAAUAAUUAAGUGUAAUUAAACUAUUGUAGAAUUUUUUGACAUGAGGAAAGUAUUUCUCAGUAGAAAUUAAUCUUAAUAUAAGCUAAUAAACAUUUAAGGAUGUUUUUUUUUAUAUUUAACGAUACUUAAAAGCAUUCUAAUAUAGUCUAGCGUCAGUUAAAGCGUCGGCAACUGGAGAGCCACCACGUAUACGCCGACGCUUAUGUCAAGUGUCCGUAAAAAAUAAUAUUUUGAAAUUUUUGAUACUGAAAACUAUUAAAAAUUAAAAAUAAUAGUAAAAUUUAUUAUUUAAUAAAUUGGUUUUAUACGAUAGAGGGUUUAAACGAAGACGUUUUUUGAAACGUUGGUAUUUGCUAUAUUAUAGGGACGUGUGGGGACGCGUUUUUUCAAGCAUCGUCUAAAAAGCAUUCUUAUAUUGGAUUUAUUUUGUAGUGCAAAUAUUUGUCACACGCGCAAGGAGUCACUACAACAAAAACGGUCUAUAGCGACACUUUUAAAAAAGUGCUGCUAGCUAAAAUUACCGACACUUUUAAAAAGUGUUGCUAUAUGUGGGGUCGCUAAGUAUAUAGUGACAGUUAAAGAGUGUCGCUAUAACCUAAAAGAGUGGUGCUAAUUCACCAACACUUAUUUAAGCAUUUAGCAACCGCCGAAACUCUAUCUCGUUGGCUGCGGUGGCAGAGGAGGAUGACAGGAAAGGCUCUUUGUCUAGAAUUUCAGUGGAUUGAGUGAAGAGAGAAGAAAAGAUAGUAAUUGAUUUUUCUUUUUUUUUUUUACUUUUCUAUUUGUAAUCGGGCCAAAUGGACUGGGUGUGGUGGGUUGAGUAGAGUAAUUUUUUAUUUUUAGUUAGAUUGGGCUUUAUAUUUAGGCAUUAAUAGAUAUUUUUUUAAGUUUUAGGAUAAAUGGGACACUUACUCAAAAGUGUCCCAAACAUGUGUCCCUAUAACCUAAUUCUGUUGUAGUGAGUAUUUUACUUGCAACAUCUAUAUAUAUUCUUAAAAGGGAUAUAAUAUAUUGUUUUCAUUAAAAUGUUGAAAAUAUGAUCAUCCUAGGUUAUUCAUAAGGUCGCGUCAUUAAUACUACUUUGGUCCUAGAACCACUUUGUUGCUUAGAGAUGGUUUAAUUGGUUAAUAAAAGGAAUCGAACUACAUAGAAAAAUAUUCAACACAAAUGUUAAAAAAUAACUUUUUUAAUGGGUACACUAGGAAGAAUAUAUAACAAUUGAAUCGGUUCUAAGGAUAUAUGAUAUUGCAACUUAGUUAAAUUCACCAACUUAAAAUCAUUAGUAAAUAUUAAAUCGUUACUACUCUCAUUAUUAUUUUGUACGGGAUAUUCUCAUAUUUAUGUAGGUUUUCAAUUUGUUGAUUCAUGCACAUAGUCCGAUACAUCAUGUGAGUUUAAUAACAUAUUAUGAGUAUAAACCAUAUAAGAUUAAUUGCGAAGAUAUAAUCAAGGAUAAUAUAAUAUUUUAAGUUGAACAAUGUUAAAGAAAUUAUAUUCCUAUAGUUAAUUUGAUAUUUAGUUAUUAGUCCCACAUGAAAUGCCAAUUGAAGAGAAGAGACAAAGCAUUUUCCACACCAAAAUAAACAUAUAAGAGAGAGAGAGAGAGACUACUAUACUAUCUAUAGUACCGGAACUCCGGUACUAUAGUCUUGUUUUCGAUUUUAGUAUAUUAAAAUUAACGAUCCAUACCGUUAAAUAUGAUUUAGGGUAUAUGAAGUUUUAGAAAUAAAAUUUUAGUUUUUUUCGACAUCGUUUACUUAGUAAAUAAAUUAUGUCAAAAUAAACGGUAGAAAUUGAAUAAUUUUUAAAAUUUAGAUAGUUUAAAGUAUUUUCUAUCCAAAUUUGAAGAGAUUUAGAUUCUUCUACACUGUUAAACUCAAAACUUAUUAUAGUAGCCAUUGAAAAUUUACAAUUUUGAAAUGGUUUAAUCAUAAAGUAAACUAUGUCGAAAAAAUAUAAAAUUUUAUUUCUAAAAACUUUAAAUAGCCUAGAUCAGUUUUAACGGUGUGGAUCGUUGAUUUGAACACCCUAAGAUCAAAAACGAGACUAUAGUACCGAAACCCCGAUAUUAUAGAUAGUAUAGGAGACUAACUCUCUCUCUAUAUAUAUAUAUAAUUCGUACUCGGAAAUUGGAGCUAUGGUUUGGUGAAAAAGUGAAACAUGAUAAGAUUUUAAAUUAUAAAAUGCAAAUUGAAAUAAUUUGCUCAGUUUGGUUAUCGAUUUGAUCAAAUAAUGCAACGACCCCCGGUAGAGAUUUUAAGAGCUGCUAAAGAGUUGUUUGGCAGGUAAUUAACUACACUAAGGGGCGUGUUUGGUUCACUUCUUUUUUAUCAUGGAAUCGGAAUGGGAAUGAGUGAAUCUGUUUGUGGGUGUUUGGUACGUGAGAGUCCCAUUCCGAUUUCGAUUCCCGAGUGGAAUGGGAAUCGCUCAAUCACCCAUUUUUUCAAUCCGGCUUAGAAGGCGGGAUUGGAAGUUGAAUCCUGACGGAAUGGAUAUUUAGUCGGAUUAAAUUUAUUUUUUUUAAUUUUUUUUAAUUAAAAUAUGAGUUAAAAUUUAAAAAUUAAAUAUAUAAUUUUAAAUUUUAAUUUGAACUUAAAUUAAAAAUUAAAAUUUAAUUAAGUAUUUCGAAUCUAACUUAUGAAUUUGAAUUUAAAUUAAAUUUUAAUUUAUAUAAAGUUCAUUCAAAUUUUAUUUCAAACUUAAAUUAAAUUUAUGAAUUCAAAUUCAAAUUAAAAUUAUAAUUUUAAGUUUGAAUUUGAAUAAAUCAAAAUUUAGUUUCGUAUUUUGAAUUAUCCACUCAACUUCAAAGUUUAAUUUUUUAAAAAAAAUAGAUUUAAAAUUUUGACACUAUUUCAAAAUUUUGAUGUAAAUUUUUAAUAUUUAAUAUUUAAUUUGAAUUUAAAUUACUAUAUUAUAAAGAUAAUGUUAGUAUAUUAAUUUGAUUAUAUUUUUAUAUCCAUCUGAACCAAACACCGACAAUGGAAAUGAUUUAUUCCGAUUCCGAUUCAAGUGAUAAGCCAAAUAGAAUUAGGUAAUGAGUCAUUCUGAUUCUGAUUCCAGCUUAUUUUGAUUCCGAUUUCGAUUCCAACUCCGACUUCGAACCAAACACGCCCUAAUUGUAGGUUCAACUGCAUAAGAACCUAAAGAUUUGUGAUUUUAAAUUUAGAUUGAAUGAAUAUCAAAUUUAAAAUUCUAUUCAGAUUUUAAUUUUUAAAUUUUAAUUUUAAAGUCAAAUUCAAAUUUUAAAAUAAAACCCAGUAAAAGGAAUUAUUAUUUGCAAAUAGCAUUUUUUUUUUUGCCAAAUAGCUUUUUAAAAUUAUUUCAGAAAAAUCACUUUCUUGCUGGACUCAGCCAAAUGCUUUACAAUUUUUAGCCAAAAUUAAAUUUCAAAAUCAAAAUUAAUUCUAAAAAAAUUACUUUUUCAGAAUCUAGUCCAAACAACUCUCAUGCGAUCACUCACCACUUGCGUAGAAAGACAUUGUUUCUCCAUUCUAGGGUUAACUUAUUUCACCAUUCCAAAUAUAAAUUAAAGUGAGAGGAUUACGUAGCUUAAUGUGUAAUCAUCCUAUAAAAAAGUUGUAAUUACAAUACUCCAUGAGGUGCACAAUUAAAUAAAAGAGUUGCAACUACAAAAUUAUCUGGAUUAUAGAUAAAAUGAGAGAAAAGAUAAAAAAAAAAAAUCAGUACAAAAAAAUGAUUUUACGUAGUUCGAAUUGAAACUUGAUGGUGGAAAAAGGAGAGAAAAAUAUGAGAAAGCUAUUUUCCUUUUUCUUUUCCAUCAUUCAUACAAAACAAUGGAGAGAAAAGUUAUAACUUCUCUCUCUCUCCCUUUCUCUCCCUUUUCAUAUUUAAUUUAACUGUGUCUACGCUUUUGUUUGUUUGUUUGUUUGUUUUUUUUUUUUUUUUGAGAGAUAGGUAGCACAUUACCCGCUUCGUUUAUUUCAUUUAGAAAUUAACAUAGCUAGAAAUGUGAAUCAACUAGGAUUCGAACUUGGGUCUCGGAUAGCGACCACAAAGUCCUUUGCCACUUGCUCUAGAGACAGUCGGUGUGUCUACGCUUUUGUUUAUAGUAUAUUUUUCAACCGCACGCAACCAAAUUUUCUCUAAAUAUAUUAUUGGUUGGUCGCUUUGGGUCCACUAAACUGUGUUAGGGACAAAAGAGGGAUAAGCUAAUUAAGAGAAAGUUCUUAAGAACUUCCUAAUAAAAGUCAUUGAACAACCUGUACACACUUUUCCCUUCAUUUUAAAAUUUACUGCGCCUGAAAGCGCUUUUCCCAAAAGCUGCUGCUCUCUCUCCGAAUCCUGCCGCAUUUGUAAUUUAAAAACCAAUACAAGUUCCCUUUGAAUAAGAGCACCUAUUCAAAAUAAGGCCACAAUUGGCAUCAUUUGGUGUAAUUGUUUGUUGCCUUGUGUUUCUUCAGUAAGCACAAAUUAAAACUUAGUUCUUAGAGGUGAUUAAGGACAUUUAGUGGUUUAUUUAAAUAUAUAUUAAUGUUAUAAUAUUUCUUAAAUAAUAGCAAACCUAGAAUAAUUAAACAUUGUGCUAGUUUUUUUUUUUUUUUUUAAAAUGAUANUUUUUUUUGAAAAUGAUAUAUCAUGCCAGCUAUUUUUAGGAUACAGAAAUCACAAAAUGAAUUUUAUUAAGAGAUCGAGGCGUUUGAAAGGCUACGAGAAUGGUCAUUAAACCUUUAAUAUCAAAUGGUUAAUUAAUUGUUUCACAUGAUACCAGAGCAAAAGGUCCAAAUAUCAGUGAUGAUGUUGAAUAAAUAUUAAAAAAAGGUUAAAAUUACAUACUAUUAUUUGGCAAUUUUUAAACUCUUAAAAGUAAUUAAUUGUACAAUUAAUUCAAGAAUAUAUCAAAAGAGGUAAGAUACAAUACUUUCAUUCAUCAUUAUUUUUGUGACUAUUUUCAUGCCUAAACUACUCCGCCAAUAAUUAAUAUCUUCAAAUGUGAGACUAUUAAUUAAGAUAUGAUAAAUUUAAUUAUUGGCACUUAAACUAGCUCAUGAUAUUAUAAAAAUCCCCCCCUUGUAGUUUCUCUAUUUUCUCUUAUGCUUGGUGGGUCCAUUCAUUGCAUUUUGUGAAAAUAAGGUACUAGAAGAAGAGACCUAGCUAAAGCAAGAAACAUGUUGCCGCAACUAACAAAAUAAUCAUGGCUUAGUAUGAUAAAUAAAUAUAAUAUAAUAAAUAACAUAAAGAUGGAGAAUAUCCAAGUCACACAAAGGGAAAAGAGAGAUAGAGAUAAGAGAAAAAAGUGGUGUCUUAAGAGGAGUAGGAUGAUGCGAACUAGGAUUUUGGCCUAAAUUUUUUAGAUUCGGCAGCGUGAUCGCUUGGAACAUAUGAUUGCCGCCGACUUUAACUUUAAUUCAUUAAUUAAUUUCCUUUUAUUUUUAAGAGGUUGCAUGCAUGUGUUGAGAUCCCUUUCCCCCCAUCAUGCACCCAUUUCUCCAACCUAAUAAAGAAAGCUAAUUAAGCAACACAAACAUCUAAGCCAUGCAUGUAUCCCAUGCGGUCAAUUUAGUGCUAGAGUUUUUGAAAAAGCGUGAUUCAAUCAAACUGAAUCCGAGAUUAUGUUGAAAUAUUUGGUAAUUCUUACAAGACUAAAUUAUGGAAAACCUUCUUAUAAAUACUUAUUUUUUUACUUUCCGUCCUUAGCUUUUAAAAAUCUAUAUUUUACUUUCUUAACAUUUCAAGUUAUUGCAUUUAGCCCAUCUCCGUGAGGGCUCCGUCACUAUUCCGUUCAUUUUUUAAAAUUUAUACCGAUAAUGUCCUUCAAAAUGACAUAAGAAUAUUAAAAAAAUAUUUUAUUCCUUAUAUAAGAAGAAUGAGCAAUUUAGUCAUUUUGUUCUCUCAAUUAAUGUUGUACCUCCCGAAAAUAUUUUUGAAAUUUUAAGAAGACAAAAUGUAGGUUCUUGAGAAAGUGAAAAAGCGGGUAUUUACAUAGAGGGUUUCUAUAAUUUAGCCUUUUUACAAUUGGCGUAAGCGUCCCAUUUCAGCAAACAGCCGCAAUUCAAAAAACACUUUUUGAGAUCAACAUGUCAAAUAGCAAAGCAGUUCCGGCUGAAUUUGGGAUCAAAAUUUAAUUGCUUCGGCCUCCAUUUUUGCAUUCUUAAAUUAUUUUAAAAUUUAUUAUAUUUUUUUUAUUUUGAGUUCGACUAUUUGAUUAUUUCUGAUUGAAUUAGAUUUAGAGAAAUAUUAGUAUUUAUUAUCUUCGUUUAUAGUAGAGUUUAGGUAUAGACACUAUAUAUAGAUGUCGCAUUUGGUUAACGUAAUUAGUUUGUAGAGUUGAUCAAUAAUAUUUUCGUCUUCGUCGAAGAAUUGAUUUUUCGUGUAUCUCUCUUUUUUCGUUCUUAUGCUUCUUCCCUCUCAAUAGGAUUCAUGCCUAUGCCAGCAUGUUUGGAAUAUUAUUGUAAUUUAAGAGUGGAAUGUGGAGUUUCGGCUUAAGUACUUCUGUUGUUUGUUUCAACAUAAUUAAGUGCCAGAAAGCAAUGUAAGUAUGAAAUUACAUUUUACUCCCACUUUUCUUACUCUUGACUUUGCCACCUGUGGUAGUGAAUUCAACUCACUACAUCACUUUUUAUAAGGGCAUGUUUGUUUGGCUAAAAGUGAAGCAACGAAAGUGACAUUUUUAGAAAGUGACAUCUUAUCGGUUGGUUGGUUUGUGAAAGUGAAUAUAAAAGUCACUUUAUAAAAAUGAGCUGAUAAAGUGAAUUAUAAUUAAGUCUCACUUUUUUGACUUCAGCUCAAAAAAUACGAAAGUCACCGAAAGUGAAAAGCUUAGCUAAGGGGUUAUAUUUGGUUAUAACUUUAAUCUUUGAACUUAUUUUUAAAAUUAAAUUUCACUUUAAAUUAGGAUUAAAAUCAUGAUCACAUUCUGAAUUUUAUUUGUAAAUUCAAAUUCAAUAUAAAUUUUAAAUUCAAAUUAUGACUUUAUAUUUGAAUUUAAUUUUUUAAUUAUUUUAUUUUAUUUUAAUUUGAAUUUUAGAAUUUAGAUUUAAAUUUAAAUUUUGAUUUAAAUUUAGAUUUAGAUUUAAAUUUUUAAAUUUAAAUUUGGAAUUAAAUUUUAUAAUUUAAAUUUUAAAUUUUAAAUAUUAAUUAAAUUAUUUUUAGCUAAGAACCUCAAUAUGAACUUUGAAUUCAAAUUGUUCCAAUUAUAAAUUCAAAUUAUUGACUGAAAUUUAAAUUCAAAAUUUAAAUUUUUAAGUUAAAAUUUAAAUUCAAAUUUGAAUUUUUUAUUUGCAUUUAAUUUCAAUAAUGAGUUUCAGUUUGAACUUUGAAUUUGAAUUAUGAAUUCAAAUAUUCAAUUUGAAUUGUGGUUUAAACUCAAAUUUUAAAAUAAAUUUAAUAUCAAUUCAAAUUGUGAAUUCAUAUUUGAAUUCAUUAAGAUCAAAGAGUAAAUUACAAAUUAUAUAUUCAAAUUUAAAUAAAUGUUAGAAUUUUUAGUUUGAACUUUUAUUUUAGAAUUUAAUUUCAGUUAUGAGAUUUAAAUUCAAAUUGUAAAUUUAAUUUAUAUAUUAAAUUUCAAUUAUAAAUUCAACUCAGAUUUAAGUUUAAUUUAAAAUUCGAAAUAUACUUUUGAAUUCUAAAUAUAAAUAUAAAUAUAACUUUUUAAUUUAAAUUGCUAGCAUAAAUUGUUUAUUUAUAUUUUCGCCUUAUUAUAUUUAAUUUAAUAAUUAAAAUAUCAAAACUAUAAUUUUAAUAUUUUUACUUUAUAUUCAAUCAAAUAAUCAAACUGAAAAGUAACUUUUGUAAAAAUCACUUUUGCAAAAAUGACUUUUUUCACUUCACCCACUUUCGGGCAACCAAACACGCACAAAAAACUACUAAAAUACUAAUUAUCUACCUUAAAUUCUUUUGUUUAAAAUUUAUAACAGGUACUCAUAAUGCAAAAGAAUUACUUAUAACAUAACUAAAUUUCAGUAAAACUCCACUUCCAAACAAGUGACUCUCAUCAAAACAACCAAUUAAAGGAAAAGUUCAACUCUCAAGAAACUUAAACUUUUAUACACUCGAGUUCCAUCGAUCAACAUCAAAGUUUGGCGAGUGGCAAAGGGCUUGGUGGUUGGUAUCCGAGACCCAAGUUCGAAUCCUAGUUGAUUCACAUUUUCAGCUAAGUUUAUUUCUAAAUGAAAUAAACGAAACGGGUAGCGUGCUUUACCUAUCCCUCAAAAAAACAUUAAAGUUUGGCCAAUCCUCAAACAUACACGGCUGGAAUUGGCUUAGAAUACUAUCGGUAGCCAACUGAUUUCGUUGUUAUUAAUUUAUAUUCGAUAAUAGAGCCACCAAAUUAACAAUCGGUACUAUUGAAUAUGAUUUAGACCACUUAAAUUAUUUAAAAAUUAAAUUUUGUAUUUCUCUAAUGUUGUUCUCUUGGGUAUCAAGUGAAGACAAGAAUGAAGGGCUGAAAUUAACUAUUAUUCAAAAAAGCAACGAUAGUAUUUUUAUACUGAAUAUGAAGUGUGUAGAUUUUAUUUUAAAUAGUUUAAAAAAUUUUCUAAUAAAAAUCUAAUUAAUUUUGAUUCGUUUACACCAUUAAACUUGCAAAGGCCUUGUAUUGACCAUUAAAAUAAUAAAUUUUGCAAUUAUUUGAUCAUUAGGUCAAUAAUGCCAAAAAAGUUUAAAAUUUGGUUUCUAAAUACUUCAAAAUAGUCUAGAUGAUAUUCUCCGGUACCGAUCAUCGAUUUGAAGCCUACAUCAUCGAAAUAAAUUAUUUUUCAUGCUACUUGUUUUGUUUAUUUCUUUUAAAAAUAAAUUUAACAGAAAAUAUGAAACAACUAGGCUUCGAACUUAGGACCUCGAAUACCAACCACCAAACCUUUCGCCACUUGCGUUGGGGACCGUCAGUCAAAUAAUGAAUUGUUAGCAAUAAAACACGUUUGCUACAUAGAGUGUUGUUGGGCUACUAUCAAUAGUAAAUGACUUUGUUUGCUGUCGAUUUGUUUUCGAUAAUAGAGCUUAUAAAUCAACGAUCAGCAUCGUUGAAUAUGAUCUAGACUAUUUGAACUAUUUAGAAAUCAAAUUUUAUGCUUUUUCAAUAUCACCUACUAAACGAUCAAAAGGUCACAAAAUUUGUAAUUUUAAUACCAAUACGGCACAUUUGCUCGUUUUAACAGUAUAGAAGAGUCCAAAUCAACUGAAUUUUUAUUAGAGAGUUCUUUAAAGUAUUGAAAAUAAGAUCUAGACUGUAAAUCUUUUCAAUAUUAAAAUUGUAUCAUUACUUUUUAAAGAUUAUUUAUUUUUUGUCCACUUAAAAGACAAGAAAAUAAUAUCAGAAAAGUAUGAAAUUUAAUUUUCAGAUAGUUUAAAUGAUUUAAAUUAUGUUCAACAAAAUAAUAUCAGAAAAGUAUAAAAUUUAAUGUUCUGAUAGUUUAAAUGACCUAAAUCAUAUUCAACGAUACUGAUUCUUGAUUUGAAAACUCUAUCAUCGAAAAUAAAUUAAUCCAACCGCGCGUGUACUAUCAAUAAUAACAUAGCAAAACACACACACACACACACUCUCUCUCUCUCUCUCUCUCUAUAUAUAUAUAUAUAUUGAAAAAAUUCAAAGUACUCCUAUCAAUUCUUUUUUAGGGGCCAUUGAUGAUCCCUUUUGUACACGCUUGAUAUAAUGCCAAGGGUCUCAAUUGCCUUUUUGGGUUCAAUACGAACAAACUUGGUAUAAAUAUGUCGGGCAAAUAAUACAGGGUAUAGUGAUGUUAUUAUUAUAAGGGCAAACACCCCAAAAGCGAAAAUUAUAUAUUAAGGCCAAAGUGUAUGAAAAGAUUUUUUGUUUAUUUUUUUACGCAAUGUGAAGUUCCACACAUCGCAAUAAGACGGUCAUAAAAUAUUUUCUACGAUCUCACCACAAAAAAGGGAGGAGAAACAGAUUCAAUGCCCAAUGAGCCCUAAAACAAGUCAAUUUACAAAUAUAUAUACUUAUUUAUUUAUAAGGGUUAAUUUCAUACAUAUCCCUACAAACGAAGUGAAAGGCAAAUACAUUCCUAUAAAGUUUAAUUUUCAUAUAUUGUUUCUAUAAAACUCUUAAUGUUUUCAAAUAUAUCUCUCUGAUUUGUUACUAGUAGAGAACCGUUAGAAAACCGUUUAUAUUUUCAAUUUUGCCAUCACAAAUAUAUUCACUACAACAGAAUUAGGUUAUAGCGACACAUGUUUGGGACAUUUUUGUGUAACCGUCCCAUUUAUACAAAAACUUUUAAAAAAAUCUACUAAUGCCUAAAUAUAAAGCCCAAUCCAAUAAAAAAUAAAAGAUUACUCUACUCAACCCACUCCAUCCAUCCCAUUCGGCCCAAUUACAAACAGAAAAGAAAAAAUAAAAGAAAAAUCGAUUAUCAUCUCCUCUUUUCCCCUCACUCAAUCUAUUGAAAUUCUAGACGAAGAGCCCUUCCCUCUCCUUAUCCUCCACCAGCGCAGCAAAAAAGGUAGAGUUUCGGCAGUUGCUAAAUGCUUAAAUAAAUGUUAGUAAAUUAGCAACACUCUUUAACUGUCAUUAUAUAUCUAGCGACCCCACAUAUAGCAACACUUUUUAAAAGUGUUGGUAAUUUAGCCAGCAGCACUUUUUUUUGACCUGUACCGAUAUUUAAAAGUGUCGCUAUAGAUCGUUUUUGUUGUAGUGAUUCUUUCAAAUAUUAGGACUUUUGUAGGGACAAAAUAUGAAAAUUGAAUUUUGUAGGGAUAUAUUUGUUAUUCGCUAUGUUUGCAGGGACUUAUAUAAAAUUAACCCUAUUUAUAAUUAAAUUGGCACUCUCAAUUCAUUAAUAAGAGUUUGCAAAGAGAAUUGUCCUAAUUAAAUGACUCUAAUUAUAAUUACAAAGAGCCCCACAAGCUAGCAACAACCUGAAUUUCAUUAUUAAGUUGUAUAUGUUUAUUACAGAACGUACAAGAGACAUGAAGCACAUAAAUAUCUCUUCUUUUUUUCUUCUUUUUUUUUUAACUCCCUAAAACACAACAAAGUGGUCAAGUGUUGGCAUGCCAAAUUUUGGAGAUGGAAAUUCGAACCAUUCUUUUCAAUGCAGGCAUUUAAUUCAAUGUUUUUAAAAAACUUCUCUCUUUUUUUUUUCUUUUUUUUUUUAAGUUAUUUAUUUUAUUAUUGUUGGCUCUAAUGCUAUGGGCAAUUGGGCAUAUCUGCCCUAGUUGAAGCUUAUAUAUAUUGAGUAGAGUUGUUCGGAAAAAUAUUAACACUUUUGUUUUGUAUAAUUUCUGUAUCUAAGUAGAUCAGAUCUAGCUGAUUCUAUCUCGGGCCUAUUUUUCUAUGUCAGUUUAAUAUAAUUUUUACGUUGAAUUCGAUUCAAUUUGGAAUUCUGUUGUACCUGUUUUAAGUCGGAGUCUCAUUCGAAAUGGUUAGUUGGCUCAGGUCGAAUGAGAGAAAUUGGAUCAAUUAAAUGGCAAACUGCUACUUAGUUUAGAUAUAAAGUAAAAAUAUAUGAAGUUUAUUUGAACUAUGAAUUAUUUUGAUCGAAUUUUCAAUAUAUUUGGAAUGAGCUAUUUUGAUAGCUUUUCGUUCGCUCUCUUGCUAAAUUUGGGCACUCUACUUCAAUAAAAAUAUAGUCACAAAAAUCAUGCAAUAUAUUCCAAUUAAUUAAAUUUGCUAAUAUAAACGGCACAUUCAAAUUAUAAACCAGAAGAGCCUUUGAUCACAUAUCUCAAAUUAUGAAAUAAAAUGAAAAAUUUUACACUGGACCAAAUAAGUUAUACUUUAGAUUUACCUUCCAUCUUUUAAUUACUUUCAGAUUAAGGUAUAUAUGCUAGGUACUAGGCCAAGUAGCCAUCAAAUUUUCUUGGAUCAAACCCUAUAGCUUAUUCAAUAAGUAGGAUGCCCCAGUGAACUUUCUCAAAAAAAUAAAAUAUAAUAUAAAAUAGUCGGGGAUGGUGAUGCUUAAUUAUUAUUAUUAUUAUAUGAAGUAUGAAAAGCAUAAGGGAUUUUAACCCCCAGAAGAGGUCUCUACUUUGGUUCAAAGUAAAUAGUGUGGCAUGAGGUGGGCCAAUAUAUUUGUAUGAUGGGACAAGCAUAAGCAAGAGCAUGAGAUGAUCUCAAAUAAAUUAAAGGGACAUAUUUAAUGGUGAAAAAUAUAAAAAGCAUCAAAUGAGCAGCCUCACCCUCCUUUUUAGUAUCCAGCAACCACAAAUUAUGAUACACUCUCUCUUGUGUCACUUCUCUCAGUCUCUAAAUGCUUGAUGGACGAAUCUUAUUUAAGGUAUGUUUGGUUCCACGUAAAAUCGUAAAAAAAAAAUUUUCAGUGAAAAAAAUAUUUUACGUCGUUUAUAUUUAAUUUGUAGGAAAAGAAAAGUAAUUUUUCACGACGGUUGUUUGGUUGAAAGAAAAAAAAAUUAUAAAUAAAAAUUAUUAUAUAUAUUUUUUUUAUUUUACAUAUUUUAUAUUGUUAAUAUAUAAUUAUUAUCAUAUUAAAUAUAUUAAUAUUAUAGUUUAUAUUUAAAAAUAAAAAAUAUUUAAAAUAUAAUAUGCAAUAAUUAAAUAUAUAAUAUAAUAUUUAAUAGUAUAUAUUUAAUAUUAUAAAAUAAAUUAAUAGAUAUAAAAUAUUAUAUAAUAAAUAUAUUUAUAAAUAAAAUAUUAUUUUUAAAAUAUAUAUACAUAUAUAAAUAUAUAUUUAUAUAUAUAGUAUAUAUAUUAUAUAUAUAAAAAAAAAGAUGGAGGAGAGAGGUCCACCGCACCCCAGUGGACCUCUCUCUCGCGGUCCACGGUGGGGUGCCUCGUGGACCGUGCGCCUGUGAAUCCCGCCCCUUCCCAGUCCCGAAAAAUCCACUGCGGAAAACGAAAACAUCAGUUUUCUUCGUAUCCGUAAAAAAAAUUUUCUUACGGACAAACAAACGCUCAAAAUUAUAUUUUUCCGAUGAAAAAUUUUUUUCGGGGCCAUUUUACAGGGAACCAAACAGGGCCUUAUGGAGCUCGGUUGCUAUACUAAUGGUAGUACUUGAGAACUCCGUGCUAUUAAGUUAUUUUCGAUGAUACGGUUUCUAAAUCGACGAACAACUCCAUUAAACUUGAUCUACAUUAUUGAAAGUAUUAGGAAACUAAAUUUUAUAAUUUCUUAACAUUAGUUAUCUAUCAAAUGAGUAAUCUAAAAAUAAACGGUUAAAAAUAAAAAUCUCAUAAAAAAUGAUAAUAAAAGAAUUAAAUUUAAGAUUAGAGAUACUGAUCUUAUUCUAAAUAGUGAAAAAAAAAUUUUAUAAAAAUUUUAUCGGAUUUAGAUUGUUUUAUACUGUUAAAUUCACAAAUGCAUCACAUUGACCAUUAAAAUUGUCAAUUUUUACGCUCUUUUAUCACUAGCCAAAUAAUGUCGAAAAAUUAUAAAAUUUAGUUUCCAAAUACUUUCAAUAGUGUAGAUUAAGUUUAAUGGACCCAAUCAUUGAUUUGAAAACUAUAUCAUUAAAAAUAAUUUAGUAACACGAAAACCUUCAUGCUAUUGAUAGUAUAGCAGCCUAGCUCCUUAUUUAUGUAUGCUCAUAAAUCAGGUGAAAAAUAUAGCAAAUUUUAAAUUGUAGGGUAUUUUUUAGAUAGAGAUGUAGACUUAGAGGUGCCGUUUGGUUUGGAAAAAAGCUCAUCUCGUUUAUUCCUGAGAUACUUACAACUUUUGAAAUAAGCAGGAAUCAAACUAAUUUUGUCUUUGGAUGAGAAUUGAGUUAUUCUGUGGAAUAAGAAAAAUUGCGUUUGGAUGCAUGGUUAGAUUUGAAUAGUAGGAAUACGAGAAAUUAUAAUUGUAAAAUACAAAUAUUUUACCUAAUAAUAAGCAUAAAAGUAUUAAUAAAAUAAGAUUUUAAUAAGUUAAUUAUUUAGGCUUUGUUUGAGAUUUCGGGGAGAUUGCGUUAUAUUUGGUGAGAAAGUACGAUGAAAAAUACCCUAUUUGUUUCUGUAUAUAAUAUUGCGUUUCGCAUAUCGCGAUCAGUCGGUUUCGAUAUAUUUUCUGCGGUCAUACUAGAAGACGCAGAAGCUUAACCUUAAAUACUUUUACACCAACUCCAUUUUAUAUAAUACCGUCAGAUGGGCCUCAAUACCAAACUAACCCUUAGUUAAGUAAAAAAAUUGUAUAAGAUAUUGAGAAGCAUUUUAAUUAAUAAGUUAACAUGUUUACUAAUUAAUUACUUAUUUAAUUAGUUAGACAUUUAGUUAAUAAAUUAAUUAGAUAAGUUAAAUUAUUAAUUACUUAAUUAAUAUAUAUACACAUUAGUGAUAGUUGGAUAAUCAUAUUAAAUUAUUAAAUAUUAAUUAGCUAAUUGAUUAUAAAUAAUAUAGAUAAAAAUAGCAAUAUUUUUUAAUUAUUCAUAAAUUAAUUAAUUGGGUGGAACUGAUAUUCUCUCUUUUUAACGGGUUAUUUCUGAAUAACCGGUUAAGAGAAGAACUGUAAUUCUUAGUGUUGUUUGAAAGAAUAAAAAAAAAAAGAUCCCUUAUUUCCCCCUUAUCUCUAAACCAAAUAGGGCUUAAAUAUUAUGUUUUAGUAUCUGAUUUUUUCAAAUUGUUCGAAAAAUUAUUGCUUUGUGCCAAAUGCAUUUGUCAAUCCUUACACCAUUAAUGCGCCAUCCACCGUUCAUUUUAUUUCAUACUUUAAUUUUUCUCUCUCAUCAAGUUUCGAUAUUUCUCUGCAUAAAUUUGGUAUAGUACAAUUCAAAGUUUGAGAUUAGAUAAAAGACAGAUGGAAUUGCAGUGCAUGAUCGUAUAUAACUGUAGUCUCAAACUAUAACUUCAAAAAGAUUAAAUAUCAAAAUACAAGCUUUUAAAAUUUAGGUGCUUCUUUGGAAAUAGCCUAUACUUUAUACAACCUCUAUAUAAUUUUAGCUCAAAUUUAUUAUAUCGUUUAAUUGGACUUACUUGUACGACUACAUCUUACUAUAUAUACUGCAUGGAGAUGAAUAACUUACAGCUCACGUAAAGGACACAUGAAUAAAUUAUUCACCUCACGAAUAGUUUGGUAAUUCGCACUUCAAUUAAUUUGAAAAUUUUCUUAUAUAUAUACACAUAGAAUGAGGCUAUUAUACUAUCUAUAGUAUCAGAGCUCUAAUACUAUAGUUUCAUUUUUUAUCAUAGGGUGUUUAAUUUAACAAUUCACACCGUUGAAUAUGAUCUAAGAUAUAUAAAGUUCGUAGAAAUAAAAUUUUAAUUUCUUUCGAUAUCGUUUAUUUAGUAAAUAAAUUAUGCCAAAAUGAACGGUAAAAAUUGAACAAUAUUCACUACAACAGAAUUAGGUUAUAGGGACACAUGUUUGGGACACUUUUCAGUAAGUGUCCCAUUUAUGCUAAAAUUUAAAAAAACAUCUACUAAUGCCUAAAUAUAAAGCCCAAUCCAACCAAAAAUAAAAGAGUACUCUACUCAACCCACCACACCCAGUCCAUUUGGCCCGAUUACAAACAAAAAAGAAAAACAAAAAGAAAAAUCAAUUACCAUCUUUUCUUUUCUAUUCACUCAAUCCACUGAAAUUCUAGACGAAGAGUCUUUCCUGUCGUCCUCCUCCGCCACCGCAGCCAACGAGAUAGAGUUUCGGCGGUUGCUAAAUGCUUAAAUAAGUGUUGGUAAAUUAGCAGCACUCUUUUAGGUUAUAGCGACACUCUUUAACUGUCACUAUAUACCUAGCGACCCCACAUAUAGCAACACUUUUUAAAAGUGUCGGUAAUUUUAGCUAGCAGCACUUUUUUGACAUGUACCUUCAUUUAAAAGUGUCGCUAUACACCGUUUUUGUUGUAGUGAUUUAAAAUUUAAGGAUAGAACUUUGAAUUCAAGAUCAAAGAUGCAAACCUUAAUCUCGAUAGUUUAAAGUAAUUUUCUAUUAAAAUUUGAAUAAAUUUAAAUUCUUCUAUACCUUUGAACUACAUCGCUAUAAUAGCCAUUGAAAUUUGACAAUUUUGAAAAGGAUUGAUUAUAAAGUAAAUUAUGUUGAAAAAAUAUAAAGUUUUAUUCUUCAAAACUUCAAAUAUCUUAGAUCAAUUUUAACGAUAUAGAUCAUUGAUUAGAAUACUCUAAAUCGAAAAUAAGGCUAUAGUACUUAAGUUUCUAUACUAUAGAUAUUAUAGGAGUCUAGGUCUCUCUCUCUAUAUAUAUAUAUAGAGAGAGAGAGAGAGAGAGAAAGAGUGAGAAUUGAGCUAGAAAAUAUCUAAAAGUACCAACCAAUUGGUGCUUUUAGAAAUCUAUCCCUUCAAUCUACUUCUUAACUAUUAGUAGUUCUUGGAUCAAAUAAUAUUUUAGCCACCACUCAACCUAAGUGGGCUACUAUCAUUCUAGUUCUACAACACCUCCAUCUAAAGACUACAAAUCGAAAAGCACCAACACUUCUAGAAAUAUUUUAGUACAAUUUUAUAUGUAUAUAUAUAGUAGGUCUUGUGCUAAGCCGUUUUCGAUGAUGAAGCUUCCAAAUCGACGAUCGGCUCCAUUAAACUUGAUCUAGCGUAUUUGAACUAUUUAGAAAAUAAUUUUUGUAAUUUUUAGUAUCAUUUUCUAAGCGAUCGAAAGGGUUCAAAAUCAACAAUUUUUAAUGGUUGAUGUAUAUCAUUUGCAAGUUUAACGGUGUAGAAGUGUUCAAAUCAGAUGUAAAUUUUGAUAAAAAUUUUUUUAUACUAUUUACAGCAUCAACAUGUUUGAUCAAAAAUUUUAAUGCUAUAUCAUCAUUUUUUUGUGAGAUUUUUAUUUUCAUCCGUUGAUUUUGAACUCUUUCGAUCGUUAGGUAAAUGAUAUCGAAAAGCUACAAAAUUUAUUUUCUAGAUACUUCAAAUAUGCUAUAUCAAGUCUAACAGAGCCGAUCGUCGAUUCAGAAGUUUCAUCAUCGAAAAUGAUUUAGAAGUACGGAGGCCUUCGUACUCCUAAUAGCACAAAAGACCUACUAUAUAUAUAUAUAUAUAUUAUAUAUAUAUAAGGGAGAGAGAGAGAGAAGGAUUGAGAGAUGAGAGAGAGGAGAGAGAGUGGACUGGGUCUAUUUGGUGCAAAAAUCCUUGUUGCUACCUAAUUUUUUAGCCUUUGGGAUCAACUUUUUCUUUAUUUCUAAAGCCAUUGUGAUAAAUAUUAUCAGUGGGACCACUCCAACCCUAGGGGGACCACUUCAACUCUAACGACUCAAUAUCAUCCGUUGACUCCUACAAUUUUUCAUUAAGGCUGUUAAAAUUGAUGCAAAUAGAACGUUUUUUUAAUAGUUUCAGCUAUUCUUAUAUAUAUAUACUAUAUAUAUAUAUAUAAAUAUAUAUAAUAUAGUAUAUAUUAUAUAUAUAGGUAGGCUGCUUGUGCUUCAGCGGGCACGGGAGGCUUCUUGUGCUCCUGAGCCGUUUUUCGAUGAUUGAUUUUCGUAAUCGAGAUCAGCUUCGUUAGACUUGAUUCUUAGGCGGUAUUUUGAAGUUUUAGAAAUAUUUGCGAUUUUGAUAUCAUUUACUAGCAAUCGAAUGAUCAAAAUCAUAAUUUUUUAACGCGCUUGAAAAUAAAUCUAUAAAAUGUGCAAAUAUUGCACUUAAAAUUUUCGAUCGAUAUAUUGGAUUUGUUGUAGUAGUAUAGAGGAAUUUUAUUUAUCAAUUUUCAUUUGAUUUGAUACUUCUCACCAUGUUAAACUUGAAAAUUGGCAGAUAUCAACUUUAGAAUUAUUGUUUUUUGAUCCUUUCGAUACUUAGUUUAAAUGAUUAUCAAAAUCUGGCAAAAAAUAUUUUUUUAGAAAUUUCAAUACCUAGUCGUCUAAAGAGCGGAUCGUCGAUUCUGGAAAAUUCUAUCACAAACACAUGCUCUAGUUGAGCCACGGAGAGGCACAACAGACCUACUCUCUCUCUCUCGUUCUCUCUGCUCUCUCUCUCUCUCGUCUCUCUUAAUAUAAUAUAUAUAUAUAUAUAUAUAUAUCCACACAUAUAUAUAUUAACACAUAUAUAUUAUACAACAUUAUAUAAUAUAUAUAACAUAUUAUAUAUUUAUAUAACACACAUAUUUAUAUAUAACUAUACUAAUAUUAUACACAUAUAAUAUUAUUAUAUAUAUAUAUUUAUAUAUAUAUAUAUAUAUAUAAUAUAUAUGUAUAUAUAUAAUAUUAUAUAUGAUACAGUAUUAUAUAUAUGUAUAUGUAUAUGUAUCUGUUAUGUACAUAUAUAGGUACAUAAUUAUAUAUAUGUAUAUGUAUAUGUACAUUAUUAUUAUAUACAUAUAUAUGAACAUAUAUUCAUAUUACAUAAUAUACUAUAUAUGUAUAUAUACUUAUAAUAUAUAAAAAAUGUAUAUAUAAUAAUUACAUAUAUAUAAUAUAUAUAUAUAUAUAUAUACAACAUUAUUAUACAUAUAUAUAUAUAUUUAUAUAUAUGCUAUGUAUAUAUAUAUAUGUAUGUAUGUAUAUCUACAUACAUUAUUAUAUAUUACAUACAUAUAUUAUUACUUAUAUGCUAUUAAUACUAAAUACAUAUAUAUUUAUACAUAUAUCAUACAUAUUAUAUAUACUACAUACUAUACCUAUAUUAUUUACAUACGUACAUAUCAUAUAUAUAUUACAUACAACAUAAUAUAUAUAUAUCAGUAAUACUAGGUAGUAACUGUUGGCUUUACUCACCAAUGUUUGAUGAUAAGUUUCCAAUCGACGAUCCAGGCACGAUCUUUUGAACAUGAUCUUAACCAUUUAAAUUAUUUAGAAAAUCAAUUUCAUGAUUUUUUGGCAUCACUAUUGACGUAAAGGGUAUAAAUCUAUAUUUUUUAAUGGCCGAUAUGGUUGGUUUGCUCGUUUAAACGGUAUUAGAAGGUUCAAUCAACUAAAUUUUUGUUAAAAAUUCUUUUACUAUUUACAUAAGUCUGCUUCUAGAUCUCAUAUAAAUUGUUCAUCCUUUUUGAAGGGAUAUUUUCAUUUCCAGCCGUUCAUUUUUCUGUUCUUAUGGAUAAGAGCAAUAUCGAUUUAUGUGUGAAAUUUAAUUUUCAGAUAGUUUUAAUAGUUUGUUCAUGUUUACGAUGCUAUCAUUCAUUUUGAAGCUUAUCAUCGAAAACAGAUCUGGUAGUAACUGAGCCAUUUAACUACCGAUAGUAUCCUAGCUAAAUCAUUAUAUAUAUAUUAUAUAUAUAUAUAUAUAUUAUUAUUAUAUUAUAUAUGAUCUAUAUAUAUUAGAGUCGGCUACUUUCCUAUUGUAGCACGGAGCACUACGUGUACAAGUUGUUUUCGAUGAUGCGGGCUUUCAAAUUGAUGAUCGGCUCCGUAGGACUUGAUCUUACUAUUGAAAGUAUUUUUAGAAAACUAUUUCAAAUUUUUUUCGCACAUCAUUUGAUUAGUUGAUCAAAUAUCUCAAAAUGCAUUUUAUAUGGCCGAUGUGGCUUGUGUUUGUGAGUUUAAUGCGUGUACAUAAUCCAAUGUGAUGAAUUUUAUAGAAAUUUUUUUCAUAUUUAGAUAAGCUCUUAUAUCUGAUCUUGGAAUUUAAUCUUUUAUUCUCAUUUUUUAUGGGAUUUUAUUUUUAGCCGUUCAAUUUUAGGACUACUUUGUUUGGCUGGUGAAUUGCUAUCGAAGAAUUUAUGAAAUUUAGUUUCUAAAUACUUUUCAAUAGUUGCUAAAUAGUUAAGAACCGUUUGUCGAUUUGGAAGCCGCAUAUCGAAACAUUUGUGCACGGAUGCGCUCCGUGCGGGGGGGAUCCGAUAGUAUUAGUAGCCUUGUUAUAUAUAUAUAUAUUAUAAUUAUUAUAUAUUAUAUAUACAUUCAUCUCUACCUGAAUCCAUUUCGUUCGAAGGACGGAAACUUUACAAGUACCAAUGACUUAGUACAUUUAAAAAUAUAGGCAGCCUAAUAUAUAAUAUAUAUAUAUAUAUAUAUAAUAUUAUCUAUAUAUAUAUAUAUAUAUAUGACAGCUCUUUCGGCAUCCAAAGAGCAAGGAGCACUUACACACCCAAGCUACAUACGAAGAGAAGUACGCAACGUUGUCACGGUUACGUCAGGGCAAAUGCUAACGUCUUCUUCGAAGUAGAUAGGAGAGAAAAUUAAUCUUCAUUUGGAAUUUACUAACGUACUGUGUACUAAACAUCCUAGUGAUUUUCUCUAAACCACAGUACUGUUUAAAUUAGCUACGAGAAAUGACAAAUAAGGAAGGAGCUGAAGACAGCUUUUUUUAGAGUAAUGAUAGGAUAUUUGCGAGGACUAAAUAUUAUAAUUCCUGUAAAAUGGAAAACGUUUUUUUGGAUGCAAAGGGAGUACGUUGUCAAAUAAAGCACUAUACAUUAAGGCAUUCUAGGAGAUUGGCACCGAGGGAUUUUGGACUAAUUUAUUUACAUUGACAAUAUUUAUAUUAAAGGCUUUUACCAAAUAAGGGAAAGGAAAAAUAUAUCCUACACACAAGCAUCCUCAUACACAUGCAUACAUGAACACAUUUUACUUUUCUUUAGUGUGUGUCUGUGUAGUGUGUGUAUAUAUAUAUAUAUAUAUAUAUAUUAUAGAGCUACUAUGCUAUCGGAAAUAUAGAGAAUCUGAUGUUUUCAACUUUUUUACAAUUGGAUCAAAAAUUAUACGGUUGGGAUGAUUGCGGUCCCCCCCAAGGUUGAGUAGUACCCCUAGGGUUGAGUGAUCCCCACAGGUUAAUAGUAUUAAUCCAAAGAUUAGAAAUGAUUAAAAUAGUUGAUCUAAGAGCGAAAAAAUCGAAAGUAUUAGAUCUUCUAUACUUCCAAUAGCAUAGUAACUUUACUCUCUCUCUCUCUCUCUCUAUAUUAUAUAUAUAGAGAGAGAGAGAGAGAGAGAGAGUUUGGCUAUUAUAGUAUCGAUAGUACCAACCCCUUGGCACUAUUGAGUUUUCUACUGUUAGAUCUACCCUUUGAUCAUUUCUACCUGUUAGAUUAUACUAUUAAGCCAACCACCCACUCAACCCUAGGAGACCGCUAUCAAUUUAACCGGAGACCACUAUCAUCCUAACAGCACAUCCUUUUAUCCAACGGCCGAAAACUCAAUAGUACUAAGAGCUUGAUAUUAUUGAUAGUAUAGUAGCAUAAUUCUAUAUAUAUAUAUCAGCUUUGAGAUUCCAACGCAUUGGCCUCUUAAUGUAUGCUUAAGACUUUUCUUGAUCAUUUAUUAGUGUCAUGAAGACAUAAUUAAAUGAGAAUAUCGUCACGACAAUAACAUCUUCCUUGUACAUAAUAAUAUGAUAAUAAUAUAAAAAUGUACAAGAAGUUUUCACAUAUUUAUCUUAGUUGGAUAGUAAUCAAUCGUCAUUACUGUAAGUGACAAACGGUUUAAUAUAUAGUUGGCACCUAAGCCACCGUUUGGUUCGGGGUUAAGUAAAAAUUUGUUAUUUCAUGAAAAUAUGUUUGAUUGAGAAUUGAGUUCAGUCCAGAUAUAGAUAAAAUGGUGUUUGGUUGGAGUAGAUGGGAUAAGAAGGAUAGUGGGUAAAAUAGUAUUUUGUUUGGUUGGAGUAGUGGGGUGGGGUGGGGUGGGGUUAGCUAACCCCACCUCCCAAAUUGAAUGUUUUGAAAUAACUUCGGGGUUAAGGAUUUAUUCCAUCCCUUAACUCCAAACCAAACGGAUGCUAAGAUUUUAAAUUUGAACUUAGUUACUUUAUAUUCUCAUCUAAAUUUAUUUUUAAAAUAAUAAAGAGAAAGAAUAAUAUAUAUAUAUAUACACACACCAUCUUUCUCUCUUAGAAAUAUAUAUAUAUAUAUACACACACUCGUACGUAGGUACAGUAAAUUGACACCCAUGCCACAGGGGAGGGAGAGAGAGACACACACACAUACAAAGAGGUAGAGAGAUGGAGGAGAGAGAGCUCACGUGUAUUUGGCGACAGGCCAGUGCAUUAAUGCAUGCAAUUUACUGCAGGGGGGUGACGAAAUUAUUAGCCCACUUUGUUUCUUUGUGGGGAUGUUUUUCUUUUUCCUUUUCCUCCUCUUUCUCAUUGCUUUGAUUGUGGUGGGCCUCCCUUUUCAAUCUCUCUCUCUCUCUCUCUCUCUCUCUCUCUCUCUCUGUACAUUUUUGUAUAUUAGUAUAUAGAGAGAGAUAUCGCUUCAAUUAAAGCCCAAUAUAUAACUACACAACACUAGCCUCCCCCCUGCUUUUCCCCAUAAUAAAAUCUCAAGGAAUUAAAGCUGGUGGAAAGCUCCCUUCCUAUGUUCUGUGUGUGAGAGGAGGCCCCAAACAAACACACCUAAAGAAAAAAACAUUCUCUUAGAGAGAGAGAGAGAGAAAUUGUAGACCAUUUCUCUUCCGCCCUAAGCUAUAGCUGUAACCCUUUUUAUUUUUUGUUCUUGUUUACGGUAUAUAAUUAUCUUCCCCACCUCCUGUGUAUCCCUUCAUGUGAUCAACAUUUAGACCCCCCUAAAUAGAAGAUCAUAUAUAGCUACUACACCACCGAGUGAUCACAACUAGAUUAUAUAUAUAUACACACACACACACAUAUAUAUAUAUAUAAUAAAUAAUAAUAAUUAAUAAUUAUCCAUGUUAAGCUCUCCCUCGCCGGCCCCCGCACCGCCGCCGCCGCCUCUGCCGCUCCUCCUCAGCGGCGGCGUGGGCGACGCGUCCUCCGCCUCCCCCGGCCCUCCGCAGCCGUUCCCUUCCUCGCACAUUGCCGCCGCGACCGCCAAGAAGAAACGCCGGCCGGCCGGCACUCCAGGUACGCACGCGCGCACGCACGCAGAAUUCUGGAAAAUUGCGAUCAUAUAUGAUACAUGAUAAGUUGAAAUCUGCGAAUAGGUAGGUUGGUUGAAUUAAUAUUGGUCGAUUGAGUAAUGUUUUUGGGUUCUGGAAAAAGAUCCGGACGCGGAGGUGGUGUCGCUGUCGCCGCGGACGCUGCUGGAGUCGGACCGGUACGUGUGCGAGAUCUGCAACCAGGGGUUCCAGCGGGACCAGAACCUGCAGAUGCACCGGCGGCGGCACAAGGUGCCGUGGAAGCUGCUGAAGCGCGAGGGCGGCGCGGGGGGCGAGGGGGCCGGCGCGGAGGCGCGGAAGCGGGUGUUCGUGUGCCCGGAGCCGAGCUGCCUGCACCACGACCCCUGCCACGCGCUCGGCGACCUCGUCGGGAUCAAGAAGCACUUCCGCCGCAAGCACAGCACCCACCGCCAGUGGGUCUGCGCCAAGUGCUCCAAGGCCUACGCCGUCCAGUCCGACUACAAGGCCCACCUCAAGACCUGCGGCACCCGCGGCCACUCCUGCGACUGCGGCCGCGUCUUCUCCAGGUAUAUACAUAUACAUAUAUAUAAUUCACAUACCUAUCUAUGUACAGAUACUUAAUUCACAUAUACUUCACAUAUAUAUACUUCAUACUUCAGUUCAGAAGAGUGUAUAUAUACUUCACAUAUUGGAUACAAAAUAGAAUCGCGUACGUACGUAUGACGAUCUGUAUGUAAUGUGCAGAGUAUUAAUUUAUUUCUGAUAAAUUAUGAUCCCUUUUGCAUAAGCAAUGCUAGUUUUGUGGUGAUUUCAUAUAUAGAAAUCGAAUCUCUUUUUCUUUCUUUCUUUCUUUUCUGAAUGAUGAGAAUUUAGUGUGGUUUAAAAUGAGACCAUAUAUAAAGAUAUAAAUAUAUAUAUAUGUUGGCACGCAGGAAACUAAUUAACCUUGGAAUUAAUGGUGGAUCAGGCUGAUCUCUUAUAUGUGAAAUCCUAGCUACUGCUUUAAUUUGUAUUGAUUUUUGAGGGGUUCUUUUUCUUUUAUUCCCCCUAAUGGAUGAUUUUAUAUAUAUAUAUAUAUAUAUAUAUAUAUAUAUAUAUAUAUAUAUAUAUAUAUAUAUAUAUCAUGUAGUUUAAAUGAUGACCCCCAAGAUGGAUUUUGUACAUUAUGUUAAUUUUCUAUAUAAUAUAUAUUUGCUUGUAGCAAAAUUAAAACUUAAAUUAAUUAGAAUGGAGGGAUCAUUUUAUUAUUUUUAAGAAAAACUGUGUGUGUGUGUGUGUGGGUGUGUUUCUUUUUCUUUUUUUUAAGUGAAUUUUAGUUCUUUACAACAAGCAUUUAUUUAUUGUAUCAUUAGAUAGCAACAAGGGAGACACCCAGCAUUGAAUAGGGGUCAGGACACAAUUCCCAACACCUAUGUCAAUUGGUAGCUUUCGUAUUUGUUUCUGAUUGCAGUAGCAUUUAAUGCUCAUGUAACCCCUCCCCACACCCCUCUCCCUUUCUUAAAUGGUAAUAUCUCAUGCAUAUUUUCAUUAUAACCAUCCCCUCCAAGGAACAAAANAAAAAAAAAAAAAAAAAAAAAAAAAAAAUCUCUAAUGAAUACUAGCUAAUAUACAUGUGUUUGGUUCUCUCAUCAGGGUGGAGAGCUUCAUAGAGCACCAAGACGCAUGCAGCGCGGGACGAGCCCGAGCCCGAGCCGAGCUCCAAACCCCGCCGCCGCCUCCGGCGUGCUUGUCGCGAACCGGUUCGAGCCCGAGCCCGUCCAGCGACACCAAUUUUAGCCCAACAACGACGCUUGCGACGCUCAUCAUGCCGAACCGCAACGCCGCCACUAUGUUGCGCCACGCUGAUCAGCUAUUCCCUUCACCCCGCUCCCACAAUCUCGAGCUCCAGUUACUCCCCCCCUCGACCACCCAACAGUACUCCGUUUCCUCCACUCUCUCCUCCUCUCUCGCUUCCGUCGUCGCCGACGAGGCCCGCGACACGACGCUGAGGCUUUCGAUCGGUAACUUUACCGGUAACAGCGGCCCCUCCGACAAUAUAUACCCCGCGGUGAGCGCCGGCGUCACUACAAGAAAAGUAACAUUUAAAGAUAUUUUUUUUAUAUAUAUUUAACGAUGUUUAAAAGUAUUCCAAUAUACUCUAGUAUCAUAUUUGAAAGUGUCAGUCAAAGCGUCGACAAAUGAAGAGUAUAUAUAUAUAUAUUGAUGUUUAUGUUAUAUUAUGAUGCUUAAAGCGUAAGAAAAUUAAAAAUAAUAGUAAAAUUUAUUCUUUAAUAAAUUAGUUUAAUAAAAUAGAAAAUUUAUGUAACAAUGCUUUUUGAAGCGUUGGUAUUUACUAUAUUGUAGGGACGUUUUUUUCAAGCGUGGUCUAAAACACAUUCUUAUGUUGAAAUUUUCUUAUAGUGCGCUGUUAGCGAAGAGGCGAGGGAGCGGUCGAGGUUGGCGGCGGCGGACGAGGCGCGGCGGGAGGCCAAGCGGCAGAUAGAGCUGGCCGAGCGGGAGUUCGCGGACGCGAAGCGGAUCCGGCACCAGGCGCAGACGGAGCUCGACCGGGCGCGCGCGAUACGCGACCGCGCCGUGCAGCAAAUCAAUUCGGUCUUGCUCCAAAUCACUUGCUACGCCUGCAAGAAGCACUUCCGGGCGAAGCCCGUCGCGGCUUCUGACGAGAACUCGUCGCUCGUCGCGACGAGCUACGUGUCGUCGGUGGUGACCCAAGUCGAAGCGGAGAACGAUGAUCGUCGCCAAAAUAAUAACAAAACCAAGAUCGAUCCUUUUCAGUGAGAAUGUAGUUAUUAGAAGUAUAUGCUUGCUUUAGUUUAACUGUAUGAGCUAUCCACGAGUGGGGGGUAAUUAGGUAAUUAAAGUUAAUGCUGUGGUCGUGAAGGGUCUAUUGUGGCAUGAGAUCUUAUAUAUGUUUGUUUGCUUGUUUUGUUAUUAUUAUUAUUAUCAUUGAUGAAGGAGAAAGCGAGGGGGUGAUGAUGUUCAUGAUAAGGAUGAUUAUGAUCGAGAGUUUGGAUCUCUUCUUUUCCUUUUGGAUCCGCUUAUGUGGUGUGCAUUUGUAAAUGGAAAUGUUAAUUUCUCUGAAAAGCUAUGCAAAUAAAUGAAUGAAAAAAAAAAAAAGCAAAUUAAUUUGGUGCAAUUAUUUUUUUUGUUAAUUAAUUAGCAUGUUUUCAUUCAAUGCGAGAAUAUGAUAAACUAAUAUUUCUUUCUAAAUAUUGCAUUUUCUUCUAAACCCUAAUUUGAGAACCAAAGACACAAAAACAUUCUAUAAAAUAGAAAAGGCUAAUUCUAUAGAUAUAUGUGUUCCGUUCAAAGGUUCUGGAUAAUGAAAGCAGUUGAAAAUACAUAGCGAAAAAUAUAUGGGUUUUUGUAGAAUCCGCAUGCGAUGCUUUGAGUCACGCACCAUAUAAAACAUAUAUGAACUUUAAUUUAUUUGAUUUAAAUCAGUAAAUAUUAGUUUGAUUCAAAGUUUGAAUAUAUUGUUUAUCUUUACAGAUUUAUUUGUAUAUCUUAUACAAUUCUUAUAAUUAAAAACUUAUUAAAACAAAUAAUUAGCUUAAAUUUUGAAAUCAUACUAUUAUUAAUAACCGACUCAAAUCAAACAAAAUAAAUAUAUAGUUCAAGUAAUUACCUCUAUACGUUUUUACCUUUAAAAAAUAUAAUCUAGGAAGCGCAAAAUCGUUUUUGGAAAGGCGUCUUAAUAAGACAACCUAUACAUUAUUAUUGUUUGGUAAUUUUAACACCACUGUAGCACUCACUUAGCUUCUUUUUCCUUUCUCCUCUGGAACCCCCACUUCCAUGUAACUAAGCAGUGGAGCUUGCUCCUCCUCGCCUGUGUACACAACCAGUUGAGAGAGGACAAAAGGAAAAAAAUAAGCAGCAGUGGUGAUCGAACUGGGUAUCUGACCCAAGUCCACUACAGAAAAUCACAAGAGAACACACCAAAAAAAACGCAAAGUGGGUUGCAGCAGUGGCACUUCGUCUACAAACAGACACACUGAGAACGAUACAUAAAUGAAAUGGCCCAUUGAUUGUUUCGUUAGUACUACUCUUCAAUGUUUGCAUAUAGCUCGCUUUUUCUCCUACGAUGCGUUCUCUUCACACUAUCUUCAAGUAUUUUCUCUCUCUCUCUCUCUCUCUCUCUCUCUCUUUCUCUCUCUAUCUCUGUUACUGUAAGAAACAGAUGGAGCGCACCUGUGCAUGGUAUUCAGUGCCACUAACUCCUACACUGAAAAGUGGAACAGUCACUCGCGCAGAGAAUGCAUGGGUGGGGUAUGAUUACGUGUAUGUGUUUUCACAUAUGUAUAAAAAUUUAAAUAAAAAUAAAAGUUGAGGAUUUUUCCUAUUUUAUUUAAUCUUGUAAGCUUAAAAAUUUUUUUAACCAAAAUUAUUCUUAAUAAUUUUAUCUGCAUUAAAUACAUUAAAAAACUAAAAUAUAAUAUAUUUUAGCCUACGAACAAAACUCUCUUUUUUUCAAUCGACAAAAAAAUGCAUGCAUAUAGUUAUUUGAUAUAUUUUUGAUUAAAUAGAAAAAAAAAUUAAAUCUAUCAUUUAUUUCAAAAUUAUUAUUACUGAUUAGGAAUGUGCAUUGAUAUAGGUAUGUNCUAGGAGCCGUCAGAAAAUUGUACUGUCUCAGUUUCUUCGAGACGAGUACUCCAGGUAGUUUAGAAUGUAUUUACACUCGUGCUGGUUCGCCGAGUGGAUUUUUACAGGGUCGUUCAGGUUGUUCCGGACUGUUGGGUGCCGUCAGAGUUGACGGUGGACCCGUAUCGCCUUUUUGGCGUCAGACUGUGCCGAGGGCACGUUACCUGUUGGUUGUUAGGCCAGUUUGAGUCGAUUACUUGACUUUGGAUAGUUGGAGCCUGAUUGAGCUCGACAGAGAUACGCUGCAUACUCGGUUGGGUAGCGCCCACGAGUGCCACUCCGGAGUCAGGCUUGUGCUUUUGCGUUGGUGUCACUCAUGCCAGUUGGACUUGCUCUCCACAGACCAGCUAGUGUGGAUAGAGCCUGAUAGUCGCAACGGGGCAGGGACGGGUGUGUUCACAGUCCCAGGGACGGGUAUGUUUACAGUCCCAAUUGGAUUGGGUCAGAUUUGACAUUUCCUACAGUCGGUUAAUGUAGAGCAUGAUAGUGUAGUGGAUGAUAGCGAUAGAGUGUACUUCCUGCUUUUCCUUCUAUCCUUGCUCCCUUCUGUAGACUUAGUGGGUGACCGAUGUCGUUUUGGGCGGUACCCACUGAGGACUACUUGUUUUUACAGUAGUUCUCACGCCCAGUUGUUACCUAUGUUUUGCAGAGCCACAGGUUUCGGCUACUGCGCCUUCCGCGGAUCAGGAUCGAGGCAAGGGCGUCGCGAGGUAGAGCCCUACCCGACUGACAGAGCUAGAGGCACCCCCCUACUGUAGGUAGUUGCUAUUUUAGAGUUUAUGUACAUAGUUGUUUAACUCGCCGGUGCGAGUAGCUUUGUAUUUUGGAUUUGGACUAUGUAUAUGAAACUCAGUUGUUUAGCUUUGUAUAUUGAGCAGCUCUAUGCUACUGUUUGUAGUAUUGUAUAUUUACAGGUACUUUUGACGCUUCGUAUACAGGGAAAAUUCCUUGUAUACGGCGGAUUUGUCGGCGUGCCCGGGGAACGAGACAUCCGGGGCGUGACAAAAAUCAUAUAAAAACACACUAUAUAUAAAAUACAAUUUUUAUAUAUUUUUUAAUAAUUUUUAAUAAUUUAAUUUAAUAAUUCAAAUUUAGAUUUACAAAAAUUAUCUUGAAAUAUCUAUUAGUAUUUCUACUAUUGAUAAGAGACGAAGGGUAAAAAUGGCAUUUUAAAAAUAUAACUCCAUUUCAUAAGAUGGUAACGGAACUUAACUAAUGAAGGGUAUUUAUGAUACUUUUUGAUAUAUCGGAGGGCAUUCAUGAUAUUAUCACUUUUAGAAGGGUAUUGAUGAAAUUCAUAGUCCCUAGAAGGGCAUCUAUGAAAUUAUCCCUUUUUUUUUUUUAGAGAAAUACUACUUGUACACCCAACUUUUGGUGUAAAUCUUACACCCUCCUAUCUAAGGGUUUAGACAACUCCUUUUAGAUUUUAAUAUUAUAAUAAUAGAUAGUGAUAAGACUAGUGUGCAAAAGUUGGCCCUCGGAUGGAAAAGGUGUAGAAUUUACAUCCACUUUUGGGUGUACUAGUAGCGUUCCUUUUUUUUUAAGUAUGAAGAGGAGUCAUAUCAUUGCUUGAUACCAAUUUAUUAGUCAAUGCUUAUGCUUAAUUUCUUUCUUUCUUUUUUACUUGUUUUACUUUUCUGAAAAAGAAAAUUACCAUAAAUAAAAUUGAAGUAAGAAGAUAAAAACAUUGUGAGAUUCUCAAAGAUGACACUUGAGAUAUUCUUGCAAUACCAAAAUUGUAUUACUUGUUGACUCUUAUCGAUUAUUUAGUUUUUGACCUUUUUGCUAUCUAAAACCCUAGAUUGAACAAGAAGCUUUAUUAGAUAAUCUUUCAUUUGAUUGGGACCUCAUGAACUUGUGGAAGUUGCCCAUUUCACUAGUUAAUUUCCACAUAGACAUUAUCCAUGAUGAUGUGACAAGUGGAUCAGGCCAAUUCAACCAACUUGCAAGAGUAGGGCCUUUUUUUAUGCCUACUGAGAAAAAUUCUAUACACAGAAUGAUCUUCUAGUUAUUCUGCGGUGGAAUAAACUUUUUUGAUGACUCAAUGCAUCCUGCCGCAGCUNAAGAUGGUAACGGAACUUAACUAAUGAAGGGUAUUUAUGAUACGUUUUGAUAUAUCGGAGGGCAUUCAUGAUAUUAUCACUUUUAGAAGGGUAUUGAUGAAAUUCAUAGUCCCUAGAAGGGCAUCUAUGAAAUUAUCCCUAGGUUAUAAAUACAUAUUUUUAAAUACUUUUAUAUAAAUAUCUUAUUUAUAUUAAUUUUUUAAAAAAAAUCUACUAAGAUUUAAAUUUAAAAUCUAAUCCAAUCAAAAAUAAAAAAUUUUUCUAUUCAACCAACUCCACUCAGCCCACUCGGCCCGAUUACAAAUAGAAAAAAAAAAAAAAAUUGAUUACUAUAUCUCCUUCUUCUUUUCCGGCGCCGCAGCCAACGAGAUAGGAUUCCGAUGACUUGAGUUCGGCAGCGAGGAUCUCGCAAAGGUCGUAAAAGACUACAAUGGCCACGCGUUCCCCCGCCACAGGUCGUUAGAGGAGUGGGUGCCAAACAUCGAUGCGGCUCCACAUAUAGCAACCUCAUAUAUAACAACACUUUUAAAAAGUAUCGAUAAUUUAGCCAACAAUACUUUUUUUUACCUAUACCGAUAUUUAAAAGUGUCGCUUUACACCGUUUUUUAUUAUAGUGCUAGCUAAGUGUGUUAUAUUAUACGUACAUAUAUGGAUAUAUAUGUUACAUUAUACAUACUUGUAUGUGUGUGUAUAUAUAUGGGUUAACUUGGGUGGUAAGUGGAGAGAUCCGCGUUGGAGUUAAUUGGUCUAGCUUGGGUGGUGGGUGCGUGUAAUUAAUUACCUGCGCCUUUUAAGUACCUUAUAAUGUGGUCACAAUGGUUGGAUGAGUUUUUGUUAGAUAAAAAACGCAGGGAGCUUAUAUAAUCUAUAAAUUAUUUUGAAUUCACUCUCUGAUCUUAUAAAAUUUUAAUUUCAGUAUCUAAUUUUUUAAUUAGUUUGAUUUAAGUUAGUCGACGAUAUUUUAAUUUUAAAAUUUAAAUGUAUUAUUUAUAAUUACAGAUUUAAUUAGUAUAUACUUCAUUCAAUUUUUAUAACUAUGAAUUUAUUAAAGUAAAUUAGUUAGUUUAAAAUUUGAAAUCAAAGUAUUAUUGGCCGAUUGAAAUCAAACAAAUAAAAAAAUUAAAUAAUAAUAUUAAAAUUAAAAAAAAUGAAAUAAUCGAUUCAAAAUAAUCGAUAAUUCAAAUAUGUUACUUAGAUUCUUACUUUUUUUUUGUUACACAAAUAUAUAAUGCUAUGCUUGCACAUUUUUCCUAGAAUAAAGCUUAAUUUCAAUGCUACUUAUAAGGAUAGUAUUCGUACAAACACAAUUAGUGAAAGGUCCAGUCUAAGUUUUCGAACUAAAUGUCUAUAUAUAUACCACGUGCUUUUUCUAAAAUUGGAAAAAUGAAGUACUCAUUGGUUAAUAGCUAAUGGUAAAAAGCUAACCAACCAAUUAUAUUUAUUGCAUUCUGAUGGAACGUAUAUUGUAUUACUUUAUUUUCAAUGUAUAAAAAACUAUUAUAACCUUGAGUAUUCAAGAGUAUGGUCCGUAUACUAUCAGUAGCACGAAAACCUCCGUGCUAUGUAUUAAGUUAUUUUUGAUAAUGUAGCUUUCAAAUCGAUGAUCGGUUUCGUUAGACUUGUCUACACUAUUAAAAGUAUUUGAAAACUAAAUUUUAUAAAAUUUUGAUAUCAUUUACCUAUCAAACGAGUAAUCUAAAAAUGAUGGCUGAAAAUAAAAAUUUUAUAAUAAUGAUAAAAGACUUGAAUUUAAAACUAAAGAUAUUUACUCUAAAUAGUAAAAAAUAUUUUUAUAAAACUUUUAUCAGAUUGGAAUUAUUUUACACCGUUAAAUUCACAAACGCACCACAUCGACCAUUAAAGUUGCCAAUUUUGAAACAUUUUAAUCACUAGCCAAAUAAUGUAAAAAAAAUAUGAAAUUUUCAAAUACUUUCAAUAAUACAAAUCAAGUCAAAUGGAGCCGAUCGUUGAUUUGGAAGCUGUAUCAUUAAAAACAACUUGCAGCUACCGAUAGUUUAUCAGUCUAGCUAGCUCGAGUAUUCAAUCCUAAACACUACACGCAUUUAUGAAUUAUUAUGGUAUUGAUUAGACCUGACAAUCUCAAACCUGUACUCGUGAUAUCCAUGGAUUACCUGUAAAUUUACGGUUAUAAAUAUCAGUUUUUCUUACCUAAAAUAUUAUAAAUAAAAUAGGUGGAUACCCAUUAUAUUAUAGGCAUUUUCGGUAACCUGCAAGUAUCCACGAGUAUCUGCAUAUAUUAUUUUUUAAAAUAUUUUAAAAAAUAAAAAAGUGAAUAUUCUUUUUAUUUUAUCCAUUCCUAGAAUCCUAACAUUAAUUUCUUCUAAUGUCAUUUUUUUUUUCUAUUUCUGUUUUAUGUUGCUAUAUUUUAAAUAAUAAAUUAUUGUUCGAUUGUUUUAAAAUAGGGAUAAUUGCCUAUAUAUUCCUCAUACGUUUGAAAAUAUCCAAUUUACCCCUAUUUUUUUUUUCUUUCUAAAAUAUCCCACAUAUAUUCCACCGUUAUUGCAAAAUACCCCCGCAGUUAUCUCCUGUUAAGUUAACUUAGGUUAACAUGAGUUAAAUAUCUACCACAGUUAAAAAAAUUUGCCCUUAACUUAAGGGCAAAAAAAAAAUAUUGGUGACGGCAGAAGAGUAUAUUAGAAAAGACCAAAAAUCAAAAUACUUUUUGUGCCUCUGAAUUUAAGGGCAAAUAAGAAAGUCAGUGAUGGUGGAAGGGUAUAUUUGAAAGGGUAAAAUAGUAAUUUUACAGAGUUAAUAGAGUUAAUUAACAGAUUUUAACUCUGGGGUAUUAGAAAUAGGUUGGAACGUAAAGAGGGUAUUUUCAAUAUAUAUUAGCCUUUUAAGAUGGGUAAAUCGAAAAAUCCAGAACUUUUCAGAAGUAUAUAAGCAAUUGCCCCUUAAAAAUAAUAUAUAAGAGAGACAAAAAAAACCUUUUGAAUAACUCUUGUACUUGCCCACCCAUCGGCUUAUGAGUAUGGAUAAGAGUGAUGAUUAUCCAAAAAUAUGCGGGUAAAUUCCACCCACGUUAGCAAAAUUCAUAGGUAUAAUGCCCCGUCCACGAUUGUCUAAUCCAGCUGUUUGUCAGGUCUAAUAUUGACAAAUUAAUUUAGAACAUUGUUAUUUGUACACUAAUCUUACACCCUCUCAUCUAACAAUCUUUGUUAGACUCUUAUCUUAUCUUUUUUUAAUACUAAAAAUGUGAAGAAUUUUUUAGACUUUAGAAUGAGAAGAUGUAAGAUUUACAUCCUUUUAAAUAUACAAAUAACAUUUUCAUUAAGAUUGAUUCUUACUAUUUAUGAUAGUAUAUUAGUAAUCGAAUAAUAAUAAAGUUAUCCAUAGAAGGUGCCCCAAUUAAGAAAGCUUUUUCCAUAGUUGAAAUUGAUUUAGCUAUGAAUUCACCCAAAAUGGCUUCUUCAUUUGAGCCACCUAAUUUCUUACACUUUUUUAUAAGCUUUCCGCUCUAAAGGGGAUCUUUAGUUUAACGUUCUCACAAAUAUAGUGCAAUAAAAAGUGCAUGAAGUUAGAUAUAACUAUCUAGAGUAGGGCUAUUUUAUUCUUAUAAGUAUAGAAUUUUUUAUAUUGAUAAGUUGUUUAUAACGAAGGAGCUUUCGAAUUGACGAUUCAUAUCAUUAAAUAUGAUCUAAAAUAUUUGAAACUUAGAGAAAGUAAAUUUUGUAAUUUUUUGAAAUUAUAAUAAAACCAUCAAGUGGAUAUAAAAUGAAUGGUUAAAAUUGAACAACAUCCUAAAAAUAGAUGAUCGGAUCCUUUAAUUUAAAAUCAGAGUUAUUCAUCUUCAUCUAGAUAGUGAAUAAAAUUUUUCAUCAAAAAUUCAAUCAAUUCUAAUUCUUUUAUAUCAUUAAACUAACAAGUAUUCCAUAUCAGCCAUUAAAAGUUAUCAAUUUUUAGAUCUUUUGAAUGUAAUGUAAAUGAUGCCGAAGAAUUAUGAAACUUAGUUUUAAAAAGUUAAAAAUGUUCUAAAUCAUGUUUAACGGUAUGAAUCGUCGAUUCGAAAGUUUUAUCAUCGAAAACGACAUAUGAGUAUAAUGACGAUCAUAUUCAUAAGAAUAUAGUAGCCGGACUCCUAUUAUCUAUUAUUUUAAAUUACUCUACCAACGCAUCUCCAACUACGUCCGAUUUAUGCAUAGUUGGAGAUGCAGUAGCUGGGCCUCUUGUUGGAUUUAGAUAACGUGAUUUAUUUAAGGCGAUAUAUAAAGAUACAAUCGAUCUAUUCAAAACGAUCUGUAAAGAUACUGUCAAUUCAACUAUUAGGAUAUAUAUAUUUGGACACGUUCUUGAUGGAUGGAUACGAUUUAACAUCCUUACAUUGGAUUAUAUAAAUAUAUGUAACAUACGAGAGUCUUAGUCUAAUCCUAAUUCUAAUUUCCGUAACGGUUCCAUAUCCGAGGAUAAGAAAAUAAGCUCAAUCAGAUCAUGAAUUAGGACGAAUCACAAGCAAGAAUUGCUGUUUACAAUCCCUAUCUGUAAAUCGAAAUAAUACCAGAAGAUACGAUUAUAAUUUUUCAUAAAGUUUAACACCUCUAAAACUGCAGGUCCAGCUGUAGUAUGUAGAUGCAAUCAUACUAAACCAAACAACUUUUUUAAAUUUCAGCUAUAAUUACACUUACAAUGCAACCUGAGCUGCAAGGGAUCGAGUCGGCAACGUAUUCAGAGACACACAGCGUGAUCAGAGUGAGGAGUCGGCGAAAAUUUUGUUAAGUGGGCUCAAUGCAUGUCUCCUGAGUUAAUUAAUUAAAUUAUUUAUUUAACAAUGCACAUGUGCUCGAUGCGAGGCUCUCGCAACUCAACAUUUAUGAGAUAGUGUACCAAGUGCCUAAUUAAAUUAGUGGGUCCGUGCAACUGAUUUAUUAUUAUACAUAUCAAUUUCGAGUCCCUAAUUUCUUGCUGAGUAAUUAAUGGUGGAGCAAUGAUUCGCAAAGCGCUAUUUAUGUGGUUGUGUGCGAGGAAAAUGAUACAUUUGGCACAUUGAGAAAUCAUACGAUUCAUUAGGUUCUCACAUGGUUUGAUGAGUACCCAGCCAUAUGUUUGGGUACUUGGGAAUUUCAUUGCAGGGUAAUAAUAAUAUAGUAUACGACUAGUGGAUUCUAAUAUUACACAAAAAAAACUUCAAAAACAAAAAAUUAUCUACAAACAUAUAUAUAUAUGUAGUUGUUGCCACUCUAUAUAUAUAUAUAUAUAUAUAUAUAUACACAGUGCGGCUAGAAUGCUUAUGGAAGCACGGAGGGCUCUGUACUUUCACUUUGUUUUCGAUGUUCGGACUUUCGAAUCGACGAUCGGCUCCAUUAGACUUGAUCUAGAGUAUUUAAAGUAUCUAGAAAAUAAAUUUUGCGAUUUUUCGAUAUCAUUUGCCUAGUGAUCGAAAUGGCUCAAAAUCAACGGCUGAAAAUAAAAAUCUUACAAAAUAUGAUGAUAUGACAUUAAAAUUUUGGAUCAAAGUUAUUGAUCUUGUUUUAUAUGGUAUAAAGAAUUUUCUAUCAAAAUUUCAUGUGAUUUGAAUAUUUCUACACUGUUAAACUUGCAACCGGCUCACCACGGCCGUUAAAAUUAUUGAUUUUGAGCCCCUUCGAUCACUAGGCAAAUGAUAUCGAAAAAUCGCAAAAUUUAUUUUCUAGAUACUUCAAAUACUCUAAAUCAACUCUAACGGAGCCGAUCGUCGAUUCGAAAGUCCGAACAUCGAAAACAACUUGAAAGCACGGAGGCCUCCGUGCUUCCAUAAGCAUACCAACCCACUCUAUAUAUAUAUAUACAAAUAUAGAGAGAGAGAGAGAGAGUUGAGCUGGAAUGCUAUCGGUAAUAAAUGGAUUCUUAUCGCCCAUUUAUUUUCGAUGAUGAAACCUCCAAAUCAACUAUUAGCAUUGUUGAAUAUGAUCUAUACCACUCGAAACAUUUAGAAAUCAAAUUUCAUAUUUUUUCGAUAUUAUAUAUUCUCUUGUCCAUCAAAUGGACACAAAAACAUUUAGAUCGCGAAUGUAGAUUUUGUUCUAAAUAGUUUUAAAAAAAAAUUAACCAAAAAUUAACUGAUUUGGAUAUCUUUACACCAUUAAACGAAAAAAUGCAUCAAAUCGACCAUUAAAAUUAUAAAUUUUGAAACCCUUUGAUCAUGAGGUCAAUGAUGUUGAAAAGAUUUAAAAUUUGGUUUUUAGCUAGAUACUUCAAGUGGUAUAAAUUAUGUUCAAUAAUGUUGAUCGUCGAUUUGGAGGUUCCAUUAUUGAAAAUAAAUGGGUGGCAAUGGAGCCUAUUUACUACCGAUUGCAUUCCAGCUCAACUCUCUCUCUCUCUCUCUCUCUCUCUCUCUCUCUCUCUCUCUCUAUAUAUAUAUAUAUAUAUAAUGAAAAAUAAAGUGGAAGUGGUUAUUGAGAGACCAGGUAUGGCUAAUCUGAUCAACUCUAUCAUGUAUGUAAUCGAUCAUUGACCAAAAGUUUUAAACAAUUCCCACUAGCUUUUACUCCGGAAAAACUAAAGCACGGGGGUGUAAAAAAGUUUACAAAUUUGAUCAUGCAGGACCCAAAAGAUAUAUAGUGAAUUUAGUUAACAACUUAAACACAUUGCCUGUAGUGUCCAUUCACCUUGGCAAAGAAGCAAAGCAUUGCACAUGAGUUUAGUUAAUAAACACAUUGCCUACAUGUGUGUCCACUCAAACAGUGCUUCAUUCGUGCCUUGUGGUUCUAUUAUGUUGUACCCUGGCCUGCGUUAUCUUAAGUCAUGGGCCCACAAGGGGUAGCUUCCAACAACAAAAAGUGCUUUUUGGAAUAGUCAAAUGAUACAAGCCUCCACUGUGGCUCAAUAGAGCUCCUCUACGAAGCAGAGACAAACUAUUGAUGAGCUGUAAUGAAUGUUGAAUCCACUCACGAGUGCAUGAAUGUGAGACAUAUGGAAGCAAAUAUAAGAGCAAUGUGUGGAUAAUGUAUAUCCCUACUUAAUUAAUAUAUGAGAGGGCUCUCUCAAAAAAAAACCAAAAAAAAUGAAGUGAAAAUGAAUGACAUAACUAGUUACUAAGUUAGUAGGUGUUCAAACCAUUAAAUUCCAAUGCUAGCAUUUGUUGCUUCAAGUACGGAAAAAAAAGGAUCAUAAUAAAGAGAUCCAACAACCAAGCAUACACAUGCACAGUAAAAUCGAAUCCGAUAUGUUUCGAUUGGAGUCGAUUUAAAGCUAAAUAAGACACAGGGCGAAUCCUCCGCUUUUCUCGACUUCGAGAUCCGGUAGUGAUUUGCGCGACAGAGUACUAUUGAUGCACAGCGUGAUGUGUAAUUGUGUAGCAGAAUCAAAGAGAAUUCGUAUGCGCUAUGAAGUAUAAGUGACAUUUCGGUCGAAUAUUUCUAGUAUUACUCAAAUGUAUAAUUUGUGCAUUUACCUUGGAUAUAUAAGGCCUAUAUAUAUAUAUAUAUAUAUAUAUAUAUAUGUAUAUGCCAAAACAAUAUAAAAUUUAAGCAGUAGCAAGAACUCAAGCAUAAAUUUUGUUUUAUAUGCUUAUAAAUAUAAAAGUGCUACUUUGUGAGAAAUUAAACGAUCACAUCUAACAAGCCUGAAGCCCGGCCUGCGAGGCCCGAUCCACCGAGCGGGACGGACAUGGGCCUAUCGGGAGGCCCUUUAAUUGGACCAGGCCUGGCCGGACUUGGGCCUCUAUAUUGUAAAUUCGGGCUUGACCAGGCCAGGCCCAGACAUGAUCCAGCCCGAUCCAUGAACAGGUCUAAUAGUAGGGAUGUCAUUUGUCACUGAGCACAUAUAUCCAAAAUUUUAUCCGAAUCUAUAUCCGAACAGACGAGUUUAUCCGAUUCUAAAUGAAUACGAUUUUAAAUAUAGGUAUAAAAAAUGAAAACUCAACGGAUUUGAGUAUGGACUUUGUCUCCACCCGAACUAAACUCAAACCUGAUCCAAAUUCAAAUUGAUUUUAUAUUAUAUAAUAAAUAUGAAUGUUUGAUGCUAUAUUUGUACAUGCACUUUAAAAUUUUAGAUUUUAAUAUAAUAUAUUUGGAAACAUGGUAAAUAGAAAUAAUUAUGUCGGGUUCAGGUUUCGAGUUUUUCGUCGGGUUUGGAUUUGAAUAUGAAUUUUCAAAAUCCAUCAGGUUCAAAUUCUAGUUCAAACUCUGGACUCGAAUUUCGGGUUCGGGUUCGGGCUUUGAAAAUUCUGGCUUGAAUCCCACCUGUCGAUACACUUAAUUGUUAGUGAAUUCCUGCAAUUUUGAUGAGUAUAAAAUUAGAAAAACUUCAAAUACCAUACCAGUGGUUUCGUGCUUUCUCACUUUAGUGUGAUUUCAAAUGUAUCACUUUAGUACUCUCUGGUUUCGUUUUUCUCUUUCUGUUAUCUUAUCCGAUAAUUUUUUUGUUCAAUCAGUGACAAAGUUAAAACCACGGGGUACUAAAAUAAAUAUUCGGUAAAUCAUAGGAUACUAAAGUGAAUAUUCGAUAAACUAUAUAUAUACCUGUGGAGGUACUGAUGAAAAAAAUAAAAUAAAAUUACAAGAUACUGAGGUGAUAUAUUUUAAACAACUGAAUAUUAAAGUGAGCAAAUGCGAAACCCCGAUAAGUGUUCAAAUUAUACUGGACCAAAUGAUGAUGAUGUUCAUAAUUUGCUGCUUAUUAGGAAUUUUUUCUUUUUUUACUUUUUUUUUUUUUUUUUUCGCCCUUUGAGACAUCUCCCACCUCAAAUCAUUAUCUCGAAUUUUACUGUGCAUCACGGCUCCUUGACCAUCACACAGUUGUGUUAUUUAUGGAUCUAUUUGCUUUAACUUUUCGCGAAAUAAUUUUUACAUAAUUAUUUAUGGAGAGUGUUUGGCUCACUCUAACAGAAAAUUAUUUUAUUUUAAAAUAAUUUUGUAAAGUUAUUUGACAAAUUCUCUAACAAAAUUUUAUAAAAUUUAAAUAUAAAAUAUUAAUUUGAAUUUUAAAAUUUAAAUUUAAAUUUUAAAUAUUACAAUUUAAAAUUUAAGUUUUCAAAAUUCAAAAUUUAAAGUUUUUCAUUCUAAAUUUUAAUUUUUUAAAUUCAAAAUUUAAAAUGUAAAUUUCAACUUUUUAGAUUUAAAGUUUAUCGAUUUUGAAUUUACAAUUUAAAUUUAAAUUUAAAAUUCAAAAUAAAAAUCAAAGGUUAAAAUUUAACAUUUGAAUUCAAAAUUAGAAUCAGAUUUUAGAAAGUACAUAGGUUUUAGCUGUUUCUGGUUUUGAGCCUUUGUAAAUUAGAAUUCAAAUUUUAAUAUUAAAAUCAGAUUUUACAAAAAAAAAAAUUACCAAACAUUCAUUUCACACUAAAAUUACUUUCCAAAAAUUAGGCGAAAUACAUGUCUAACUCUUGUGGCACAUAAAUUUGCCGUAGAAAUAGUAGUUGGCAAACAAUGGGCUCCUAAGAUGCCCAAUCUCGGAUGCCUUCACCUUAGAAAUUUCUAAGGUGCUGAUAAUAGUGUCAAUCCAUUUUAUUCGUGCAUGUUUACUUUUUUUUUUUUUUUUUUUUUUUUUUUUUUUUUAAUAUUACUACAUCAAUAGUGAAAUUUACUACAUCAAUAUUACUAGUUUACUAAUAUAUUAGCAAUGUAUAGGAAUUUGUGGUAUGCACUCUGAUGUUUAUUAAAAUUAAAAUACAAAAAGAAAUUUCUGUAAAUAUCUAUUUUUUUUUUUACUUUUAAAAAUCUGUAUUUUUAUCCUCUUAAAAUUUUAAGUUGAUGCACCUAGUCCUUUUCCGUCAGGGUUUCGUCAUUACCCUUUUCCAUUAGGGUUUCGUCGUUAUUCCGUCUAUUUUAUAUAAUUUAUACCGAAAAUAUCCUUUAAAAUAAUAGAGAUAUAUUAAAAAAAUUAUUUUUUUUCUCGAGAAUAAGUAGAAGGAUAAUUUGGUCAUUUUAUCUUCUCUAUUAACGUCGUACACUCUGAAAAUAUUUUUUAAAUUUUGAGGGGGUAAAAUAUAAAUUUAUAAAAGUAAGAAAGAAAAAGUGAAAAAAAAAUGAGUAUUACAUGAAUGCUUUCUAUAUUUUAGCCCUUUAUUAAUAUGAUUCACUCAAUAUGAUGCCCUACUAUGAUUCGUCUGAUCUCUUGUUAUCUGACAAUCUAAAAAAAUUGAGGAUCACAAAAAUAUAAAGGCCUUUGUAUGUUUGGAUGUACGAAUAUUUUGUGUGACAUAUUUUUUAAAUUUUUAUAAUAAAUUUGUAAUUUAUGAUAGAUAACGAGCGCGAUCAAAUUUUUUGAAUGUAAAGACCUUUAUUUUUUUUCAAAAUAAGAUAAAGCACAAUUUAAGAAAAAUAUACUAUUUUACCAAAUCAUAAAUACUGAGACAUUGUAAUAUCUGAUAGAUAAUGAGUGUGAUCAAAUGUUCUUAAUAUAAAGACCAUUAUUUUCUUUUGAAAUAAGAUAAAGUACAAUAUAAGAAAAAUCUACUAUCUUGUCAAAUCAUAAAUACUGAAACAUUUUAUAAAGCAAAAUUUAAAUUUCUAGCUUCCAAUCAAAGAAAAAAAAAAUCUUUAUAUCAAACAAAUUAGGGUAAACUUCAAAUACCACCCUUGUGGUUUCGUAUUUUCUCACUUUAAUACCCUGUGGUUUAAAGUGUAUCAAUUUAGCCCUCUAGUUUUAUUUCUCUCUUUUCGCCAGCCCCUUCGUUAACUUUUUGUUAAAUCAUAUACAAAAAACUUCAGAUAUCUCACCUAUAUUUUAUCGAAUAUUCAGUUUAGCACUAUUUAGUUUUAACUUUGUCACUGAUUUAACGAAAAAAAUUAGUGGAGGGAUAACAAAAAGAGAAAAAUAAAAUCACAGGGUAUGAAAAUGAUACAUUUUAAACCACAGGAUACUAAAGUGAAAAAGUACGAAACUACAGGCCGGGGUAAUAGAUUUUGGCCCAAAACCUGCUUUCAGAUGAAAGAUUGAAACUUUCCACACAGUUCUGCAAUUGAAUUCUUGUUUCAUAUUAUAAAUAUUUGCAUUUUAUGAGUGAAAAAAAAAAAAAAAUUGUAUAUAUAUUUAUUAGGAAGAGAGUUUUCCCUCCAACCUCUCCUGAGCUCUCCAACAACCUCACUGUCACUUCCACUCAGUGAUCUAAAUGCUUACCUCUUAUCCACACAACUCCUAUUAAAUCUUAUUUAUUAUCUCUACAAGUUUUUUUUUCCUUCUUUUUUCCUUUUUUUUUGUUUUGUAUUUCACUUUCACCCUCCUUUUUUUUGUCCUUUAUUUUAUUAUGGUGAUAGGGAGUUGACCAUUUAUUAUGUGCUAUUAUUAUUUUACUAUUUGUCAUUUAGGAUUGCAUUAAAAUCUAAAAGAAGUCAUUAAAUUAGUCAAAGAAUAUGCUCCCUUUUUUUGUAAAAAGAUGGGAAAAAAAAAAUAAUUAUACUUCUUUUUGGCUCGGGAAAGAGUCUAAAAUAAAUUAUAAGCUGCAAAGUUUGGAGUUCAAAUACGAAGCUUUUAUUUCCCACGCAGCAGAGAGUCGCUAUAGAGAAUUUAAUAGAAAAGCUAUUGGUAACAAUGCAAAUAACUUUUUUGAAUAGUUCUACUUAGAUAAUUAUUAUUUUUUUUUUUUGUCAUUACGCCCUCUCUAUUAACGCGUAGCCUCCUGAAAAUAUUUCUAAAAUUUUAAAAAAUUAAAAGAGAAAAAAUAUAAAUAUUUAGGGAGAAAUUAUCUAUAUAUUUAGCAAUCCUUUUUUUCUCAUUCAGCAUAAGGCAUGAACAAAUCCUAGGCUUUUGUAGGUUGGUAUUGCUUUAUUGGGAACUACCAACACUGCAAUGCUGGGCCCACCUAGGGUUUCUCUGAAUCAGCUGUGAAGGUUAGGUGGGACCAGGGCUCACUUUGAAAUGCCCUUCCUUUGCAUUCAUGGAUGUGUUAAAAGCUUCAGCAGGUGAACUAAUGAAUGUCCUAAGGAGCCUUUAGAUUCAUGGGCCCCAAAAUAUCAAUAAGUUGUAGUGCAUAGGCUUCAAGGGCAACAACAGUUGCAGGCUAGUUAUUGCAGCUUCUUUUCUCCUCAUAAAUUUUCACUUUGGGGUGUAAGAAUGUUCACCUAAAUGCCUACAGGGUUCAUGUUCUCUCCAUAGUUACAGCUUAUGAAUUAAGGCUCCGUUUGGAAUUGCGAGAGAAUCAACGGGACAUAACCGUAAGAAAAUACGAUAGAAAAAUACUCUGUUUGUUUCCGUAUUUAAUAUCACGUUUCGCAUAUCACAAUAAGUAGGUUACGAUAUUUUUAUUUCGAUCCCACCAUAUAUAUAUAUAUAUAUCACUAUAUUGCCUCAACUUCCGUUUGUCUACUAGCAUUAGACGGAUCUCAGUAUCAAAUGUUCUCUAAGAAUGUUGUUUAGUAUGGUUGGAGCUUUUGUAGAUGUGCUGUUCAAAUAUAAUCCUUCACAGAAAUACUAAUAGUUUUUUCAUUAAAAGACAAUGUUCUCUAACAAUUUAAACCUUUUUAGAGACAAACGUUUGUUUCAUAGAAUCCAUCUUAAAGAACUUUUUACCACAACAUAAAUAGAAGUUUAUUUCAGUGAUAAGUUUAAUUCUGUUUUGGGUGUUCAGAAGCUCAAUAUCAAUUUCCGCUGCAAUAAUUGCGGGCUUAGUAUACCUUUUACCAAUUGAUUUUGCAUUUAGUUUAUGAUUGAGACUUAAUUUUCUACAGAACUAAAAGAGGAGGAGUGGCAGUAACCAAGAGCAUUAAUGAAGCUAACAAACAACUCUAAUCUUGCUGGAUUAAGCAGUUGGAAUCAACUAACCAAAUUUAAUUUAAAGCUAAUUUAAUUUAAGGCUAAUUGAUGUGCCUCUCAUCGGGUCGUACAUCGAUCGCGGUCUCGCGUCAACUUACAUUACCAUCAAUGAAAACCAGGAAAGGCCCACCCCAAGGUUGAAAUUCUCAUCCAUUACUUCAAAUAGAGUGGCAACAUCACUUUCCUCAUAAAUAGUUUCAUGUAUAAAGCUUUAAUCAUAAAUAACACAUCAGUAUCAGUUUUACCGGAAGAAUAAUUGCUCGUGAAAACACACAAUUUUACUUUCCAUCGCAAUAGUUCCUAUAAUAAUAGCUAACACAUGUGCUAUUUAUGCAAUGCACAUAUUUUUUUAACUACCAUUUAAGCAUUUAUACCAAUAAUAAUAGAAACAACCAAACACUUUCUCGAACUUUAGGAACUGUACGAAUUGCUCAUCAGUUAAUGUUAAUGAACAGAAGUCAAUACCCGAACCACACAUCCUUGCUUCAUGUAGGGAGAGAAAUACAGACAUAGAUAAGAGUGAGAAAAUGGACUAAGCUAAAAAAAAUAAAAAAAAGGAAGCGAAAAAAAGGGAUCGAGGAGUUAUCGAGAGCAAGGAAAAGAGACAAGCAUGGUGCGUUCUUGACUUCCUUUUUAAAAGCUUCCUAAGCGUAAAUGCAACACGACCCUUGUUAAGAACCCCUUUGAACUUCAUCUUUAUGAAGAGAGAAACAUAUUUAUAUAUGGCAUCAGCAUCAGCAGAAUCAGCAGCAGCAGCAGCAGCAGCAGAAGCUGCAAGCACACCACAGUUAAUUCCAGCUCUUUGAUGAGCUCAUUGAAGAUCCCAACCAACCCAAAAAAGUUAAAAAGAAAUGAAAAUAAAGAACCAAUUAAAAAUCUCCUCCACUUUAAUUCGAUUCCCGCAUCAAAGAGCCACUGAAAUUCAUCUGAUGUGCUGCAGCUGAGAUUCAAUAUCAGCCACUGGGGCAAUUCAAAGCAGCCUUUAUUUGCUGCACAGUUGUGCUUAUGAGGUUAUUAACCGUCGCCACCGACUCCACGUUGAGCUUGGACGAGGGGAGGCUGCUGACGAGUAUCUGAAACGCAACGGUGAGCAACGAACCAGAGGAAUUGAACCCGGUUUGGUGCGCGCUCGAGCUCGUCGAGGCCCCUCUAACCCCACCAGCUCGACCGUCAGGAAGAAUGGUGAACCCGGAGGGGAGGAGCGCAAUGUUCGACGGGUCCUCGCCGCUCAUCACGAUGUUGAUGGCCGGGAUGUCUAUGGGUGCGUAGACCACGAGAGAGCCCGACGCGUCAGUGCAGCUCUCUUGUAGUAUCAGCAUGCUACUCUGGCUCGAAUUCAGUCCCUGUGUUUGAUUUCCAAAUAGUGUAAAGUUCUACUAAAGUUCGUAUCCUUCGAAGAGAACAAAAGUUUACUGAAGACGCAAGACAGUAAACUUACUCGAAGUAGCGAAAUACAAUUCCCUGGAUCCGAACCGUUUGAUAUCCUAGCAACUUCUUGCACCGGAUUGCCACUCGAGAGAACAUCCCACUGCGAAAGAUUACAUCCGAAUUCAAAAGAAUUUCCACUUGAAAGAACUGCGAGUAAAAGAAAGCGAGGAGUUAGGUAUACGGUGAGGACCUGAGGCCGCAUAUUUUCAUCUCUGAAGAAAGAGAAGACCCUCUCGCACGACAUUGGUAGCCACAACGAGGUCGCAGCGCUCAGAACGACGCCGCUAGGCUGGCCAGGAUCCGAGCUUCGAUGAACUGUGACGCGAACACCCACGUCGCUUAACCCGGAUAGCAUCGUCCACCGCUGGAUCUGGGAUGAGCUCAAACUAGCACAAAAGUUGUUGACCAUCCUCUGCGAGAGCUUCAUCAUACUUCUCUUCCCCUCCGGCGAGGGAAUAACUGGCAAAAAUAGAUCAAAUUGUGGUCAAAAUUUUUUAGGUUUUAAUUCCCGCGAAAAAACUAGUCUAAGCAAUCAUGAAGUACCUCCUCCGAGCUCCCUAGAGGUAGUAGCCAUUAGGCCUGCAAAUCUUUCGCAUGUUCGCUGCAAAGUGGUUAGCCAUCGUUGAGCUCCGAAUGCCGCCCCACUGUUGAUGAGUUCCCGAUAGAGUAGAUGAGUGCUAACUUUCUCUUCAAUUUCCAUGUGUUCCACCCAAGUAACCUGCACCAAAAUGUCGCACUAAAAAACCGCAAAAACAAGAGAACAUAGACAUAUCUUAACACCAAAGUAUCAUGAACAAAUGUAUAAUGUAGCACCUUGGAGUAUCCAUUGGGCAUAUCUUGAAUCAAACAGCCGGAAGGGAGCCUCCGAGACCGCAAAGGCGAAUUGAACUGAUUCUCUCUAUUUAAGUCUAGCGAAACAUCGGCUAUAGCCCACAAACCCUGAUCGAUUUGCCGACAGUAACGCAGGAAGUGGAACUCGCGCGUGGGCACAACCGGCGAUAGCACAUGCAGUUCCUCAUACAUCUGCAUUUGCAUUCCAAUCAGAAAAGAAUGAAGCGAUUUGUCGCGACAAAUACCACGAAAAGGAUUUGCAACGAUAAUGCGAUCGAGUAACUACCAAAAGCAACGAUCCGCUUCUUCCAACCAUCCCAGUCGCGAGGACUUCGAGCGUCCUAGCCUUGGAAAUAAUGGCGGACAAGAAUUCCAACCACUUGCCCUGUACAAUGUAGGAACUGCGAAUCAAUCUCAAUCCAAAUUGAAUCUGCGAGAGUUAAGAUUAAACCAACCAGAAAUAGUCGUUGGAGCUCACCGCGUCCAUGAAAACAUCGACCAACGCCGUUGCAUUCAUGAGCACUAAGCCCGAAUCCCUUGAGGCCUCUAUGCGGAUAUCCGGAUCCCUAUACCGGUCAUCGGGCUUCUGGAACAUCCUAUCAUAGGUUUCAAUACACAUGACCUCUCCUCUGUCACCGCCAUUCCUUACCCACAAGUGCUCAUCAGUUUGCGCGAGCCUAAUCACCUCCUCCAUUGCAUUAGUAGCCAUCUCCACCAUAAUAGGUUUCUCAAUCUCAGGCACCGCCGUCGGGAAAUGCGGAACGGUGACAGAACCACUCCCGGUGAGGAGAUCAAGGUCGAGCGAAGGGGCAAUUGUGGGGUUUCCAAGCGCCCCGACCGAUAAAUCCAAUGACGAAGCAGCCAAGUGUUGAAUCAAAGGAAGCUGAGUGAUGGGUCUUCCGAGAUACUUCGAUGUCAAGCCGGAAACUCGAUCGAGCUGUCCCAAAAUUGAUCGAAAACAAGAAACUUUACUCGAUUUUAGCCGAAAAUCCGAGACCUUUUCAUCUCAUUCAUCAACAUGGAAUUAUAGAGACAAAAAAGAUUUGAACAAGUGGGUAACUAACUAACUAAUUAACUACCUCUUCUUUCAAUCUAGCAUUCUCCAUUCGCAACUUUUGCUCGUCGAAGUAGGAGCCGCAGGAGGGGCAGAUGACGUUCUUGAGCGCCUCGCGCAUCGCGAUGUUCUCGCACCGAAUCUUGUCGUUCUCCGACCGCAGAGUGGAGUUGUCGGCCCUCUCAUGCUGAACCUGCCACCACACAUGAACACACACAAACACAUAUAUACAUAUAUAUAUAUAUACAAGCACAAUGAACCAAAACCAUUACAAAAAACAACUCCUUUUUACUCUCUACAACAUCUACAACAUCUACAACCACCAAUUGAAUGAAAAAAGUGGGAAAAUGAAAGGAAAGGAUAGGGAACCUUCAUCUGGGUCCUCCUAUUCUGGAACCAAAACUUGAUCUGCCGAGGCUCCAACCCCAGCUCCCUGCUUAGAUGCAUCCUCUGCUUCUCAUCAGGGUGCGGGCACUCCUUAAACAUCCUGUAGAACAAGCAAAAGCCCACACGGGGAUUACUCCACAAGAAGCUCAAAAAGGAAAGCAAAAGAUCAAAAAAGAGGGGUUUUUGACGCGACGUACGCCUCGAGCAUCUGUAUCUGCAUCGGAGUGUGGCGGUGGUACCUCUUCUUCUUCCUCUGCGCAUCCGAGCAUUCUUGGUCGUCGCCAAAAUCCAUUUUUUCUUUCCCUUUUUUGUCUUGUUUUUUUGUUUUCUCCCCUCUUCUGCGAGCUCAAACCAAGUGCUCUACUCCUCCCACCGCAACACAACAACAACAAUAAGAAACCGACAAAUGGGCAUGCGUUUUGGGGCUAAAAGGCAUGGUUUUGGGCGCUCAAAAAGAGCUCUUUUGGUGGUUUCUCCUCUCGCAGGAGCCGCGCUCGGAAAUAUCGGCAAAUAUUGGGGCGCUGAUACGAGAAAAAGAAAAAAAAAAAAAAGAAAGGUUUUUGGGGUUGGGUGGUAGGAAUUAAUACAUACAAACAGUGUUCGUUCUCGUUCUCCCCCACAAACACAAACACUAUACUUUGUGUGUUUUUUUUUUUUUUUUAAUAGCUCGGUUGGGGAGAGGGAGAGAUAACCGAUGCGUAUUACAAGGAGAGGAGUUGAAUACUUGAAUUUUCCGAAUUUAAAUCAUCUCGCAGGGUUCGAGGUCGAGGGAGUUCACUCUCUCUCACUCUCUCUCUCUCUCUUCUUUCUCUCUCUUCUUCUUCUUCUUCUUCGGUCUCGUUGGUGAAUUGAGAGGGAGAAGUGGGGGUGGUGGUGGUGACGGGUUGGCACAGCUGGAGCAAUUAAAGGCGCGCGACGAAUCAAACGGCUCGGAUUCGGACUUCGCUCCGUGGCCUGUUUGGCCCUCUUUUAGUUUUUGCCCCUUUGCUCUGGCUGCUGAGAAAGGGCUUUUUCUAGUAUCAAGCUCAGCCUGGAAUGUCAGUAUGGAUAUCUAAAAUUUUAUUCAAAUCCGAAUCCGAACCGAACGAAUUUAUACGAUACUAAAUAGAUAUAGUUUCGAAUAAGAAUAUCAAAAUUAAAAAAUAUAAAUUUUGACUGUUCGGGAUCCGAACCCGAACUCAAAUUAAUUUUACAUUAUAUAUAUAUAGUAUCACGCUAUAGUGCUCUUAGAAGUACAAAGUAUUUGGUAUUUGUAAGUUUUUCACAAUUAAAUUUAUUCUCUCCAUCAAUUUCACCUUUUAAAUUUAUUCCUUUGAUCCAUUUCACCCCUAGAUUAUGCUAUUCCACCGUUCACCCACUCAAAUCUUCGGACCAUUAUUAUCCUAAUCCUACAAAUCUUCAUCCAAAAGCUGAAAACCUAUGAGUACCAACGACCUGAUGCUUUUAAAAGAAUAGAAACUUAAUUUUAUAUAUAUAAAUAUUUAAUGUUAUAUUUGAAUUUAUAUUUUAAAAAAUUAAAUUAAAUCUAAUAUGUUUUGAAAUAUUGUAAAGAGAAUUAAUUGUUUUGGAUUGGGGUUUUCAGGUCCGCAUUUCGGUUUCAAAUUUUUGGUUGAGUUUGGGUUUGGAUAUGAAUUUUAAAAUCCAUAUGAAUUCAGGUUUCGAGUUUAAUAGUUAGGUUCUGGUUCAAUUUUUUUGAAACUUCGCUUUGAAUUUGACCCGUUGGCAUCAAUUGGGACUAAAGUAUAUAUAUACAUAUAUUUUUCUGCGGGAGCGUAGAGAGAAUUGGCUGGUCUGUUUUACCGACAGUGAAGUUUAAAUUUUAGCAAAUUUUCACAUGAAAAUUAUUUUUCUUCCGCUAUUUAUUUGUAUAGUUGUAGAACUGAAAUUCCUUCAGUUCUGUUUUUUAUGUGACAGAAAAUGAAUAACCUAAAAAGAUAAAGGUGUAGUAAAAUGAGCUUUUUUUUUUUUUUUUUCGUAAUUGACUUCAGAGAGUUAAUUUGAGUUUUGACCGACAAUGAACCAAACAAUGAAAAUGACUAUUGACAGUUGAGAACUGCUUCACCUCUCUCCACUUUCGGUUAAAUAAACACACCCCAUAUCAUAACCAAUAGACGGAGUAUUUUUCUAUUACUGCACAUACGGUUAUCUCUUUGUAAUCCCAAAAAAAUUUAACAUAAAAUUAUUUUUAGAAUUAAAUAGUAGUAUUUAUAUGAUUUGGCCAUUGACCUACAUUUGUGGACAAAGAUGGAGAGAAGACUUUAACUAUAACCAACAUGGAGUUAAAAAAUACAUUUCUCGCAAAAUUCUAGCCCCAAAAUAUAUCUCAUACUCUAUCUCUUUCACCGCACCAAAUUAAUAGCAUAUAAGAUAUAUUUAUAUUAAUGACUAAAACCUAAUAAAAUUAGUAAUAAUCUCAAUAAGACUAAAAAUAAUUCUAAUUUAACUUUAAUGGAUUGACCUAUAUAAAAUAGAUUUAGAAAGUCUUACGGUUCAAAAAUUUUAGACAUAUCCAAUAAUACAAAAUUAAAAAAAAAACUAUUGAGAAUAAACUAAUGUAAUCCUUUUUCUAAUUGUAUUUUAUUAAAUAGCACUAUACUCUACAGUAAUGACUAAAUGAAUCCUUCAUCGGUGAAAGGAAGAAUGCAGUGCAAAAAAUAUUUUGAAAAUCGGAUCGAGCUGCAACUCAAAAAUGUCAUUUGGUUAAGAGUCACUGGUUCGACAAAUAGGUCAACCACUGAUUGAACCAGUGAAAUCAGCAUGACGUUACAAAAUAUUUAAUUAUUAUUUUAAUUUUAUUAUAUAAAAAUAGAUAUUAUUAUUUAGUAUCAUGCUUAAUUAUAAAAUAGGAUUUUUAGAGAAACUUAAGUACAUAUAAGCUUUCAAGUUUACUUUUUAUAAGACUAAUAUGUAUUAAUAGAAAAUAAAAUUAGUUUGUAUUCUUGAUUAAUUAAAUAAAAUCGCCUUAGGGCGUCUUUUUUCUUAAAAAAAGAAAAGAAAAUAAAACUAGUUAAGUUAAUUUUUGGGAAAACUUUAAAAAACCCCUCUGUGGUUUCGUAGUUUCUCACUUUGCCUCCCUGUGGUUUAAAAUGUAUCAAUUUGCCCCCCUGUGGUUUCUUUUUUCUCUUUUCCUUAUCAAUUUUAUUAUUAUUUUUUUCUUAAAUCAGUGAUAAAGUUAAAAUUAAAGGUACUAAAGUAAAUAUUUGAUAAAUCUAGAUGGGUAUCUGAAGUUUUUUAUAUAUAAUUUAAUGAAAUAUUAACGAAAAAGCUACCAAAAAGAUAAAAACGAAACCACAUGGGGGCAAUUUGAUACAUUUUAAACCACUGGGGGGCAAAGUGAAAAACUACGAAACUACAGGGGGGUUUUGAAGUUUUUCCUUAAUUUUAAGAUAUUGGAUUUUAAUAUGACUUGAUUAAAAAAAAAAUCCAGCUAUAUUGAUUAAAAUCGGACCAGUUCAUUAUUUCGACGGUUGAACCAACGGUUCGAAUAGUUCAACACAAUUUUUUAACGUAUUCUAGUUUGAAGGAAUGAAUCGAAUUGCUUUAUAGACUGGAUUACGGUCGGAUCGAACUGGUUCGACCCGAUUUUAUUAGUAAAAAUUCCGACUAAAGUGUAAUGCAUUGUCAAAUGCCGGCUUUAAAGGGUGUUAGAGGAUCAAAAAUUUUGCAAGUACUUUAAGCCUCCGUUUGGUUCGGGGUUAAGGAAAAAGUAGCUAUACCAGGGAUAUGGUUAAGUUCAGGGUUAAAGUGGGAUUAAAAUUUUUUUGUGUUUGGUUGGAGGUUGGAGUUAGUCUAGAAUAGUAAAAAAAAGUGUUUGGUUGGAGUAGGUGGGAUAAAAAGAUAAUGAUUGAUAAAGAAGAAAAAGGUGAGGGCUCGGGAUGCGUGCGGGGUUAAAGUUGGGAGAGGGAGUGGGGUUAAUGAUUGAUAAAAAAGAAAAAGGUGAGGACUUGGGAUGCGUGCGGAGUUAAAGUUGGGAGGGGGAGUGAGGUUAGUAAACCCCACUAACCCGGUUUGGGGUGGGGUUUACUAACCCCACACCUUAAGAGUGGUGUUUGGGUAUAAAUUGGGGGUUAAGGGGUUAUUCCACCCCUUAACCCCCUAACCAAACGGUGGCUAAGAAUUUUCUUUUGUGAUACUUUUAAAACAUGUUAAAAUUUCCAUCAAAAAGAUAUUCAAUUAAUGCUUCUCAAGUUUAUGGUUUUUAUCACCAAUGCACAGUAUCAGAGGAAAAAGAAACUCGUUCCAAAAGCUUCUGUUCCUAGAGAUGUCAAUGGAUAUGGAUAUUCGAAAUUUUAUCCGAAUUCAAAUCCGAAUAAAACGGACAUAUUCGAAACUAAAUGGAUAUGGAUUCGGAUAUGGAUAUCAAAAAUAGAAACCCGACGGAUAUGAAUUCGAAUAUGGAUUUUGACUGUACCCGAUCCGAACCCGAAUCCGACCCGAACCCGAAUUUAUUUUGUAUUAUAUAUAAUAUAUAUACUAAAUUUGAUAUUAUAUUCGAAUUUGUAUUUUAAAAUUUUAGAUUUAAUAGAAUAUAUUUUGAAAUAUUGAAAAAAGAAAUAAUUGUUUCGGAUUCAAAUUUUCGAGUUUGGGUUCGGGUUCGGGUUUGGGUUUCGGAUUUUUGGUCGGGUUCGGGUUUGGAUAUGGAUUUUUAAAAUCCGUCGGGUUCGGGUUCGGGGGAUUUCGGCAUUUUUUAAAAAUACGUCCCGGCAUUCCAACCCGUGGACAUCGUCUAUCUGAUUCCAUAUAUAAGAUAUGUAUAUAAUAUAUAUUAUAUAUAUAUAUAUAAUACUAUAUACUAUAUAUAUUAUAUAUAUACUAUAUACUUAUAGUACUAUAUAGGAGUCCGGCCUGCCCUAUGCUAGUGAUAGCACCAAACACUGGCUGCCUAUCAAGUUUUCUACCGUUAGAUUAACCGCUUUUAUUAUUUUUACCCGUUAGAUAAUACUAUCUCAACCAACCACCCACUCAGUCUUAGGGGGGGCCCACAUCAUUCCUAACGCAUCAUAUUUUCUCAACCAAGAACUAAAAAACUAAUAGCCACCAAAUUUCUUGGUGCGUAGGUGAUAGUCAUUCCAGGACUAUCAAUAGCACUAAGUUAUUGGUGUUAUAGUUUUUUUAGCCUUAAAUUGAGAAAUGUGUUGCAUUAGGAUGAUGUGCGGGCCUCAUAGAGGUUGAGUGAGUGAUUUGCGUUGAUAAGGUACAAUCUACAAGCUACAAAUAAUUAAGAUUAAAUUCUAAGCGGUUGGACAGCGCAGCCCCGUGGUGGAAAACUAUCGGUGGCUACAGAUAGUAUUCCCAACGACUAUCUAUAUAUAUAUAUAUAUAUAAGUAUCAUAUAGGUAUAUAUAUAUAUAUAUAUUACAUAUAAAUCUAUAUAUAUUAAUAUAUAUAAAAGCCUCUGCAAGGGCAAAAAAGCACCCAUUAAUUGAAAUGACUUAAUUUUAUAAUUAAAAAUAAAAAAAGAGGUGAAAAGCGGUUGCAAAAGCGUUACGAACCUACUUGAAGCUGCUAGCAAAAAUUUUCAGUUAACAUACUCAAUUUUUUUAUUUUUAAUUUUAAUAUUUAACUUAUACAAUUUAUUUGAUUUAAAUCAGUUAAUGACGACAGACUUCAAAAUUUAAAUUAGCUGCUAACUUUAAUAAAUUUAUAUGGGAGAAAAUUGAAUAGAAUAUACUAAUUAAAUCUCUAAAGAUAAACGACACAUUUAAAAUUUGAAGUCAAAGUAUUAUUAAUUAAUUCAAAUCACAUCAACUGAAGAGUUGCAUAGUAAAAUUAAAAUUAUAAAAAAAUAGAUAACAGCUUUAGAAUAGUUCAUAGUUUAGGCGAGUGCUAUAUGAUUUUACCUUCCAAAGAAUAGAGUUUCUAUGUUGAGUACUUAAAAAUCUUGAAUUUCUAUGUUUUUGUUUUAAAAGAUUACAUUUUGAAGCAAGGAAAUCAUUGGUAAGCUAGGUUAAAUUAACAGAUAAUAAUCCUCGAUUAGAAAUUUAAGAGCAAAGUGCCUUGAAAACGAACAUUGAAAAGGGGUCGGAUUUGGAGUUUUGUUGCAUCCGAUAAGACUUUUAUCUUUAGUAGGGAAAAAGAGAGGCCAUUAAUAUUAAAUGGGUCGAAUUUGGAUUAAUAUUGGACUGAUCCAAAUGGACAACAAUUAACUUAAUAAUAAUAAGGCCAAUUUGUAUAAAAAAUUCACAAGUUUGAGCUUUUGCAAAAUUAGACCGUUUUUUUCGUUUUACAGAUUCGGUUCGGAUUUUUAGAAAAAUGAAGAGAGAGGCUGAGGUGGAGGUGGCCCGCCUCGCCUCUGACCCCCACGCUCUCGCCCGCAUCUGCACACCACCCAUCCUCCUCGCAUCUAACCCCACCAAGGCUGUGCUCGUUGCUACCCUUUGGAAUGCCUUCCUCGCGUCCGCCCCAUGCGCCCUCGCCCGCACCCGCUCACCGCCCCUCCUCCUUCCCUCCUCGCCUCCGAUCCCGCCGAGACUGUGCUAUGAUCCUCUUUUUUCUUUUCUCCGAAACUUAUCCACCACCUCCGCAGCCCUUCCCGACCCACUUCCACCUCCAUCUCCAAUGCAACAAAUUUUUCACCCACCAAACCCAUUUCUGAGAAUCUGCGGUUCUCACCACCAUUGCCGACGAUGAAAAGGAAACGCUUCUCAGCGCCAAGAAGCUCACUGACGAGAGAGACGGUACGCGACCCACCGCGCCCACCUGGGGCCGGCGACGAGCGAGGUGGAGACGGAGAAGAGCGCGAUGACGCCAGAGAGGAGGGUGGGGUGGCGGCGAGCGCAGCAUCCCAGAAGGUAGCAGCGAGCGCGGCCUCGGCAAGGUCGGAGGCGAGAAAAGCGAGGGUUGCACUGGAGCAUCUCUGGUCAAGCACUUUUGUUUGCUUAAAACAAAAAAGAUUAACUAAAAAUCAAAAACUAGAGAAUAAGAAAGAAGAACUAAAGAAGAAAAAAGAAGAAGAUAAAAUUGCAGUGUUAAGAUAAAGUUACAUUAUUUUAGAAGAACGUUGUAAUAUUAUAGACGUAAAUUGCAUACUUUGAGAUGUAAAUUGCACCAUUUAAGAUAAAAGUUACACUUUUUAAACAAAAGUUGCACUUUUUGGAAGAUAGUUACACUAUUUCUGCUCCCAAAAAGCACCCUUUAAGAUGAAAGUUACACUCUUUGAAAGAUAGUUAUACUAUUUUUCCUCCCAAAGAGUAUCCUUUAAGAUGAAAGUUACACUUUUUGAUAGAUUAUUACACUAUUUUUUCUGCCAAAAAAAUGUAAUUUUUAUUUAAAAAGUGUAACUUUCAUCUUAAAGGGUACAAUUUAUAUCUCAAAGACUGCAAUUUAUGUCUAUAAUAGUGUAACGUUCUUUUAAAAUAGUGUAACUUUAUUUUAACAAUUUAACUUCAUUUUCUUCUUCCUUCUUCUCUAGUUCUUCUUUCUUAUUAUCUAGUCUUUUGUUUUUAGUUUAUUUUUUUAUUUUAAACAAACAAAAGUUCUUGACCAGAGAUGCUCCCAUGUACCCUCCGUCCUCUUUGCCUCCAACCCCGCCAAGGCUGCUCUCACCGCUGCCCUCUGGGUCAGACUCUAGGUGGGCGCGGUGGGUCGCGUGCCCCCUCCUUCGCUACCGAGCUUCUUGGCACUGAGAAGCGCUUCCUUUCGACAUCGUCAGUGGCUAUGGUGAGGACAAUGGGUUCCCAAAAGUGGAUUUGGUAGGUAAAAAUUCUACUGCACUGGAGAUAGAGGUGGAACUGGGUCGCGAAAGGCCGUGGAGACAAUGGAGGAUGUUCAGAGAGAAAAAAAAAAAGAAAAGAGAAUAGCAGCGGUUGGGUCAAAGGUGAGGAGGGCGGGGAGUGAGCCGGCGCGGGCUAGGGCGAGGGCGCAUAGGGCGAAGGCGAGGAAAGGCGUCCCAUAGGGUGGUGGCAAGCACAGUCUUGAUGGGAUUGGAAGCGAGGAAAGCGGGUUAUGCGCGGAUGCGGGAAAGGGCGUGGGGAGCAGAGGGAAGGCGGGCCGCCUCCGCCUCUCUCUUCGUAGAGGGAAAAAAAAAGAGAAAAAAAAAAUAAAAGGGAGAGAGAAAGGAAUAAAGAUAUUUUGGUCAGUUUUCUAAAAAUUCGAUUCUAAUCCGUAAAAUUGAAAAAAGGGAAUUUUGCAAAAGCUAAAACUUGUGGAUUUUUUUGUACAAAUUGGUCUAAUAAUAAUAAUAAUAAUAAUAAUGUGAUGGAUAAAUGUGUGCUUACAUCAAAAUAUUGAACUAAUGGACUUGCGUGUUAGCAUUUAAUUAAAGCAUUAUAUUUGCUAAGCCAACAUGUGGCUUUUCAUUUUUAUGAAUAAUACUUAGAAUUGAAUAAAGAAGCUCAAUUAAUUAAUCCACAUAAGAUCGUAACAUUGUUAGUUAGUGUGCUUUAAAUAUUGGACAUAAUAAAUUUGUUACGUUUAUGUCUCAUGGGCGGUUGGAUCUAUAUGCACACCGAAAAUGUUGUGCAAAUAGAAAUUAGAAUUUUUUUUUUUUUUAGAAAGAAAGAAAUGUAGCAUGCUAUUCAACUAGAAUUCGAACUUCGGAUCUCAGAUACCAACCAACAAGCCUUUUGCUAUUUACGCUAGAGAUAGUCAGUAGAAAUUAGAAUUAUUAAAAAGACUAAAUUGCACAUUUAGUUCUCAAACUAACCACAAGGCACGUGACAAUUUAGUUUCGAACUUUCAAAAUUGCUAUAAUCAAGUUACAGUGAUAUUGCAUCUUUAUUAUUGGCACAUCAUCUGUCACGUCCCGCUAUCGCCAAUUUGGUCGAUCCGGGCCCGUACACAGACGCCGAACGGACAGCACCUCCUCUGUCCGCCCAAGGCUUAGCAACGACGAGUACAUGUAUAAAAAAAAAAACAAUUUUCAGAAUAACAUUUCGAUAUACAUGGCCUGCACGAAAGCAAGCAAUAAUCACAAGUGAUAGUAAACUAACUAAACAUGAAAUUAUUUCUAACAACUUCAAUUCUAUUCGAGCCUACUCACACACUUCCAGAACAUGCCAAUUGCUGUUCUCAAACCUCUAAUUAAGUUUAGAAACACUUAAUUUUCAAUUUAGUAUUAUUAUGACCAAUUUGAUCACAAUUAGCUCACAAUCAAAUUUUCAGCCUAUUACAUCAUCAAUCACAAUAUUACCGUAUCAUCUCUAUAUUAGCGAUAUAUUAAUUAAUAUUUAGUCAACUAAAUUAAAUUAUAGAAUUGAUUCUAACCAUUCUGGAAGUUCCUAGACUCAUAGUUUGAGGACCAGAUGUGCUAUUUACCCUAUUCUUUAAUACAUGGUACAAAAAUAAAGAGUUGACACUUGUAAAUUAAGUUUUCAAUUUUACCAUUGAAUAAGUCAUAAGUAAAGGAUAUCAAUUAAUUCUCUAUAAAGGAACAAUUGUACUUAGUGCAUACAAAUUUAAUAGUUGGUACUCAAAAUUUCAAAUUCAACUGAAGUUUAAUUGUUUUAUAUUUUCAGCUAAAUUUAUUUCUUAAAAAAUGAAUACAGUAGGUAAUGUAGAAUCUUUUUUUAAAAUAAUAAUAAUAAUAAUAACUUUCUCAGUAAUAUUUGUUUUAUCUAGAAAAUGCAAAAAUGUGAAGUAUAAGAAUCAUUAGAAAUAUUUUUAUUUUAUCGAUAUUUUGAAUAAUAUGAUAUCAGAACUGGUACUAAGCCUUAGUUCCAGUAAAUCGUGACUCUAAUUCUCCACAUCCAUUAUUUAAAUCACUUAUAAGUUAUUUUUUUUCUAUUUAUUUCAACUUAUUUUUUCUUAAGAAUAGUUCUCUUAAUUUUAGCCAUCCAGACAAAUGAGGAAACUAAAAAAAAUUAUUUUAAUCCAUUUUCUAGCCAACCUUUGUUUAUUAUUAUUAUUAUUAUUAUUAUUAUUAUUUUGUGUGAGAGAAAAAGGUAGCAAGGUACACACUUCGCUCAAAUUUUUUUUUGAAAUAAACUCAACUAAAAAUAUAAAAUAAUUAAGUUUCGAACUUGAGAUUUUAGAUAUUAACCAUUAAAUCCGUAGCAGAUUGCAAUAGGUAUGAUUUUUUUUAAGGUAAUAAAAGGGUAAACUUUAAAUAUCAUUCCUGUCGUUUUGCACUUUCUCACUUUAAUACCAUGUGAUUUAAAGUGUAUCAAUUUAGUACCCUGUAGUUUUAUUUUCUCUUUUCAUUAGCCCCGUAGUUAACUUUCGUUAAAUUAUAUACUGUUGGCGAAUAUAUUCUUAGAGGUUAGCUACAAGAUAAAUUAAAAAGUGUCAACGAGUCGAUCAAGCCGAGGCACGAAUAUCUCGCUCUCUUUAAGGAGAUUCAAGCCCUCUGCAGUUGGCAAAGUCUUUGAACCGAUGCAGCAGAGCACUGACUUGUCCCCUCCAUGAUACAACGGCUCGACCCUCGUCGUGUGGCUUCACCAACUCUACACAAGUAAUGAGCCCAAAGCUCCACCAAAAGAAAUACCUUUCUUUGACAUUCUCUCUCUCAAGUAUAAUUAAAAUACUUUUAUUGUUUGUUGAGUUGUGUGUAAGUAAAUAAAGAAGCCUCUAUAUAUAGCUAGGCUCAAAGCAUAGGAGUUACAAGAAUUAAAUAGCUUGGAGUUAUAGGAAUCAAAAUACGUGCAUAGGUUAGGUUUCAAAUAUAAGUUCACAAUGAAUGCAAACUAAAUGAAUGAAGUGGUAACUUCACAUGUACAAAUAUAAAUGCAAGUAUAGGUUAUGCAUAAGUUAAUAGAAAUCAUAUUAAUAAUAAAAUGUAACAACAUAUACAAAAAAACUUCAGAUACUCCAUCUAUGGUUAUCGAAUAUUCACUUUACUACCUUUUAAUUUUAACUUUGUCACUGAUUUAACAAAAAAAAUUAGUGAAAGAGAAAACAGAAAGACAAAAAUGAACCACAAUGUACGAAAGUAAUACAUUUUAAAUCACAUAAUACUAAACUGAGAAAAUGCGAAACCACUAGAGUGUUUUUUAAAGUUUUCUCAAAUAAAAAUAAGCUCUAUGUUCAAUUUUUAACCUUCCGUAUAUUAAAACCUAUCCAUCAUGAAUUCGCAUCAAUUACUAAAUUAUAAAUGCCAUUAAUAGUGAGCACAUUAAUGAAAUCUUAUGAUGCAUCAGUGUCACAGUUUGGUGUUUUAUGGGAGGGUGCAUGAGGUCAUUUAGUGUGAUGCAUGAUUCGAUUCAAUUUAUAUAUGCAAGCUCAUCACAGGUAAUAAAUUUUGUAGGAAGCUUUUAAUUAAUUACAGGAGGAUUCAUUUGACCGCUAUACAUGGUUUUCAAUAGAGAGGGGAUCUUUUCAGAGCUUAUUUUGUUCUUGUCAGAGCAAAAUAUAUUAAAUUUUGAUUAGUUACAACGUAUUUUUUUGGGCAAUAAUAAAAAUAGCUAUGACAUUAUUAGUACCCUCUUCAAUUUUGCCCUAAUUUAUUGUUGUAAUUCAAUGUACUUCCACAGGCACACAUAUAUUCUAGGAUUAAUUGCACUGUUCCUAUUUCUUUUUCUUUCAAUUUGAUUCUUAAUCUUUAAAAUUAAUUGCACCACUGGUUCCUUAUUUUUAUCCAUUUUUUUUCAUUUUGAUCUUUAAUUUGUUCGCCCAUAUGCGCAUCUAUUGUGUCAAGCUCAACCUAAUCACCUUCAAUGACAUCCUCCACGCGUAUGAUCAUCUCAAUCCGACAAAUGAUGUCGACUGCCAGUUUUGGAGUAUUAGGAGACGUGCUCUUCCAAAAACUUUAGAAAAAUUAGCACACCCAAUUCGACUUGCUGGUACUUGGUAUCCGUAUUCUCACUACGGGUAGUUGUUAGAGAAUAAGGGUAUCAAGUAUCACCAAUAUGAGAAGUCAUUUGAAUGUCUACUUACUCGUCAGUGACUUAUUUAAUGUUGCAGUAGUGUGACUGGUUCUUUGAUCUACGGUGUCUCGGCUAUUCACAAUAAGAUUACUGUCGUUUGAUUGUACAUACACUUGGUCUCCAGCCAUUCGGGUUCUUGCGUUGUAUGUUGAUUGCAGUAGAUUCGUUAUAGGAAUAGAAUGUGUACCUAUAUAAAAUCUAUCUCUCUUGAUAAAUAGAGGUGUUAGUCCUAUAUGGUUUAUAAAACCGAGUUUAAAAGAUUUUGGCCAAGAUAGAGUUUAAAAGAUUUUGUCGAUUUAAAUUAAGAUUUAAUCGGUUGAACCAAUUAAGGAUAAAAUAAAAUAAAAUUUAGAUUUGUUUUUGUCUUUAAUGGUUAUUAUAUUAUUAUUAAAAAGAAAUUAUAUCUCUUUUUUAUAAAAUACGGAAGUUUCCCUUGCUCUUUCUCUUCUUCUCUUCGAUUCUGUAGGAAGAAAGACGUUUUCUGUAAGGAAACUCAUACCCCUGUAAGAAUAUCGAUCAGAUUAGCAAUCUCAUGUAGAUACCUAUAGAUGUCGGACGUUUGUGCGACUUCAAGAGAACCAAUUUGACAAUCAUCAGAUUAUGGUGAAGAUCUAUUCGCGCAAAAGUGAAGAUUAGAUUUUUUUUUUCUCCUUUAAUCUCUUAAAUAAUAUGAGGGAUCCGGUUUAUGUGAUUUUAAAAUUGAAUCUCGAGUUUUUAAAAAUCGAAUUUGUUUGUUUUUUUUUUUUUCGCUCCACUUAAUCGCACGCAAUUUUCUAACAUUGACAUGGUUAUUCCAUAAAAAAUAAUAGAAAUUCAGAUUUAGAUACAUGAGACCAAAUUGAAAUAAAAUAUAAAAAUUGAGGAUCUAUUAGCCGAAAAAAAAAAAAAAAGGUUAGCCACCAAGCUAAAAAGAAAAGGCAAAAUUCAGAAGCAAUGGUGCAAUAACGCUAUAUUAUAUGUAUACUACAAGAGAUGCACAUUAGCAAAAUAAUAAUAGUGUGCAGAGAAUUGAGAGGGUUCAUUUUUAAGUUACCAAUAUGUAAGUGUUACAUGCAUAUUGCAAACGUGGUAAAAACAAGUUAAAGCUCCUUAAUUUGCUAUAGGAUGUGAUGUUAAUUAAGUCUUUUCCAUCUAAUGCUCCCGUCGGAUUGUUGUCGCUAACCAUUAAUCCCAAAAGUUUGAGCUGUUAAAAAUACGCAACUAAUUCACUUGAAACGUAUAGAUACAAUGCCCCACAACCAGCCUCACGCCACUUCGAUUAUGACUCGGCCCAUCCAACCUCGUGCCAUUUCGAACAUGACUCGGUCCAAUAUGACCUUCCACCAUAGGGCAGAAUGCUGGCCCAUUUAAGCCAACAAUCUCCGCUCCAGCACUUGCACACAUUUGCAGCAUGUGAAAAUCGAACUCAUAACCUCUGGCUCUGAUACCACUUGUUGUCUCUCUUAUGAAAGAUAACCCGUAUAUUUAUAAGAAAUUCCAAAAUUCUAGAUACAUAAGUGAUAAGGCGAAAUCGGUUUAUUAUUGUUAUGCUAAUAUAUAUGGUUAGAAUUGAUCUCAAAUUAGUUUUUCAAUGUAAAAGCGAGAUUAACCCCAAUCCAAUUAAACAACGUAACAACCGUCGGAUCGAGCCCGAUUAUGGGCGAACCCGAUUCGAUUUAACCAUAUGCCAACAGCUACAAAAAAAAAAUUUUAAUUAGGUUGAUGGCUAAAGAAAUUGGUUAAAUUUGUCAAAUUAUAAAUGCCCCCAAUAAUAUUAAUUAGUAGCAUAAACAGCUCCAAUUAAAAGAACUUAGGGUCUGUUGGGAAAUAUUACAAUAGCGAAAUAUUUGUUCAAAACGAUAUUUGAAGUAGUGUUUUUUUUUUCACAAAACUGUUUAUGAUGCUUUUGUAAAAAUGCUGAGCUCCUCAAUCCAUGGUCGAAAUCGAAACUAUAGUACUAUACCCCGUUUGCUAUUCACAUGCAGAUAGUCCCACAUAUAUUAUCAACAAAAAUAAAUUAAUGAAAAAAAUAAUAUAUAAUAUAUUUUUUAAAAUUUUUGAAAUAUUAUAUAUGUCUUUAUUUUUUUGUUUCAAAUACAGCCCUAAUAUAUUUUUCCAUUAAUUCCGUUGUCAGUACAUGUGAAUUCAUCUCAGGUUAAAUCCGGAUUAAAUUUCUAUCAGAAUUAAAAAAAAAAUUAAAAUAUCUCUUCUGCCCCUGAGUUAAGGAUAAAUAAAAAAAAAAUUGAUAACGAUAAAAAAAAUAUUUGAAAAAAAAAAAAAAGUUUGUUUCUAAGUUAAGAGUAAAUAAAAAAAAGUUGAUGACGGCAGAAGAAUAACAAUUUCGAAGAGAGAGUAAGAGAGAUAUUCGGUCAAUAGCAUCUCUUUACAUAUGCAUAUAAGAAUGACUUGUUUCUAACUUAAGAGCAACCGACCGUCUCUAAAGCAAGUGACAAAGGGCUUGGUGGUUGGUACCCGAGGUCCUAAGUUCGAAUCCUAGUUGAUUCACAUUUCUAGCUAAGUUUAUUUUUAAAUAAAAUAAACGAAGCGGAUAGCGUACAACCUAUCUCUUAACAAAAAAAAAAAUUAAGAGCAAACAAAAAAAAGUUGAUGACGGCAGAAGAAUAACAAUUUCUAAGAGAGAGUAAGAGAGAUAUUCGGUCAAUAGCAUCUCUUUACGUAUGCAUAUAAGAAUGACAAUUUCAGAUUGGAUUGCCAACUUCAAAUGUUUGGCAUAGGCUUUGAAAACGAAAAAAACCAAAAAAAAUGCAUGUAUACAUUUCAUGCAUGCAUAAAUCAUGCAUGUUUCCACAGAGUCCAAAAAAGAUCAACUCAUUAAUACUUACAAAAGAUCUAUCUUGCUAUGAGCCAAAUAAAUAUUUUUAUAUCCUAUAUAGCUAGAAUAGACACAAAUUCUAAUACAUCCAAGAUAUAUAUAUAUAUAUAUAUAUAUAUAUAUAUAUAUAUAUAUAUAUAUAUACACACUAUAACUAAUUUUUCUUAUCUGUCAUUAAUGUCUCCUAUUUUUCUUAUUUAUUCUUACAACGGUCAUCUUCUUCAUCGAGCUGAAGAACUUCUUUCUUCCACUGUGCCCUUAUUCAUUGGUAUGUCUCAUUUAACCAAAAUCACAAAAUCAAGCUCUAAAUAUACAAAAAUCCAUUGCUAGUCCAAAAAAAUUAAAAUAAUAGAUACGUAUACAUGAAACAGAUCAAAAUAUUCAUAUAAUUUUUGUUAGAAAAUCAGAAAAAUUAAUUAUUAAAGAAAUUCUUGAUUGGGGGAGCUCCGCUAUCACCACUACCGCUAUCCAGAGUUUAACCCGAUACGAACUAACGCUACUAACAGUGAGGGCAGAUUUAAAUAACAGAAAAGGUUUAUAAGGAUGUUCUUGAAAUAAAAAAAUUUCAGGAAUAUAGAAGAUAUUUUUUAAAUUUCGAGAAGUAUGUAGAUAAUUAUUUCAAUUUAAAAAAUCCUCCUACGAGCUUGCUCUUGCACGCGUUUGUAAGAAGAACCCACGACAUUCACGCAUGCUGCAGGUAAGAAUAUUUGUCCUAUUACGACUCCAAUAUAGAAUCAGUUAUUUUAUUGAGGUACUAAUAUACCGAACUUAUCUGCACUAUAAAUUAUUUUGAAUCCAGUAAUUUCUCUCUUAAAUUGUUAAUUUUGUUGUUUCAUCUUUCAAAUUAUCUGAUUUGAGCAUAUCAAUGAAAUUUUAAUUUGAAAAUUUAAAUGUGUUGCUCAUCUUUAUAGAUUUAAUUAUUUAUUUUCAUAUAAUUUUCGUAUUUAUAAAUUUAUUAGAGUAAGAAAUUAGUUAAAAUUUUAGAAUUAAAGUGUUGUUGAACGGUUCGAAUCAACUAAAUUAAAAUAUUAGAUAGUAAAAUCAAAUUUUUAAAAUUAAAAUAAUAGUAAAUUUAAAAUGAUGCGUAGCUCGGAUACGUUCUAUACUUUUUGACCUUUAUUAAUUGCUCUAGUACUAUAACCCUUGUGUUUUGAGAAAAAGAUUGCAAACUACCUACUUCGUUCAUUAGGAAAAUAAACUUGACUUAUAAAAUGGAAGCAGACAGGACCUCCGAAAAAAAAAAAAGAGACAGAAAAUGUGGACAAAAGAAUAAAAAUAAAAUAAUAAAAGACAACAACGGAACAAGUAAGCAAAAAACAAAACAAAAAAAUAGGAAAGGGCCAAAAAGGCCGAAAAAGAAGACGAGGCAGUCAGAGAUACGUGUUCCAGGCUGACAUAAGGAGUCUGACGCGAUCAAAAGCUCGGGUACUAUAACCCUUGUUGUAUGUAGGGUUUGCAGUGUUGUUUGGUUCAAUCGGAUUCGAGUAGUACUCUAUAUAAGGAGAAACAAAACCAUUGUGCGAAAGCAAAGAGGAGGUGCAGUAAUGGAUCCUCCAGGGUACAAAACCAUAUACUUGGAUUGCAUCCGAAACCACGCGGCGACCUUCGGCCUCGUCCACUACGACGGCUGCUGCGAGUACGUCGAGGACCGGCAUCAGCCGGGCAGCAGCCUCUGCGAGGCGUGCGGCUGCCACCGCAGCUUCCACCUGCCGAUGUUGAUCCAAACCAGCGGAAGGAGCAAUAACAACAAUGCAGCUGGCGGCGGCGGUGGCAACGGCGGCGGCAGCAGAAAGGGUGGUUGUGCGGCCGACGGAGGCAGAAAGAGUGCUGCACCGGGGCACAGGGAUGGCAGAAAGCCCCCGACAAUCGGCGGCGGUGGUGGCAAAAAGGGUCGUGCUGCGGGUCGCCAUGGCACUGCAGAAGAAAGCGACCAAAACUUUUCUUAAGUCAGUUCAGUAAUAUGGCAGUUAAAAGCAUCAUUUUUAUACUAUAUAAGAUUCCAAAAUUUAAAACGCUUUAAAAUUAUCGGAGUUUUUUAUAAUAUAAAAAAUUUGUAAGUGCUUUAAAAUUUUUUUAUCUUUUAUUAAUAUAAAAAUAAUAUUUUAGCUACUAUAUUAUCAAAAUAGGUCUUAGGAGAUGGGACUAACGAGCCACAAUCUUUACGGAUAUUUACGGUAGGGCAAUGAAAACGUACCCCUCAAAUUUUUCUAUUUUAUGUUCGCACCAUUGUUUCUUUGUGUCUCUUUUGUCAUAUGUCCUAACUAUAAAAGUUUGAAUUUUUCUAUUUUUUUCCAUGGAAGAUGUAGAUGGACGUGCAUUUCUACAUUUUCGGUAUAUAUAUCUAUCUGUUUGGUUUACGAUUUAUAAUAUUUUUGUAAUUUUCAUAUUAUUUAUUAAAAAUAUUUAAAUUAUUAUUGUUCAACUCAAACUUAGAUAGUCGUAAAAAAUACGUUAGUACAACAGUAAAAUUAUUGUAAAUUUUUAGAUAAUAAAAAUACAAAUUAUCUAUCUAUCUAUACUUCCAUCUCUAUCUUCUCCUAAACUUGCCGCAUAUUAACAUUCCGUUUACUAUUGAAUGUGGGAUCCGCCCUGAACCGGUUUAAGUCAUUUCUCUUUCUUUAUUUGAAUCAAACCGAUUAUUGUUCAGUGUGGGCUCCUCCGAACGGCCGGCUCAAGUAUUCCAUAUUUUUUUUCGCUUUCUUUAUAUGAACCGAAUCUGGUUUCUCUCCUUUUUUACUUGAACCGAAUCGGAUCAACCUAUUGCAUUGUGUCGAACUGUCCCAACCGCUCCACAUGUUUUCACAUGUGAACCGAAUUUUUUUUUUCUUUUUUACUUGAAUCGAAUAGAUCACUAUCCAGUGUGCCGGCUCAAUUUUUUUUUUCUCCUUUGCUUGAACCGAACCGGAUUUUCUUUUUUUUUUUUUUUGCUUGAACCGAAUUGGAUCACACCUCUAUAUUAGGCUCAACUAUUUUUCUUCCUUUUACUUCGAUUGUUACUUUCAUUCAUCGACAAGAUAAAUCCUAGUCCUCAUCAUCGCUUCUUCUAUCGUCGUUUUCUCUUCUUUUGUCGUUAUUUUUUAUUUUUUUUCUAAUUAUCUAUCUGUCGUAUCGCACGAGUUACUAUACUAGUUAUAAAUUAGAAGACUUUUUUUUUUCUUUGUUGAUAGAAAUCAUUAGUAAUGCAUUUAUAACAGCAUAGUAGCCAAUAAAUUAGUAACAAAUUUGCAUUUCCAAAUAUAAAAUAUAUAACAAUUUUAAAACAGUAAAAAUUUUAGACCAAACAGCCCCUAAAGGAAAGGAUCUGCACUCUUCUUACAAUAUCUUGCUAAGCUUAAUUUGCACAUUUUACUUGAUUGAUGGUGAAUUUGAUGAUCUUACGGUGGACACUAUUUGCAUCAAUUUUUUGUUCUGUGAUCAUCACUCGAUCUUUAUUUAUUAUGGGAAGUGUUUGGCCACGUAAAUAAAUUGAUGCGCAUGCAAAAAGGUUCGAUCGAUUUUAGAGUGUGCGCGAGAUGUGGCUCACAUAAUAUGGACAAAAUAAUUCAGGUUGAAAUAGACUUUUCGAUGAAUUAAUUAAAAUUUAGAUAAAAAUUAUUUUUCAAUGUUUAUUUAGUGAAAACUAAAUAAUAUAAAAACUAAAGGUAGAGAGUUGAGUUAAUAUUUUUUUUUUUCCCUCACGCUUGUUAUUCGUAAUUGGCUUCUAUGUAAAAUGAAUUAAAGUCAAUUAUAUUAUUUUGAAAUGACUGAAUUUUAUUUUACAGAAAAUGUUUUACCAAGUAAUUAAAUUAAAAACCGCAUGAGAAAGGGGAUUGGUCGAUUCCAUAUAUCAUUGCAUUGACCUUCUAAUCACGUUGUGGAACAUUUCAUCUCUAUUUCGUGGGAUGUGUUUUGCCACGUAAAUUAUUUGUAAGACCAUAAACAUAACAAUUUUCUAAUCAUAAAAUAUAGUUUAACAUUAUCCUCCAAAUAUGAGAACACCGAAAAAGACUUUGUUGAUAUCACCUACAAUCAAAAAACCAAACCAAUGAUUUUAAGUCGAGUGGAACCAGCAGGUUCAACUGGUCCGAUCGUGACACAAUUUUUAAAUAUUUUUAAUAACGUAGAUCAAGUCUAGUGAUGAUAUGCUUUCAUAUUUAGAAACCAAAUUUUAUAUUUUUUUUGAAUAUUAUUUGACUACUGAUCAAAAAGUCUCAAAAUUGAUAAUUUUAAUGACCGAUGUGAUGCGUUUGUGAAUUUAACGGUAUAAAUUAACUAAUCCAAAUCCAAUAAAUUUUUUAUAAAAAAAAAAAUUUACUAUUUAAAGUAAGAUCAGUAUCUCUGACCUUAAAUUCAAAUCUUUUGUCAUUAUUUUUUAUCAGAUUUUUAUUUUCAGUGAUUCAAUUUUAGACUACUCGUUUGAUUGAUAAAUGAUGCCAAAAAAUUUUGAAAUUUGAUUUUCAAAUACUUUCAAUAGUGUAGAUCAAAUCUAAAGAAAUUGAUUGUCGAUUCGAAAGCAACAUCAACGAAAAUAACUUGGUAGCAUAAAAUCCCCCGUGCCACCUAUAGUAUAAUAGUCAGACUCUCUCUCUCUCUCUCUACAUAUAUAUAGAAUUGGAUUGGAAUAUUAUUAAUAGUAUUUGGGUUCUUUUGCUAUUGAGUUUUCAACCCUUGGAUGAAAAAUCGUAGAAUUCAGAUGAUAGUGGUCUCCUAGGGCUUAGUGAUGAUCCCCUUAAGAUCGAAUGGGUUUUUGGUUGAAUAGUAUGAUUUAAAAGAGUGGAAUUGAUUAAAAUAUAGAUCUAACUGCUAAAAACUAAGUAGGAAAAAAACUCAAAUACUAUUAAUAAUACUAUUAAUAAUAUUCAAGCUCAACUCUCUCUCUCUCUAUAUAUAUAUAGAAUUAAGUUAGAAUACUUUUAGAAGUAUCAUUCCCUUGGUGCUUUUGAGUUUCUAGCCCUUGGAUCUACUCCUUGAUUACUAAUAACCUUUGGAUCAAAUACUAUUCCACCUAUCACCACCUACCACCAUCAUCUCAACCCUACAUCUGUCCAUCCAAUGGCUAAAAAUCCAAAAACACCAACCCCUUAGUGCUUUUGAGAGUAUUUUUUCAUCCAAGAGCGAAAAACUUGGUAGCACCAAGUGCUUGGUGCUAUUAAUAGCAUUCCAGCCUAGUUCUAUAUAUGAGUUCGGCUGAGAUACUAUCGAUAGCACCAACCACUUGGUGCUACUAAGUUUUUUGCCGUUGGACUUAACCCUGUGACUAUUUUCACCCGUUAGAUUAUACUAUUCAAUCAACAACUCAAUCAACACUAGGGGGCCCACAUCAUCCUAACCAUAUAUUUUUUCAUCCAAGAGCGAGAAACUUGAUAGCACCAAGUGCUUGAUGCUGUUAAUAACAUUCCAGCCUAAUUCUAUAUAUAUAUAUAUAUAUAUAUAUAUAUAUAUAUAUAGUGCACACAGUCGCAUCUNAGCUCAAUUCUAUAUAUAUAUAUAUAUAUAUAUAUAUAUAUAUAUAUAGUGCACACAGACGCACCUAAAUUUAGGUUUGAUUCAAGUUUGGGAUGGAUACACUCUCUAGAUUAUUGCUAAAAGAGUAUACAUAAACUAAUAAAAAUACCCUAUGUUAUAUUUAUAAAUCGGCCGUCUAUAAAAAUAAUAUUCUUAAAAACCUUUUAGAUAUACACCAUUACGAUUGGUUUUUUUUUUUUGAAAAUGAUUAAGUAGUACUUACACAACAAGACAGCAGCAAUGAUCUUGAUAAAUAAAGUUAAUUUCCUAUAGAUCCCUACAAAUAUAGUGAAUUACAAAUAUAUUUCUACAAAGCUCAACUCUCAUAUGUUGUCUCUACACAAGUUCUAAUAUUUUCAAGUAUGUCCUGACAUUAUGAUCCGUUAGAAAAAAUUAGUUAACCGUAAGUAAAAUAUUUAAAUCUAGUUAGUUAAUAAGAUGAAUUGACCUUUUUAUCUCUCUUUAAUUAAUAAUUGAGACUUUUGGAGGGAUAUAUUUGUGAUGCCACACUUAUAAAAUAAAAAGUGUUUUAAGAGUAACAAAUUAAAAGAAUAUAUUUAAAAAUAUUAGAACUUUUAAAGAAACAAUAUAUGAAAGUUUAACUUUAUAGAAAUAUAUUUACAAUUCGUUAUAUUUCCAGCAAUAUAUAUAAAAUUAAUCCUUAUAAAUAUUUUAUAUAUAUAUAUAUAUAUAUGUUAUCACAGUUCAAUCCAACGUGGCUGCACCAUCUGUAUUUGGCGGUAGGAAGAGUUGGGUGGGGCCCACUUUUUUUUUUAUUUUUCCGACCCAAAUCAUUUUUGUUUCUCAUUUUCCAUUAAUCUCUCUCACAUAUAUUUUGGCGGAGAGAACAAAAAUUAUCUGAAAAGGAUUUUUCAAAUUAUUCGUUUAAGAUUAUGAGACCUAUCGCCACGUAGUUAUUAUUAUAUAGAUUUUAGAUAUAGAUUUUAGGGAAAACUUCAAAUACCCUCCGUGUGGUUUCGCACUUUCUCACUUUAGUAUCCUGUGGUUUAAAGUUUAUCAAGUUAGUACCCUGUGGUUUCGCACUUUUUCACUUUAGUACCCUAUGGUUUCAAGUGUAUCAAGUUAAUACCCUAUGGUUUUAUUUUUGUAUCAAGUUAGUACUGUGGUUUUAAUUUUCUUUUUUAUUAUUCAUUUCGGACUAUAUAAUUUAACAAAAUAUUAAACUACAGGAUACUAAAGUGAGAAAGUGCGAAACCAUAAGAUACUAACUUGAUACACUUGAAACCAUAGGGUACUAAAGUGAAAAAGUGUGAAACCAUAGGGUACUAACUUGAUACACUUUAAACCACAGGAUAUUAAAAUGAGAAAGUGCGAAACCACAAGGGGCGUAUUUAGAGUUUUCUCUAGAUUUUAUAUCUCAAAACAAUUUGGUAAGAUAAUUGAAAUCUCCCUUCCUUUUUUCAACUAUUAGCAGGUACAAUUUUUUUUUAUAUCUAUUAACUAAAAAAAAUCAUAAUAUCUACAAUAAAAAUUACAAUAAGAAUUUCAAUUUCUUUGGUGAAUUCCUAUUAUAAUCAUUUUAGCAAAUAAACUGUAAUAUUUAAUAACAAAAACUUUUAAAAAAUUGCUAAAUCUAAGGAUGAAAAUUUUUAUACAUUUUUAUCUUUUUAAUUUAUAUAUUCAAUAAUUGUUACUCCUAAUCUUGAUUAUAAAAUACCCAUAAUGCCAAUACACUGUUUCAACCACAAAUCCCUGCAAUUUACACGCAUCGAAAUUAAAUCGUUUUUUGAAUAAGAAAUUGAACCCUUUUUUUUUUGAAUAAAUAAAUAGAAUCAGAUCCAAUCCAUUAAUUGGCCCAUUUGAGGCGUAUCCAGUACACAUGCGGUGGAUCCCCAUACGACAAAAAAGUAGCCGUUACUCUUUUUUCUUUUUUAAAAAAAUUUGAAAAUUAGUUCAUGGGAGCGUUGCUACAAUCUCUCUCUCUAUAUAUAAAAAAAAAACGUAAUCUCUCUCAUACGAAGAGACGAGCACAAGCCAAAAAGGCGAAAUUUGAAGCUCUUCUCACAGCUUUUUGCAGAGUAAAAAAAAAAAAAAAAAAAAAAAAAAAAAAAAAGUUGAUUGUUUUCAUGAGACCCCUCUCUUCUCCUCUGGUACUGUCUCUCUCUCUCUGUUUUAUGAUCUUAUUAUGGUGUUGGUAUAAAUAUAAAAGCUUUAUUUAUUCUGUAGGAAAUUUUAGAUACUAAGGAAGAUGGAGAUGAGGAGAGUGAUGUCAAUUGUGGCAUGGGCAUUGAAGAAAAUGAAAAUGAAGUUUUAGAAGAAGAAGAAAUCGUGUUCGCACCGAUAGAGCAUCCCGUCGAACCUCCCGACGACGACCGGCCCGCCAAGUGCCCGAUGCCGGAGUCUUGCCCCCUAACUGUAAGUAGUUUUCGGAAUGAGCGGUAUCAUCGGCGAAGCUGGUUUUGAUAUUCACAUGUAGAUUCACUGAAUCUGAUCGCUGGUUUACUGAUUGAGUUGUUUCUAGUAAAUUUAAUUCGUAAAAAGUGUUGGUGAAGUAGCAGAAUUAUUAUAGAUCUUCAACUAAUAGUAAUACUACAUUACCAUGUGUUAUUUUCAUUUUCAAACUUAGAUAAAAAGUAUUCAUAGUCCAUUUAUAAGAACAUAUAAAUUCUGAAUCAACCUCCGAACUCAAGUCGUAUGAUAAGUUAGCAACAUACUUGUGAUUCAAAAUAUAGAAUAUAGGAAUAAUAACUUACAUAUACUCUUCAAAACUUCAAAAAUAUUUCAUAUAGCUCUGGUUGAAUAAAAUAUCCUUAUUAACUUUCAAAAAUCCCUUCAAAUACCGAAAGUUAUUUUGGUAAUUUCAAAGCAAAUCUAAAAGUUUUUAAUAGUAGUUAGGGAUAAAUAAGCAAAAACUCAACGGCCCCUAGAAUAUAUGACAUUUCUAGAAUAUUACAAACUUUGAAUCAAACAACCUCUAAAUGUCAUCUCAAGAAAAUGUCUUUAUAUUUAUAAAUUUUAAAGGUUGGUAGAAGUAGAAGCCCUAAACUCUUGAGGUUUUAAGCCCUAAACUCUGUGAGGUUUUUUUUUUUCUUUUGAAAAAAGGUAGUGUGAAUAAUUAACAAUCAAGUUAUUAGACAAUGCAAAUUUGAAAUUGACACUAAAACAUAAGUUGACUAACUCUCAAGUUGAUAUUAAUUUUCUUUGAUAUAUGUAAUCACCGACGAAAAUCGGUUAAAAUUGGUUUAUGCCAUCUAAAAUCAAUCAAUCAAAAGUAUAUUAAGGUUUUCAUAUCAAAAAUUAGUUGAUUGAGUCGAGUAGGGUAAUGGCAUGCAAAUUCACUAAAUUGUAGUUCUUACUUCUCCUUCUAGCUAAUUCGAGUAGGGUUCUCCGAUCAUAAGAUCGAUUUAAGUUGAUUAAGGAGCUCUUCAACUCGGUCGAAUCGAGCUUCACCUGAACUAAUUUUGGGUCUAGUUGUGAUUGGACUCGCGGGAUCGAAACGAGUUAGAAAGCGGAAUUUGGAAUAUGCAGCUUUAUUUCUUCUGAAAACCUCCGAACUCAUUUACAUACAGCUUGUGAUUUAGUUAAUUUUUUCCUUCUCUUUUUAAAUCUGUAAGGAUGAAGGAGAAUUGAAGGAAUCAUUCAAGGAGAUCUUGCAAAAGGAAGCAGAAUUGUUGGUAGAAAUUGAAGAAAGUGCGGAUCAGCGACGUUCUGCGAAGGCCGAUCGGAAAAGGCAUCAUAGUGGUGCCACUGGAGAUCCUCCAAAGUUUCCGCAGUACAAUAUUUUUCAAGUGUUUCAACAAUGUAAACAACAUUAAGAUCGAAAAAAGCGCUUCGACGCAUCAUUGUAUUUAAAUGAUUGGUUUGGUGCUUUCUUGUAACUAGAUAGAUUGGUCCAAUGAUGAAAGUUGUGUCAUCUUUAAAAAGGUGUACAUGUAGAUAUGCAGAAUUAAGUAUUAGACUCUGCCCCCAACUAAAGCUGGGAAUUGGCCUCUCAAAUUUUGAAUGGUAACAAAGCCCAAUGGUAAUUCUUUUAAGCCUGAGAAGGUUUUUGAAUUUCUUUUCUUUUUUUUCUUUUUUUUUCCCUUUUUUAACUGUGUCUGCAUAAUUUUUUAGUACCUGGAUGCCGAGAAUUUACUAUUUGUUGGUAGCACUAUUGUGAUCCAAGAGCUAAGAAGUUAAUAAUAGACACUAUUCUCUAUUCAUCGACUAUCAAUAGCAUUUCAACUAUGUUUAUUAGCCUGAAGCCGGAAACACGACCCCCGAAUUUAAGCUCAGACGGGUCUUAAACCCUUGACCUCAAAAUCGGCAUGCAAUUACAUAACUAUUAAACUCCCGACGGUUAGAUAGAUAUAUAAGAAUUCGUAAGUUUCGGUACUACGGACUUGUCUACAAUUCACUUGACUGCACAACGGGGCGAGGAGAAAAGAUGGUUCAUGCAGCAGUGUUUGUUGAAUCCCAAAUCGAGGCGAGAGCGAAGAAGCAUGCUAUCCUCGCGAACUUCAGUAGCCUAUUCUGCUUUCUAAAUCAGCAAACAAAUAUGCCCUUCCAACUCUGGCAUGCAAAACCACUGGCUUUUCUAAAUACAUACUUGUGUGUAAUAGAACACAAUGUUGGAACACGAGUUGCAUGUGAUCAUUUCAUCCACACAAUUUGUUCCGCAAGAGGGAUGUAAAAGCAUACUGCCACCGCUGAUUUUGGAAAUUGAUAUUGCCGAAGCAAAAUUUGAUAACACCAAAGAAAAUUCAUUGUAUGGAACCAUCUUUUAGGCUAUUUGGUUAUGGCAACAGUGAAAAUUGCUCUGACAACAUCGGUGCCCGUUUUAGCAGCGGAAAGAGCGUCUCAGCGAUUGACCGACAAAACCCAAACACAAGAAAAUCUCAUGUUGGCCCAGAUUCACUGAAGCCUAAAUCAUAGAUAUAUUUAUGUUAAGACUACACAGACAUAGACUAAUUAAUUACAACAGUACCACAAACCAGGCCUGGAGCAUUCAGAAUCAGUUUGAAUGAACACUCGUGGCUUCUAAACCAGAUGCUAAAACAGUUACUUUGAACUUUACUACAUCAUUGGAGGAAAAGGUAAAAGGAAAAAAAGAAAAAAAAAAAAGAUUUGCUCAUUUCAGAAUUAGAACUUCUCAUCAGGCAAAUGUUGGAUGCUGAUGAGAAGGCUCGAAAACAGCUGAAGAUACCAAAACUAAGCACAUCAUCCCAACUGAAAAUGGAAUCCAGCAACUCCGAAAUAUAGAGGAAGACAACAACAUUCACAUCUAACAAUUCAUCUAGCCGAACAUCGAAUUUGUUUACAAGGAGGUUGGGACUAAUAUAAAAAUUUACGCCGCUAGUUUAGCAAGAAUGCCCAUGUCUAAUAUUUUCACAUCAUAUGUGUCGUCCAAUUUCACUAUGCCAUCGGUGCCAUCGAUUCCAAUGAGCUUCCCGGUGACCCCUCGGAGCGAGCUGCUCAGGAUCUUGAUCCUGUCGGAUUUCUUGGGCUGCACCAUCUCGAUUUCCGUGGGAAGAGCAAUGACAGUCUCCCCGUUUCCUGCCGCUCCAAGGGCAACCUUGCAAGAUCCGUCCUGCGAAGCAUAAUGUUUCUCUAUGUGAACAAAGCAGAAUACUAGAGAAAGAAAACAAAAUACCAGAGGAAGAAACAGAAGUGGCUGUUUAGCAUGGCCGCUAAAGCAACUAUUACUCCAAUCAGCAGUAUGUAAAAAUGUACAGAGACCACCUUAACAAUACAGUAUAACAAAAUAUACGCUUUUCUUAAAUUGGCAUCCCCUCAAUUUUUUGCAUUACAAAAUAUACCCUUUUCUUAAGAGUGGCAUCCCCUCAAACUUUUGUUUGAGGUGAUUAGAGUCAUUUUAAAUUGAGCUAGGGAUUCCAGUAAAACUAAAGGCUCCAACUGCCUGCCGUUAACUUAUUGAUGAAUACCAAAACAAAAGGCAGACAGAAACACUAAUAUUAUUUAACAAACUCCCCAAUUCAAUUGAUAAAAGUAACGCAAUUCAAAAACAGCAAAAAAAAAAAAGCUGCUGCUAUCCACAAAAAUAUAAAUCUGAGGGAUCUAUAACAAAGUGGCCUAUAGUUCGCAGGGUCUCCAUACAUUUCUACCAAGAAGUGUCGGGUAUCGAAAUGAGCUUCUUAGCCAUAAAAGCAGAAUCUCGAAUUUGAAACUUCUGCUUCUGCGGAAAAGACAAGUAGUGGUAGUGAUUUCAUAUUAAAAACUCUACUAAAACACACAAAGUUCGAACAGCUCUACUCAGUCAAAGAAGAUUAAGACUUGAAAUCGCAAAUGGAUUCAUCUACACAAUCAAGUGUGUGCAUACCGUCAGCACUUCUCUAACUACUCCAAUAUGAGGAUCCUCUCCAGGCCUAACAGUAUUCACCAAAAUGUCGGGCAUGUACCAUAUGCCAUCACCUUCGCCACCUGCACGCAUCAUACACAUAAAAAUGAGACCACUCAUCAGUCUGCAUAUCACAUUGGAUCAUUAAGAUAAUUCAUUUGGGCUAAACCAGUAAAAGAGUACACUCAUUUGAAGAAUUAUAAACGAUUAGGAGUAAUAAACUGUUCAAGCAGACAAAAAAAAGGACAAACAGACCUAUUAAAGGAGACAUCAUAUCCAUUCCAACAUUCCCAGGUGUCAUCGGCUGUCCGCCAGGAGUUCCAGGGAGAUAAGAUGCAGAAGUAGGGGUCAUCGGUUGUCCAACAGGUGUUGAUGGCAAGUAAGGGCUUGGAGCAUUUCCUGGACAAACAAAAAGAAAACAAUGUUUUUUUUAUAUAGUCCAGUUAUUUCUCAAAGCAUAUACAGGAAACCAAAAUUCUCAGAUUAAGCAUCAAGUUCUGUUACCAUAGCUGUUAUCCCUGGGAGUUGGAGAGUCAUUAUAAUUGCCACCUGGAGUGUUAGCCCAACCUGAACCAGGAGUAGGUGCUUCAUAUGGCCGGGCCGGAGGUGUUCCUGGCUGAAAUUAAUUAGCAGAGGAUAUAACAGUGAUUAAGCUUUUCAAAUCCAAGAAGAAUAAUAAUGCAUGUAAAACAAAAUAGUUUUUUCCAUGCAAUACUUUUAGCUACAGAACAAAACAGCGAAAAAAAACAGAGAGAUACAAGAAAAGGGGAGAAACACUGCCGUAGGACAAGGAUAUCAAACCUGAUAAGGCGGACUGCUUCCCCAAGUGGCAGGAUUUCCGUCUUCCCAGCUAUCCCUGGUAUAAAUUAUUGAGAUCAUGUCAGUCAGCGAACUUACAGGCUGAUAGUGGCAAUGUGGAAAAUUUUCACGAACGAUCUGAUUAUUGCGAAAUUCCUGCUUCCACGUGAAAAAUGUAGAUUUGGCUCAGCGCUACACAAUAACAACAUUAACAGUGAUGUUCAAAUCAAUUUCCUCAAUAUGGAGGAACCUGCCCCUAAUUAACACGACAAACAGGGAUAAGAAUAUCGGGAGAACCAGAGAAGUAGUCUUUUGCUGAACUCCAAUACUUCUUAGUAUUUCGGGGCAUGUGACCUUGGGACAGUAGUUUAAAAGUUGAAAAAGGUAAUGAAAAUAGCAAAGUGCAAAAUAGCACAGCCUAUCAGCCAUCAUUGCCUUCAUUUUUAUUUUAGGGGGAAAAGAUCUCAGAAACAAUUGAACUUUACCCUAUUGUAAUUAACCACAUUAACUUAGAAAGCGUUGAAGUUCAUCACCUGAGCAAUAAUUCCACUACAAUCUACCGCAAUUCCAUUAAUUAGAAGCAUCUGAGUCAAAAUUUCAGUGAAAAGAUCAAUGUACCAAUCCACAUUUCAGCUCGAUACUUAAUUUUCCUGACAAAUGUCUCAUUAAUUUGGUAGACAUAGGGUUUUCGUGGUGGAUUGCAGCAAAAAUCAUUGUUUCAUAGUAAAUUGCAAUGUUUCAAAUUUCAAGUGGUGAAUUGCGAAUUGGACAGAGUGUAAGACUUGCAUGCAAAGAUUAAUAGGAGAAACUAUAAAGGUUGUGUGACUCCAUUACGCAUAUGUUAAUUCUUCAAGUAAUAGAGAUGCCUCAUUUCAUUCAAUUACCAAUACGCAAAGCACUAUGUUACUCUUAAUCAAACUACUGGUAAAUUCAUUACUUCUUAAAACCACACUAAGAUUUCAGAGAGGCUUCAUAGGCCUAAUGCUCCAUUGUAAGAAAACAUCAUAAAAAAGAGUAAAUCAAAGAUACUUCUAAGUUCUGAUCUUAUAAGAUAUGCUCAUAUGCCAAAUAAGAGUUUUGCUAGAUUGCUUCUACUUCAUUUUUUUAUGACGGGACAUCUAAGUUGACGAUCAGCAUGGGUAGAUUUGAUCUUGAGUAUUUGAAGUCCAUGGGAUUCAAGUUUUAUGAUUUUUUGCCAUGAUCAUAAGAUAAAUGAUCAGGUGGUCUCAAAAUGAAUAGCUGAAAGUGAAAAUAUCAUAAAAAAGAUGAUACAAUUCUGAAAUUUCAUACUAGAGAUGCCAAUCUUGCUGUGCGGUGUGAAAAGAAUUUUCUACCAAAACUCCACUCAAUUUGAGAAGUUCAACACCAUCAAAUAAAUUUCAGAUCUGAGGUGUUGAACAUUUUGUAAAUAGUGAGAAGAAUUUUCUAUCAAAAUUUCUCUCAAUUUGGAUAUCUCUACACUAUUAAACGAUCAAAGGGCUCAUUAUUGCCACUAAAAUAGUUGAUUUUGGGACCCUUUGAUCACUAGGUAAAUAAUGUCAAAGAAUUAUGAAAUUUGGUUGUUGAUACUUCAAAGAGUGUAGAUCAGGUACAACAGUGUCAAUCGCCAAGUAAUGCCCCAUCAUCAAUAGUGAAGUGGAAGCACAAAGACCCCAAAUUCCUGAAAAUGAAGUGGAGGAACAAAGGCCCCUGCACUUCCAAGAGAAAUCUAGCCCAACUGGUUAAAUUAUCUUAAUCUUCAAAGGAAAGGGUUAUGCAUUUGGAUAGGCUGGGUCCUGUUAAAACUGUAUCGCAACAAAUCCCUCCCUCUUGUAACACACCUUCUCUAAGGUGCACCCCUGCACUUUUUUCUAGCAGUUCAUGUAUUUCGUCUUGUGACAAACAUAACAGUUUAAAGUGAAUGAAUGGUGCCUUUGAAUAAAAGCACACCACCAAACACCACCAUAAUUAGUAUCCUUUUCCUGACAAGGUGUCAAAGAUACGGUUCUCAUACGGCUUUGAAAAAUCAACUUGCAUAACUUCUGUCAUUGUAUACUCCUCUGACUUCAGUGGUGGCAAUGGUACGUCAGUUAGGAAUAGAUUCAAAGAUGCCCGACGGUUUAUUAAAGCAUCUCGGGCUUCUUUGUAAUCAUCAGUUGUCGGAUCCCCAUCGUUUUCAUUGCCCAGGAUUUUCUUGUUUUGUAUAUGUUUCAAUUUCCACAACCAAUGUGCCUCUUUGAUUAAACAUCUAUUUUGUGAACUCAUGUCAUUAUAAUCUGAUUCAGCAUCCAUAUUAAGUUUCGCACCCAUAUGCUUGGAUUAGAGAUUAAUGUUGAUAGCGUCUAACUUCCUCAUCAUCGGUCUCAUGACUCGACCCCUGAUCUUGUUGCUGCAUAUAUGCUUGUAUUGUGUUAGCUUCCAUGCCCAAUUGAAUUUGCAGUUGAUUAUGGCUUUCUUAGAUGUGGUCAGAGGUCUGUUUGCAUCUUUCGUGAGCAUCAGUAAAGUCUUGAAAGCAUUGGAGAAUAUGGAAACUUACGGAACUUUUCUACACCUUUCUAAGAUUUCAUAGGAACUUUCCAAUGGGUUCUGGAAAAGUUAAUGGGAUAUAGGCGAGCCUUAAGAGUUAGAAACUGACUAGCGCAUUCUCGUUUUCCCUUUUUUCAACCCCAAAACAAUAAAAGAGUUUAAAAAAAAAACAAAAAAGAACAGGAGAUAUUGGAGAAUAGUAUAAACAAAAAUUUUAAAACUAAAAGAAAAUAACUAAAUUCCUUACGAACAAAAACCUUGAAAAUAUGUUAUGCACUUAACCUUUUCGUCCUUCCCAAAUGGUGGUGUGGAUGACUCUUCACUGAUAAAAAUUGGUCUUACCUUUUUAGUUUUUAGUUUUUUACUCUUCUUCGUGAACAACAUCAUAAAUAAUUGCCACUCCCUAACGCACGUGUUAUUCUUCAAGGGAUCAAGAUGCCUCAGUCAAUUAAAUUACCACUUCUCCCAAUCCUACAUUACUCUUAAUCAAACUACUUUAAAUUUUAUUACUUCACUGAUGCGGACCGGGUCCCCUUUCGAGUGUACCAACGCCAUCAACGCUGCAAAGCAACUUGAGCAUGUGGCUCGAUCAAUUCGGAUUGGGUUCGGAUCGGGUGUUUCUAGAAGUAUCUAAGGUCAUGUGAUUUUGUUUAAAAAUCUGUUUCUUUGGAUGCAUUGAGAUUUAGUUAUUUUUUUAAGAUAGGUUGAGAUUUUGUGAGAUUUUUAUUCUAUUAGGAUAGGUUGAGAUUUUGUUACCAGAUUUUUAUCAUGUUAGAAUAGUUGUUUAAGUUGAUAUAUUAUUUUGAGCUUAUUCAUUUGUUAGGAAAGCUCUUUAAAUAAGCCUAUGUAUGGAACAAUGAAAACAAUGAAGAUGAAUAUUGUUAUAGUCAUUGAGAUGUGUUCUCUAAAUUCCUUCGCAUUUAUGCGUCGACCGGAGUGAAUCCGUGGAGAGCGAGUCCCUUUAUCUUUUUUUUUUUCUCCGCUGACUGCAUUCGUCGUCGCCAUCGUCAUCCACCAUCGACGUCAUCUCCACCAGUCUUGCCACGCCACUACCAAUUGUUGCGCUCGAGCCACCUCCCGAUCAUUUCGACGUCACUAUCAAACCGAUGCCAUAUAGCUUGUCCACCGGACUCCUAUCUCUCAAAUAACCACCCAUUGCUUUGUGUCCAUAGAAGGUGCCCAAGGAGAGGCUUGGAUCCGAUUGAUUAAGAACGGGCAGUUCUAUUUUGUUUGGAGUUACUAAUAUCGCCUGCGGAGCAUUGAAAGGUUAGAUUGACCAUCCCUAAUUUUAGUUUUGCGUCAUCUAUCGGCCCCUUCUUUGUUUUUUUUUUUUCUAGAAGUAUUUUUUUUUUCCUUUUUGGCGAGUCCAGAUUGUGGGUCCCACUGUGUUGCAUUUGAGUUGCAUUAAAGAACCCUUUAAUAAUAGGAUUUGAUUGCAUGCAAUAUUUCAUAUUUACAUUCAUCCUACAUCAAAUUUGGUAUCAGAACCCUAGGUUAAUGAAUGAACCUUAGAAGUGGCAAGAUUUAUCAACCUUUACCGAUGUCCUCAGACCCCACAAAAAUGGAACAAAUUUUACAGCAAUUAGCCGCUUUGAACGCUAAACUAGACGACAUAGGGAACCGUGUUACCAACCUAGAAACGAAUCCUGAUAAGGUCACAACACAAAACAAUGACACUACAGGAGUAGAACAAGAGGGAUCUGCUGCACACACUGCACAACCACGUGAUAUUAACGUUCGAAAUGUCUUUCAACAAAUGCCCCCAAGAUUCAAUCCUCUUUUACAAGGAAAUGAAAAUUUUAACUUUCAAGAUGACAUCACAUAAAAGGUUAAAAUUGAUGCACCAAGUGUUGACGAAAAACUUGAUUUGAAAUUAUUCACAAACUGGCUCGUCGACAUGGACCAGUACUUCAACUGGUAUGAAAUGUCUGAUAGUCAACAGGUUCGUUAUGCUAAAAUGAAACUCACCGGCGCCGCCAAGCAAUAUCGGAUUGGCGUUGAAAGACACUUAGAGCAGAUUGGCCAGGAGCCCAUCACUUUGUAGGCAGAGAUGAAGGCUAAACUGAGAGAGAAGUACUUGCCAUCUACGUACAAACAACAAUUGUACGAUCAAUUGAACACUGUAUAGCAAGGUUCUAUGUCAGUUGCUGAUUACAUGGCCAAGUUUGACGAGACAAACGUUCGUUGCGAUAUUCAAGAAGAAGAGGAAUGAAUUGUCUCCUGAUUCCGCCACAGGUUGUGCAAGUUACAGCGCGAAAUUGCGCCGCACAGGGCCGCAACCGUUGAGCAAGCUUUUAAACUCGCUUAGAAUAUGAGAAAUAUUUAAAAACACCAGCUCGACAAUUUGUUGGAAAAUUCAAUACGCCUAACGCAAAUCCAAAUUUUACUAAAGCGAAUAAUUUUCAAAAUCAUCAAAAUUCUAAUUCUAUGGGCAAGGGUUUAGCUAUAAACGACACUAAACAAGAAAACAUACAGGGUAGGUGUUAUAACUAUCGCCAUAUAGGUCAUACAUGAUGUAGGACAGAAUAUAGGGUCCUACAUUUUUAGAGGGCUCCAAAAUAUAAUUUAUGAUUUUGAAAGCUUUUUGAAAAUUUGAAAGCUUGUGAAAUAUUUUUUUUAGAAAUUUUCGAAAUUAAAAAAAUAAAAAUUAAAGAAAAUAGAAAAAUUCAAAAAAUAGAAAAAAUUAGAAAAAAUAAUCAGAACUCACUCCUGAACCGAACUCACUCUAGGGCGAAGCAUUCGCGAAGGAAAAAAGACUUCAUUGCCAAAUCAUUUAUCUUCAUUAUAAAUUCAUCCCCAUACAAAGAAGUCUUAUACGUUAUUUAUAUUAUGUUUAACCUUAUCUAUACAUAACCAACUUAGAAUUUAAUCUUAUCCUAAAUAACUAAAUAAAGCAACUUUACCUAGAGAUUAACAAAAAAAUGAAAAUUAAAAAUAAAUACGAUUGAAACAAAUAAGAGGAUAGCUAAAAAUCCUCAUUUAACUAACGAAAAAAUAUUCUCAACUAAUCUAAUCUAAUUUUAAAAACGAUAAACAAAAUCGGUUUAAUCCGAUCAAAAUAGGUUCAAGCUUGUUCUGCAUCAUUACGCUUAUGAAUGCCCCAAGUGGAACAUGUUUGUUCAGCCAGAUGGCGAUGAGUUGGAGAACUUAGAGGACGUCGCACACACAAUCGAUGAAAUUCCUAGUGAUGAAGAUAUGUUGAGAUCGAACGAGGAGUUUGAAGAAAACGUCACCUUACAAGUCAUGCAUUGUAUUUUGACCCAACCUAGGAAAGAGAAUGAUUGGAGGUGCACUUCCAUAUUUCACACCUAUACGAAAUGUAGAGACAAGAGUUGCAAGGUCAUCAUUGAUGGUGGUAGUUGCAUUAAUAUAAUAUCAGAAGCUGUCGUAGGUCGUUUAAACCUGAAAACAGAGCCUCACCCUAACCCUUAUAGUGUUGCGUGAGUAGACAAGACCAUUAUGCCGGUAAAACGACAUUGUUUGGUUCCACUUCAUUUUGCUACCUACUCCGACCAGAUUUGGUGCAAUGUCCUCCCUAUAGAUGUCGCUCAUGUUCUUUUAGGAAGAUCAUGGCUAUAUGAUAUGUCUGUCGUUCACCACGGAUUAUCCAAUACCCAUGUUUUUGCUCACAAUGGCAAGAAAAUUGUUUUGAGCCCAACAAACCCUUCUUCACAAAAAUUUUCAUCAAAAAACUCGAAUCCUACCAAAGAUUUUAAAAAUCCACCAUUAGAGAUUGAGAAAACAAAACCCCUUCAUAUUUUAAACAAAAAAAAGUUUUGUAGAGAAAUUGAUUCAAAAAUUGUGUACGCUUUAAUUGUAAAGGAGACUGCUCAAUUGACUAAUUCUUUUGAAACCCCUUUAGUAAUUAAGGAACUCCUUGCCGAAUUUAGUGAAGUCGCACCAAAAGAAUUACCUGAUAAACUUACCCCACUUAAAGACAAACAACAUGAUGUAGAUAUGGUCCCAGGGUCAUGCUUACCUUACCGCAUUAUAGAAUGAACCCUAAGGAACACGCUGAACUAAAGCGCAAAGUAGGAGAGUUGAUUAAGAAGGGCUUUGUACGAAGAGCAUGAGUCCCUACGCAAUACCGGCACUUCUUACACCAAAGAAGGACGGAAGUUUGUGCAUGUGUGUGGACAGUCGUGAUAUUAAUAAAAUCACAGUUAAGUAUCGAUUUCCGAUUCCCCGCUUGGAUGAUAUGUUGGAUAUGAUGGUAGGGGCAACUAUUUUCAGAAAGCUUGAUCUUCGUAGCGGUCACCACCAAAUUCGACUUCGGCCUAGGGAUAAGUGGAAAACUGCCUUUAAAACUAGAGAAGGGUUGUACGAGUGGCUAUUUAUGCCAUUCGGUUUGACAAAUGCCCCGAGUACUUUCAUGAGGGUAAUGAACCAAGUUUUUCGACCAUUUAUUGGCAAGUUUGUGGUAGUAUAUUUUGAUGAUAUUUUAAUCUACAGUCGUGCCGAAAACGAACACUUAAUUCACAUGCGACAGGUUUUUGAAAUCUUGAGUAAGGAAAAAAAAUUAUGCAUAUGAAAAAAUGUUCUUUUAUGCAACCCUGUGUUAUUUUCUUGGGUUUCAUUGUAUCCAAAGAUGGGGCAUUGGCUGACCUAAAAAAGGUCAAGGCUAUUAGAGAAUGGCCAGAACCGAAAAAUAUACAUGAUGCUAGGAGCUUUCAUGGCCUAGCAACUUUUUAUCGACGAUUCAUUACAGGUUUAGUACUAUAAUGGCCCCGAUUACAAAUUGUUUAAAGAAUGGUGAAUUCAAAUGGACAAAAUCGACCACAAAAGCUUUUCAAGAAAUUAAGGAAAUGAUGACAAAGGCCCUCUGUUUUGAAAUUACCAAAUUUUGAAAAGAUUUUUGAAGUUUCUUGUAAUGCCUCUGGGGUGGGAAUUUGUGGAAUAUUAACCCAAGAAGGUCAUCCCAUAGCUUAUUUUAGCGAAAAAUUAAAUAAGGCUAAACAAAAAUAUUCCACUUACGACAAAAAAAUUAUACGUUGUGGUUCAAACCCUGAGAUAUUGGCGACAUUAUUUGUUACCAAAAGAAUGUGUUUUAUUUUCUAAUCACCAACCUCCCAGUUACUUUUAACUCACAAAAACAUUUAAAUUUUCGACACGCAAAGUGUAUUGAGUUUAUUCAAGAAUAUACUUUCACUUUGAAACAUCGAGCCGGGGUAGAUAAUAAAGUUGCUGAUGCAUUAAGUCGAAUCGUAACAACCUUGCAUAAAGUUGGAGGGAGUGUAAUCAGGUUCGACAGUAUUAAGAGAGAAUAUUCCUCAUGUCCGGAUUUUAGCAAAAUCUACACCUUAGCUUUAGAGAACAAAUCCGCCGACCCAGAUUUUGUCAUUCGAGAUGGCUAUCUAUUUCGCGGUAGUCAUUUAUGUAUUCCGCAAGGCUCGUUGCAUGAUUUCAUUGUUUGGGAAUUACAUACAGGAGGUUUAGUCAGACAUUUUGGUCGAGACAAAACCAUCUCUAUGGUUAAGGACAAGGUUUAAAGUGUUGGGGCACGGGGGCGUGCCGUUGUCUGCCUGGCACGGUACGGCACCGGCACGCUUCCAUGCCGACACAUGGUACGCUUGCAUGCCGAUGGAUACGCACGACCUCCUACCAGCACGCUUUGGCACGGACUUAUUUCAAUUUUUUUUUGUUCCAAUAAGCUCUUAUAAUGUUAUUUUGAAAGAAUUAAUCAAAUAAUUAUGAAUAUAUGCUAUGUAUAGCUUACUAUACUCAUCAAUUAACAUAUUUGUAAGCUUUUUUGUAUGUAAAGUACAAUUAUACCUGAUGCAGAAUAAAAAUUUUUACAGGUUAGAAUUUUUAAAAUACAAAGACAUCUUUUUUUUCUUUUUUUCUUUUGACCAUAUUAUAGUUUUUCUUUUAUACAAUACAAAAAAAAUAAUUUUACAUUUUUUUGAAAAAAUUAUUUUAAAAAGUAUUUGAAAAAAUUUAUUUUUUUAAUUAUUUUUUUCAAAAAAUUAGUAGGUCUAUCAAAAAAAUUAAGCAAUAAAUUAUAUGACAAAUAAAUUAAAUAAAUUUAAGUAUCAAUUGAUUUAAUUUAGCUUUUAAUCUUAUCAGUAUUUUCAAUCUUCUAGCGCAAAAAUAAAAUUUAUGUUUGAUGUGGCUUAAAAUUUGUUUAUUGAGUUCGAUUUUGUUCCCUUAAUUCGCCAAAAAUUUCGUGGUGCGACAAAUUUUGAUAAAAUAAUCUGUGACUAAAAAAUAAAUAUCUGUGGUGGAAGCGGAGGGCUCGGACAAAUCUUUUGUCCGUAUAUUGAUAAAUAAAAAAAAUUAAAUUAUAAAUUUUUUGACUUAUCUAAUAAGUAAAUUUUCGAUUUGCAAUAUCUUUGGGGAGGUGUGGAGUACCCAGAAUGCUUUGGAUAUCCCAAAGAACAAAACAAAGAAAAAAAAAUAAGAAAAAAAAAUUUAAAAAAAAGCACAGUGCUAGCACAGCACUGUAACGUGGCACGCUGCACCGUGCCGCUCUGUCUCGUGCGGCACGGCGCUGCGUGCCGCGGCACGAAGGAGGGUCCGAGACCCCCCCUUACCGUGCCACCUUCAUGCGGCACGGAGCAGCAAUUUAAACCUUGGUUAAGGAUCGAUUCUUUUAGCCGAACCUCAAGCGAGAUGUUGCUCACAUCGUGGCACGAUGUGGGACGUGUCAAAAGGCUAGAGGCGGCCGAAAGAAUGAAGGAUUAUACACACCUUUACCCGUACCACAUUCUCCUUAGCAAGACCUAAGCAUGGAUUUUGUUUUGGGUCUACCAAAAACUAUUAGAAAACAUGAUUCGAUCCUUAUCGUAGUUGACCGCUUUUCUAAAAUGGCACACUUCAUUCCUUGUCGCAAAACAUCUUAUGCUACUCAUGUAGCGAAACUUUUUGUCGUUGAAAUUGCACGACUUCAUGGGUUACCAAAAUCAAUCGUGACUGAUAAGGAUGCUCGCUUCGUUAGUUAUUUUUGGAAAACAUUAUGGAAAAUUAUAAGUACAAAAUUGCUUUUCUCGUCUUCACAUCACCCGCAAACUAACAGUCAAACGGAGGUAGUCAAUAGGAGUUUGGGAAACCUACUUCAAUGUCAAGUUGGUGAGAAUGUUAAGAAUUGGGAUCUCAUCUUACCACAAGCUGAAUUCGCAUAUAAUAGCUCAAUUAAUCGAACAACCGGAAUGAGCCCAUCUAAGAUAGUGACAGGAUAUAAUCCAAACAAAGACCUAGUGAACAUGCAUCUUCAUUUGCACAACAUAUGCGGGACUUACAUUACGAGAUUCGACGAAAAAUAGUUUUAAGUAAUGAUAACUAUAAGAAAGUCGCCGAUAGACACAGGCGCGUUGUUGAAUUUAAUGAAGGAGACUCGAAAGGAGACUCGAUGAUGGUGCGGAUUAGACCCGAAAGGCUUCCGCAUGGUACUAUUAGAAAACUAUAUGCAAGAAAUAUGGGUCCGUUUACAAUUCUUAAGAAAAUUGGUUCUAAUGCUUAUUUAUUGGAUUUACCGUCUAAUAUGAGAAUUAAUCCUACUUUUAAUGUUGAAGACCUCAUCUUAUACCAUCUAGAUACACUAAAUUCAUGUCCCAAGUCCCCACCUCAACUUGUUCCGAGUAUCCCAUUACAGGAAAAGCGAGAUGACAUUGAGGCAAUCCUUGAUGAUCAGAUUGUAUCGACGAGGGAUGACGGAGAGCCCAACUUUUUGGUCAAGUAGUAAUAUCGACCGGAAGAAAACGCAACGUGGAUUUCGCAUGAUGAGCUUCAACGACUAGAUCAAAAUCUAUAUGAGAAGUACAUCUCGAACAAUUCGACGGAGUCGAAUUUCUCGAAGGCGGGGAGAGUUGAUGCGGACCAGGUCCCCUUUCGAGUGUAGGAAUGCCGUCGAUGCUGAAAACGCAACUUGAGCAUGUGGCUCAAUCAAUUCGGAUUGGAUUCGGAUUGAGUCACACUCGUUUGUUUCCAGAAGUAUCUAAGGUCAUGUGAUUUUGUUUAAAAACUUGUUUCUUUGGAUAAGUUGAGAUUUAGUUUAAAAGGAUUGGUUGAGAUUUUAUGAGAUUUUUUUUCUAUUAGAAUAGGUUGAGAUUUUGUUAUCAGAUUUUUAUCAUGUUAGAAUGGUUGUUUAAGUUGAUAUUUUAUUUUAAGCUUAUCCAUUUGGUAGUAAAGCUCUUUAAAUAAGCCUAUGUAUGGAACGAUGAAAACAAUGAAGAUGAAUAUUGUUAUAGUCAUUGAGAUGUGUUCUCUAAAUUCCUUCACAUUUAUGCGUCGACCGGAGUGAGUCCGUGGGGAGCGACUCCCUUUAUCUUUUUUUUUCUUCUGCCACAUGCAUUCGUCACCGCCAUCGUCAUCCACCAUCGACAUCAUCUCCACCACAGUCUUGCCACGCCACUACCGAUUGUUGCGCUCGAGCCACCUCCCGAUCAUUUCGAUGUCACUAUCAAACCGAUACCAUCUAGCUUGUCCAUCGAACACAAUUGUUUUUCCCUUUUAACCUUUCAAUUACCUUGUCUUAUUUUCAUGUUUACUUUUUUUCUUUUCUUCCCGACUCCUAUCUCUCGAAUAACGACCCUUUGCUUUGUGUCCAUAGAUGGUGCCCAAGGAGAGGCUUGGAUCCGGUUGAUUAAGAACGGACAGUCCAAUUUCAUUUUGAGUUUACUAAUAUCGCCUGCGGAGCAUUGAAAGGUUAGAUCGACCAUCCCUAAUUUUAGCUUUGCGUCAUCUAUCGGCCCCUUCUUUGUUUUUUUUUUUUCUAGAACUACUUUUUUUGUCCUUUUUGGCGAGUCUGAAUUGUGGGUCCCACUAUGUUGCAUUUGAGUUGCAUUAAAGAACCCUUUAAUAAUAGGAUUUGAUUGCAUGCAAUAUUUCAUGUUUGCAUUCAUCCUAUAUCAUUCACAAAAUCAUACUACAACGAAAGAGAGAACUCUUGUUUAUGGGCUCAAAUCCAUAAAAUACCCUAAUGACAAGAAGAUACUACUAGCCUAAAGUUAUUUCGAAUAAAAGUUCUUUUCCUAAUCUCAUAAAAGAAAUAAUCCUAAAUCCACUGAGGAAAAGGCCAUGCAUCUGGUUCAGGUACGCAACUGGGUCUAGUUUGAAGGCGAUUGUAAAACAAACCUUGGAGGACUCAUCGGCGCCCAUGCUCGGUUGCGCAAUGGUGUUCUCAUACCAUCAUGUAUGGGAGUUGCUGCAAAACAAAAAAUUAAAACACGAAGUCAAAAUUUAUGUAUCGAGAACAUAUUUAUAAAUGAUACACCAAGUAAACAUAUUUAUAAAGAAGUUGCAGUGGACCAUUUAUCCCCUGAUCUAGACAAGCAAACUAGACACACUACGUGAAAUGACAUAUAGAUAGAAUCAAGAAAAUAUCAGCAACAUACCCAAGAUGUUAAGUAUUAUAAGUACAUUUUUGGCAGACAUCUGACUAAAAUUUUCACCGAGCAAUGAAGAAAGAGAACCGAAAUUAAUCACUGGACGAAACCACACCUGAAGGAUCUCUCAUUGGCGUCUGAAUUGGAUGAAGUGGCGUCCGGGAUGGAUGCAUUGGAGUUUCACUACCCGAAGCAAAUCUUGAUUCACUGAUGUGUAUAAAAUGUCAGCAUAAGAAACAAAAUUUUGAGCCUCAAUAAAAAUAGAUGCAUCACAGGAUCAUUACCGGAAUGGUGUUGCAGCACCAGGAGUAUCAGAAAUCUCGUCUCUUUUAACUGCAAAUUCACUUCUUAUAUUAAACUAUGGAAAAUAUUAGAAUAAAAUAAGCUGUAAACACAAAGCUUACCUGUGACAAUCUUCAUCUGUGAAUCCAGCUCUACGCGCACAAAUCCACUGGUGAUCUCCUUAACACGGCCGCGAUACCCCUUAAAGGGACCAGAUUUAAUUUUAAUGCAUCUACCUACCAAAGAAUCAUGCCCUCUUCCACCUCCGAACCUUCCACCUCCGAACCUUCCACCAACUGCACCAAGUAAUUUUCUCAUAUGAUUAUGGUAAUUCUAACCACAUAAAACAUCAUAAUUUAGGCUGGCAAUGAAACUGAAUAAGAUCAUAUCAAGAUUUUUUAUAGAAAUUUAUGUUUAGAAUCAAAAGUUCUUCCAAAACUAAAGUCAUACAAUUUGUAGGAGGUCCUCUUGGAGGAAGCCUUCUUGGGGACUGCAAAACAUUCGAUGAAGAUCUCAAACCACCAAAUCGAGAAUCUAAUGCAUCUACACCCUGUAGUACAAUAAUCAUAAUGAAUCACAGCGUCAACCAUUAUAAAGAUUUAUAAGAAACUAAAAUGACUGGCAAAAAGUAAACAAAAGCACAAAAGCAUUUCAGGCAUACAUUCAUGCCGUGACCCCUAUUUGAUCCACCAACAACUACACAAGACUGUGCUUUAGCACAUAUAAAACCAGCAUGCUCCAGGUGGUGUCGAUCAUAGAUGAACAAGAUCCCUUUAUGUAUGUGCUCAACAGGCCCUUGCUUCCCCUAAAUGGAAGAAAAAAUAAACAAACAGUUGUGUCAAGCCGAAAGCAUCACAUAUUCAUAUACAGAAAAAGGCACCAGAAAUUCACUAAGUAGAAAAAUUAUACUGUAUCUCACCUUACAUGGUCCUUCAAUUACCCUCACAACAUCCUUAACUGACACAAUAUUAUUCGAUCGAUCUUUGGCAUUGGUUCGUCUGUCAAUCUUGCUCUUUAUUUCCCUCAGUUUAAUAAGCACGACCUCAGGUCUAUCAGGUACACCUUUGAGAACCUAAAGACAAACAACUAUUAAUUUUUUUUUUUUACCAAAUAGAAAAGGCCCAUAAUCAACUUCUGGAAUUUUCUAACUUGCCUGAAAUGCUUCACUUUCCACACGUAUAAUUACACCAAAUGACAUGUUGCUGCAGGGAAUCCAACAAAAGCAUAAGACAGAGUAAGACUGAAAACCAAUGACAAAAAACAAUGUCCGAGCAAUCUCAAAAGUAAAUCUUACUCUAGCAUCACAAGAUCAUGCAACUCGUAAUCCCCAAUUCGUGUAACCCCAGUAGUAAUUUCAGAACUUUCGACUACAUGGUCCGCAAAUACACGGAUCUGAGAUCAGAAGGAAUUAAUCUCCUGUUGAAGUAAUUCUCAUUUUCUUAAAAAGGAAAGGAAAAAAAUUCUGCUUACAUGCUCUUUUGUAGUGUCUGAUAAGAUAAUCAAAACAUGCCCCUCAACUUUUACAACCAUACCAGUUGCACCUUCUUGAACACCAGAAACUACUUUUACAUGGUCUCCAGGUUUAAAGUAUUUGCACAGCUCCUUCUCAUUGAAAGCCAAUGUUUUCUGCAAAGACAACCACAUUAAGAAUUCCACUGGAUUGAACAACUUGCAAAAAUAACUGAUUUAGCAUGAACAUAUGUUUGUUAGGUAAUUACAGGAAGGUCCGGCAUUUUCGGUCUGAUAUGGACAGUGUCCUCCUCUACUUUCUCAACCCAGCCUUCCAGAUUCUUGAGAUCUCCUCGAACAACAAUGACAGCAUCACCUUUCAUGAAAUGGCCUUUCUUCCUGUUUGCAAACAAAGUGGACAAGCUAGCCACGUCUCCAUUAACAUCAUCACCAGGUUUCCGAAAUUUCUCAAGCUCAUCAAAGGUUGGCUGAAUAUUUUGUGAGCUGAUUGACUUAAAUGAUACUGUUUUGUAAAGGAAUCCAUCUUUGAACAUUAAACCAUCAACCAUCUCGAAAUACUCCCCUGAAUCUCUGUCCCUCCUCCUCUCCACACGGAUACGCAUCUCCCUAAUUGCAUUUCAAAGAAAAAGAAGAAAAUAAAAAUUAAAUUAUGAUUUUAUUACGUAAAACUCUAUUUCAGUAUAAAUCGGUAUUGGAGCAAAAUAGUACCUUGCUUCAUCAAUGUUAAAAAACCUUGGUGGAGGUACAAAUGUCUUCUUCUUUCCAAUAUCCCUACCUUCCUGAAAAAUACUAACCUCUUCAGUACGAAAAAGCAUGAACACAGAUACAACCUCAAUCAACUAACAUUCAUAAAACAAGGUACAUACAAAACUUGUAUAAAUAUAUGUUGUUAAAAAGCAUAUCAGGCUGUGAAGAGAAAUUUUGUGAACAUAAUGUCUGGAAUUAAAAGCAACUGUGUUCUGGACACCAGAAUCACUGUUAAGGGCUCCAUCAAUAUGAUGAAUACAUAUAAUCCAGAAAUGAGCAAGUUCUGACGGUUUAACAUCAAUGAAGUAAAAUAAUGCAAGCAAUAAUGAUUAAUGAAGGAUAUAUAUAUAUAUAGAGUAGAAAGUCAGCUUUAUAUAGCAGAAAGAACAAAGCAAGUUUAAUUCUUCUUAUAUUAAAAAGUAGUAAAAAGAAAAAAGAAAGAGAACCCACCAGUUUAUUGGCAAGAGUUUGUAAAUCAACUCUUGGAAUUAGCUUAACAGUUACUCUCUGGCGCACAUUGUCAACAUCAACAACCUGCAUAAAACAGCUUUGGUUAAUAUAGAAAGGAGGUAGGAAAAGCAGAAGCUAGACAGCCCAAAAAGAAAUAGCCGUACUUUAGCAAGAUCUCCUUUAUAUAUGCCUAUCUUCAUUCUAACCCACGUAUCCCUAGCAAGAUCAACAGAUUUGCUUUCAACUGACAGAACAUCAGUCAUCUCCUUUAUAGGCACGAGCAUAAUUUUUGCUGAAGAAUAUAUAUUUCUUAGACCUUUGCAAGCCUGAAUACACCAAAUAACCAGUAAUCAAAAUCUCAAGGAUAAAGAACAAAAAAUUGCAAAAAAUUGCAUGACAAAUUGAACAUAUCCAAACCUCUUUAACAUGAGCUUCCUUUUCAGCUUCAACAUAAAUGUAGUUUUUUAGAUGGUCCAACGCGAUAGCUGACUUUAUCUGGAGAUCUGCCCUAUCUAUGAACUUUUGCAUGAGACAUAUAGCUGUCUCGCGCUCAUGACCAAUCUGAAAUCAUUAUUUUUUUAAAAAAAAAGUUCACACCUCAUAAAGCAAAAGGACACAGAGAUAAUUAGCACUAAGCAGUAUUCAUGUUAAACUGGAAAGGGAUGACACAAUCUAGGCUGUUAAUAAUUAUCUACGUGCAAAUAUAUCUGUGAGAGUAUCAAUUUCCAUAAAUGCCCCUAAAAAAAUGAUGUCGUACAUAUGUCACUGUAACCAUAAUAAAAAAAAAACUUUAAAUAACUUUCUUUAACACAAAACCAACUUCCCUUUAUGAAUUUGGAUCACUUCCCAACCUAAGAUAAGGGCAUUUUUGCAAGAAACUGCAUUUUCCAGGGUAUAUAUAUGAAAGUUUUUCGCAGGUAAUCGGGAAUACAUAUGUUAAAGCCUGAACAUGAAAGGAGUACGCGGAAACAUCAUACCGCACAUUUCACCAUCCACAACUUUGGAUCCUUCACAGAUGGCAAUAAAGCUUGUUGUUCGACUUCUGUCGCGUCAUCGCCAUAUUCCACAUGGCUUGACUUUGCAUAUCUUUCAUAUACUUGUCUCUCUAUCUCAUCGACAUCUUCCUGAUCCUCACCCAUAAGGAUGGACGGACGAUGUAACCGUCUACCCUCCUCCUCAUCAGGUAGAUCAGCUCCGGCAUCAUUGAUGAAAUCUGCAAGUUUUCUUUUACCACUUAAAUCCAUAGUUCUAGAGAUAUGUGGGAUGGAGAGAAAAGAUGCUAUAUGUAGAAGGGAUAGUGCGAAUGUAACCCUAACACUACUUUUCCUAUUAUCUCCUUCAAAUGAUGCGCUCUCACGCGAGAGCCAUGCGUGCAGAUGUACACAGAGGGCAAUUAGCAAUAAAGAGAUUAGAAAUCGACAAGCUAAUGUUUCCUAGACACUUGGCAGGGAGUAAGUACCCAAGAAGGGAGAAUUAUUAGACAUCUGUAGACUACUAAAACUAUAUAAGUAGCGAAAUUUAUAUUCAAACUGAUAAAUGCCUAAAUUUCUUGGGGAAUUAAGAAUCGAAUUUAUAUAUCAUUUAAAUUAGUCUUUGGCCGGUUUAAUUGCAGAAAAUUGAGGAAAAGGAAGAAAUUUUUGCAUUAACCACGUAGAAUAGGAGAAAAAAGUCCCCAGAUUCAAUAGAACUAUUUUGAUUGGAAACAGCAGAAAGAAAUAAAUAGAAAACUAUGGCGUAACUAUCAAUGACUUGUCUCCCCAAUCCAAUGCAGUUCUUCGCUCGAUUUUGCUUCUAUAACCAGUCCCAUUCAAUGUGCAACCAACUAUACAGGAUUAGAACCAAAGCAUGGCAGCAUUUAUCUAGACAAAGUUGGCGAAUCGGCUAUAUCUGAGUUCUUGAACCUGGAAAAAACUAAAAUUUUGAAAUUUGAGUAAUUAGAUGCAAGAUAAUUAUGCUCUCGGCAGAAUCACCAAGAUCGCUAUAAUUGGGAAUUUUGCCCCUCUACUCAAUUUCUCCUUCUAAUCGUUCAAUUUCUUUCUUCUUCUUUUCUGAAGUUGAACAAAAGGACAACAAGAUGAAUCAAGAACCGUUUUAUCAUCUUGUAAAGGAACUAAAAAAACAAAGAUGAUUGCGAAUUACCAUCCUCCCCCUCUUCAUCAUCCUCCUCCCCUUCGUCGCUGUCGACGGCCGCUUCGAGCUCGAAGAACUCCGACCCCGACCGCCGCUUCUUCCCGCGGCCGCCGCCGCCGCCGCCGCCGCCGCGGCCAAAAUCCUCAUCGUCGUCGUCCUCCUCGUCCUCCUCGUCCUCAUCGUCCUCCAACGCAGUAUCAUCAAUAAAAUCGGAUCGCCCCCGCUUCCGCCCUCCGGCGCCCUUCCCCCUCCUCACCACCUCCUCCUCCUCCUCCUCCUCCUCCUCCUCUUCCUCCUCGUACUCCUCGUCGUCGUCGUCGUCGUGGCGUCGGUUCCGAGCCAUGGCUUCUCCGAUCGGGGAUCACCUCCUCCGAAGGCUAGGUUUUGGGGAUCGACAAAGAUGGAGGAACGUGGGGCGAUGCUCUAAUUCACGAACUACAACAAUUGCGCAAAGGAACUAAAUCGUGAACAGCGAUAAAUAUCUUCGCAUGCAAAAUCGAGAAGGGUUUGGAUUCGAGAGAGGCGGGGUGGAGAGAGAGAGAGAGAGAGAGAGGAAGGGGAGCCUAAAUAAGGGGGAGUGGAGAGAUGGGAGAUGAAGCUCUAAUGAUGAUCGGAUCAUUAAUCAUGUCGUAACGGGCCAUUAGAAUGAACGGUCGAGAUUAAAGACAGAUUAAAUGGGUCGGGUUUGAUCGAUCCCGAAAUAUGUAGGGUUUGAUCAAGCCCGGCCCAAAAGAGGAUUUUUCAGAUUAAAAAUAACUUUCACUUGAACUAUAAUUAUUCUAUUUUUUUAUUUAUUUUACUGAAUUUUUUUUUUACACCAAUAAGGAAAAGAAUAAAAAAUAGUAGUUUUUUUAUUAUUCUUUCCUUGCAGAGGAUGAAGUCAAUUAGGGCGUUUUGAAAAAAAGUAUAGCACAUGAACAAAUUUAAUUUACGAUAAACUAAACAACGAAAGUAAAUAUUCACAGCUAAAAACAACUUUUAUAUUUUUUGAUUUUCGGUGAAACGAAUAUGGCCAAAGUGUUGCAACCGGCCCUGACUUUAAAUCAAGGAAGUAGCACUCGUGUGAGUUUCUGCAGCCACUUCAACUAGGAAACGAGAAAAGGUAAUUCGUGAUAAGAAAUAGGCUUAUAUAUGAAUCCUAUUUAAUCUUCCCUGUUGGCUUAUUUAUUCCUGUAAACUUAAAUCAAAAGCGUGGAAUGUUUGUUGAAACUUUUCAUAAUUCGAAUAGCCAGUGGAAAUUGCAGCAAUUCAAUUACCGACGCUUUGAAUUUUGUGGAGGGCUCUCCUCGUUGGCUUCUCUUUUACUUUUUCAGUGAAGCUUUCUGAUAAUGCUUAUAUAAAAUCACGAUAAACUAUCAAGUAACUUGAAAUAUUAUCAUUUUGACAUGACGCAAUCGAUAUUUUUAUAGUGACUCCUGCAAAAGCUUCUAAGAAGAAUUUUUUUUCUCAUAUUAUAUAUAUAUAUUUAUAUAUAUAUAUAUAUAUAUAUAUAUAUAUAUAUAUAUAUAUAUUAUAUAUAUAUAUUAUAUACAUAUAUAUUAAAAGCACGUAUAUUCAAAUUUGGGUCUGUCGCAGAACCCUUUUUCGGCAAAAAAAUUGGGCCCAUUUUUUUCUUUCCGUACGAAAAUUUUAAAUAUAAGUAUAAAAUAGAAAUAAAAACAGCAAUGAAUAUAUAAGUUCUCUAUAAUGAAAUCCUAAAUAAAUUUUUUUAUUUAAUUUCAAAAGUAAUUUUCUAUAACAGAUUACGGGUGUGAAAAUCCUAUAAAAAAUAUUUUUCUAUUUUAUUUAAAUAUCUUUUUCAGAUACUAUCUAUUUAAUUUCAAAAUAUAUUUUCUUUUUAGAUAACGGAUUUAUUUUUCUAUUUAAUUUCAAAAAUUUAUUUCCUAACAGAUUUUAUUUUUCUAUUUUAUUUCAAAAGUAAGUUUCUAUAACAGAUUACGGGUGUGAAAAUCUAUAAAGUUUUUCCAUUUUAUUUUAAAAUAUUUUUUUUAGAUAUUAUCUAUUUUAAUUUCAAAAUAUAUUUUCCUUUGAGAUAACGGAUUUUAUUUUCCAUUUAAUUUCAAAAAUUUUUUUUAACCGAUUUUUAUUUUUCUAUUUAAUUUCAAAAGUAAGUUUCUAUAACAGAUUACGGGUGUGAAAAUCCUAUAAAAGAUUUUUUCCUAUUUUCUUUCUUAAUAGCGUGAUUUAUUAUUUUAAAUUUUUUAGAUACAUAUUUGGCAAUCAUAUAAAAUAUGGCCUAAAAUUAAAAAAUAUUUUUAAAAAAUUAUAACUUUUUAUAAUAAUUAUUACAUACAUUUGCACGUACAUUUUACUAGUCUAUACUAUACUAUACUAUAUAUAAAAACACGUAUAUUCAAAUUUGGGUCUGUCGACAGACCCAUUUUUUGGCGGAAAAAUUACCGCCAAUUUUUCUCUUUCCGUACGAAAAAGUUUAAAUAUAAGAAUAAAAAUAAAAAUAAAAACAGUAAUAAAUACGUAAGUUCUCUAUAACAUAUUAGAGAUGUGAAAAUCCUAAAAUAUAAAUUUUUCUAUUUAAUUUCCAAAGUAAGUUUUCUAUAACAGAUUACGAGUGUGAAAAUCUUAUAAAAGGAGUAUUUUCCUAUUUAUUUUAAAAUAUCUUUUUAGAUAUUAUCUAUUUAAUUUCAAAAGUAAUUUUUGCAUUAGAGAUUAUUGUUAAUUAUUUCAUUUAAAGCAUAUCUUUCUUAAUAGCGCUGAUUAUUAUUUUAAAUUUUUUAGAUACAUAUUUGGCAAUCAUAUAAAAUAUGACCUAAAAUUAAAAAUAAUUUAAAAAUUAUAACUUUUUCUAAUAAUAUUAUACGUGUAUUUGCAUGUGCGAUUUUACUCAGUCAGUGAAGUUAGUAUAGGCUACGCUAAGGUAGUAUAUAGUAGUAUAGGUUACUAGGGUAUAUAUUUACGUGUAGAGCUACUAUGCUAUCGGAAGCAUAAAGUAGUUGGUGCUUUUGAUUUUUUAGCCAUUGGAUCAAACAUUCUACGAUUGCGAUGAUAGCGGUCCCCUUAGGGUUGAGUAGUCCCCCUAAGGUUUAGUGGUCCCCAUUGAUUAAUAAUAUUAAUCCAAUAAUUAUAAAUGAUCAAUAGGGUUGAUCUAAGGGCUAAAAAAUCGGAAGCACCAAUCACUUUAUACUUUUGAUAGCAUGGUAGCACUACUCUAUAUUUACUAUUAUGGAAUGUCAUCUAAAAAGAAAAUCCUAAGAUAUUUGAAUUGCUUUUGAAACAAAAUAGUGUUGUAUUGAAAUUGAAAUAAAUAUUUUGUUUUUGCAGAUUCAGAAACUAGUGUGUGUGUGCGCGCGCGCGCGAGAGCAGGAUCAAUCCUUUUGGUAAAUGAUAGAUAAGUAGUGAAAGGCGAUAAAAGUAAUUGAAAGAAGAAAUCAAUGAGAUGAAGAGCGCAACAACUCUCUGUCCAUUGUAUAUUUUUCAUUCAUCCUAAUUUAAUAUAUAUUUAUAUGAUUUAUAUGAUUCUUCUUAAACACAAAGUUGCAACUUUUCCAAACAUAGAAUAGAAUAACAUACAAUUACCCUACAUGGUACUAUUAUUAUGUCGCACAAAUUAUACCAAGCCUAUCUUCUUCAUAUAGAAGGAUAAUAGUAGUCAAUAUUUUCAAAUGGAAAGACAAUAUUUAAGACAAUAUCAAUUGCACUAAAAGAUGGAAAGUGCAAUCCUAAACAAUGGAGAAUAAAUCUUCUAAUAUUUUAUCAAUAUUUCUCCCACAUCCCCAUUAAACUCAAGGUGACAUCCUAGAUGCCAAUUUGAGUUUAAACAAAAAAUCUCUAAAUCGUAUAGCAAAAUGAGAUUUGGUGAAAAUAUGAGGAGAUUGAAUUAAGGUGGAGUGUACUCUACUAGGAGUUUCAUUAAAAAUAAUAAUCUAUUUCAAUAUGUUUAGCCCUUUUCAUUAAAAAUAAUAUUGUGUGCGAUUUGAAUAACACUUUGAUUACGACAAUAUAAUGGAGUACUUCAAUGUUGAAAGACAUUCAUGUCAAUAAUUUGCUGUUGACUACCGACCGUCCCUAAAGCAAGUGGUAAAGGGCUUGGUGGUUGGUAUCCGAGACCCAAGUUCGAAUCCUAAUUGAUUCACAUUUCUAGCUAAGUUUAUUUCUAAUGAAAUAAAUGAAGCGAGUAGCGUGAUACCUAUCUCUAAAAAAAAAAUUAAAAAUAAAAAAAAAAAACAAUUUGCUGUUGACUACACCAAAAGAUGAGAGAGUCACCUAAUAAGGAAGAAAGCUAGCGGUGGAUUUCCUACCUAUUAGAUCCCCUGUCUAAUCAGCAUCAGAGUAUGCACGAUUCUCUAGAGAAAAAAAAAAAAAAAAAAACUUGAGCCUAUGAAAAAGAGUUUUUUUAAUAUAUCUUAGAGUGCGAAGAUUAGUAGUGUAAAUUACGCAUAUGAAAUAUUCAAUCGAGUGAUUGUGAGGUAGAUAAUACUAUCCAUUAGCGGGAUGAAAUUUAUUUAAUAGUGUAUCAGCAAUUUUCCUAUCUGAGAAUCCAGCCAGAGACAAAUCUUAAUGUUACCUCAAUGCCCAGAAAUUAACUAUGUGCCCAAUCUUUCGUUUCAAAUUGUUGACUAAUAAGAGAAUAUUUGAGAUCCUAAAUACUCUAUAUAUCAUCACCAGCAGUAGGAAGUCCAUUCCUAAUCAAUUGCGAAUAAAUCUUCUUAUAUUUAGUCAAUAUUUUUUCGAGAAAGCAAAAACAAGGUAACUUUAAUUUAAUCUUGACCCCAUCAACUUCGGGUUGAACAUAUGGUUAACUUAAAGCCAUUUUUAAUUAAUUUUUAGCAACUUAACUCAGUAAAAACAUACAACUGUAAUGCAACAAAGCACGUUGAACCAUUUAUCUAUUUCUAUAUCUAUACCUAUACAUUAUUUCUCCUAAAGUUGCCACAUGGCAACUUUUCAUUCAUGGUUGAGUAUGAGCUCCACUCCAAGCCUGCUUAAGUCUUUCCUUUUCUUCUUCCUUCGGUUGUUAUCUUCGUUCAUCGGCAAGAAGAAUCUCAUUCCUCAUCAUCGCUUCUUUUAUCGCUGUUUUCUCUUUUUUUGUCGUUGUUGUUUAAUUUUUUCCCAAUUAUCUACCCGUUGCAUUCGCUUUUAUCUAUAAAGCUUUUUGAAUUAGAGAAGAAGUCAUUCACCAUAGUAACAAAUUCUUGUGUUUUUUCAUAUAACUGUUACAUUUUGACUCCAAGUCUCUAAGCACCCAUUUGGUUCGGGGUUAAGGAAUGGAAUAACCCCUUAACUCCGAAGUUAUUCCCAAACAUCCAAUUUGGGAGGUGGGGUUAGCUAACCCCACUCCAAAUGGAUUAUUCUGGGAUAGCCCAUUUGGGGUGGGAUUAGCUAAUCCUACCCCACCCCACUACUCCAACCAAACAAAGUACUAUUUUACUCACUAUUCUUCUUAUCUCAUCUAUUUCAACCAAACACUAUUUUAUCUAUACCUAAACUAAACCUAAUUCUCAACCAAACACAAAAUUAUUCUGACCUCACAUUAACCCUGAACUUAAUUCUAUUCCUGAAAUAACAAGUUUUUAUUUAACCCCGAACCAAACGGUGACUAACUUUAUGACUUAUAGCGACACUAGCAAUGGGUCGAACUCCCGACCUCUUAUUUUGGUAUUAUCCUAGCAACUAGCUAGCUGUUGUUAAAUUCGUUGUCGCAAGAGUAAUCUAAUGCUUGGUAAGCAAUAUCUAAAUCAAAAUAAAAUGAAAGUGACAAAAUAAGCAAAAAAAAUAAAAAACCUAAACAAAGAAAUAAAAUGUUAGUAUACUAAGCUCCAAAAUAGCAAUGAUUUAAAUCCGGAAUCUUUUACCAUCCAAAAAUAUUAUUGGGUUGCAGUUCACUAGUCCAACCAAUGGUUCAACAACUGAAUUGAAUGUGACAUUAAUAUUAUAUAUAAUAUAUAAUAAAGAACACUUACUAAGUAUAGUAUUAUUCGUUAUUAUCAAAUAGUAUUAUAUUACUAUAUAAUUAAUUAAAAAUGUAUCCAAAGUGUAGAUUAUACAAAAAAUAAUAAUACAUAUGUUUAAUUAAAGUAUUUAAAUAUGAAAUUUUAAAAAAAUUUGAUCAGUUUUUAUAAAAAUCAGAUUGGUUCAAUAAUUUACUGGUCGAACUACUAGUCAGAACGGAUCGAAGUGAGUUUUAAACCAGUAUGAUUUUAAGGAUAGAAUCGAAUUUGGUUUGGGCACCGAGUUUUAAGUGACUUUUAAAAUGCCAAAUAGGCCUCUCACAUUCCCAAUAUUGGGGCCACAUAAUCAAUUCAUUUUGUGUUGGGCCUGUCAUUUUUGGAUUUUUUUUUUAUUUGGGCAAUUAUUUUUCUGGGCCACAUGAAACAGGUCGAGUUAGUCCAGUGCAAAUGACUUCACUUAUCUCAUAAUGGGUUUGGAUACUUGAGCCCAAUUUCGCUUACUAUACUGGAUAAAACUUCACCAAGGAGCUCCAAAACCCGCUCUCGAUCCAUUAUUGUAUUUUAAUUUUAGAAAAAAUUUCAAAUACUAUUUCUAUGAUUCAGCACUUUUUAUCUUGUGGUUUAAACUGUAUUACUUUAAUACCUUGUCAUUUCGUCUCUUUUUUUUUUGUUAUCUCCUCCGUUAAUUUUUUCGUUAAAUCGAUAAGAAAAUUAAAGCUAUAGAGCACUAAAAUAAAAAAAUUUGUAAAGCAUGGAAUACUAAAGUGAAUAUUCGAUAAACUAUAGAGAGUAUCUGAAAUUUUUUCUAUAUAUUUUAACGGAGAGUUAACAAAGAAAAUAACAUAAAAAGAAAAAUAAAACCAUAAGUUACUAAAAUGAUACACUUUAAACCAUAAAGUACUAAAGUGAGAAACCGCUAAACCAUAAGGGGGAUAUUUUAAGUUUUUUCUUAAUUUUACUCACAUCCAAGGAUUCAUAUAUAGGAUAUUUUCUAAAACUAAAAUUUAUAAAAAUAAUAUUAGGCCUAGAGGGUAGAAUUAUAAUUUUUGGUAGAGAUAAGUGUUAGGAUUUUCAUAUAUUGUGGUCCAAUUAAUUAUAUUUAAAUUAUGAUUUGCUAUAGAUAAGGGUCAAUCCUAACAGAUAUAGAACUACUUGAUAUGGUAUAUUGGUUCUGCUACCUUCUCAUACGUAUUCUGGUGAAGAAUUAACAUCGUUUCCACACCAUACGGUAGAGUGCCUGAGAUAGGAGGAGAAAUCAAAUCACCAAAGUUCGGUUCGUGACUUUCAGAUCAUAGCGAGACUUUACUCUUCCGCAAGAUUGAUCAAGAAUUUCUUCUCUAUGGCGCUCUGUGAGUUAUUUUAUUUUAUAAUGAUCCUGAAUUCUGGUAUGCAUUUAUUUCUCUAUUUAUUUUACAUAUCUUGAAAUUCUAUCAAUUGGUAUCAGAGCGAAACGAUAAGUUGAUAUUGUAUGCAUUAAAUAGUUGGAUCGAAUUAUGAUGAAUUUUAGAUUAAUUAAGUACACAGUGUUUGAUCUUUAAAUCUACUUAUAUUUAUUUUUCCUCGUGGCAUGCCAUAUAUUUUCGUGCUAUGUGCUUGGAUGAAAGCCAACUAAUUCAGAAGAUAAUAAUUGUGGAGGCCAAAUUAAUUAGCAUUUCCGGGCUAAUUAAUCAAGACGGUUGGCCCGGCCUAGAGUAUGUACGGCAGCCGCAGGGGGCGCAUGAAGGUUUAAUUAAUUAGCAUACCGUGAGCCUAAUUAAUUAAGGCGCCCUAAGUACACAUCCGUACGGCAAGAGAAGGUGCCACGGUCUUGCCUAUGACGUCUGGAUCAGAGUCGGCGGAGCGGAGAUUCUUGGCCAAUUGCUUGAACGGUUCGAAUUCUUCAAAACAAUAGCAUAAAGAAUUUUAGUCAAAAUCUUCAGUAUUUCUCUAAUUUGGUCUUCUCAGUUUUACGAAAGUUUUUUUUUUUUUCAACUUAAAAUUCUUUAUUCAUCAUAAUUCGAUAUGCUAGAGUCUUUAUCUUUAUUAAUGUAUCGUGAACAUAAAAAAUCCGUUCACAUAAGAUUUAAUUUUGCAUACAAUAUUAAUUUAUUAUAAAUCUAUUUCUCUUAUAUUUGUGGUCAAAUUAGAAUAUAUAAAGUUUAAAUUUGAUUGCGAUAUUAUGUUUUAAAUUAUCGUAUCUAUAUUCUUAUUUUGACCAGAUGAACAUGAAAAUUAAAUAAUCAUAAUUAUUUUCGAUUAUUUAAUGUUUGGCGCUAAGUUAAAUUAAUUUAUUAUUUUGAUUGGUUAGGUGCAAGCCAAAACGGUCCUAAUUAAAAGAAAUAAUGAUUUAAUUUACUUUAAAGUAGCACUUUCGGAUAAUUUUCAUGUUAAUCAUGCAGCACUAAGUCAGAUUAAUUUAUUGAUUCAACUGUUCGAGUGCAAGCCAAAGCGGCCGCGACCGGAAGAAAAGAUAAAUUAAUUGCUUUAAAGAUGUGUAUGCAGAAAUUGCACCCUAAUAUUAUAUUUAGUCUGCUCCCAAAGGAGGUAUAGACAUGAAGGUAAAUGGGUGGUAUAGGAUGAUAAUUUUUUUUUUUUAUAACUCGUUUGAAGAAAUUUGCCUGGCCAAAGCUGACAAUUUCUUUAUAUGGAAAAUUUGAAAUUAUCAAGACCUACAGAAAGUUUAAAUUAGUCUCUGAUAAAGAGAUUGCAUAUUUAUGCUCAUAACUCUGCUCCCAAAUGAAGGGUUGUUAUGUCAUAUAAAGCAUAUGAAUAAAUAACGAAAAAUACUUAUGCUCAUAAUUCUGCUCCCAAAGGAGGGAUUGUGAUGUCAUAUAAAGUGUAUUUUUCUAAAGGUGUGGUAAUUUAUGAUGUGGUAUUUUAUUGAUAAAGCAUGCAUUCUAUUUCAAUUAUGACUUUAUCCUCUGUUUCUAUUUGUGAAUCUGUUCGUAUACUUAAUGGUUCUAAUUAUUCGUAGUGAAAAGAACAGAUCAUGUUUACAUUAGGGUGUAUGAAUUUAGAGUUUGCUCUGCGCGUUGAGCAACCGCCUAAGAUAGUGGGGCCAUUGACUUCACAGCAGGAAUCUGCGCAGGAAAAGUGGGAGCGAUCCAACCGCUUAAGUUUGAUGCUCAUAAAGUCAAGGGUAUCAAAAAGCAUAAGGGGAUUAAUCCCAGAAUGUGAAAAAGCUAAGGAUUAUCUAAAGGUCAUUGAGGAGCAGUUUGUCAGCUCCGAUAAAGUCUUGGCGAGCACCUUAAUGAAUAAAUUGUUUUCCAUGAAGUACUCCGGAAAUGGCUCGAUUCGCGAGCAUAUUAUGGAAAUGCGAGAUAUUGCAGCGCCGCUCACUGCACUUGAAGUGACCAUCUCUGAUUCAUUCUUAGUACACUUUAUUUUGAACUCUUUGCCAUCUGAAUACGGACCAUUUCAAAUCUCUUAUAACAUACAUAAAGAUAAAUGGUCAAUUAAUGAAUUGCUGACCAUGUGUGUGUAAGAGAAAGGUUGAUUAAUACAAGAGAAAUAAAAUACAAUUAACUUUGUUUCUAAAAAAAAACUACAAAUAAAGCGUGUUAAGAAUGGUAAGGGCAAGAAUGACUCAAAAGAAAGAAUAAGGAAGUUCCAUUUGGUUCACAAGGCUAAUCAAGUAAUUGGACUACCAAGUGCUUCUUUUGUAAGAAAAUGAGUCAUAUAAAGAAUGACUGCCAAAAGUAUCGGAAAUGGCUCCAGAAGAAAGGUAAAUUUCUAGUUUUGAUGCAUGAGUUGCAUUUAGUUACUAUUCCAUCUAAUACUUUGUGGAUUGACUCUGGGUACCACAUGCCACGUGGCGAAUUUCGUGCAGGAAUUUCAGAAUCACAGAAAAUCCAGAAAAGAUGAAGCGACUUUCUAUACAGCUGAAGAAAAUCCAACUAAAAAUAGAAUUUAUAAAAACAUUUAGAUUAGUUCUUUCUACUGAUCAUAUUUUGGAUUUAGUUGAUACAUUUUAUAUUCCGAAAUUUUCUAAGUAUUUAAUUUCUAUUUCGAAACUUGUUGNAAAUCACCCAAGUUCGAUUCAUGACUUUCAGAUCAUAGCCGGACUUCACGCUUCCGCAAGAUUGAUCAAGAAUUUCUUCUCUAUGACGCUCUGUGAGUUAUUUUAUUUUAUUAUGAUCCUGAAUUUUGGUAUGUAUUUAUUUCUCUAUUUAUUUUAUAUACCUUGAAAUUCUAUCGAUAAAAGGUGACAUGCUUCAGACUCAAGUUUUUUACUAAGUGUGUAGCAUUGAGAGUCAUCUAAUAUUUUGCUUACUAUUCUAAAAUAAACAUGGUUAGGACAAAAAUAUUCAUACACAUUCAUCUUAUUUCAUCUUAAGAUAUAUCUUAAGGUAGCGUUUGGUUGGGGAACAAGGGGGGAAAUAAGCCCUUGUUUCCCCUUUUGUUCCCAAACGCAAUGUUCGGUUCCCGGGAACAGUAGUUCCCGAGAAUCUGGAACUAGCUGAUAUAAGGCUGGAAUUACUGUUCCACCCGUUUCCUGGAGCAAGCUUGUUCCUUGAUGAGAACAAGAUUAAUUAAAAUCUAAAUUUAAUUUUAAUGGCAGUAAAUUAUUAAUUAAUUUAAUAAAUAUAUUUAAAUUAUUAUUUAUUAUUUUAAUAAUUAAAUAAUUAAAUAAUUUAUUAUUUAUAAUUAAUUAUUAAUAAUUAGAUAAUUAUUAUUAUAAAUUUAUUAUUUAUAAUUAAUUAUUAAUAAUUAAUAAUAUUUAUUAAUUUUUUAUUAAUAAUUAUUAAUAAUUAUUAUUCUUAAUGAUAAUCGAUAUUAUUAUUAAUAUAUUAUUUAUAAUUAAUAAUUAAUAAUUAAUAUUAUUAUUUAUUAAUAAUUAAUUAAUAAUUAUUAUUCUUAAUAAUUAGAUAAUCGAUGUUAUUAUUAAUUUAUUAUUUAUAAUUAAUUAUUAAUAAUUAUUAUUAUUAUUUAUCGAAGUAUAAUUAAUAUGAGCCAAGUGGGAAUUGCUAGGAUUUCCAUAUUUGUGGCCCAAUUAAUUAUAUUUAAAUUAGGAUUUGCUAUAGAUAAGGGUCAAUCCUUGUUAGAAAUGCGUACGGUAAAAACGCACUCGGAAAAGGAAAUCAAACAAUUUGAUUUGAAAAACUCUCGAGAUCUAAUCUUCAAAAACCACGCAAUUAGGAUCCCUCAUGUUCUUUAAGAUUAAACGGAUUUAGAGGAACGGAUUUAGAGGGAACCCUAUAUUAAAAAUAAGCUGCGGUAAGACAAAGCAUGUCCCCAAAGAAAUAAAAGGAAGAUCAGUGAAGCUCAUCAUAGAUCGAACCAUAUCCAAUAAGGUUCGGUUUCUCCGUUCUGACACCGUUGAGCUUGAGGUGUUCCCGGAGGAAGUCCACUGUGAGACAAUGCCGUUCUUUGAGAUAUAUUUAGGACUCCCACUAAGUAUUCUCCUCCUCGAUCUGAUCGAAGAACCUUGUGGGAUUUUCAGUUUGUUUUCAACUUCAUAUCGCUGAAUUCUUUGAACUUUUCAAAAGCCUCAGAUUUGUUUCAUAGAUAAAUCCAUACCGCGUGAAUAAUCAUCGGUAAAGGUUAUGAGAGUAGAGAUAACACUCUAGCAUGCACAUCAAUCGGCCAACACAUCCAGUGUGUAAUUAAGGAAGUAUCUCAGUGGCCCUUUCCCCUUGUUCCGUAUCAAAGGGUAAUUUAGUCAAUUGUUCCUGAAACAAGAUUCACCAAACUGGAUAAGAACUUCGUCUAAGCAUGAGCGAGAAAGCCUCUUUAUCAAUUUAUUUAUCCUCUCUUCUCCACAUAUGGACCAAUCGCCUGAGGUGCCCUAUACUCUCUAGCGUCUUCCUCCACCUCUCUACGGUCUCUAGACCCAACCAGCCCAGUCUCCUACCUGCCUCAGAAAUAUUCUGCCAGAUACAUUCAUAUGUAAAUCCUCCAAGCUGUCAAUCAUAUAAACGUACGACCAACUUAAUGAUUAUUUCUAAACAUAAUUUGCUGCAGUAGUCUUAUGUCAAAAUUAAAAUUAUAGACCGUCCUGUGCUAAGAGAGAAACAGAAAGUUCAAAUUGCCUGCUAGCAGGCAGGUACUUAAUAACAGUCUUUAAGUAAUAAAACAUAUCCUGCGGUAGUCGCCAAAGGCAUAGGUGCCAGCAAUGCCACAGUCAGCAACUCUGCUCCGUUGCCACGCCGUAGGGUGCACUUCCACCCUUCCCUAAGCCCGUCUACUUUCCCCUUAUGACCCUGGCAUUGAGGUACACAGAUGAGAACUAGAACCAGAGUCUAUAACGCCAACUAUAGAAGUAGAGGAAACCGUAAGGUUAGUUCUAUUGCGAGCAAUCUGACAUACUUUCCGAAGGUGUGUCUCCUUUUAUUCUUCAAGCUCUCUGGUAAGGCAGGACACUUUGCUCUUCCAAUGACCGUCAACGUGCGUGGAAAUUUUCCUUUGUCCAGCCUUUAUUUCUAGAAGCUUCCUUCUUGGGCUUGUUUUUCCGUCUUUUGUUUCUUCGCGGGCUUUUCUUCCAUUAGACUUUCAUUUGGAAGAGAAACUCGCUCCCACAGCCGAGGAAUCAGCCUGUUGAACUUUUCAAAUUGCCUCUGCUCUGUAGUUUAUCAACAUGUUCAAUAACUCUUUGCGUUGUGCAAUCAAAUUUUAUCAUAUGUAGUUUACAAUAAACUGUCCAUUAUGAUAGCAAGAAGCGGAUUGCAGGAUCAGAUCAAACUUUGCAAUUCCUUGUCCAUUCACGCCAAGAGCUUCUCAAGCGUCUCGAGGUCUUUGAUCAUUGUCAAAACGAGUUAUCGAACAGACUGACCCAUCUUGCAUCUUGCUUUAAAGAGUCUUGUUGAACAGCUUCAAAACGAGGCAGUCCGCUUUUGCUCACCCAACAAACUCUUGAGGUGAGCUUAUGCAUUUCCUUAGCGCUCUUCAUAUCCUCAUGUUGGGUGAAGUUCAUUGACAUCUGAGCGGCCAGUAAAGAUGUGCACUUACUUUUUAUGCGUCACGUCCAUUUUCUUGAGCUGUCGUGUUGCUGCAGGUGUGGAGCGUUUCGUGUACACGUGGGGGGUCCUGGUCGAGAACAUAACUGAAGCUUUCGGACUCAAAACUUUUUUAAGUUCCUUAGGCCAAUCUUUAAUAAUUAGUUCAAUUAAAGCGGUUUGAUUCAAGAAUUCGAGAGAAGAGGAUUGAAGCGGACACUUAUUUGUUCCUGCAUAGAGUAAAGUUCCAUAGUUCUUUUUGUAUUUGUUUUAAAAAAAUUGUUUAGGAUUUUAAAAACAAUAAAUUUACCCUCACUUAUUUUCUCAGCUGCUCUCAACACUCCCUCGGUUAGAGAAACGGGAAAACACGCAACAAAAGAUUUCAAGUGGGUAUCCUGCGGUCCCACCAAUUUAACGUACCACCUCACUAACAGUUAUUCGUGAUAUGCAAACCUUAGCGAUAGUGGAACAUCCUCUUGCUCCAAGCUUCUCAGCAAAUUGAGUCGAUACGCUCUAGUCCUGCGGUCCUCACCUGACAGUUAUUGGCCCCAUUCCUUAGUUAAGUCAACCAACCGUUCAAAACGCGUAACGCAAAGUCGUCAUUGGGUCCCUGCACCUGACAGUUAUUGGGCCCAACACCCAUCUUUACUGCUUCCGCAGCCAAUCUCAUGCUAAUAGUAGUGGUUGCGCAAUUCCGAUGCACACUGACCACUGGCUAUACCAGCCGUGCAAUCACACCAGGACAAGCGGCCGCACUUUACAACCGACGGAAGACCCGCCUGCUCGGACUUAAUAUUUAUGAGGAGAUUUUAUUUCAGGUUCUAAAAAAUAUUUUUUUUAUUUACAUCUAAUGUAAAUAAAAAUCACAUCCGCACAACAUACAGAAUUAAACAGGUGAUGAUCAUGGAUCCUUAGAAGUGGAUUCGGACAUGAGCCACUGAGUCGGAAUCGGGCUCAUAGGGUGCAUAAAUUACAAGCACAACACAGUAUGCGGAUUUGAUGCAUCUUCAACUUCUUGAUCGAUCUGGAGCUUCAACUUGUUUUGAUCUUAUCAACACCUGAUGAUCCGACAGCCAUCAUGUAUAUUUUCGCCUUAUCCGGGACCUUGCGAACUUUAGCUUGCAACCGAUCAACCUUCACAUGACGUAGCAACCCAUACAUUAUACAACCACCUCUCCAAAUAAUAAAAUGAAAUAAAAUUAAUUAACAUUGAUAACCUUUUAUCUCAACACUUUUGAGACACGCAUGGUCUCUCAAAUAAAUGGCGCUUGUGCACGCAGCGCACAACUAUAGCCAGUCUCUAAUACAAAAGUCCUUAAAUUUAAACAAAUUGUAAAAUUACAGGUUCUGCAUACACAUACAUACUAUCAAGCUUAUGUCUAGAAACACAAAAAAAAUAGGUUGUGAUCCAUGAUCAAUCACCGCGUAUCUAUAACCAUCACCAUGCAUUAAUAAUAAAUUUUUGAGAUAUUCCUAUAACGUUAAGCCAUGAUUCGAACAGAAUAAAUUAUUAAAAUUAUCAAUCUAUUGAUUAUUAAAUUUUGAUCAAUAACUUAAUCUAAAAAAAAAAAAAAACAUCUUGAUUCAUCAAUUUUGAUCAAUCAAAUUAAUCCUUUUCUUUUAGCUUUUUUUUUUCUUUUUUUUUUUUUUUAAUUGUGCUUGAAAACAAGACACCGUCUCGUUAAAUUUGUUGAUUCACUUUGAUUUUUCGAAUAACCAAAAACCGCAUCGAUAAUCCGUUUUCUCGGACAAAAAACAGGUUUAGAAUACCCAAAAAUCAUAAUUCUAAUCUUAAAACAUGAGGAUGGCUCUGAUUACCACUCUUAGAAAUUGGUACGGUAAAACGCAGCGGAAAAGUGAAAUCAAACACAUUUGAUUUUGAAAAACUCCGAGAUCUAAUCUCAAAAACCACAGCAAUUAGGAUCCCUCAUGUCUUAAGAUUAAGAGAAAAGGAAGUCGAAUCAUUACCAUUUUUCGGCUGGAAUAAAUUUCUUGCCUCAAUUUGAUGAUGUGGACGUGGAAUCCGGGUUUCUCUUGAAGCGGCACUACUUGGUCGGCCUCUAUAGUUCACAAAUGGUUCUAUGUUGAUCUGAUGUCCUCAACCGGGUGCUAGCUCCCUUGCAAACGGAUCCUCUUUCUUGCGUAGAAGAUGGAAGAGAGAGAGAUGAUAGAUAGACGGGCGUUGGGUUUUCUAAAAAUCCCGUAUAUUAUAAUAUAGGAAUAUAAUCCUAUUCCCUAUAAUAUAAUGUCCAUUAAGGAUAAGUAUAAUCUAGGAUUUAAAUUUAUUUUUCCUUAAUUAGUAUAGAUCGAUCAAAUCCUAAUUUGAUUCGACUUAAUUAUAUUUAAUUAUGAUCUUAUCAAAUUUAUAAUGCCAAAUACUUUUGCACAUAAGUCCUCUUAUAAUUUACUACUAUUAGUAAGUCCUCUUUAGUAACAUUACACUUUAUACAUUAAUUUUAACAAUAUACAAAGUAGUCUCAAUUAUCAACUAUUGACUAAUUAGGUCCUCCGGCGAUUCAAUAAUCGUCCGAUCUAGCUAUUCGACAAUCACAACCUCUUAUGUGUGUGACCCAUAGUUCUAUUCUAUCUGGUAGUGAGAUAUAUUUUGGAUCAUCUAUCAACAUAUAUGAAACUACUUUUCAGCUGAGAUCGACCAAUUCCAACCUCUAGCACCCAAUAAGAAUUAUCGCAUAUCUAGAUAAUCUCAUGAGUCUCACCCAUCCACCCGUGACGCCUAGCAGCAUGUGAGUGGCAUUUCAGCAGAAUGAGAUACUGAACCUAUUGGUGCAGUUAAUCGUGUGAUACAAUCCUUCUAUCAAUGGUCCGCUUGACGGAGGUUAUGGAAUAAUCGGUCAAACCCCAAUCGUCUGUCAUAUGGUUAAAUUAUUCGACUCGAGUUUCUAAUUCGGAAAACUCUUUUCCGCUAUUUAUUUCUGCACCUGGCAAGGUCUUCUAACUCGGUCUCAUAAUCGCCAUAGCGACUAACACCCCUAUCUACCAAGGAGAUAAGAUUCCAUCUGAGGUGCGCACCCUAUUCCUACAAGAACCUACGCAGUCCAACAUGCACCGCAAGGGACCCCGAAUGUAUUCGGGACCAAGUUAAUGUUACAUGUCAAAACUACCAAGUAACCUCAUACCUGUGAAUAGCCGACGGCACGCAGCGUCCAAAGGACAGUCACAUUACUGCAACAAUUGAGUAAGCACUGACGAGUGAGUAGACAUCCAAGUGACUCUCCGUUGCGUCACGUGCUCGGUACCUUGUUCUCUAACAACCACUGCAUAUUCGCUUCGAGUGUCCCCAACCACUUGCUCGACUCGAAACUCGUUCUACACUGAAAGGGAAGCGACUAGUGUCACCUUUAUUCAUCGGUCAUCACAGUCCCCGUGAUGGAUCCAUUGUGAUCGAGACAUUUGCGGAAUAAUCACCAAUGACACAUGUCUCAAAUCUCAAACACUGGAACUAUAUGUCAUCAUCUUAUUAAUUCCCGCUGGACGAUUCAUGACCAUACACCAACAUUAACGAAUGGAAAUAAUAAAACCCAAAGAUAUUUCAUAAUAUUUUUAGAAUCAAAUACAUAUAAUUACUGCUAGAAAGAAUACAUGUGUCGGCCUGAGUUGGCUUCACGUAGGCGUACAUCUAACAAUGCCUAAACGAUAUGAACUACUGAUAUGAUUAUAGUUUUAUGCUAUCCCAUUUAUUUUAAAUUUAAUAGAAUCCUAUCAGACUUGAUGGGAGUCGAUCUGGACUCUAUAUAAAUGGGUAUUGGUUCCUCCACCUCUAUACGCAUUCUGAGUGAAGAAUUACAAUCGGUAUCCACACAUCGUAAAGUGCCUGAGAUGCGAGGAGAAAACCGAACAGCGAGCUAGAUUGCUACCCCUAGACUGAAGUAGAGAAUCAACUCGAGAAAAGGAUAAAAGUAGUCAGAUCAGAUAGGGGUGGUGAAUAUUUUGGUAGACAAACAGAUAAAGGCUAAAUCCCUGGGCCUUUUGCUAAGUUUCUGGAGUAGUGCGGAAUUGUUCCACAGUACACCAUGCCAGGGACACCUGAUCAGAAUGGUGUUGCUAAAAGAAGGAAUCGUACAUUAAUUGAUAUGCUCAGGAGUAUGAUCAGUAAUUCUACCCUUUCGAUAUCAUUGUGAAGUGAGGCACUCAAAACUGCCCUGUAUAUUCUUAAUCGGGUCCCUACUAAGGCUGUCAGUAAGACUCCUUUUAAGAUUUCGAUAGGUAGGAAACCCAGUUUAAGACAUUUUCAUACAUGGGGUUGUCAAGCUGAGGCCAAAUUAUAUGAUGCAAAUAAAGAAAUUGGACCUCGAACCAUAUCAGGAUAUUUUAUUGGUUAUUCAGAAAGGUCCAAAGGGUAUAAGUUUUACUGUCCAUCACAUCCUAUAAAGAUUACAGAAACUAAAACAGCACGGUUUAUUGAUGAUGGUGCAAUUAGUGGGAGCUCUGAACCUCGGUUUAUUGAAUUUGAGGAAAUUUAAGAGCAUUCGGAUUCUGUACAUGACAGACCUACUAUUUUCCGUCACGAUUUGAUGGUUCCUAUUCCAGUAGAACAACAAAUCGUUUUGGAACCACAAAAUUAUUGUGAACCUAUCAUUGAUAAUUCACAUCAAGAUGUACAAGUGAAAAAUUCACAUCAAGAUGUACAAGUGAAUAAUCCACAUCAAGAUGUACACGUGGAUAAUCAGAUAGAUUUAAGAAGAUCCUCAAGACAGAGAAAACCGGCUAUAUCCAAUAAUUAUAUUGUCUAUCUUUAUGAGAGUGGCUAAAGUUUAGAUGAUCCUCUUAGUUUUUUCGAAGCCAUAUAUGGUAAUAAUUAUAUGGAAUGAUACAAUGCCAUGAAGGAUGAGAUUGAAUUCAUGAACCACAAUAAGGUAUGAGAUCUUGUUGAGUUACCUAUAGGAGUUAAACCCGUAGGAUGCAAGUGGGUUUAUAAAAUCAAAUGAGACUGCAAAGGUAACAUAGAGAGAUACAAGGCCCGUCUUGUGGCAAAAGAUUUACUCAGAAAGAAGGUAUUGACUAUAAAGAGACUUUCUCUCCAGUAUCUAGAAAUGAAUCUUUCCGUAUUAUUAUGGCUCUGGAUGUCAAAACUGCCUUUUUUAAAUGGGGAUCUCUAUGAAGAGUUGUAUAUAAAUCAACCUGAAGGAUUCUCGCAAAAGGGAAAGGAGCACUUGGUAUGCAAAUUAAAGAAAUCAAUUUAUGGACUAAAACAUGCCUCCCGACAAUUGUAUUUACAAUUUAAACAAACUAUUUUGACUUUCGGUUUUAAGGAAAACAUUGUUGAUCAAUGUAUUUAUUUAAAAGUUACAAAUAAUUUUCUUAGUCAUGUAUGUUGAUGAUAUUUUGCUUGCCAACAAUGAUCUUUGGCUAUUGCAUAUAAGCCCAGUAUUGCUCCUGUCCGGAAAGGGGAUAAGCUUAAUACUUUUCAGUAUCCCAUGAACCAAUUAGAAAUUAAACAGAUGAAAAGCAUAUCCUAUGCCUCUGCAAUUGGUAGUCUUAUGUAUGCACAGACGUGCACACGUCCGGAUAUUGCUUUUGCUGUUGGAUUACUUGGCAGGUAUCAGAGUAAUCCAGGUAUGGAGCAUUGGAAGGCUACUAAGAAGGUUAUGAGGUAUUUGAAAGAAACUUUGGAUCAUAUUGCAUGUUACAAGACCACAUUACAAGCUAUUUGACUUAGGAAUUUUAUCACAGACUUAAGAAUUGUGGACUCCAAUGUUUAUUCAAUAAAGAUUUUCUGUGAUAGUUCAGCUGCGGUUUCCUUGGCCAAUAACAACAAGAUUACAGUAGGGUGUAAAACACUUGGACACCAAAUAUCUUAUUGUGAGAGAGAAGAUAGAUGAAGGUUAUUUUACAAUUGAAUACAUCAGUACCAAGUGUAUGAUUGCAAACCCAAUGAUCAAGGGGUCGGCACCUGGGUCAUAUACAGAUCGUGUUAAAAGUAUGGGUUUGAUUAGUUCUUUUGAUGUAUAAAUUUGUAACAUCUAUCUUUUUUCAAUAAAGUUUAAUGCAGCUGUGUUGGACCAUUUAAUAGACAUAAAGUUUUGUCUAUUAACGAAUGAACAUACAGCUUAAGUUCAUUCAUAAAGUUGUGCCAUAUAAAGUACUCGGUUAGGAGGUGAAGAUGAUACGGUAAUUAUAGAAGAAAAUUUUCGUUAUGAAGAGGUGGACCGCGCGCCAUAGUUCCUAUCAUUGUAGUCUUUUAGUUUGAGCUAAAAUCAAGUGAGUUCUAAGAUAUUUGACCAUAAAGUUUUCAAUAAUGCGCAAUAAAGAUUAGAGCAUAGAAAAUCCGUUCAUGGAAUAUAAUUAAUAUGAGCCAAGUGGGAGAUUGCUAGGAUUUCCAUAUAUUGUGGCCCAAUUAAUUAUAUUUAAAUUAGGAUUUGCUAUAGAUAAGGGUCAAUCCUUGUUAGAAAGCGAUACGGAAAACGCAGCGGAAAAGGAAAUCAAACAAAUUUGAUUUUAAAAACUCUCGAAUUAAAUCUUCAAAAACCACGCAAUUAGGAUCCCUCAUGUUCUUUAAGAUUAAACGGAUUUAGAGGGAACGGAUUUAGAGGGAACCCUAUAUUUAAAAAUAAGCUGCGGUAAGCAAAGCAUGUCCCCAAAGAAAUAAAGGAAGAUCAGUGAAGUACAUCACUAGAUCGAACCAUAUCCAAUAAGGUUCGGUUUCCUCCGUUCUGACACCCGUUGAGUUGAGGUGUUCCCGAGGAGUCCACUGUGAGACAAUGCCGUUCUUUGAGAUAUUUUAGGACUCCCACUAAGGUAUUCUCCUCCUCGAUCUGAUCGAAGAACCUUGAUGGAUUUUCAGUUGUUUUUCUACUUCAUAUCCUGAAUUCUUUGAACUUUUCAAAAGCCUCAGAUUUGUGUUUCAUAGAUAAAUCCAUACCGUGAAUAAUCAUCGGUAAGGUUAUGAGCAGUAGAGAUAACACUCUAGCAUGCACAUCAAAUGGCCAACACAUCCAGUGUGUAUUAAGGAAAGUAUCUCAGUGGCCCUUUCCCUUGUCCUACAAAGGGUAAUUUAGUCAAUUUUUUGAAGACAAGAUUCACGAAACUGGAUAAGACUCUACGUCAAAUGAGCGAGAAAGCCAUCUUUAUCCAAUUUAUUUAUCCUUUCUUCUCCAAUAGACCAAGCCUGAGGUGCCCAUAUACUUUAGGUUUUCUCAUCUCUACGGUCUCUAGACCCAACAGCCAGUCUCUACUGCCUCAGAAAUAUUUGCCAGAUACAUUCAUAUGUAAAUUAAGACUGUCAAUCAUAUAACGCACGACCAACUAAUAUUAUUUCUAAAAUAAUUUUGCCAGUAUCUUUGUCAAAAUUAAAAUUAUAGACCGUCCUGUGCUAAAGAAGAAACAGAAAUAAAUUCCUGCUAGCAGCAGGUACAUAAUAACAGUCUUUAAGUAAUAAAACAUAUCCUGACGGUAGUCGCAAAGGAUAGGUGCCAGCAGCCACGCAGCAACUCUUGCUCCGUUGCCACCCGUAGGGUCACUUCACCUUCCCUAAGCCCUCUACUUUCCUUAGACCCUGCAUUGAAGUACACAGAUGGAACUAGAACCAGAGUCAUAACCCAACUAUAGAAGUAGAGGAAACCGUAAGGUUAGUUCUAUUAGCGAGCAAUCUGACAUACCUUCCGAAGGUGUGUCCUUUCCUUUUAUUCUUCAAGCUCUCAGGUAGGCAGGACAAUUUCGUCUUCCAAUGACCGUCAACGUUGCAGUGGAACAUUUUCCUUUGUCCGCUUUAUUCUUAGAAGCUUCCUUCUUGGGCUUGUUUCCGUCUUUGUUUCUUCGCGGGCUUCUUCUUCCAAUUAGACUUUCUUUGGAAGAGGAAGCUCGCUCCACAGCGAGAAUCGAGCCUUUGAACUUUUCAAAGCCUCUGAUCUGUAGUUAUCAACAUGUUCAAUAACUCUGCGUUGUGCAAUCAAAUUUUAUUCAUAUGGUAGUUUACAAUAAACUGUCCAUAUGAUACAAGAAGGGAUUGCAGGAUCAGAUCAACUUGCAAUUCCUUGUCCAUUUCACGCCAAGAGCUUCUCAAGCUCCUCGAGGUCUUUGAUCAUUGUCAAACAGUGAUCAUGAACAGACUGCCCAUCUUGCAUCUUGGCUUUAAAGAGUCUUUUGGACACUUCAAAACGAGGCAGAUCCCGGCUUUUGCUCACCAUACAAAUCCUUGAGGUGAGUUAGCAUUUCCUUAGCAGUCUUCAUAUCCUCAUGUUGGCGUUGAAGUUCAUUUGACAUCGCACGGCCAAAAUGUGCACCUUACUUUAUUAUCGUCAUCCGUCCAUUUUUCUUGAGCUGUCGUUUGAUCAGCUGUUGGACGGUUUGUGUAACGUGGGGGGUCCUGGUCGAGAACAUAACUGAGCUUUCGGAACUCAAAACUAUUUUUAAGUUCCUUAGCCAAUCUUUAUAAUUAGUUCCAAUUAAACGGUUUGAUUCAAGAAUUCGAGAGAGAGGAUUGGAAGCGGACAUUUUGUUCUGCAAGAGUAAAGAUUCAAGUUGGAUUUUUGUAUUUGUUUUAAAAAAAUUGUUUAGGGAUUUUAAAACAAUAAAUUUAGCUCCUCACUAUUUUCUCGAGUGCUCUCAACACUCCUCGGGUAGAGAAACGGAAACCAACGCAACAAAAGAUUUCAAGUGGGUACCUGCGGUCCCACCAAUUUAACGUACCACCUCACCUAACAGUUAUUGUGAUAUGCAAACCGAUGAGUGGACAUACUCUUGGUCCAAUGCUUCUCAAGCAAAUUGCAGUGAUCGUCUCUAAGUCCUGCGGCCUCACCUGACAGUUAUUGGCCCCAUUCCUUAGUUAAGUCAGACCCACCGUUCAACGCGUAAGCAAAGUCGUCAUUGGGUCCCUCACCUGACAGUUAUUGGGCCCAACCCAUCUUUACUCCGCAGCAUCUCAUGCUAAUAGUAGUGGUUGCGAAUUCCCGAUGCAACUGACCACUGUAACCAGCCGUGCCAAUCACACCAGAAAGCGCCCGCACUUCUACAACGCGCGGAAGACCCCUGCUCGACUUAAUAUUUAUUGAGGAGAUUUAUUUAGGUCUCAAAAAAUAUUUUUUUUAUUUACAUCUAAUGUAAAUAAAAAUCAAUCCGCACAAACAACAAAUUAAACUGGUGAUGAUCAUGGAUCUUAGAAGUGGAUUCGGACUCGAGCCACUGAGUCGGAAUCGGGGCUCAUAGGUCAUAAAUUACAAGCACACACACGUCAUCGGUUUGAUCAUCUUCAACUUCUUGAUCGAUCUGGAGCUUCAACUUGAUAUUUGAUCCUUAUCAACACCUUGAUCGAUCCGCCCAUCACAUAUUAUUCGUCCUUAUCGGGCCUUGCGAACUUUUAGGCUUGCAACACCGAUCAACCCAAUGACGUGCAACCAUACAUUAUACAACCCCAAUAAUAAAAUGAAAUAAAAUUAAUUACAUUUGAUAACUUUUAUCUCAACCUAUUGAGACACGCAGGUCUCCAAAUAAAUCGGCGCUUGUGCACGCAGGCACAACUAUAGCCAUCUCUAAUACAAAGUCCUUAAUUUAAACAAAUUUAAAAUUACAGGUUCUGCAUACACAUCAUACAUCACAUGUCGAAACAAAAAUAAAUAGGUUGUGAUCCAUGAUCAUCACCCGUAUUCAUACAUCACAUGCAUAAUAAUAAAUUUUGGAUAUUCUAUUAACCGUGUAACCGAUGAUUCGAAAGAAUAAAUUAUUAAAAUAUCAAUCUUAUUGAUUAUUAAACUUUUGAUCAAUAAUUUAAUCUAAAAAAAAAAAAAAACAUCUUGAUCUCAUCAAUUUGAUCUAAUCAAAUUAAUCCUUUCUUUUAGUUUUUUUUUUUUUUUUUUUUUUAAUUGUGCUUGAAAACAAGAAACCGUUCGAUUAAAUUGUUGAUUCACUUUGAUCUUUUCGAAUAACCAAAAACGAUCGAUAAUGUUUUCCUCGGCAAAAAAACAGGUUUAGAAUACCCAAAAAUCAUAAUUUUAAUCUUAAAACAUGAGGAUGGCUCUGAUUACCACUGUUAGAAAUUGCGUACGGUAAAACGCAGCGGAAAAGAAAUCAAACAAAUUUGAUUUUGAAAAACUCCGAGAUCUAAUCUCAAAAACCACGCAAUUAGGAUCCCUCAUGUUCUUUAAGAUUAAGGAGAAAAGUAAGAUCGAAUCAUUACCUUUUUCGGCGGAUAAAUUUCUUGCCUCAAUUUGAUGAUUGCUGGAAUCGGGUUCUCUGAAGCCGCACACGCGUCGGCCUCUAUAGUAUCACACGAACGGUUCUAUUGUUGAUCGAUGUCCUCACCGGGUGCUAGCUCCCUUGCAAAGGACGUCUUUCUUGCUAGAAGAUGGAAGAGAGAAGAGAUGAUAGAUGACGGCUUGGUUUUCUAAAACUCCCGGUAUAUUAUAUAUAGGAAUAUAAUCCUAUUCCAUAAUAAUAUAAUGUCAUUAAGGAUAAGUAUAAAUCUGAUUUAAUUAUCUUUUCAUUAAUUAGUAUAGAUCGAUCAAAUCCUUUUGAUUCCGACUUCAAUUAUAUUAUUUGAUCCUUAUCACAUUAUAAUGCCAAAUAAUUUGCACAUAAGUCCUCUUAUAAUUUACUACUAUUAGUAAGUCCUCUUUAGUAACAUUUACACUUUAUAAUUAAAUUUGUAAACAAUUACAAAGUAGUCUCAAUUAUCAACAUAUUGACUAAUUAGGUCCCUCCGGCGAUUCAAUAGAUCGCCGAUCUAGGCUAUUCGACAAUUCACAAACCUCUUAUGUGUGGACCCAUAGUUCUAUCCUAUCUGGAGUGAGAUAUAUUUUGAUAUCUAUCAACAAUAUCAUGAAGACGUCUUUUCAGCUGGAUCGACAAUUCCAACUCAGCCCCAAUAAGAAUUAUCGAUCAUCCUAGAUAAUCCUCAUGAGUCUCACCAUCCACCAGUGACGCCUAGGCAGCAUGUGAGUGGCAUUUCAGAGAAUGAGAAUACUGAACCUAUUGGUGCAGUUAUCGUGUGAUACAAUCCUUCUUAUCAUUCGAGUCCGACUUGACGGAGGGUUAUGGAAUAACUCGUCAAACCCCAAUCGUCUGUCAUAUGUUAAAUUAUUAAUUCGACUCGAUUUUCUAAUAUCGGAAAACUCUUUUCCGCUAUUUAUUCUGACCUGGCCAAGGUCCUUCUAACUCGGUCUCAUAAAUCGCGAUAGGAUAACACCCCUAUCUACCAAGGGAGAUGAGAUUCCAUCCUGAGGUGCGCACCCUAUUCCUACAAGAACUACUCAGUCCAACAUGCACCGCAAGGACCCCGAUGAUUCGGGCCAGUAUGUUGACCAGUGUCAAGUAUCUAUCAAGUAACCUACAGUAACCUGAUUGGAAUAGCCGAGGCACGCCAGGUCAAGGACAGUCACAUACUGCAACCAAUUGAGUAAGUCCACUGGACGAGUGAGUAGACCAUCCAACGUGACUUCUCGCGUUGCGUCACGCUCGGUACCCUUGUUCUCUAACAACCCUGCAUAUUCGCUUCGAGUGUCCCCACACUUGCUCGACUCGAAACUCGUGUCUACACCUGAAAGGGAAGCGACUUAUGCACCUAUCUCAUCGGAUCAAUCACGUCCCGUGAUGAGAUCCAUGUGAUCGAGACAUUUGGGAAUAAUCACCAAUGAAACACAUGUCUCAAAUCUCAACACUGAGACUAUAUGUCAUCAUCUUAUUAUUCCCCUUGGACGAUUCAUGGACACAUACAAAACAUGAAUGGAAAUAAAAAACCCAAAGUAUUCAUAAUAUUUUAGAAUCAAAUACAAUAAUUAAUGUCUAAAAGAAUACAUGUGUUUUUUCCGGCUGGUUGGCUUCACGUAGGCGCUACAUGCUAACAAUCCUAACGAUAUGAACUACUUGAUAUGAUAUAUUUUAUCUAUCCCAUUUAUUUUAAAUUUAAAAGAAUCCUAUCAGACUUUGAUGGGAAGUCGAUCUGAGGAACUCUAUAUACAAUGGUAUUGGUUCCUCCACCUUCCUAUACGCAUUCUGAGUAAGAAUUACAAUCGUAUCCACACAUACGUCAGUGCCUGAGAUACGAUGAGACAAACCAAAUCACCCAAGUUCGAUCUCAUGAAUUUCAGAUCAAGCCGGACUUCACGCGUUCCGCCAAGAUGAUCCCCCCAGAAUUCUUCCUCUAUGACGCUCUGUUGAGUUAUUUUAUUUAAUUAUGAUUCUGAUCCUAAUUUUGGUAUGUAUUUAUUUCUCUAUUUUAUUUUUAAUACUUGAAAUUCAUAUCGAUAUAAAGGUGACAUGCUUCAGACUCAUUUUUACUAAGUGAAUGUAGCGUUAAGAGUCAUCUAUAUUUUGCUUACUUUCUAAAUAAACAUGGUUUAGGACAACAAAGUUCAUACACAUUCAUCUUAAUUUAUCUUAAGAUAUUUACAGGUAGCGUUUGGUUGCGGAACAAGGGGGAAAUAAGGCCCUUGUUUCCCCUUUUUGUUCCAAAGCCUAUAUUUGGCCUCCCGGGAAACAGUAGUUCACCGAGAAAUCUGGAACUAAGUGAGUAUAAGGCACUGGAAUUACUGUUCCACCCGUUCCUGGAGUCAAUGCUUGUUCCUGCAUGAGAACAGAUUAAUUAAAAUCUAAAUUUAAUUUAUGGCAGUAAAUUAUUUAAUUAAUUUAAUAAAUAUCAUUUAAAUUAUUAUUUAUUAGUUUUAAUAAUUAAAUAUUACAAUAUUAUUAUUUACGUAAUUACAUUAUUUAAUAGAUCUAUAAUUCAUUAUUAUAGCCAAUUUAUGUAUUUAUACAUGUAAUUAUAAUAAUAAUAAUUAUUAUUAAUUUUUAUUAAUAAGUUGUUAAUAAUUAUAAUAAUUAAUUGAUAAUCCAUAUUCUCUAUUUAAUAUAAUUAUUAUAAUAAUAAUUAAUAAUUAAUUAUUAUUUAAUAUAUAAUUAAUAAUUCUUAUUCUCAAAUUAGAUAAUCGUAUUAUUAUUUAUUAAUAAAUAUUAAUAUUAAUUAUUAUUAAUAAUUAGAUAAUCAAUAUUAUUAAUAAUUUAUUGUUUAUAAUUAAUUAUUAUUAUUAUUAUUUAUUGAUAAUUAAUAAUAAUAAUUAUUAUUAUUAAUUAGAUAAUCGUUAUUAAUAAUUUAUUAUUUAUAAUUAAUUAUUAUUAUUAAUUAUUAUUUAUAAUUAAUUAUUAAUAAUUAAUUUUUUAUUUAUUUUUAAGUAAUAUUUUUAUGUUAAUUAAUUACAUAAUAUAAUUUUAAUUUCAAAUUAUAUUGUUUAUUCCUCUUGUUCCAAUCUAAUCAUCCAAACACUAUUUAUCUUAUUCCUAGGAACAACCCAAUUUUCAUCCAAACGCAAAAUUGGUCUAGUUCCUGCUUAUACCUGAACUUGUACAUAUUCUUAGAACUAGCAGUUCUUACUUAUACCCGAACCAAACGCAGCCUAAGAGUUGCACCUAUACGCUCAUGAAAAUCAUAGUCAAUUAUAACAAUCCUUUAUUCCAAUUUUGUUGUAGCUCUUAAUUCUCAAAUUUUUGUAAUAAAUAUCUAAUUUUUAUUAUUUAUUUCAUUUAAGUGUCGGCCGUCAAAAAUCUCGUAAAUUUGUUAAUACAAUGCAAUGUUUACCACAUUAAUUAGCGCCAAAUUCUGCUGCAUGGUAUUAUUACUCACCUAAGUUAAGAUGUGAAUGAUACAAAUUCGACAUCUGAGUGUAAAAAUUAAACGUUGUGCACUAAAAUAAGAAAUGAGAAAAAGUUUGGAGACCAACGGAAUGAUUAAUCUUGAAAAUAAUAAUGUGUCUAUAACAUAACAUAACAUAACAUGACGUAAAGUUACCCUGACCCUACUAGGCCCAUUUAUGUUGUCUAUGGAUUCGGGCCGAUAAGUGCCCGAACCUUCUCGAAUCCAAACCCGGCCGUUCACUACAAUAAAAAUAGUAUAUAACGACAUUUUGAAAUGCGGGUACAAGUCAAAAAAAUACUAAUGACUAAAUUAUCGACACUUUUUAAAAGUAUUGCUAUAUGUGAAAUUGCUAUAUAUAAGCCUGCCCUGAUAUUUGGCAUCUACUCCUCCAGCGACCUGUGGAGGAGGGAUACGUAGCGAUCGUAGUUCUCUAUGUUAGAAAAUUGCAUACGAUAAAAACGCAGCGGAAAAAGAAAUCAAACAAAUUUGAUUUUUGAAAACUCUCGAGAUCCAAUCUCAAAAAUCACGCAAUUAGGAUCCCUCAUGUUUUAAGAUUAAAGAAGAAAAACAAGAUCGAAUCUUUACCUUUUUCGCGCAUAGAUCUUCCCCUCAAUUUGAUGAUCGUGGAAUUCGGUUUUCUUGAAGCCGCACACGCGUCCGGCCUUUAUAGGUAUCCACACGAGGUUCUUGAUUUGAUCGAUGUCCUCACCGGGGUGCUAGCUCCCUUGCAAAAUGACGUCUUUCUUGCUAGAAGAUGGAAAAGAGAAGAGAAGAGAGAUAACAGCUAGGGUUUUCUAAAAACUCCCGUAUGUUAUAUAUAGAAAUAUAAUCCUAUUCCUAAUAAUAUAAUGACAAUUAAGGAUAAGUAUAAAUCUAGAUUUAAAUUUAUCCUUUCCUUAAUUGGUUAGAUUGAUCAAAUCCUAAUUUGAUUCGAUCUUUAUAUUAAUUUGAUCAUAUCAAAUUAAUAAUGCAACAUUUGCAUAUAAGUUCUCUUAUAAUUUACUAACUAUUAGUAAAUCCUCUCUUGUAACAUUUAUACCUUAAUACCACUAAUUUGUAACAAUUACAAAUUAGUCCAAUUAUCAUUAUAUUGACAAUUAGGUCCUCCGGCGAUUCAAUAAUCGCGAUCUAGCUAUCCGAUCAAUCACAACCUCUUAUGUGUGUGACCCCAUAGGUUCUAUUCUAUCUGGUAGUGAGAUAUAUUUUGAUCACUAUCAACAAUAUCACUGAAACUCCUUUCAGUGGAUCGGAACAAUUCCAACUCAGCUCAAUAAGAAUUAUCGAUCAUCUAGAUAAUUCUCAUUAGUCUCACAAUCCACCAGUGACGCCUAGCAGCAUGCAGUGGCAUUCCAGUAGAAUGAAAUAAUGAACCUCUUGGUGCAGUUACCGUGUGAUACAAUCCUUUUAUCAUGAGUCCCGACUAUACGGAGGUUAUGGAAUAACUCGUCAAACCCCAUCGUCUGUCAUAUGUUAAAUUUAUUCGACUCGAGUUUCUAAUAUCGGAAACCCUUUUCCGCUAUUAACUCUGCCUUGGCCAAGGUCUUCUAAACUCGGUCUCAUAAAUCACAUAGGACUAACACCCCUAUCUACCAAGGGAGAUAGAUUCCAUCUAAGUGCGCACCCUAUUCCUACAAUGAACCUACUGCAGCCAACAUGCACCGCAAGGACCCGAAUGGCUAGGGACCAAGUGUAUGUACAGUCAAACUACAGUAACCUCAUUGUGAAUAGCCGAGGCACCGCAGGUCAAAGGACUAGUCACACUACUGCAACAAUUGAGUAAGUCACUGACGAAUGAGUAGACAUCCAAGUGACUUCUCACGUUGGUCACGCUUGGUACCCUUGUUCUCUAACAACCACCUGCAUAUUCGCUUCAGUGUCCCCACACUGUCGACUCGAGACUCGUCUACCCAAAAGGAAAGCGACCUAUGCACCAAUCUCACUGGAUCAAUCACCGUCCCCGUGAUGAUCCAUUGAUCGGGAGCAUUUAGGAAUUAACCACCAAUGACACAUGUCUCAAAUUCUCAACACUUGAGAAUAUAUGUCAUCAUCUUAUUAAUUUCUUGGAUGAUUCAUGGACACAUACACAAUAUGAAUGAAAAUAAUAACCCAAAUUUAUUCAUAAAUUUUAAAGUCAAAUACAAAUUUAUGUCCUAGAAAGAAUACAUGUGUCAGCCUGGUUGGCUUCUAGGGCAUACAUCUAACACUCUACGAUCCCUACGAGAUCCUCGCGGUGAAACUCCAGCCAUCAGAACCCUACUUCGUCGGCUGCGGCGGCGAAGGGGGAAAAGGGAAGAUGGCAACCAAAUUUUUUUUCUUUUUUAUUUGUAAUAUGGCCGAGUGGGCGGUAUGAAAUUGGUUGAGUAGAGUGACUUUUUAUUUUUUAUUUGAUCGGGCUUUAUAUUUAAGCCUUAGUCGAUUUUUUAAAAAAUUUUUAGCAUAAAUAAAAUACUUACAUGAAAGUAUUUUAAAAAUAUGUUUCUGUAAUUUAAUUCUGUUGUAAUGAUUUAUCUUCUUUUCUUACUGAUAAUGUCCGUUGGUUUCUAUUCUAAAACUCCUCAUAAUACAUGUACUAUUUUACUAUAAGGAAUGUCGAUAACUCAAAUCUAUCAUAAUCUAAUUUAUGGAUCCAUCCUAAUAUCAUUUGGAGCCGAAUACAAGCUAAUUUACGAAUAACAAGUUGCAUUGCCGGACUUAACUGGGCCACAGUUGAUUCGCAAGAGCAUAUUGGAUCUGAAUUUUAAAUAAUUGAUUAAUAUUCACGUGCUUGAGUUGACGCACUGGCUGUGUCUCCAUUUGUAUUGUUCUCACUUUCGCUGAAAAAAUUCUAGAAUGCAACGGGUAUAUUGAUGGCGUGGCGUAACAAAUAAAUCAAAUAUUUUUUUUUAGAGACAUUUGUCCCAUCAUGAUUGUAAAAAAAUAUUUUUAUUAUAUUAUUUUUUGAAAAGAAGGAAUGUGAUUGGUUUGUUAUUGAUAACGUAGUGCAAGUACGAUAGUGUAGAAUUCCUCCACUUUUCUGAUAACCUCUUGCAUUUUUACGUUUUAAUCCCUCAAGCCAUAUAUAAUUACUAGAUAGGCGACAGGAGUUCCCCACCGUCUAGGGUUAGCAGUCUAGCUCGCUAUUCGGGAGGUAACUCAUAUUCGACUCGAAAUGAGUUCGAGAUCGAUCGCUCAUUUAAAUAAACGAAUCAACUAUAAGUUAAAUUUUUCAGCUCGAAACACGAGCUUGAAUCAAAAAAAGCCAAACACGAGUUGAUUCUAUUAAACAGCGAGUCAAAAAAUUUAGCUCGUGUUCAACUCAUUGGGUGCUCUAUUACUGUCUGUCUCGUUUUCUUAGCUGAUUCGGAGGGAUUUGAUGCGGAUCCGCUAAGGGCUGGUAGGGACCAAAGCAAAAAAUAAAACAUUUGGCUCUCUUAGCGCCUCAUCUGGGGUAAGAGCUAUACCACUACAACAGAUCCACAGUAGCCAUUUGCAUCUCUUAACUAUUAUUACCCAAUCAACAUUCCUUCAUUUGCUACAUAUCAGAUUUUCUUUUCUUUUCUUUUCUUUUUUGCCAAAAAGGACCAACUUUAAAUUAACUUUUUGUGGUUUAAUUUAUUUUCGGCUACUCUAUAGUUUAACUUAUUUUACUUCACCAUUAUGCGUAGUUUAUAAAUUUAUGUUUAACUACUUUAUGAUUAUCAAAACCUUUUUCACUUUAUUGUCCCGUAUGAAAAUAGUUAAAUAUGCAUUUUUACUGUAAAGAAAAUAAUAUAAAUAGCUAACAAAUUCGUGGGAAAUUUACAACUGGCCCAUGCAUUACAUUUCAUCUCAUCACUUGACUCUCCAACAGUUGCCCCAUCACAUGCAUGCGCAUAUGUCACAGAACACGUGGCCCCAUGCAUGCAUGUGCACAUGUCGCCCAUGUGUAUAUAUUAUUAUUCAACCCUUAAUAGCAAGUGAUAUGAUCAUGCAUGUGACACAUGCUCCACAGAUCCAAGUCCCCGGAUAUAAACAUUUCAUGCACCCAUAAACAACACAUGAAUGAUUCCAUUUGCAGAGAAUAUAGAAAAAGGGUCAUAGGCACCAAAAAUUUAAUAAAAACUUAAUUUGGACUUUGAUUAUUAUUAUUAUUAACAACAUUAGAAGGGGGAACAAGAGUCAAAAAGCACAAACAACACAGUGGGGUCACAUGGGAACAACUAAAAUUCAUUAAUAAAAGUAGUAAUAGUAGUUACAUUACAAGAUUAUAAAAAGCAAAAAGAUAUAUCUAAGUAAAUAAUUAAGAAAAACCUAUUGUAGAUCCCAAGAAGGAAGAAACCAUCCAACGUUCCAGAUCAAAGCAGGAGUCAGGAGGAUCAGUAAAUAUUCCCACUCUCUCUCUCUUUUUCUCUAAUUCAAUAACCAGAUGGUAGUACACAGUUCCCAAUUUCUGCAACAUAAAACAAAAAAGAUUUACUACUCAGCGAAGCAAAAUUUUUACUGAAGCAUUGAAUGGUAAUUAUGAUAAAUAAAAAUAAAAGUAUAGAAUAGUUAAAUAUACAUUUUUAAAUUUGUCUUUCUACGUGUGACAUUAUUUGGUAAAAAAAAUAGAAAAAAAAAAAUAUAUAUAUAUAUAUACUAUUUAUAUUUAUAUAUUAAACAGGUACAACACACAACGACAACGAGUCCUCAAAUUUGACUAAGUAGCGUACGUAGGGCGCCGUAACUCCUCGAGCGCAACGUUCGCACAUAUACAUAAUAAACAUAUAAUAAUAUAUAUAAUAUAUAUAUAUAUAUAUGAUGUACCCGUGGGGCCCACGUGUCAGCCUUGGGAACUGUGACAUAUACCGGUUACAGCGUAGAAACGCUGCUAUACGACAAUGUCCUUUUCAUUGAUAAAGCGACGAGGGAAAAAGAAGGGGAUGGGUCACAUCACGUUGGCACCGUACAGUGCGUGAGAUGCAAUGUGCACCGUUCAUCGCUCUGCUAAAACCCCGCGUAUAAAAAAUAUGCGAAUCCUAUGAACUCCUCAACCAAAUCCACCGCAAAAUCCACCACCCAAAUCCAACGGUCCGUUCAUCAGAUCGAACGGUCGGCAAAACUAGGGGAGAAAGAGAAGGCUAAAUUGUACGAAGACCCCUUACCUAUUGCCACCGUCUUUUUAGCCAUUUCUCUUUUAAUAUAUAUAUAUUAAUAUAUAUAUAUAUAUAUAUUAUAUAAUGAUAGUUAUUAAAUCAAUUAAAAAAUCCUUAACGUUUAAUUGAUAAUAAAAUUUAAAAAUCAGUUUCAUAAUUGAAAGAUAAAAGUUCAAAGUUGUUAGGUAGAAAUUCUUUUUUCCAUUUCACCUACCUUAUCACUCUUUUUAAAAAUAAAAAUUCUUAAGGAUUGCGAACGCACAAAAUGCAUAGAGGUUGGUAGACUAAGCUCAUUUUUUCUUAUUUAAUUACAAUCGUCUGCUACCAAUCUAACGUUUUAUUAACUGUAUGUUCAUACGCACUUCACGGGGAAUUUGGUUCAAGUAAAAUGGAACUAAAAUCAUUUCGACUAUAAAAAAUUAAUUUUUUAUUAUUAAUUCGAGCCAAAAGUAAUUUUUACAAAUUUAGGAGAAAUUACUUAAAGUUUUCAUUUUUUGCUGCAUUUUUGUUGCUAAAAAACCGAAACGUUAUUCAUUCAUUUUUUUUAUCUGAAUGCAAAAAAUUUAUAUAAUUUUUUCCGGCCAAAUAAAAUAUUAAUAAAAAUUAUUUUUUUCCUCACAAACCUAAACAAUAUAAAACAUAAAAAAAAAAAUCCACAAAAAGUUAUUUUUUCUUGUUAUACGUUGCUAUCAAACAAGAUUCUUAAUUCCGGGCUACUUAUACAAAUCAAUAACUUUAAGUUUUUACAUUAUCAAAAUUUCGUGCCUUGAAUUUUACCAUGUGAUUAUUUUCAUCCGCUUAAAUUAAUUUAUUCAACAACAACUGGUCUUAAACUCUAGUGAAAAAUUAUUAUCAUCCAACCGCAUAUCCUAUUUUAUCUGUAAAAGAUCAAAAACUAAAUAAUAUCCAAACUCUCGAUAGUCUAUAUAAUAUACAUAUAUCCGGCGACUAUACUAUCGAUAGAUCAAGCCCUGUACUAUUGGGUUUUUAAACCGUUUAGAUCUACCUUUGGAUCAUUUCUAUCGAUUAAUUAACUAUUAAAGACCAACACCCCAUCAAUCCACAGGGGACCACUAUGCAAUUUAACGGAAACCAUAUAUUCCUAACUGUACAUCUAUUCAUCCAACGGCCCAACAGACUCAAUAGUACCAAGGGCUGGUACAUUGAUAGUAUAGCUAGCUAAUUCUACAAUAACAAUCAAUAAUAUAUAUAUAUAUACUAUAUAUAUAUAUAUAUAUAAUAUAUAAAAGCGAAGAACAAUGUUUGGGAGGGGUGGGGGAGAAGAGGGGGUGAGGAAAGGACAGAGGGAAUAAGACUGACCGGGGGCUGGGGCAGACGAACGUAGGCGGCGACCCUGGAAGUCGGCAGGUGCCGAUGCCGAGGCCCUUGCUCUCGGUAUCUAGCUGUUGAAGCGUAGGAGCGUUGCGCCUCCACCAGUGUUCGGCUCGUACACACCCCGCCCCGGGCUGUAUCGCCCUAGGCAGUCCGCCCUCCAUCCCACCUAGUCCAGCCCCUCUGCAGCCGCUCCUUCCCACACCCAUUCGCACCACAGCACCUCCCCCGUCCCCGUCCCCUUUCCGCCCUCACUCCUUCCUCCCACCUACACGCCUCCCCCACUGCUGGCUGCUGCUGCUGCCCAUUCCCGCCGAGGACUAAGUCGGACUGUUCGUAGACCUUGUCGCUCGGAGGGUAGAAGAGGCCGUAGUUGCCUCACGAAGGUGGGGCGGCUUUCAGAGUCCUCGUUUGAACAGGCCCGAAGCAGGAACACGUUCCACGUCCCCUGCGGCGCCGCGGUGCGUCCCGCGUCUCCCCGACAGCCACGCGCCGCACCAGGUUCCGUUUAUCGCCGCGUCCCCGCCCCCGCCCCCGUCUCCUUCCCGUCCCCUUCGACGGCCACCCCUCUCCGACCCACCACCCUCACUUCUCGCCCCCCCCCGCCCCAUCGCCGCAUACACCGCAUCACACCUAUUAUAAGUAAUAAUAAUAACCUCAAUCAUCGAUCAUCAUCAUCAUCAUAUAAUACAAACGUACAACACAAAACUCAUGUAGUAGUAGUAUAUAUAUAUAAUAUAUAAGGCACGCACACCUGGGCGUCGUAAGAGCCUGUGUACUUGAGGCCGCUGCCCGAAGUCAGGACGCCGGCGUUGGCGGAAGAGGGCGUAGUCGAGGGAGAUCGAGGCGCGCGUUGCGGGAAGUAGGCGAAAGAAGGGGUAAGCGGUUGACCAUGAGAUAGAGCCGGUCGCGGCCGAGGAGGUCGAGAUCGGCGCAUCACGGGCCCUCCGCGGGUCGCUCCGGAACGGCCCGCGGGAGGGCGGGUACGACGGCGCGGAGGCGGUGAGGGCGAGGGGAAGGAGACCUUCACGCGUCGCGACGAGCACGAGGCGCGCCCCCGAGCGCGCGGCGUGGACGUUGGUCAUGGCACGGGACGCGCGCGCGUGAGUUGCGUUCGGCGCUCCGCAACACCUCGUGCCACGCACCACGGCCGCGAUCUGGGCGCGGGUAGUACGCCGCACGUUGCGCUGCACCCACCGAGCGCGUAGCCGGGCGCGACGCGGCCGGGCGAGGAGCUCGUGUGGGGCGCCACCACCACCUGAUCCGCGGACCCCGCGAAGCCGAGCACGGCGGCGGUCCGCGUGUACAGCUUCACCGGCUUAUGCCUGGACUUGAGGAGCUCCACCACCUUGGGCAGGGGUGGGAGGUUGUUGGCCACCGCCGUAGUUCACUCCUAUACGACCCACCCUCUGCAAGUAAAAAGAAAAAAAACAACCACAACUCAAAAAUAAAAAAAGCAAAACAUGGGGACUUAAGCAGCAAAUGUGGGUGUGAUGGAGGAGCGAAAAACGCGAGGAUGGUUACUGCCCAAAAUGGCGUCUGGCGUUGGGUUUUGUUACCUGGCGUGAGUGUUUGGAGGAGAGGAGGGAGAGGAGGAGGAGGAGCGAAGAGGAGAGCGAGCGGCUUGAGAGUCCCAAUGCUCUCCGACGAACAGAGCAUGCGGAGAAGGGCAGGGUUGGAACGAGGAGGGGUAAAUGUGGGAUGAGAAAAGAGCUCCUUUAUUGUGUAUCUACCACUAUAAUGUUCCUUAUAAGAGGAGAGAGAGAGAGCAGAGAGCAGAUGAGAGAGGAAGGCAGAGGUUGCGGAGGAAGGACGAGAGUGGGGAUGGUUUAUAAGCUUUUUUUGCGUUCCGAGCGUUGCAAGUGAGGAGUGGGGAGUAGUGAACCAGUGGUGAGUGAGGUGAUGGGAUUGGGGAAGCUGGGCCCGGCCCACGUAGGAGUUUAUGUUUGGGUAGAGAGAGAGAAAGAGAGAGAUCGAGAGGUGGGAUUAGUGAAUGCGAUCGUAAUUAGCGCUGAGAUAAAUAGGAGAAAUUAAUUUUGCUACACUGAUAAAAAUCUUAAAAUAUUAUCUAAUUAUUAAAAUUAUAUCUCAUAAAUAAUGAUUUAACUCUCGAUAAUAAUAUAUAGUAUAUAUAAUUAUUAUAUUAAUUUAUUAGACUAUAUAUAAUACCGCACCGGUAAUUUUUGAAAUGUUUGUGAUAUUUAAUAUACAAAUUUUUUAGACGGUGCAAAGCACAUUUAUCUUUAUUUCAGAAUCCUGAGAAUCAAAAUUUGUAAGCGGCUGACAUGAUACGUUAAUGAUACACCGGUGUGCCAGAAAAUAAUGUUUUUCAAAUACACGGAGUUUGGCGGUCGUGUCGGAUAUGUAAAGAAGGCGGUCCGUAGCGACGUUUGUGCGAGAGUGGGACUAGACGCAUCGGGGGCNNNNNNNNNNNNNNNNNNNNNNNNNAUAAUAAUGUAGUUUAAAUCAAUUAAAAAAUCUUAACGUUAAGUUAGAUAAUAAAAUUUUAAACAAUCAGUUCAGUAAUUGAAAAGAUAAAAGUUCAAAGUAUGUUAGGUAGAAAUUUCUUUUUUCUUCACCUACCUUAUCACUCUUUUUUAAAAACUAAAAAUUCUAAGGAGUUUGCGAACGCUACAAAAUGAAGAGUUGGUAGACUAAGCUCAUUUUUUCUAAAUUUUAAUUUACAAUCUCUCUACCAACUAACUGUUUUAUUAACUGUUUUCAUACGCACUUCACGGGGGAAUUUGGUUCAAGUAUAAAAUGAACUAAAAAAAUCAUUUUCGAUAUAAAAAAUAAUUUUUUAUUUAUUUAAUUCGACAAAAGUAAUUUUUACAAAUUUAGAAAUAGCUUAAAGUUUUCAUUUUUUUGCUGAUUUUUUGUUGCUAAAAAAACGAAAACUCUACUUCAUUCAUUUUUUUUUAUCUGAAUCAAAAAAAUAUAAAUUUUUUCCGGCCAAAUAAAUAUUAAUAAAAAAUUAUUUUUUUCUCCAAACCAAACAAUAUAAAACAUAAAAAAAAAAAUCCACAAAAAGUUAUUUUUUCUGGUUAUACGUUGUAUCAAACAGAUUCUUAAUUCCGGCUACUUAUACAAUCAAUAACAUUAAGUUUUUACAUUAUCAAAAUUUUCUGCCGUUAGAUUUACCAUGUGAUUAUUUUCAUCCGUUAAAUUAUAUUAUUCAACCAACAACUGUCUAAACUCUAGAAAAAUAUUAUCAUCCUAACCGCAUAUCCUUUUAUCUAAAGAUCAAAAACUAAAUAAUACCAAACUCUCGAUAGUCUAUAUAUAUACAUAUAGUCCGGCUACUAUACUAUCGAUAGUAUCAAGCCCUUUGUACUAUUGGGUUUUCUACCGUUAGAUCUACCCUUUGAUCAUUUCUACCCAUUAAAUUAUACUAUUAAACCAACCACCCACUCAACCCUAGGGGACCACUAUCAAUUUAACCGGNNNNNNNNNNNNNNNNNNNNNNNNNNNNNNNNNNNNNNNNNNNNNNNNNNNNNNNNNNNNNNNNNNNNNNNNNNNNNNNNNNNNNNNNNNNNNNNNNNNNNNNNNNNNNNNNNNNNNNNNNNNNNNNNNNNNNNNNNNNNNNNNNNNNNNNNNNNNNNNNNNNNNNNNNNNNNNNNNNNNNNNNNNNNNNNNNNNNNNNNNNNNNNNNNNNNNNNNNNNNNNNNNNNNNNNNNNNNNNNNNNNNNNNNNNNNNNNNNNNNNNNNNNNNNNNNNNNNNNNNNNNNNNNNNNNNNNNNNNNNNNNNNNNNNNNNNNNNNNNNNNNNNNNNNNNNNNNNNNNNNNNNNNNNNNNNNNNNNNNNNNNNNNNNNNNNNNNNNNNNNNNNNNNNNNNNNNNNNNNNNNNNNNNNNNNNNNNNNNNNNNNNNNNNNNNNNNNNNNNNNNNNNNNNNNNNNNNNNNNNNNNNNNNNNNNNNNNNNNNNNNNNNNNNNNNNNNNNNNNNNNNNNNNNNNNNGCCCUGCAGUCCGCCCCUCCCUCCCCGCACGCGUAGUCCAGCCCCCUCUGCAGCCGCUCCUUCCCCACCACCCCAUUCGCCACGCACCACCUCUCCCCCGUCCCCGUCCCCUUUCCCCCUCUCUCCUCCUCCCACCUCAACCCUCCCCCACUGCUGCUGCUGCUGCUGCUCCCAUUGCCGCCGCCGAGGACGAAGUCGAUGUCGUAGACCUUGUCCUCGGAGGGGUAGAAGAGGCCGUAGUUGCGCUCCGAGGUGGGGCCGGGCUUCAGGUCCUCGUUGAACAGCCCGAACAGGAACACGUCCACGUCCCCCUGCGGCCGCCGCGGCGUCCCCGCGUUCCCCGACAGCACGCGCCGCACCAGGUUCCCGUUGUACGCCGCCGCGUUCCCCGCCCCCGCCCCCGUCUCCUUCCCGUCCCCCUUCGACGGCCACCCCGUCUCCGACACCACCACCCUCACCUCCUCGCCCCCCACCGCCCCCAUCGCCGCAUACACCGCAUCCACCUAUUAUAAUAAUAAUAAUAACAUCAUCAUCGAUCAUCAUCAUCAUCAUAAUAAUACUAACGUACAACACAAAACUCAGUAGUAGUAGUAUAUAUAUAUAUAUAUAUAAGGCACGCACACCUGGGCGUCGAAGAGGCUGUAGUACUUGAGGCCGCUGCCCGGGUCGAGGACGCCGGCGUUGGGGCGGAAGAGGGCGUAGUCGAGGGAGAUGAGCGCGGCGUUGGCGGAGUAGGCGAAGAAGGGGUAGGCGUUGACCAUGAGAUAGGAGCCGGUGCGGCCGAGGAGGUCGAGCAUCGGGCGCAUCACGGGCUCCGCGAGGUCGCUCCGGAACGCGCCCGCGGAGGGCGGGUACGAGGCGCGGAGCGCGGUGAGGGCGAUGGGGGAGGAGACCUUCACGGCGGCGUCGAGGCCGAGGCGCGCGAGCGCGGCGUGGACGUUGGUCAUGGCCGGGACGAGGAGCGCGGUGAGGUUGCGCGGGCUCGCGAACACCUCGUUGCCCACGGCCACGGCCGCGAUCUGGGUCGCCGGGUAGUACGCCGCCACGUUGCGCUGCACCCACCCGAGCGCGUAGCCCGGGCGCGACGCGGCCGCGGCGAGGAGCUCGUUGGGGAGCGCCACCACCACCCUGAUCCCGGACCCCGCGAAGGCGCGGAGCACGCCCGGGUCCGCGUCGUACAGCUUCACCUGCGUUAUGCCCUGGGACUUGAGGAGCUCCACCACCUUGGGCGGCGGUGGGAGGUUGUUGGCCACGCGCCCGUAGUUCACUCCUAUAGACCCACCCUCUGCAGUAAAAAAAAAAAAAAAACAACCAAACCAAAAAAAAAACAAAACAUGGGGAAUUAAGCAGCAAAAUGUGGGUGGAGAGAGCGAAAAACGCGAGAUGGUUACUGCCCAAAAUGGCGUUGUGCGUUGGUUUUGUUACCUGCGGAGUGUUUGGAGGAGAGGAGGGAGAGGAGGAGGAGGAGCGAGAGGGAGCGAGCGCUGAGAGGUCCCAUGCUCUCCGACAAACAGAGCAUGCGGAGAAGGGCAGGGUGGUGAACGAGGAGGGGAAAUGUGGGAUGAGAAAAGGAGGCUCCUUUAUUGUGUAUCUACCCACUAAUGUUCCUUAUAAAGGAGAGAGAGAGAGAGAGAGAGAGAGAGAGAGGAAGCAGAGGUUGCGGAGAAGACGAGAGUGGGGAUGGGUUUAUAAGCUUUUUUUUGCGUUCGAGCCGUUGCAAGUGAGGAGUGGGGAGUAGUGACCAGUGGGAGUGAGGUGAUGGGGAUUGGGGAAGUGGGCCCGGCCCACGUAGGAGUUGUAUGGUUUGGCGUAGAGAGAGAGAAAGAGAGAGAUGAGAGUGGGGAUAGUGAGUGCGAUCGUAAUUAGCGCUGAGAUAAAUAGGAGAAAUUAAUUUUGUACACCUGAUAAAAAUCUUAAAAUUAUUAUCUAACUUAUUAAAUUAUAUCUCAUAAUAAUAUUUAAACUCUCAUAUAAUAUAUAUAUAUAUAUAUUAUUAUUAUUAAUUUUUUAGACUAUUUAAUACCGCACCAGUAUAUUUUUUAAAUGUUGUGAUAUUUAAUAUACAAAUUUUUUAGACGGUGCAAAGCACAUUUUCUUUUAUUUCAAGAUCCUGAGAAUCAAAAUUUGUAAGCGGUGCAUGAUACGUAUGGAUACACCGGGUGCAGAAAAUAAUGUUUUUCAAAUACACGGAGUUUGGCGGGUACGUGUCGGAUAAAGAAGGGGCGUCGUAGCGACGUUUGUGCGAGAGUGGGGACUAGACGAUCGGGGGCCCAAGUUUCCAACACGCACUGCGCGCCGAAGAAGGGCGCGGGGCCCAUCCACGCGGUCGACCGUUUGUAGAGAGAGAGAGAGACAGAUGAGAGAGAGAGAGACGUGGGAGACUUUCGAGAGCCCGACUGAACCGGGCCGGAUUCAAGUUGUGCUACGUUCAAUCCGAAUCCAACCCAAAAUAAUUUUCUGAGCUCUCUGUGUCAGAAUUUAGGCCCAAAAUUAUUGAAGAAGAGAUAGUCCGAUCCAAAUCCAGGCCCGUAGCGCGAUACUCAUGGGACUUAUAUAGGCUCAUUUUCAAAGCAAUAUAUAGUAAUACAUAUAAUAGUUACUAAUAAUAUAUAGUCCAGACAAAUAGAUCACUCGGUAAUCAAAGUCAGGUCCUAAAGACAGCUAUACGUGUUACUGCUAAAUAUAUCUAUGUUAGCACUCAAUAAGCCAUGCACUACCUACUAGCGAGCGGAGUACAAUUUUCACAACCCUUAUAGAUACUAUCAUCACAGAUAUAAACACAGACCAGGCAAACUAUUAAAAACGAGAGAGAAAAAAUAACAACCUGCACAUCUGCUUGAUGAGAUGAUAAAAAUUUAACGAUCAUAUUAUUUUACACACUAUAUAUUCUCUAGCGGCAAAUAGAGGCACUGGAAAAUAUAUACUACAAACAGCCCAAAAAGAGGCACCACUUGGUACUCUAUCAUUCGAAUAAAAGAUAGACUAAUGGAAACUCCAAUAUUUGAUAAAAUACAUAUUAUUACUACUAUAUCGGCAUUCAUACAGAUUAUGGAAUUCAUUUUAUAUAUCCUUUCAUUUAGUAACAAAAUAUUAGUAACAUAAAUCUAGGAGCCUAAUAAUAUACUCAAUAAAAUAUAUUUUAGAUUGACUGAUUAUCUAGCCGCAAGAUUCAUUGGGCUCAGUAACCUACAAAGUUUAUUCUAUGGAGAUUUCAAACUAAAAUUGUGAUAAUUAAGAGAUGUUCGCUAGAUGUAUGUAUGCACAACGGUUACGUGAGAAAUCUUGACAUAUGUUUUGGAAUUUUAAAAAAUAUAGAUCUUAUACAGAUCGUAUAAUUAUAUAUCAAAAAGGAUCAGUAAUUCCUAUCUAAACGCAGAGAAUCAUAAGAUUGGUGCGAGAUAUCGACUAAUGUCGAUCUAAUACUUAUCUUAAGAUGUUGAAUGUCUCCGAGGGAAUUGGUGCCACCUCUCUCUCUCUUCUCUCGCGUCAUCCUCUUCACUAUAUUUUUAAAUAGAGAGUAUUUUUGGCAAUUAGGUUAACGGGACCAUUGAGUAAACAGUGAGCGAAGAGUCCUCAGCAUCACUAUUAUGAUAAAAGAUUACUGUCGUGGCUGUCUCGACUUUUUGACCUUUAAAUCAGUCCCUUUAAUCAUUUCUAACAUUUAGAUUAAUACUAUUACCUUGUGGGGACCACUCAACCUUCGGGGGAACCGCAAUCAUCCCAACCGUAUAAUUUUAUACUGUCAAUAGUACACUUGGUGCUAUCGAGUCUUCACCAUUGGAUGAAGUGAUGUGCAGUUAACAUGAUAGCAGUUUCUUAUGGUUGUGUGGGUGGUUGGUUAAAUAAUAUAAUCUAACAGCGGAAAUGAUCAAAGUGUAGAUUUUAUGGCAAAAAACUCAAUAGUAUCAAGAGCUUUGUACUAUCAAUAGUAUAAUAGCCGGACUCGAGGUAAAAUGUAUGGAGAACCCCUGUGCUUCAGCUUACUUGCAAACAAGGGACUGAAUGUUUAAUUUUGACAAAAAGAGCCCUUAAACUUUAUUAAAUAGUUUAAUAGAUCUUUUUUUUCAAGUGAACUAAUUAAUUACAUGAUGGUUGUGAUCGAAUAUCGUGCACAUAAUUCUUUAAGACAUAAAAAUAUAAAAAAAUUCUACUUUUUUGUUUCAAUUUUGAUGACUAAAUAUGACAAUCAAAGAAUAAGUUCACCCGAACUUCAAUUUUGUUCUGCUGUUCUUAUAGGCCAGUUAGAAUACAAAAAAAUUUUAUUUUUAUUUUUUAUUUUGAAGAUGUAGACAACUAUAUGCAAUUUAUUAUUAUUUUGCCUCAAAGCUUAUUCGCUUGAAAUCCACUAAUGCGCAAGUCAAUUUAUUACCCGCUUCAUUUAUUUUAUUUAAAAAUAAACUUAGCUGAAAAGCUGAAUCAACUAGGAUUCGAACUUGGAUCUCGGGUACCAACUACUAAGCCCUUUGCCACUUGCUAUAGGAACGGUUAGUAAUUUAUUUUCAUCUUGAUUUGGGACUAAACAUUAUAAGCUCGUAUGAUACUCUCUAACGUUGGGCCAAAAGAAUAGAGCGAAAGCAUAUAGAGAUAUGAAUCUCACAUUCUUCGGGUAAAAUUAUAGAUAUUAUAACUUAAACUAAUUUAGUGUAAUUUACAAAAAUAAAUGAUACAUUUCUUUUAUCGCACUCUCUUUCCGCACGUAAUAUUUCUUUACUUACUAUCUUAACAAAAAGUGCUCGUUUCUUAUUGAGGUCUGUCCAACUCUAGUAGACAAAAUGAAGUCAAGGCAAAAGCUUUCUCCGCCUUUCGAUGAAACUGUAUAAAAUAUAUUAUUAUCAACUCAUUGUGAUGUCCAAGACACUAUAUUAUGUAUGAAAAUAAUUCUAACGAUUUUUUCAACAUUUUACAAAUCGGGUCAAAUAGCGACUCGAAAAUGAUACUGGAUCAACGGUCACUGAUUAAACCAGUGGGUUAAUGACUGGUUGAACCAAUAAUAUCAGCAUAACAUCAUAAAUAUUUAAUUAUUAUUUUUAAUCUUAUUNNNNNNNNNNNNNNNNNNNNNAAUUCUGGUAUCAUAUUUAAUUGUAAAAUAUUAAUUUCUAGAUCAAAUAAAGUAGGCAUGUAAGUUUUUUUAUGAGAUUAAUCCGUGCCAAUAGAAAAUAAAAUUAACUAAGUUAAUUUUAAGCCAAUAAAUUUUAAUAUGACUUGAUAAAUAAUUAAGCCGAUUUGAUUAAAACUGAACCGCUUUAUUAGUUCAAUGGUUUGAACCACCGGUUUGAACCACCGGCUCAAACGGUUCAAAAAGUCCUUUUUAAACUCAUCCAGUUCAAAGGAUUUCAUCAAACAACUUUAUAGAUUGAUUCACGGUCGGCCAAACUGGCCCGUUCGAUCUAAUUUUUAAAUUAUUUAUUUUUUAUUUUCUCAUAAUUUAUAAUAUGAUCUCUCGGCAAUCCCAAAUGAAUAAUUUGGAGAGAGUUAGACCCAGUGGCCACAGAUCCGGGAAAGUAUGGAUGUAGAUUACUUGUUAGGCUGCAUUGGGCCAAGUUUUCUGUGUACUGGGGUUCAAAUUAGUUAAUUGUUUCUAAGAGGCCAGAGCCUGAGCCUUCUUUUGUUUCUUUUUUUUUUUUUUUUUUGAGAGAUAGAUAGCACGCUAUCUGUUUUGUUUAUUUUAUUUAUAAAUAAAUUUAGAUUCGAACUUGAGUCUCGGAUACCAACCACUAAACCCUUUGCCACUUGCUCUAGGGACAGUCGGUUCUUUUGUUUCUCCUUUUAAUGAGAAAGCAAGUAGGCUUCCUAAAUACCCAAACCCAAAAACCCAUUUUGUCUAAUCUCGUAUCUACUUCACAACCAUGACUACCCAUUUUGUCUAAUCUCGUAUCUACUUCACAACCGUGACUUUCAAAAUCAGGGCCCAUCUAUGUUAAGGUGGAUUGGUCUGAACCAUAUAAUUAAGAUAUUUAAAGCAUCCCUUGCAUCUUUCGUGCUCUAACCAGGUUAUUUCUCUUCCUCCUUAAAUGCUAAAUAAAUAUCUGGUGGGAACUGUUACUCAAAUAAGGCUUAACAAAUACUAGUAGGUCUCAAUAAUAAGCUGCGACCAGAUUUAGACUUCGUUUGGGAUUACAAGGAGAUUGCGUUACGUGCAGUGAAAAAGUAAAAAAAUGAAAAAAAAUAUCCUAUUUUUUUUGCCAUGCGUAAUAUUGCGCGCGUUCUGCAUAUCGCGAUGAGUCAGUUAUGAUAUAUUUCAUGCGGUCUCACCGGAGAACGCUGAAGUAUAUCCCUAUAUAUUUCUACUCUAACUCUAUUUUAUCUAAUAACGUCGGAUGGAGCUUAAUACCAAACUAAUAUUUAAGUAGUGCCCCCACGCUUUGGCCAAUGGAAGUUGCAACAGUGCUUUUGCAUAAAGCGAUUUAAGAAGAGCUUUUCAGAGUUGUGUUUAACAGAGCCAUAAUUGGAGAAGCAGUGGAAUCUAAUGCAAUAAAGGGCAAUUUUUGAGCAUCAUGAUUAACGGUGAUGUACCAUAGAGGAUGGAGCUGAGAAAUUUAGGCUUCGUUUGGAAUUGUGGAGAGAUUGUGUUACGUGCGGUGUGGAGAGAUUGUGUUCCGUACAUAAUAUUGUGUUCUGCAUAUCGCAAUAAAUCGAUUACGAUAUAUUUACUGCGGUCGCAUCGGAGAACACAGAAACAUAUCCCUAUAUACUUUUUCCUCAAUUCUAUUUUAUCUAAUAGCGUUUGAUAGGCCUCAAUACCAAAGUAAGUCUUACAUGUACCUCCCCACAGCUAAUAAGAUCAUCUAAAAUUAAAGUGAUGGCCCUUGUGAUGCCCAAAAAAGCUGAUGCAUCCAAAUAAAUUAGAAUCUGUGAGAUUCAAUAAGUCACUCAUUAGGACAUGAAUUCAUUGUAGGAUCAUUGCAUGAAUUAUCCUAAUAACAAAAUAAUUAAAAAAAAGCAGAUAAAAAGCUACAAAUAAUCAUAUCGGAUCCUUUUUUUAGGUGUGUUACGUUUGGCUUCGCGGGAAUCCAAGGAGAAAGCGCAAAUAAGAGCAAAACUAAUGAACAUCUUUGUUUCACCCAACGCAAAUAUCUAUUUUUAUUGUACGGUUCACUGUGAAUUAAACUUUCGCAUAAUUCCAUUUUUCAAAAUGUUGUAAUUGACUUCGCCUUGGAAAGUGUGGAAGUCAAUUACAAGAAAGAAAGAUGUAGAAAACAAUAAUAAUAAAAAUUUAACUUUUUCAAGUGUUUUUUUUUUCACCCUCUAUAAGCUGUAGUGUAAAAAUUUUUAGUAAAAUAAACAAAAAAAAAAGAAGAGAUAACCACAAUUUCCAAAUCAUUAAAUUUUUAUUAAACUGAAAAUUAUUUUCAACUGAAAAUUAUUUUCAACUCGAAAAUCACCUACGAGUAAAGAAACAGGCUCAAACUGAAAUGGUUCAACAACAUUGAAAUUCUUUGGCUUAAAUUUUCUGAAUAGUUUUGCUGUUAAAUAGAUUUUAAACUAUGUUCUAAAGGUAUCAUAGUGGAUCCUAAUCUUUUCGUCAUUCAAAUUAAUGGAUUAUAUUAUGUACAUGAACAAGAGUGUUAAAUAUGUCUCGAUAACAUUCUGUAGUUUAAAAGGCAGCGAGCCUUUGAAAACUGAACAGUAUUAGUUUUUUGCAAUGCUGGAAAAUUGAAAUGAGGUUUAGAGCCUCCAAAACUGAUACUCAAUCUGAUACGAAGUUUCAUUUAUUCUGGACAGUUUUACUUGGAAAAAAAAAUGAUGCUUCUUAGAAUAAAUAUACUGAAAAUUUAUAAAAUGGGUGCAAAAAAUAUUGGGAGAGAACAAGAAGUGGCUGGAUAAUUUGAAAUUUCAUAUUCAUAAAUAAUAGUUAAUUAACACAUUCUCAUUUAAUUUGUAAAGUAAUUAAAGUACUGGGCCAGGCCCAAACUGCACUGUAACAUGUUGACUUAUAUUAGGCCUAGGGCCCUCUAAAAGCCCAAUACAAAUAUGUAAGCCAUUGCGGUUCAAAAUAGAAAUCGAAAUCGAAAUCGAAAUCGAAAUAGGCAUAGAGAAUGGCCGGAAAUAGAACGAUGAAAACUCCUAAUUUACUUGGUUCAUACGAGGAGUCGGAAUAUAAAUCAUGUUCAAAUUAAAAUUCAAAAAAUUUAUUUAAAUUUACUUUGUAAAUUCGUAAUCAAAAUUUGAAUGUGAAUUUGAACUUCACAAUUUGAAUUUAAUUAUAAUUUAAAUUUGGACCCAAGAUCAAAUAUCAAACUUAUAUUAAAAUUUAAAUUUGAAUUUAAGAAAACUAAAAAUCAAAUUUUGAAUCCAUAAUUUAAGCUUAAAUUAAAAUUUAUAAUUUAUUCUAAAAUUAAAUAUAGAUUAAUAUUGGAAUUUAGAUAAUUGUUAAUGAAUUUUCUUCUGAAUCCCGAAUCAAGGUUGAUUCCUAUAUUUGGAAUCAUUUCGGGGGAAUUCGAUUUUACUCGGAAUGAAAAUCGGAAUAUCAGUCUCUCAAACCAAACACUAAUAAAAGGAAUGAAUCAUUCAAAUUUUUAUUUCAAACCAAACGUGUUCUAAAAGUUAAAAAAAAUUAAAAAUCAAAACAGAACAAAACAAAAUGUUGGUUUUACAAAUUAUACUCUCUUUUUUUUAAGCUCUAUAGGUUUGAUGUUAACAAAUUUAUACGUGUCGACUUCUAUAUAUAUAUAAAAAAAAAACCUUCAAAUACCGCCCGUACGGUUUCACACUUUCUCACUUUAGUAUCCUGUGGUUUAAAGUAUAUUAAUUUAGUGCCCUGUGGUUUCAUUUUUACCUUUUUAUUAUCGACUUCACUAAUUUUUUUUCGUUAAAUCAGUGACAAAGUUAAAACUAAUGCGCACUAAAGUGAAUAUUCGAUAAAUUUAGAUGGGGUAUCUGAAAUUUUUUGUAUAUAAUUUAAUAAAAUAUUAACGGAGAAGCUGGCGAAAAGAUAAAAAUAAAACAGCAGGAUACUAACUUGAUACACUUUAAACCAUAUAAUACUAAAAUGAAAAAGUGUGAAACUAUUGGAUUGAUAUUUGAAGCUUAUUCUAGAAAAAAAAAGAAAAAGAAAAAGAAAAAGAAAAAGAAAAAAAAAAAGGGUCUUAUCCUGUUUUAGUUGAAUUCUCCUCGUUAAGUUACUUGACAUUUACAGGUAUCAGAUUAGUAUAUUUUUUGUAUUUUCUUUUGAUUUUGACUGGUCGUGGUAACAAGUCCAUCAGAUAUGUUCUCCCAUAUUUGGAAAUUAUAUUCCCCCCAGAAAAAUAAAAGUAAUAUUCUUAGGUCAAAAGGUAAUAAUUUUAAUACGGUAAAAAUGUAUUGAAUUUACGUAAUCUGUGGAAUAAAAAAUGUAUUGAAUUUACGUAAUCUGUGGAUAGUUAAAAUUUACUAUCCACCUUUCAAAAUUUUAAUUUUAGUAUUCAAUCCUUUAGCAAGUUUGAUUUGAGUCUGUCAAAAAUACUUUAGUUCAAAUUUUAAACUUUUAGUUGUGAGAAUUGUAUAAAAUGUACUAAAUAAAUUUGUAAAUAUAAAGAACGUAUUCAUUCAAAAUUUGAAGUCAAAGUGCUGAUGACCGACUCCAAUUAAUCGAACAAAUUAUAAUGUUGUGUAGUAAAAUCAAAAUAUUGAAAGAUUAAAUAGUCCAUUCAAAAUGUUUUAUAGUUCACCGUUCAGAUAAUUAAAUUCUAUAUAUUUUUACCUUCUAAGUUUAAGCUUCUAAUGUAUUAUAGAAAUAGACCUGUAUUGAGAAUUUAUUCACUGGUGAAGGAAAAUGUUGGGUAUUAUUGUUUAAAAGAUUAUUUUUGUAGCAAUUUGAUUAAGCUUUUAGACAAGAAUUAUUAUAAUUUCACAUCAUCAAGCCUGAGUUUGAUUCAUGCCCCCUUUAGCUUGCAUAUAGGUUAGCUUAUAAGAGCCACAGCAUCUGCAUUGAGAUUCGUGCAAGUGCAUCUCAGAGCGCAACCAAAUCGUAAUUUUGAUGCACCAUAUGACACGCAAAAAAUUUCAUAAAUAUACACCCAAAACUUUGCUAAAAAAUUCAUUCAUACAGUAGCCCUGUAAAAUCAAAAUCCAAAUGUUUAUAUUUGAUAUUCAAAAGCUUAAUUUCUUAGUUACCGAUCACAAUCAUACUCAGAAUCUGGCCCUACGAUACACGGAGAAGCAGAUCUGGGCGAAAUCUGGUCCGAAUCAAGUCAAUUGAGGUCUGGUCGAUACCGUUCCGACUUGGGUACGUUAAAAGGGCUAUGACUUUGCGCACGGGCACAUGUAUAUAUAUUCGGCAUGCAAUCUUAAUUCAAAAACAAGUUCUCGAGACGCAAGUAUUGAACUGCUUCGUCGUUCCGGCUCAAUUUGGUGCCCAAAUUUAAUCGAUUAGGCCUUAAAAUUUGCAGUUUUAGAUUUUCUUUAACUAAUUUUGAGAAUGUUACUUUGUUUCUUAAUUUUAUUAAUUACUUCAUGUUAGAUCUAAGUUUUUUUUUAAUAUUUAUCGCUGAUUAGAAUUAUAUUAAUUCUAUUUUUGUGCUUAGAUGAGCAUCUCUAUUUAUAUAAAGGCCGAUUAAGGUUUUGCAAAAGUAAUUUUUUUUAAAAAAAAAAAAUACCAGAUGUCUUUCAUUUUAGAAGAGAUUCUUCGAUCUAUCUUUCUCAUCCAUCCUCACACUUAGGGACCGUUUGGUUGGAUGUAGUUGUAGAAACAGUAUAGUUGGAAAUACAUGCAGUUGCAAAUGCUGUAAUUAUAACUACACCUAGUCUGCUUGAUUUUAUACAGUUGCAACUGCUGCAGUUAUAUUUUUUCUGUUUGGUAAUACGAAUCUGAUAAUUGUAUAGUAGGGAUGCGUGAAAUCCCACUCUAAUUAAUAAGUGGAUCAAAGUACUCCUCCCUUUAAAUUCAAUAACUAAAGUAUAAGGUUUAAUAUAUUAGCACUUAAUUAUAAUUAGGUUCUCCAAAUAAAUUGGUGGGUUAUAUGCAUGCAUUGGGGGACUCCAACAAAGCAUCCAAUUAAUCUUAGUCAUAACCAUUGUUUGGGUUGCAUAAUUAACUCUAAACAUGCAUGCAUGUGCUCGAUCGCCUACGCACAGUGUACGUACGUGUUCUCCACUUGAGAAUCGGAAAAUAAAGGAGAAAUAAAAAAUGGAAAAGCAAAAAAAAAGAAAAAGAUGUAACUAAAAAGGAUAGAUUAAAAUAAUUCUCUUAUGCUACUUUAAUUUAGCUGGUAUGUCAAAAUUUUGCACUUUACUAUUGAUUCAACUCGAUGUAAAAAAUAUAAAAUAAUUAUUACAUAAAUAAAAUUUUAUUAAAUUUAUACGAAUGGUCUUUGUUAAAUAUAUAUGACCAUAAUCUAUCUUUUAACUCAUUUCCACAAAGUUCUACAUCUUAACGACCCGAUUUUUAAACUAUUUGAGAUACCAAUAAAGAGUGGAAUUAAUAUUAGGGAUCGUUUGGUUAAAAAUUCAUAAUAUUUAAUAUUGUAUAUUUUAUAUUUGAAAUGACAAAUUUAUAUUAACUUACAUAUAUAUAUACCAAGUGACUUGAAUUGAAAUGUUUUUAAAAACCAGUAUAUACUUAUUAAUAAAUUAUUAAUAAUUUUUAUAAAGCAUUAAAAUAAGAAUAUCUGAUAAUCUAUGAUAAUUUAAUUUUUCUAGCACUUAAAAAUCUAUAAUAAUUCUACUACUUCACUACCAUUUUCUACAACUACAUAAUUUAAAUUGAAUGAUAAUAAUUUAAAUAUUUUUAAUCAAAAUAUAAAAAAGUUAUCGAAAUAUUAUAAAUCGUGAACACGAUAAGCCCUUGAUAUAAUCUUUUAGUACGUGUAAGUUUGAAUAUGCAUGUCAAAUGCNCUUUUGUUUUUUUUUUUUUUGGUAAAUUGCAUAUUUGGUCCUCAAACUAUAAGACCAGUUAAACUUUGGUCCUCAAGCAUUAAUUUAUUAUAAUUUUUUUACUUGAUUGUUAAAACUGUUACAAUCAAAUUCUAUAACCCACUUUUUUGAUUAUCAAUUCUAUAUUAAUAACAGUUAAAAUUUAGUCAACUGAAUUAAAUUAUAAAAUUUUAACUAUUUUCACCUGUUAAAUUAUACUAUUUAACCAACCACCAAUUCAAUCCUAAAAAACUACUGUCAUCCUAACUACAUAUACCUUCAUCCAAAAGCCAAAAAUCUCAUAGCAUGACCGACCGUCUCAUAGUAUGAUAUCAAAAAUUAAAUUAAAUUUACGAUUUAAACUCAAAUUUAAAUUUUAAUAUAAAAUAGAUGAAAAUAAAUUCUAUUUUUUAACGGAUUGAUCAUAACCGUUCAUUUUUAUUUGAAAUAUUUUUAACAAAUUAACCAUAACCAUUCACAGAAUUAAAUGUAUAGAUGGAUAUGAAUACUUUUUUUUAAUAGAUUGAUUAUAACCGUUCAUUCUUAUUUAAAUUUUUUUAACAAAUAUUUCAUAACCAUUCAUAGAGAAUAUUCUUUUAUUUUUUUUUGAUUCUGUUUGUCAUUCCUAUAAGCGUUUAUAUAUAGUAUAGAUAUAGAGAGAGAAGUAGGAAGUUAGCAGUUUCAAAUUUUUUUUUUAGAAAUAAAGUGAGGUAAAAAUGUCAAACAACUAAACUUUGAACUUGAAAUCACUCAUUUGUCGAAUUGCACUAGCGGCCACAUAUAUGUUUCAAAAAAAGCUGUCGUUUUGAGUCACUACACUUUUGUUUUUGAUAAAAACUUAUGUGAAUUGUGAAUUAUUUUGAAUCUAUAAAUUUUUUUUAAAAAUUAAUAUUAUUAUAUCUGACCUUUCAAUUCAUUUGAUUUGAAUUAGUCAACAAUAAUUUGACUUCAAAUUUUAAGAUAAUUUUUUUUACUUUAAUAAAUCAACUAAAUCUGUAAAUAUAAAUAAUAUAUUCAAGUUUUAAAAUUUAAAAGUUAUUAAAAAACACAAAUAAAAUAAAAUUAAAAAUUUAAAUAAUAGAAUUAAAAAUUUUGUACGUGAUGUGAGCAACAGCGUUAAUGGUUAUAGGGGUUCGCGUAUCACGAGGCUCCGGCGAUUCUCCACCGCCCGUUCCACGCCUCGCUGAUGCGAUCGUCAUCAUUGAGAAAGUUGGCGUCUUGCUGAGGGUGGGCCACCACCGUACCCCUACUUUUGCCCAAACGGUAUCUUCCCCUGUCGAAUUACUUUCCAAAUAUUAAAAAAAAAACUUCAAAAAAAACCCCUGUGAUUACGUAUUUUUUUUGUUUUAGUACCACGUGGUUUAAAAUACAUUAAGUUAGUAACCUGUGGUUUCGUAUUUUCUCACUUUAGUAUCCUGUGGUUUAAAGUGUAUUAAGUUAGUAUUAUGUGAUUUUAUUUUUGUAUCAAGUUGGCAUCCUGUGGUUUUAUUUUUGUAUCAAGUUAGUACCAUGUGAUUUUUAAACCACAUGAUACUAAAGUGAGAAAGUGCGAAACCACGGAGUACUAACUUGAUACACUUUAAACCACAGGGUACUAAAGUGAAAAAGUGCAAAAUCACGGGAUAUUUACUUGGUAUACUUUAAACCACAGAAUAGUAAAGUGAGAAAAAAUGAAACCAUAAUGGGAGUAUUUGAAGUUUUUCCAAUAUUUAACCUAAUCCGUUCGAAUCAAUUAAACCAAUUUUGUUCAAAAAACCGACGGUUAGGAGCCAGUGUUAUUCAGUUCGAAACAAAUUAUAAAAUCAAAUCUAUCAAAAAAAAAAAUUGUUCAAUUUAAUUUUAGGGUAAACUUCAAAUACCACUCCUGUGGUAUAGUAUUUUUUUAUUUUAUUAUUCUAUGGUUUAAAGUAUAUCAAGUUCGUACUCUAUCAUUUUAUUUUAUUUUUUUUUCGUCAGUUCCUCUGUUAAUAUUUUGUUAAAUUAUAUACAAAAAAAACUUUAAAUACUCUAUCAAAAUUUAUCGAAUAUUCACUUUAGCACUCUUUAGUUUUAACUUUGUCGCUGAUUUAAUGAAAAAAAUUAAUAAAAUGAAUAUUAAAAAAAUAAAAAUAAAAUCAUAGGGUAGUAAAUUGAUACAAUUCAGUUUGGUUCUCCUCUAAAAAUUUAAAAAACUAAAAUAAUUAAAUAACCAGAUAAUAAGGAAUAUCUGCUAUUAUUAUUAUUAUUAUUAUUAUUAUUUUAGAAUAAUAACUUUUAACGUAAAACUAAUCAUAUAAUUUUAUCUUAUGUUUUGUAGUUUCGAAAGAUCGGUUCGGCUCUUUCCUCUAAUUCGAUUAUACAAAAAGCUGUAAAUAUCGAACUAAACCACCGAUAAUUUUUUUUUUAAAACUAAAAAUAUAAAAUAACUAAAUUCAAACAUGAGAUCUUGGAUAUAAAUUAUUAAAUUUUUAUUCAACUACCCUAGAUAUGAUCGGUAUCUCUAUAUAAUAUUUUUUGCUAAUUUUUUUUUGUUAGGGAACAAUAACCUACAUACAAAUUAAUUGAAAAAAAAAAAGAAAAAAUCGUUUUAUGGGGCGGUUGUUGUUUAAACAUUAAAAAGGGGUUUUUAUAUAUCUAAGUUGUAUCCACAUCCCCGGUUGCCACGUCGGACAGGAUCUGAUACACGGCAAGUGGACCAGUGAUUGACAUGUCGCCUUUCUACAGGUCUAAAAAGUGGGGCCCGAGAACCAUCAUCCAAUAACUCACCGACACGUAGCACAACAGCGUACAUUACUCCGACGGGGGAAACAGCGGGUGCUUCCGAAAAUAGUAAUUAAAAAGAAAAAUUAAAAAAAGCGAAAAAAGGGGAGCCGCAAAACGACGGGCGAGGAAAAGCGUACGUGGCGCGUGGGCGAUGUGGAGAGGAGGGGCAAAAAAGUAAAUAAAAUAAAAUAAAAUAAAAUAAAAAAUAUAAAAAAGAAAAAAAGAAAAAAAAGGUUGGGCGCGCUUUUGACGUCGAUUGGUCCGAUUUAAACCCGCAUAUUCCCUGGAAUGUACUUCCCCAUGCAUCACCCAUUUGCCUCUUCCCCCUCUUUACUAUUAUUUUUUAAUUAAUUAAUUAUUUAUUUAUUUAUUUAUUAUUAUUAUUAUUAUUUUUUAAUCUACCAUUACAAACACUUUUCAAUGAACCUAGCACAUGGUAUUAUUUCAUGCUUCUAAUAAUGAUGAUAAUGAUGAUAAUAAUUCAUGCAUUAGAACAAAAAGAUGUUGCCUACAUUCAACUUCCAAAUAAUUCAUGCUCAUAGCCUUUUUCUAAAUGAUGUGCAUGUUAGUGUGUGUGUAUAUAUAUAUAUAUAUAGAGAGAGAGAGAGAGAGAGAGAGAGAGAGAGAGAAUAGGGCUAGAAUACUAUUACAAGUAUUGAGUUCUUCAUACUCAUAAGUUAUUUUAUGCUCGCUUGAUAAAUUUUAUUAUGAUUUUGAAAAAUUACGAAAUUUAUUUUUUAGAAGUUUCAAAUACUUUAGAUCAUAUUUAACUAAGUGAAUCGUCAAUUUGGAAGCUUCAUCAUCAAAAAUAACUUAUGAGUAUGAAGAACUCUAUACUCAUAAGAUUACAGUAGCUAGAGAUGUCAACGGGUCGGGUUCGGGGCGGAUUUUUAAAAACCCGAACCCGAACCCGACUCCAAACCCGAAUCCCGAACUCGAACCCGAACCCGAACCCGACGGAUUUUAAAAAUCCAUAUCCAAACCCGAACCCGACCAAAAAUCCGAAAUCCGAACCCGAACCCGAACCCGAAAAUUUGAACCCCGAAACAAUUAUUUCUUUUUUCAAUAUUUAAAAAUAUAUUAUAUUAAAUCUAAAUUUUUAAAAUACAAAUUCAAAUAUAAUAUNUGAUGGAGCUUCCGAAUUGAUAAUUAAUCCACACUGUGAAAUAUGAUCUAGAGUAUUUGAAAUUUGUAGAAAAUAAAUUUCGUAAUUUUUUAAAUUAUGGCAAUUAAAGUCCAUCAAGUAGGCAUUAAAAUAUACAGUCAAAAUUAAACAAUAUUCUAAAAAAGAAUGAUCGGAUCCUUCAAUUCAAGAUCGGAGUUAUUGAUCUUUAUCGGGAUAGUAAGUAUUUUUCUAUCAAAGAUUCAGCCAAUUUUGAUUCUUUUAUAUUGUUUAACUAGCAAGUAUUCUAUACGGCCGUUAAAAAUUAUUAAUUUUGAGAUUUUUUGAUUGUAAGGUAAAUAAUGUCAAAAAAUUAUAAAUAUUGAUUUCAAGAAGUUUCAAAUAUUUUAAAUCAUGUUUAAUGGUAUUGAUCUAUCAUCGAAAACAACUUAUAAGUAGGAAGAUGAUCGUUCUAAUAAAAGUAUACGCUACAACAAAACGAUUUAUAGCGACAUUUUUUAAUGUCUGUAUAGGUCAAAAAAAAGUGUUGCUAGCUAAAUUACCGACAUUUUAAAAAAGUGUUGCUAUAUGUGGGGUCGCUAAGUAUAUAGUGACAGUUAAAAAGUGUCGCUAUAACCUAAAAAUAGUGCUGCUAAUUUACCAAUAUUUAUUUAAACAUUUAGCAACUGCUGGAACUCUAUCUCGUUGGCUGUGGUGGCGGAGGAGGACGAGAGGGAAAGACUUUUGGUCUAGAAUUUCAGUAGAUUGAGUGAGGGGAGAAUGGAAGAUUGUAAUCUAUUUUCUUUUUUUUUUUCUUUUCUGUUUGUAAUUGGGCCGAAUAGGCUGGAUGGGGAGCGUUGAGUAGAGUAAUUUUUUAUUUUUGGUUGGAUUGAGUUUUAUAUUUAGGCAUUAGUAGAUUUUUUUUAAGUUUUGGCAUAAAUAGGAUGCUUACACAAAAGUGUCCCAAACAUAUGUCCCUAUAACCUAAUUAUAUUGUGGUGAUAAUAGCCGGACUCUCUCUCUCUCUCUCUCUCUCUCUUGUAUAUAUAUAUAUAUAUACAAGAUUGUUUUUUGAGAAAUAAACAAAAAACUACAAGGUAUUAUGCUGCGUGAGAAUUUGAGUGGCUUAUUAGAUUAGUUGUUAAUCUCAUGAUCUUUAAUUUGCUUGGUAUAAGAUUAUUUUUGCAACAAAUAAAUUUGAACCAUGUGUCUCUUCAAAGAAUGAUCAUGUACAAAUAUUGCUAUUUGCUGUAUCCAAUAUAUCUUUGUCAAUAGGUUAAUUUGUAUAUAUAAGAAAAAAGAAAAUAAAAAGUAUUUAAUAAACUCAAAAGUCUUAAAUAAUAAACUAAUUUAUAAAUGAUUCUAUAGGCAUAGUGGAGCAUGCAACAAGUUGUUUGAAAAUGACCUAUCAACAUUUCAACACCUUGCAAUUAAGUAAAGUGCAAGUACUCUUUUACCUUUUUCAAUUUCUUUUUUUCCUUCCUAUCAUCUUCAUGGACUAGCUUGCUUAUUGCUAGAUUCCCUAUAGCUAUUACAAUGAUUCCUAAUUUUGGCGAAAACUACAUGCAUUAUUUUCUCUUUUCGACUAGUUUCGAUGAGAAUUUCAUGAUGAAAGAGAUUGUGAAACAUUUUACGGGCUUCGUCACGCUGAAAAAUAUUGCGGUUACGGAGAAGGCACUUCGUUUUUCCAUCGAAACGUGUUUGAGUUAAGCACUAAAUUUUGGCUUGGUCAUGAGAUCGCCAAACUCUAGAUAAUUCGCUCAUUUCGAAUUCCUAACACAAAGUUCGUACGCUAAAGGGGUAUUAUACAACUAAUGUUGAAAUGACCAUGCGUGUGCUUCGACGAUUCUUAAUUUGAAGAAGAAGAAGAAGAAGAAGAAGAAGAAGAGUGUAGUAUUAGAUAUGUUGUUUUUUUUUUGAACGAGUAUGAUAUUUAUGUGAUUAGAUGGAUAAAUAGAAAGAGAAAGAACAAUAUGCAAGUCAUCUCCUUAAUCUUGUGGACUAAUACUCUUUUGACUUUUUUAGCUAAGUUGUCUAUUAAACUUGGCAACUUAAUUCCGAGUACAAAUUAAAUUACUAUUUGAUUUUCUCCUUUUUCAACACUAAUUAUUAAUGGAACAUAAAAUGGAAAAAAAGAAUCCUUUAAGCUUAACUAAUAACUAACUUUAUGUAAAACCAACUAUUUGGAUAUCUUGUAAUCUUAUUAACCAGUAAAUGUAUAAUAUGAUAUAUGCUUGAUAAAUUCCAGCAUUACAACAAUAAGCAAAUCUAGACAUUAUGUUUGCACCGAAUCCACAAUAUUUUUAUAGUUUUCUUGUUGUUCUUUAUACUGUAAUAAAAAAACAUCCAAACACUUCAUUGUGAAUAUAAACUUUGUAUUUUGCAAAACAAUAAAAAUGCUCAAAUUUUAUAAAAUUGCACAGCAUUGAAAUAAAAAUAUUACUCAACCAAAUUAUUUAGGAUUGUUACAACCAUAUAAUUAAGGAAAAAUAUGUAGCUUCUUACCAAACCAAAUUGGUAUCAAAAUUGGUUUUGGGUGUACAAAUAGGAGAAGCAUUUUAGUUGAUAUAUAAAACUUGGUAAAAAGGAAAAAAAAAAAAAAAAAGAAACAAAAAAGAAAAGAAAAAAGAUUCUUCAUGUUUCUUAGUGGGGUUGCAAAAGGUACGGAGUCACCAAAUGCGGCUUACACCAUUCAAAGAUCCACGCAUAGACCAAUAAAUCCACGCAAUCUUAAAGUCAAAUUGGCUUGCAUUGAAUCCACUGAUUAUGUUGGAAAGUUAAUAAUAAUAAUAAUAAUAAUAAUAAUAAUAAUAAUAAUAAUAAUAACAACAACAACAAUAAUAAUAAUGGACUCAUCUUUAUUUAGGAAAUAUAUAGAUUUAUUAAAUGCAAUCAAAUAUGAAUGAUAAGUAAUAAUUAGAUUCAAUAAUAAUACCAACACAAGGUAGAAUUGAUUUCCAAUCUUAAUUCCUUUAUUUGGAGUGAGUUUCAUUAUUUACUUUUGCUGCAUGAUUUAUAAAGAAAGAAAUUAGAAAGGUUUUUUUGUUGAACUGAUCGGUAACAUUUAACUAUUCUGAUUUAUAAUUCUAUGCAAACUUGGUAACUUAAAAGAUGUCAAACAAGGAGUUAAUAAGAGCACGUUAACGUUAAACUCGUGAAAAUUAAAAUUCAUGGUUAAAAAUAGUAAAAUUUUAUUAUACUUUUAGUUAGAUAAGUUGAAAAUUUUAUUGAAUUCAAUAACUGAAUUAGUUUCUAACAUUUAAUUAAUUAUUUUACUACUUUGGAUUAUUUUGAAUUGAUUAUUCGAGCUUUCAAAAUUUUCGACGUUAUUGUGCUACCUUUUAAUUUUUUUAGUUUUAGUCCGUUAGCGAUACUUUGAUUUUAAAGUUUAAAUUAAAUGUUUUAUUUUAAUAAAUUUAGAAUUGCGAGAAUUAUAUGAAAUAUACUAAGUAAAUCUGUUAAAAAUAAAUGACGUAUUUAUAUUUUGAAGUGAAAACGCCGUUGACUAACUCAAAUUAAAUAAGUUGAAAGGUUGGCUAGUGAAAUUUAAAUUUUAAAAGGAUGAAUCAUCAA